AAUUUUUGCUGACUUAGUUCAAGAUGGCAUCUUACAGUCUGAACGUCUUUAUCUAUUUAGGGUUACCACAAUAUAUUGUGAACUGAAUCGUAGCAUAGCCUUGAAGCUUGUUUAUGCAUUAUUGUUAUUGUAAUUCGUCUGGGACAAAGUGGCGUAAACAUAUUAUGCACUGAACAUAGGUAAGAGGUUAUUGCUUAAAGAAACAGUUAUGAAAAACAAUAUGUUCCAUUUCUAACACCUUGUCAGUUUGCAAUAUCUCUUAAAGACAAAGUACACAGUUUAAGAAAUACAACAUUUCAUUCUAAAACUUGUAAUAUUUGCAUUUGCCCAUAACAGUUCCCCUGGCGUUUCAGUCUGGCAUACCUUUUUCCUCCUAUCCCAAUGAUCCCGAGAACUUUACAGAAUAUCAAAGCAGAACGAGCUCGAGUGAUUGCUGUCCUCCCAUACUGGCCAAACCGGAGCUGGUUCUCAGCAUUGCGACUUAUGGCAUUGGACUACUGGGAGCUUCCAUUCUCAGAUAAACUCCUGGAAAAUGUUGUUCUUCUGGAAAAAACAAUUUGCAUGUUCAUAUUGACUGUCUGGCUGGUGCAAGGUUAAUCCUGAAGAACCAGGGCAUUCCAGAUAACCUGUUUCAUACAAUUCUAAACUCCACCAGAGCUUCUUCGUCUAGUAUCUAUUUGAGGAUUUGGAACAAAUUUCUCCAUUGGUGCAUUGGGCAUAAUUGCUUUCAUCACUUUUCCUCUGUCAAGACGAUUCUGCAAGAAGGCUUUGAAAACGGACUCACUGUCUCUACUUUAAAAGUUUACACUGCGGCCCUCAACCAUUUUUUGCUCCAAAAGUUUGCAACAUGUCUGCUGAUUAGGCGUUUCUUCAAGUCCAUUCGUCUACAAAGGCCACCUCGGAAAUUUCAAUUCCCUUCCUGGGGUCUAUCUCUGGUGCUACAGUCUUUAUGUGAAGCUCCAUUUGAACCACUUGAAGGCGUAUCAUUAAGAAUUCUGUCUCUCAAGACUAUUUUCCUUGUAGCAAUUACCUCAGCUAGGAGAAUUGGGGAGAUCCUCUUCAUCUGAAUUCAUGAUUUUCCAUCAGGACAAGGUUGUACUGCACACUAAGCCCUCUUUUUUACCAAAUGUUCUUUCAAGAAAAUCUCUGAAUGAACCUCUGGUUCUUCUUUCAUUCUGAAGUUCAUAUCAAGAAGUGGCAUAACCUGGAUGUUUAGGUAAAUCCGAGAAGGAUCAACGCUAACAAGCCAUAAGGAUAUUUAAUUAGAGAAAAAUUUAGGCAUCACACCUAUAAAGAGAAUGGGUCCCCUCUAGCACCCCCCAAUAUGAACGUAAUAUGAAAGAAAAAGGGAGGAGGUUGCCCCUGUAUGUAAUAAAUAUAUUUUUAAUAUUUUUUAAAAAUAAAAUAAAUAAAAAUAAAUUACUUUACAAAUGUUAAGCUAAGGCAGUCUAAUAAUAAGGGAAAAGGUUCUUUAUGGAGCAGCAAACUUAUUGAUAGUAGUGAUGUCACAGAAUGAAACUUGGAAUCCGGUAGAACAUGUGGAAAGAAAGCAAAGGGGAAUUCCAAUGGUAUAGUAUAUAUGCACAGUAUUUUCAAAGGGUAUAUAAAUGAAAUACUACUCACAUUUACCAGAUUUGAAAUCCAGCUCUGGCUAGAAAAGUGUGAAGUGGAAUAAUUCCUAGUCAAGGAUAUAUGUAGUUGUCCAAGCUUCCAAUCGUAUGCAGCAGUAAAACCAAAAAGAUAAAACGUAGCAAAAUAUAGUGCUCACUGUAAAUUAGUAAUCAAAAUAAAAUAUAAGAGAGCUACUCACAAUUUUCCGUGCAGACUCACUGCUCGGUGUGUAGGUGGUAUAAUCCCCACCUAGGAUUCUUUGGGGUUUUUUUUAAAAAAAACCCCAGCAAGGGUGAUGUCAGGCAAAAGGUUUAAAAAUGAAGGAAUAUGGCAGACUUUGUAUAUAGCCAAAAAUUCCUUUAUUAAACAGAAAUAAUAGUAAAAGUUUCUAAACGCGUAUCACCUACAUAGGGCUUCUUCAAGUAGAAACUAACAAACAGUAAAAUCUCAAGCCUGACAAGCAAAGAUAUACUUACACUUAGGUUUUUGAAAUUGGCGCCAAAAUUAUGUCAUCACAUAGAAACAAAGUGAUACAUAAUUGAAAUAAUCAAAAUACAGGGAAUAAAACAUCAACUAUUUUGGGUAGUGAUCUUAGAAAUUAACUGUGAAUGAUAUUUAUUAAAAACGAAGGUUAUAACUAUUAUAAAAAUAGGUUAAAAGAAAACCAUGUGACGCGCGACUUUGCUUCCGCGUCACGUGGCCUUUGGGGAAACGCAUGCGUCUUAGUUUAGGGGAGGCACAUGCAUGGUAGUGGAGGAGUGUGUGUGUGUGCAAGCUACUCCUCCAAAAAUGCAGAGGCUGAGGGUGGGAUCGCCGGGUCAUCACAAAGGAGGAAUUUUGUGACGAGGUAGGCGAGGAGCCAGCAUAUUCAGUGACUGAAAGGGAGUAACUUGAAAAAGCAAAUCCAUAUCAAUCUGCAGUUUAGUGAAGUAGAUACUGCAGGCCGGUAUGGAUCUAAAGCUCAUACUUAAACUUCAAGAUCAAAACAUAUGGAAGGUGGCAACAUAUAUGCAAAAAAUAAAUUAUGUAUAUGUAAAACAUAAAAAAAUAAUGAUAGGGGGCGGGGCCUGACUGCCAACAUGGCCAGACGCGCUUUCUGAAAGCUCCGGCAAUGGCGGGCGCUAAAACACCGAACAUGGACGACCAAACAUUGUCAGAAGCACAUGGUGCCUGGAAAACGAUGCAGGACACUGCACCGAACAUGCGGAUACCUAUAUCGCACCAAGUUGGGCCACAAGCACUAAAACCGGCCACGAGGCCUCAACGGGAGCGGAGCCCAAAGCCUGGGGGAGACGGCCGAUCGCCCUGCCCGGGUACCGCUCGCAAGUAUGCUUCAACAGCUGCCCUGCUACCCCCCCCUCUGGACCGGCGGGGGAUAUCCCGGUCCACACUGGGGGCGACAACCCCAGCAAAGCUACGAAAACAAGCGACAACAGCUACGGAGCGAAAAAGCGAGAACACAAGCAAGAUGGCGACGCACAGCAUCCUUAUCGAGCCACCCACGAGUACUUCAGACUUCUUCGACCAGCUCUGCGUAACCAUCUGGAAGAAGCUCUGGGACAGGGGCAGGGCCUUCAAGCAGGCGAGAAAAAUGGCAGCGGCAUGGAUUCGCCCGGUAACCCGGCGACGCCUAUGUGGAUUCCCGCCAAAAUCUACCAGAGCGGCCUCCCAACGGAGAAGGCACCAACUAUCAAGAGGGCGAGAAAAAGAGACAUGCCUCGUGAGCGACGACACUCAUCCCCAAACACGCCAGAGCGGGACCACACAGAACACCCGACCAAUCUACCACAAGCAAACCACGGAGGCCUCAGACCAUCCUGCCAGCCAUACCAACCCCCGAGCACUUGCCCACGACAGUGAGAUACACCGGAGCAGGAAACAACACACAUGGGCCUCGGGAAGGAAUCGGCGAGCUACACAGCCGAGGGCCUGGAUCCUCGAAGCGCUGGUGAGCAGGGGAGAAGGAUAUCCACACACCGGCUGCGCGGCCACCCACAGGCUGGCACCAAAAUCCUGCAUGCCAAGAACCGGCAUGGGUUGAAGGGGACUGGUUUGUGGACUCACAAUACUCUUUAAUUUUUUUUUCUUUUUUCAAUUUUACGCUAUUGAUGCAAAGACAUGCCUAUCGUUAUGCAUUGCACGGCUAGGACUCUCUCAAACUCAAGCUACUGUUUAGCCCAAAUGCAUCAUACCUCAAUAGUAUAACUUGUACUCAUUUAUUUGCAUGUCCCAAUACACUGAGAACCAUAAAACGCAAACAAAAUCCGGGGAUCUCCCCCUCUAUUGACCCUUAUGCACUGUGCAUUCUGCCAGUACCCUUUAUUUGCUAUACUUAGAUUUGUUUAAACGCUUAGCCAACCUACUGGAACCCUAGGCAUUUCACCUCUUACUAGGUUAAUACAGCCUUAGAUUCCAUGCCUAGACACUCAGUUUAGCCUGCCUACCACGCAUACAUUAAUGAGCAUGUGCCUCGUGAGACAGAUACACUAGCAAAGAAUUAUGCAUGUUAAUAGCCUAGAUCAGUCAUGUGUAUUAACCUCUUGUACCCACAAUGCUGGUUACUGCGACCUACAUUUACCAAUAACAUGAUCUAAUCAAUACUAAUCUCAAACUUAAACAAAAAAUGUGUGCUGAUAAUCCUAAUGUUCCAAUUGUUUUGCCUGAAAAUGUGCUUGAGGAAUGCUAUUGGGGCACCAAGAGCUUAUUUGUUAUGUUACCCAAAGCACAACAAAAAUAAAGAAUAAAAAAAAUAAAAAAAAAUAAUGAUAAUGUAUAUACAAAGAAUAACAUUAUAAAAAGCAAUAAUAAAAUAACACUCUUAUAUGAAAAAGUGUAGGGAUGCACCAAAAUUUCGGCUGCCGAAAAUUAGCCUAUACCAUUUCGUCCAAAAACUCAAAUUUGCCAAUAAAAUAAAUAAAAAUUAAUAUAUAUAUAUAUAUAUAUAUAUAUAUAUAUAUUUUUUUUUUUUUUGUAGUGCAUAGUUUAACAGACAUGCUUGCAUUAACAAUUCAGGUGAUUAUGUAUCACAAUGAAAGAUAGUAAUGAUAACAUGAAAAGUCCAGAAUACUGCACUUGGGACGGGAGGGAGAAUACUAUGGGACAGGGGAGGGGAGGAAGAACACUAUGGAACACGGGAUGGGGGGAAGAACACUAUGGGACAUGGGGAGGAAGAACACUAUGGGACAGGGGGAGGAAGAACACUAUGGAACACGGGAUGGGGGGAAGAACACUAUGGGACAUGGGGAGGAAGAACACUAUGGGACAGGGGGAGGAAGAACACUAUGGAACACGGGGGGAGAAUACUAUGGGACAAGGGAGGGGGGAAGAACACUAUGGAACACGGGACGGUGGGGACGAACACUAUGGGACAGGGGAGGGGGUAGAAAAGAACACUAAAAAAGAGGGAGGAGAGAGGAACACUAGAGGAGGCAGAGAGGAACAUUAAGCAGGGGGACCACUAAAAGAGAAGGAAAAAGGGAAGUUUUUCAUAUUAGAUUAAUUAAAUUAAUUAAACAGGCUAAUAUUAAUGAAAUUAUAGGAAAAAAACUUUUUUUAAAUCAUUUGGGGAAAAAAGUCAUUUUCGGUUUCAGAUUUCGGCCAAGGGCAUCCUGAAGUUUCGGUUUCGUCCCAGAAUUUUCAUUUCGGUGUUUCGAAUGUUAAAAAAUUCUAAGAAGCAAAAGGUAAAAAUUGAAGGUAGCAGGGUCCAUUCUGCUACACUUUCUGAGACGGUAUCUCCCAAGACAUUAAGCGGUACUGCCAAACCUGCGAUACCUGCCAGAGGGUAGGUAAGAGGGGAGACCGCCACAAGGCCAAACAGGAUAGCAGUAGACCUAGUAGGACCCUUAGCCAAGCCUAGACCCUCCGGCAAAAAAUAUAUCUUGACGGUGGUCGACUACGCUACCAGGUACCCACAGGCGAUGGCACUGACCAACAUACAUGCGGAAACCAUAGCCGAGGCACUGAUGAAGAUCUUCUCCCGCAUGGGAUUGCCCCGGGAGAUAGUAUCAGAUCGGGGCACUCAAUUUACCGCAGAGGUCACUCAAUACCUAUGGAGACUCUGCGGCAUCAAGCCUAUUGUAAGUGCACCCUAUCACCCGCAAACCAACGAGCUCUGCAAACGAUUCAACGGAACCUUAAAGCAAAUGCUCCGAAUGUUCGCAGAGACUCACCAAGACUAGGAAAGAUUCAUGCCGCACCUCUUGUUCAGAUAAUGGGAGAUGCCGCAGGAAUCUACAGGGAUCUCCCCAUUUCAAAUACUCUUUGAAAGGCAGGUGAGGGAGCCCCUAGACCUUAUCCGGGAACACUGGGAGGGGGCUGUUAGCCAGGAUGGUAACCCGGUCGCCCCAUAUGUGCUGGCGUUCCAAAACCGUCUGGAGGAACUAACUCGGUCCGUCCGAGAGAACCUCCAGGCAGCACAGAACCGCCAGCGCACCUGGUAUGAUCAAGGUGCCAGGGACCGUAGCUUUCAGGUAGGACAGAAAGUUUUAAUUUUAAAACCUGUCCGGAAUGACAAGCUACAGGCCGCCUGGCAGGGCCCAUACCAUACCAUACCAUACCACUUAUGUGAUCGGCCCUUGCACAGGCGACGCAUGCUUCACAUAAACAUGUUGAAGCUCUAUCAUGAGCGAGCGGAGGAGGUGGCAGCGAUUUGUGCCCCUGCCUCCGAGGGCUUUGACAACCUUCCCCUGCCCUACCCUACUAGGGGAUGGGAGUCAGUUAGGUGAGAUAGAGGAGAUAAAAUUGGGAGAACGGCUGAGCCCACAGGAACGGGCCAAGGUACAACAACUAUUAGAGGAGAAGAAGUCCACCUUCUCCAACGUACCUGGGUACACUCCUUUGGCAACUCACCGGGUAGAGACACCAGGUCAGCUCCCAUUACGCCAAAAUCCAUACCAAAUACCAGAAUCGGUGCGGGAAAAUAUCUGCAAGGAGAUCCAAGAAAUGCUCCAACUGGGGGUUAUUGAACCUUUUGACAGCCCCUGGGCCACCCCAGUAGUCCUCGUACCAAAACGGGACGGUACAACCCGUUUCUGCGUGGUUUACCAGAAGUUAAAUAAUAAGACAGUGUCAGAUGCCUAUCCGAUGCCUAGGAUAGAGGAACUGCUAGACCGGAUGGCUAGGGGCCAAUAGCUCACUACAACUGAUCUAUGUAAGGGUUAUUGGAAGAUCCCCCUCGCCCUGAAAGCCAUCCCUAAGUCAGCCUUUGUCACCCCAUUCGGCUUAUAACAAUUUAAGGUAAUGCCAUUUGGGAUGAAAAACGCUCCACCUACCUUCCAGCGGAUGGUGGACCAAUUCCUAUAUGGGUUCCAAGACAGCGCCUGCGCCUAUCUCAAUGAUAUCGCCAUUUUUAGCGAUACAUGGCAAGAGCACUUGGCCCAUAUAGGAGCAGUCCUAGAUAAGAUCAGGGAAGUGGGCUUAACUCUUGAGCCCGCCAAGUGCAAUAUCAGUAUGGCUGAGGCACAGUACCUCGGUCACAGAGUGGGAUGCGGGCAAUAGAAGCCUGAGCCCACUAAGAUUGAGGCAGUGGCCAGGUGGCCAACCCCAAGAAUGAAGACACAGGUUCUAGCCUUUCUAGGGGCCGCAGGGUACUACAGGAAGUUUGUGCCCAAUUAUAGUGCCCUGGCCAAACCCCUUACCCGUAUGAACCUUCCCCGCCAAGUAGUCUGGGCCCCGGAGUGUGAACAGGCAUUCCAACAAAUGAAACUAGCACUUGUUAAUGCUCCUACAUUGGCAGCUCCCAAUUCAACUAAAUGCUUUCUCGUUCAUCCAGAUGCUUCGAUGUUUGGAUUGGGGGCAGUGCUGAGCCAAGUUGAGCCAAGUCGGACCUGAUGGUGGAGAACAUCCCGUGGCUUACAUCAGUCACAAGUUGUUACCCCAAGAAGUAAGCCACGACGCCAUCGAGAAGGAGUGCAUGGCUGUGGUGUGGGCCCUGAAAAAGUUGCAACCUUAUUUGUGGAUAGCCCUUCUCUUUGCUUACGGAUCACAACCCAUUAGUCUGGCUGAACCGGGUGGCAGGAGACAACGCCUGACUGUUGCGCUGGAGUUUGGCACUACAGCCUUUUGAUUUUACUAUCCAUUACUGCCCAGGAAAACAAGAUGGAAAUGCUGAUGGGUUGUCCAGACAGACAAAACUUGAAAAAUGAUCCGUGAGCAUCCCCGGACAUCCCCAAGCAGAUCCGUGUAGGAUCGGAUGGCGUAUGCCGUGUUGUGGUCAAAGGGGGGCAGUGUAGCAGAAUGGACCCUGCUACCAUUUUUUAUACCGGCUUUGGGCUGUCCGCACCCCCUUUCCCCCUACUCAUUGUCCCCUAUGUGUGAAAGUUACAAUAACUGUGCGCUCAUAUGCUCAAUAUGCACCCUACUCUUUAGGCAGCAAACAAGUGCAAUCUCCAUUUGUUAUCCUUUUGAUGAUCAGAUAAUGUUAUUCAAUUUUGUUCUUUACUUUGAUGUACAAUUAAUUAUUCAAUGUUAUGUUUGGUUUAUCUAAGAUCACUACAUCCUCAUACCCAUAAUAUGUUUACAAGAUCUAGGGGUUGGUUUAACCUCAUGCAAUCUUUGGAUUAACAUGAUUGAGGGAUUGCCAAGAUCACAUUUGUAAUGUGAAUACUCAUAUCCCACACUGUACUGUCGACACUUAUGAACAGUGUGUGCAUGUUUCAAUUUCAGAUUCUGAAAAUUAAUGUUCCUACUAUGUCAAUAAUCACUCUAUUUGACUAUGUAAUUGUCUUCAAUGUAUGGACUUUAACGGGAAAAAAAUGAUAAACUAAGCCUGAAUAGAACACUACUUGUGAGUGGGAAAAUAUUGGCGAUUUCAUAAACUAUAACAAAAAGCUGAUGUUAGAAUCGUGUGUCACUACUGGCUGGUCUUCUAUUCCAGAAUUAGCUACCAACAUCUUUGCUUUGCUGUUGAUAUUUGCUAGGGUCAAACUAGACAAGUAUGAAACAAUCACAAGUGACAUAAUAAAUGAAAAGUAUACUUGUAAACUAUAAUGAUGCUACUAAGCUUCUAAAGGCAAAUUCAGCCAUUACGAGUUAUUGAAUGGUCUACAACUAGUAAGGAUAAGCCCUGCUUAGCUACUAAUAGUUGCCAACUCAAAAUAGAACAGUCACAAGUGACAUUCAAUAUGAAAAGUAUACCUCUUGUACUUCAAACCAAAGGGAUAAUGCUGCUAUUAUUUAUCAACACUGACUGGUCUCCCAUAUCAGAACUAGCCAGCACCAGCUCUUUAGCGCUUGAUAUUUAACAAGGUAAAGACAACUUUCACUAGAACUGUCACAAGAUAAAACAAAGAUGAAAAGAAAAGUACUUGUCAGCAUUGAAUUAUUAUUAUUUAUAAAGCACCAACAAGUUCUGUAGCACUGUGCAAUGGGUGGGCUAACACACAUAUUUGUAACAAGACAAGUUUGACGCACAGGAACAGAGGGAUUGAGGGCCCUUAAUGAGCUUACAUGCUAGAGAGAGUGGGGUAUAGUGACACAAAAGGUAAGGGUAGUGUAGAAAAGUAGGUUGCUAGGAUAGUAUUCAUUGAGGGCUUAGUGUUUUGUUUUAAUGACCUUAUUAGGACAGGAAUUGCCUCCCAUACCAGAACUAGUCCUGAUUAGAAUUGCUUAGCUUUUCAAAUUUAAGCAAGGUCAAACAAGCUCAGACUCAAACAGUCACAAGUUACAUGAAAAAUUGAAAGCAUACUUGUACUUUAAACAAAUGGUGUUUUCAUGAACCAUUAUGGUGCUUGUAGCAGACACUCGAUUAAGGGCAUGAGUUUUGCUGCCAAAGAUGCUCUUUCCCCUUCUGGAUCUCCAUCAGCUCCAUCUUUAGUGAUUAUAGCUGUGUAGUGUGAUAUGUAUUCCCCCUUAGACUUAAGCUGAGACUUAAUGCUUGGCGUAAACUAGUUUAUUCAGGCAAGGUAUCCAACAAAAGGGGAAUUUGGAAGAAGAAAAAUAGUAUAUGCACUGGGUGGAAAAGAGGGCAUGGACCCCCACCAAAUGGAAUGAACAGAAUAAUCAAGAGAAAUCCAAUCCCAAUAAAGUAGGGAAACUACUAGCUAAAAAACUCAAAUCUAAUAUCUCCAGACCAAAAUACCCUAUAUUCAAUCCAUAACCGGGGAUAAACUGUUCAACCCCCAUCAAAUAGUUGGCACAAUUUUAUAAACACCUAUAUAAUUUAAAGGAUGAUCACGAAACUCACACACCAAACAAACUAGAAAUAGAUAAUUUCCUGAAUGACGUGCAUCUUCCAUCACUCACUGCCCAACAAUCCUUAGACGCCCCAUUUGAGGAAGACAAAAUUAGAUCUGCAAUCCGCACACUUCCAAAGCAUAAGGCACCGGGCCAGAUGGCCUGUCUAACUAUUAUUAUAUUAAGUUCACUAACAUACUAACGCCACAUCUUACAAGACUUUUAAAUGACAUUAGGUUGUGCCGCACUAUACCUCCAGAGAUGUUAGAGGCACAUGUAGUAGCUUUACCAAGCCCCCUACCGUAUGCGCCAAUCUACGCCCUAUGUCGCUGCUCAAUGCAGACCUUAAGCUAUACGCCAAACUCCUUGCAUCCCGAAUAAAACCAUUACUCCCGCAGCUAGUCUCGGCUGAACAAGCAGGGUUUGUCCCGAACCGGCAGGUGGGGGUGACAAUACCCAAUUGGCAUUGGACUUGAUAGAAUGGGCGAACAACAGCUCUCAGUUAGGCAUUCUUUUGUCUUUGGACGCGGAGAAGGUCUUUGACAGUUUAAACUGGUCCUAUAUGGAUGCCACGUUCUCCAGGUUGGGCGUCUCCAAGGCCUUUGUCCAGAGCAUUAAGGUACUCUAUUCCAACCCCACGGCAAAAGUCUUUAAUACUGGCUUCCUGUCAUCUGCAUUCCAUAUUUCCAAUGGUACACUGCAAGGUUGCCCUCUCUCACCUCUUAUAUAUAUUUAUUCUUUGCUUAGAACCUCUAAUCCGUAGCAUUAAAUCCACUACGGCAAUUAAAGGCCUGUUGACCCCAGCUAGGGAAAAAAAACUAGCGGUAUUUGCAGAUGACAUUUUGAUAUUUUUCUGCGAACCGCUUAACUCCUUACCACCACUAAUGCGCCAGCUUUCCCUAUAUGGUCAAAUUUCAUAUUAUAAAAAUAAUACAUCCCAAACACAGGCAUUACCCAUCAAUUUACCCAAACAAAUCUUACAAGCCAAGUAUGAUUUUGAUUGUCGAGUUAAAUCUUUAACAUAUUUGGGUAUAAAACUUAUGAAUAAGCUCCAACAUACAUUCAGGGAAAACCACAUUCCCCUUCUAGCUAAACUGGAGAAUCAAAUAGAGAAAUGGGGAGCUCUGGAGGUGUUGUUGCUGGGCAGAAUAAAUGCCAUCAAGAUGAUGGUCAUCCCUCACAUCCUAUACCUUUUCAGGACAAUCCCAUUACCCCUACCUAGGAAUAUUACAAGACUUAUGCAAAAGCUUAUAAACUCUCAUGUGUGGAAAAAGAAACCCCCAAGGGUGGUGCAACAUAUGUCAUGGCUUCCUGGGAAGGCCUGGGAAUCCCCUGUGUUCACAACUAUUACAGAGCUUCGAUACUGUCACACACAGGUCAGCCAAAGGAGGCCACGUAAAUGGCUCCACCAUCCUUCUGAGCUGAACCUCUUUAGACAACUUUUCUUGAGCCACCUCUGUGCUGGCCCCUUUCUGCGGUUGACCCCAGUGGAAGUGGAUGGGGCAGGCGGACCGCCGACUCCACCGGUUGAACCCUUGUGUUUGGCGGGUCCACGAUGAGACAGUCAAACCCACGCCGGCCCCUACCUAAAAGGGUGCAGCCUUCUGUGCCAUGAUAAACUUCAUCCAGAGUGGCAGGUCCAUCUGGUCCCACCGCAUACCUGGAUUAGCUGACAAACGUUGGCAGAACUGCUCAUCGUCUUUUGCUAAGCCCCUGUAUGUAGGAUAAACCUCCCAGAUCCCAUAAAAAUAGCAGAUUAACUGCCAGGGAAUUUCUCCCCUUAGACACUUGCCAAGAUAAAGAAGGCCCUGAGUCAAUUACCAAAAGAUUUAGGCAUUUUACUGUACCAACACUGCUUCUCCUCCUCCUCCUUCUUGGAAUGUUUUUUAUCCUCCUCAGUAAAAUCAAAAUAUUCUUCCAAGAGUAGGAGCAAAAAGAUUUAAAAAAAACUCCCCCCUCUAUAUCUUCUCUUUCACAUCCAGUUUCAAAUGACAGCCCAACGGACCCGCAAACAAUACAAGCACGUUCUGCCGCGCUACAUCGCUGAUAUCACCGGUUAACGCUGCCUGUUCACCAUCCCCCACCGAAGAUCCCGACACCACAGAUGUCACCGGCUCCUCUCCCUUGCCACUACCUUCCACCGUCAUCACCAUUGCAUUACCCACACCACACCCGCCUGCUGGGGGAUCCCAAACCCUACCAAAGUGCGCCUCCCAUGCCUCCCCCACAGAUCACGUGUUUAAGAACGACUUUAAACUAUCUAAUAGAUUCCCCAAAUGUGAUGCAGAAAAAGGCUCACCGCGGGGCUGCUGUCCUUCCAUCCACCUCAUGAGGUUCAGUAGUGGCAUCCAAAAUUCUGCCUCCAGCAGCCUGGUCCCACCUUGGAACCGUAGGAGAAUGACUGGCUGACCUGCGGGUAGAAGACAACCUGAGUAAUCUGCUCAUAAGAACCCAUACCCACCCUUCCUCCUCAUGUUCCCUGCUCUGCUCCCCCUCCACAGCCAUGCAGCCUGACCAGAAUGGCCGAAAUGGGUGAGCCCACCCACCCGAGAGCUUCUGCUAGAGGACAUAGAAGCACUACACCUGCUCCUUAUCCUCCUGUCAUAAAAAGUCAAGCACCCCCUGCUCUAACACCUAGCAGAAGGGCUCCUAUUCCUACUGCGCUGACUGUCCGAGGACCGCCUAUCCGCGCUGUGCCUGGUCCCUCCCAUAUAAUGAUCCCUAACUGCAUCCUGGCCUAGGACACCCAGCAACUCGUCGUCCAACCCCUAAGAACAGCCUGGAACAGCAAGAAACCCGGGCCCUCCCUUCAUCCCCACCUGGCAGCCUGUCUCCACGGAGCUGUCCUGAUCCUCGGUCCCCUAGGCCAUUCCUACCAAAGCUGGACUCCUGCUCCUCUGUAGAUGGCCAUAGAGGGGGCCCUGGCCCUAGCAGGGGCCAUCCCAGUCUCCCUCCAGAUACUAGGUUCCACAUGGGCAACCCAGGCCCCAGCAGGGCUUGGGGACGACCCAACCUCUCUCCUAUUGCUUGUUUCUGCAUGCGCCAUCCUAGCCCCAGCAGAGGCUGGGGCCACUCCAGACUCCCAACUGUUGCCUGCCUCAACAGACAACAGGAAAGUCAUGCUCCAGCUCUCCCCUGCUGCUUGGACCCCCCAGAGCCCGCUGGCCACCUCUCCCUGGGGAACUCCCUGGAGAACUCCAGUCCGGCCCCCCUAUCCCAAGGUAAAUGUGGCCUUUGGGACCUGACUCACCAGGAGCUGCAGGGGCGAUAUCAGCGACGUCUCCAGUCCUGGCUGCGCUCCCCCUGGUGCAGGAGGCUGGCACCAUCACGGUCUGUCCUCUGCAUAGGCUGGUAUGCAGGAACCACCAAAGGCCCGCCUGACUGCUCUGGGGAUUUUCUAUGGUGUAGACCAGUGCUUCCUAAACAUUUUAGGUCCAAGGUGCCCUUAAUUUUUUAAUAUUUUUCAAGGCACCCAAAGUCAAAAUUUGUAAAUAUGUACAGUUGUGCAUUUACUGGUGCUGUUGUGUGGUUACUGUGCAUUUACUGGUGCUAUUGUGUAAUGUAUAGUGUUAAUAUUUGAAGGGGUGCUUGUAUAUAGCAACAAAAGAAAAAUAAUAGGUGCUCACCAUAAACUAAUACAAAGUAAAAGCGGGCUGCAGUAACUAAUGCAAAGAUUCCCGGCCUUGUGAAUAAUAGAACAUAAAAGAGAAGGAAAGAAACCACGCCCAAAGAGUAUGAGUAAAAUUGUAUACGUAUGCAGAUAUAUUUGAGUUAUAUAGACUUAGAACCUCGAAAAAACAGAAAUAAUAAUAAUGGUGCAAUACAGUAUGUACAAUCAAUAAGUGAUGUGUGAUCUAUGGUGAUUACACUCACAUUUGCUUGAACUAUUUCAGACCUGGACAGAACAAUCCCCGUCUAAGGAUAUAUGCUGGUAUAAUGGCUCAAAUGGAGUGCAGUGUGCAGUACAUGUAUAGAGUUUCAUCUCCCCUUCUGCACAAAAUUCAAAAGGCUCAAGAUAGGGCGCCGGUGGACAAACCUGCUGAAAAAAUAUUUUGUUCCUCGUAAGUUAAGAGGAGAAGUAUUUUGCCACUACCAUGACAGCAAAAUGGCUGGACACAUGGGGGUGUCCAAGACUAUUGAUUUAAUCGCCCGGCAGUAUUGGUGACUGUCCCUCAGGAAGGAUGUACAAGCCUAUGUAUCGUCCUGUGAUGUAUGUUCUCAGUCCAAACCUUCUCAUCAAGUACCAUGUGGUCUUCUGCAUCCUCUUCCUCUACCGUCUGUUCCAUGGUCACAAUUAUCUAUGGAUUUUAUUGUAGAACUACCACCAUCGAAAGGUUUUACUGUUAUUUUGGUUGUAGUAGAUCAUUUUUCUAAGAUGGCGCAUUUCAUUCCAUUAAAGAUGUUACCGUCCUCUGCUGAGUUAGCUAACACAUUCUCUAAGGAAAUAAUAUGUCUACACGGUAUGCCUGACAUAAUCGUGUCUGACAGAGGCUCACAACUUAUCUCGAAGUUUUGGAGGGGCUUUUGCAAAGACAUGAGAAUUGAGCUCGCUUUCUCCUCUGCUUAUCACCCACAGACCAAUGGUGCUGCUGAACGGACUAAUCAAAGCCUUGAGCAAUACCUCCGCUGCUUUACGUCUCAACUCCAAGACAACUGGGCUGACCUUCUUCCCUGGGCUGAAUUUGCCAGAAAUAAUGCCAACCAUUCUGCCUCUGGCCACAGUCCCUUCUUCGUCACGUAUGGUCGUCAUCCGAAUUUGCUCCCAGCUUCGUUCUCAUACAAAGGGAUGCCGGUUCUGGACAAGCACUUGUCUACCAUACAGGAAACUUGGAGAAGGGUUCAUGCUAUCUUGGAAAAGACUAUUCUUACUCAGAAAUCCUUUGCUGAUAGGGUCUGGUUGUCUACAUGUAAUAUCCGUUUGCGUGUCCCCUCCAUGAAAUUGGCCCCUAAAUAUAUUGGCCCCUACAAGGUUCUACAUAGGAUCAAUCCUGUGUCCUAUGCUUUGGAUUUACCCAGGAACCUUCGUAUACCCAACGUCUUCCACACCUCUCUCCUGAAACCGUUGAUUUGCAACAGUCAUUCUACACCCUGUUCUCGUCCUCCUCCUGUUUUAGUCCAUGGUCAGGAGGAGUACGAGAUAUGACACAUCAUCGAUUCUUGUGUCUCACGUGGAUCGCUUCAAUACUUGGUCCAUUGGAGGGGUUAUGGACCUGAAGAACACUCUUGGGUUCCUGCUUCUGAGGUUCAUGCGCCCCGACUUGUUCGCGCGUUCCAUGCUAGGUUUCCUUCUCAUCCUUCUGGUGUUUCUCCAGUGGGCAUACCUUCUGGGGGGUUCUGUCAUACCUCUCUGCGGCCUGUGCCGCUCCUUUUCUGCCAUCCUUCCUGCUCUGCUGGGCUGUGCGGACCUCUGGCCGGCAUCGCACGCUCAGGUGCUCGCGUGCGUUUGGGAGCCGUGUGCGCGCACCCGCUGUUUCCAGCAGGGGUGUGCGCAGCGUGUCACGAAAUGCUUAAAGGGACAGCACCCAGGUAUUACACUCUAUUUAUAUUCUACCCUAUUCUAUCCCUAACCUAUUAUAGCAUACCUAGCCCUAUUUUUACCUCCUACUUACAUCACUUCCUUGCCCUGUCGUGGUUUCUUGUAGCCCGAGAGUGCGUUCUGUUAACUUGUGUCUCUUUGGUAUCUGACUUCGUCUUGACUUCUGGUUAUCUCUGGCUUCCUUGACCAUUGGCUUUGUUUUUCCGCUUACGCUUCCUGCUCUAACCCUGACCUUGGCUCGUCUGACGUUCCUAUUUUUUAUUUCUUCUCCACUCUAAGUCCGGCCACUUUAAGGACCGGUAAUACGUUUACCUGGGGUUGCCUCUCUUGUCCUUUAGUUUGCGUGUUGGGGUGCUCAACCGUGACACAAAUACACACAAAUUUAUAUAGACACCGACACAUACACACAGAUGCACACAGACACAUACAAACAAUGACACAUAUACAAACCUUAACAUAUACAUACACCAACAUAUACACACACACUCUGACACAGACAAAUAUUGCACAUACCAUGACCCAGAUACACGCUGAGAUAAAAACACACACCCUGACACACAGAUGCACAUACAAAGAUGCACAUCCUGACACACAGAUGUGUGCACACACAGACACACACACUGACACACAGAUGUGAGCACACACACAUACACAGACACUGACACACAGAUGUGUGCACACACAUACACAGACACAGAAACACGCUCACACAGAAGCACACUGACAUAUACACACACAGAUGCACACCCUGACACACACACACACACACACACACAGAAGCACACUGACAUAUACACACACACUCACAGAUGAACACACUCCAGCCACCCUCCUGUUGGCUUCCUUUUGUGUUGAGGAGAGUGGCUUGGAGUCCUGCUGGCUGCUGGGAGCGAGGGGUCUGAAACAGCUCCCCUCAUGCUGUGGCUGCCUCAUUUUUCCUACUGCACAAUCUCUCUGCACAAAGCUGGGAGGAAGUGACAGGCUGGUUGCAGUCUUAAGGCAGUUAAGUUUCCACGGUGCUAUAAUCAUACAUUCCGCAGCACCCGUGUGCACUUCGCAACGCCCUGGGGCACCACGGCACACAAUUUGGAAACUGGUGUAGACAAACCUCACUGACUGAAGCGCAUCUGCACAAGGUCUUUCUAUAUUUUUACUUGUAUUUACAGUGUUACCACUGAUAACAAACUCACUAAAGUGAAUCAUGGGAGUUGUAGUUAAGCAAGUGAUAAAAUGCACCUACCUGAUAUAGAUGCUGUGCUGUGAAUGUGUCUAUCGCACACCAUGGAUACAUGGUACUGUUGGUGGGAACUUGGUGUUAUGAAGGUCUACUCAAUAAAGAGAGAAUUGCAGGGAACUGAGAUGGGAAUUUCAAGAUUUAAGCCAAAGUAGUGCAGCUGAAUGGGAGAAUAUUUCCAACUCGGCUACUUUGGCCAUAAGUUUGAAACUCCCAUCUCAAUUCCCUGUAAUUCUCUCUUUAUUGAGUAGACCCUGUAAUCUGUACUAUGAUAAGUAGGCGGAUAUUAAUUAUGUGGGUUGGAUGUAGGGGGCAGAGCUUUGGGGCAGUGGCUGUGGUAAAUUUUCAAGGAAAUAAUUGAUAGUUGUGCUGCAAAGUAUCCCCGGAAUAUUUUUCAAAUGUUGGCAACUAUGAUUUAUGCAUUGCCAGCUGGGUAUCUACCAUUUGCCCAUCCUUGCAGGGUUGUAUUUAGUUACAUGAUGUAACUAAAUACAACCCUGCAUUAGUUCCUCCCAGCACUGACAUGAUUAAAGGGGCCCUGAACAGGCCUAAGACACAUGCCCAUCGUUUGACCCUAAGUCACCAUAUGGGCCUCCACAAUGACCGCAUUUGCAUUUCCACCUCCGGUACUUUGUAUGGCGCUACUAUUAAACAGGUUUUGGAAUUUCUUUUUUUUACACUGGCUCUGUACAUAUUUGUGUAGUGGUAUCAUAUCCCUUCUGAGACUCCUGUUAUUAUAUGUAAUAUAAUAUAAAUGAAUGCAGUUCAUUGUUAGCCGCCUCUCUUACUAAUUCAAAGAUUCCAUUUAUCUUAAUUAGUGCAUUUUAUCCAGUUCUAUAAUAUCAUUAAAGAAGCAAAGUUAUUUUUUUUAUCACAUACGUUAAUACAUUUAUGCGUGACAGCAACUUACUGGCCUUUGAAAUAGCUGAGUGACAAUGCACAUUGGCAACAUUGUAACCACAGCUGGUACCCCUAUUUACCAAUAUAAAGUCAUAUAGGGGCUGAAGGAAUGAGACGAAAUGAGGUGCCGGGGAAUUGAGACACAGGGGGGCUGAGGGAAUGAUUUGCAUGGGGGGCUGGAGGAAGGAGACACGUGGGGGAGAUGAGAUGCACGGAGGGGUAGAGACACGCACACAGCAACAUAGAGGGACUAGGGGAGGGCACUGUGAGCUUAAGAUACAGGCCAAGUGCUACAGUGCCUCCCAUACAUUAACAUAAUUUUUUGGCAAGUGCCCACUCUAUAUAUUCCUUGGCUGUCAUACUAGCCACCUCACUAUCUUAUUUCUCACUGUUCUUCAAUCCCCCAUCAUAUUCUAGGGCAUUUAGCAGGCAAAUAGUUCUGAUUUUUAUUAUUUGCAUGCAAAAAACAAGUGAAUGAUCAUUUGCAAAUGUGAGGUCUCCCAGAUGUAUUCAGUGACAGCACAAGUGGAUUAUACACUUUAUAUUCCAUUUGCAUGCUAAAAGCACUACUUUUCAUCAUACACUGAAAACCUCCCAAUUUAGGUAGGACAGGCUUGAUUUGAUGGUUUAGUCCCAUCAUCACAUUUUUGCUCCCAUGGUUUCCCACAUCUGAACUGUCUCCAACCAGCACAGCAGGAGUGUUUCAGCAGUGCUCUCUGUAUAAUCUGUCUUAAAGGACCACUAUAGUGCCAGGAAAACAUACUCAUUUCCCUGGCACUACAGUGCCCUGAGGGUGCCCCCACCCUCAGGGACCCCCUCCCACCAGGCUCUGGGGAGAGGAAAGGUGUUAAAACUUACCUUUUUCCAGCGCUGGGCGGGGAGCUCUCCUCCUCCGAUCUCCUCCUCCGCGCAUUCAGCCGGUCUCAUAGGAAAGCAUUUACAAUUUACAAUGCUUUCCUAUGGACGCUUGCGUGCUCUCACUGUGAUUUUCACAGUGAGAAGCACGCAAGCGCCUCUAGCGGCUGUCAAUGAGACAGCCGCUAGAGGCUUUGGAGGAAUGAUUAACCCAUUUAUAAACAUAGCAGUUUCUCUGAAACUGCUAUGUUUAUAAAAAAAAAAAUGGGUUAACCCUAGCUGGACCAGGCACCCAGACCACUUCAUUAAGCUGAAGUGGUCUGGCUGCCUAGAGUGGUCCUUUAAGUUGGGGCUGGGUUGGAGACAACCUGAUGUGCAUUCAUGCCAGGCUGACAUGCCCAUUUGUGGAUGGGCUCGCCCCCUUUCUAGGCAAGCAUGUACAUUUUGGGUUUCAUUAGUGACCAAAGCUGUGUGCUCCCACCAUGUCCUGAUUGCAUACCUCUCAAAGUGCUCAUUUAGUUGGAAUGACUGAAUUGCAAUCAGAUUUGGCUUAACUAAAUAUGAGAAUUGCCAAUUCCAUUGGAAUCCACUUAUUUUGAUAAAAAAUGUGUCCAUCUGGACAAAAUGAAGCAUUCAGUGAAUAAACCCCAAAGUAUUCUGGGCUGCAUGAUUCAAAGCCCUAGUGGGCUGUCUUAUAACAACCAAGAUAUUUAAAAAAUGCUGCUGCUAUAGUCCACUCUCAAAAAUGAGAGCGAGGUCAGGGAACUCUAAACACUGCAUUUUGCAGUAAUGCACAAUGGUUGUGGAGCUUAGACUGACGCUUUAAUGUACCCCAGGCUCUGUUAACUUACCCCAGAGGUCCUCAAACUCCGGCCCCCCAGAUGUUGUUUAACGACAACUCCCAUGAUUCUCUGGCUAUCUAUGUAAUUCAAAGAAUCAUGGGAGUUGUCGUUAAGCAACAUCUGGGGGCCGGAGUUUGAGGACCACCGAGUCUUAUCCCUAUGCUUUUAAGUCUGGCAACCUCCAUUGCUGCUUCAACUGCCCUCAGUCAGCUUUGGUUAGCUAUUGGCUGUUUUGUGAUGAUGUCAGUUAAGGUUCUCUUCCUGGUAAAAAAUAGGAAAGAUGGUGGAGGUUGGGAGAGAGAACAUGGAGCUGUAUGAGCUGCUGGAAUGUAACAGUAGAUUUUAUUAGGUUUUGGUUAUAAUGAUCAGAUAUAUUUCUCAAAGAAGUGAUAUGCCAGGAUGGGAGCUAAUGGGAGUUGGUCUCUCUGUGCUGUUAUUUGGGUAAACUGGGGUCACUAGCUGGGGGUCCUUGUUGUCACCUAAGUAACUGCUGGGUGGUGUUCGUGCAUGUUUUACACAGGUGGGAGAAUUUGUCUUCACUAACAUGUAAAGUGAAUUUCAAAUUUUAGGUCAAAAUAGCUGAAUUGAAUUAAUUCAGCUAUAGUUUCAGGUUAGAUACCCUAACCUUAAAUUUAAAAUUCACUUUGAACUCUGACUUUAAUAAAUAACCCACUAAGUCUCAGGUUUAAAUAUCAUAUCUUCUUUGGGGCUCCUUAGAUACAAUCAAUAUAUGAAAAUCUAUACUAACUUGUUGAUUUUACAAGAUGCUCAUAUAGGACACUCCUUUCAUUGUUGUGGAAUAGCAAUGUGAUCUAGUAGGAGUAUUAAAUGAAGUGAGAAUUGAAGGAAAGUUUGUAACUUAAGGUCAAAAUAGGCUAGCCGUAAAAAGUUUGUCAGCUACUCUGGCUUUAAAUUUCCUUUGAAUUCUAACUUCAGUAAAUAACCCUAUAGAUGUUUUUUUUAAACUCUAUUUCACUGUGAGCAUGAAUCCCAACCAACUUGGAAGCAUAAGAUAAGGUACUAAGAGCAAAGCAAACAUGCAAAAACACAAUUUUAAACGUACACUCCUUGAAGCUGCUUUAAGUGAUCUAGUUGUAAUGUCCCUGCCCCCCUUUUCAUAAGCUGCAAUGUUUACAUCGCAGUUCAGUGAAUGCCUCUAGUGGCUCUACCUGGGUUCUUGCAGACUCUGAAAUCCCUUAAACAGAACUGCAGCAUCAGUGAAAUCACCAUAGGAAAGCACUUAUUCAAUGCUUUCCUAUGGGGAAGGCCUAAUGUGCACGCAGUGAUUGCCGCGCAUGCUUGUUAGAUCCUACCCAUUAGAUCCUACCUACUGGAUGAUGUUAGAAAAGGCAUAGCGCUGACCCAGCUAAGGGAAAUUGGUGCUGCAAUUGGGUGAGUCGAUAAAAGGUUUAUAAUCCUUUAUGUGCCAUUGGGAGAUGAAAGGGAGGGUAGGACCAGAGGGUAAUAUAGUGUAUAACUUUGUAUUCCUAACACUAUAGAUUCCCUUUAUAUAUUACAAUGCUGCUUAAAAUUACCUAUGUCAGCAAAUACAUAUUAUUUAUUCAUCCCACAUGGCCAUACUGUUAAAGCCACUGUGUCUUACACUAAUUUUAAUAAGGUCAUAUGGUGUGACCAAAUCCCCAUAUUUGCUAAGAUAAAUGAUUUGUAGCAGGCUUGCAAAACUCAAAUAUUUAUUUGAGUGUGUGCUGUUUGCUUAAUAUUUAUUUAGCAUGCUUUUUUUUUUUUUUUUUUACAGCUGCGCCACUACAAAGAAAUGCAUGUUCCAAUUCAUUUUUUUUCUUUGUAUAUUUGGACUGCAGACCUGAUUGUGGAUUGAGCACCCCACCCAUUUACUCUAAGUGCUCCUUUGGAAGUGAUCACAGGAAAGCAUACUUUGGAGGAGAGUCUCUUGAAGCAUUUUAAGUAGUAAGUAUUGCAGUUAGCUUGUUAAUAUCCAAUGUUAAAAUUUAACAUGGGACUCGCCAAUAUUGGGGAACUUUUGUAACUGCAGCUGGUUCCCUUACUUACCAUUAUAGCAUCUUAAAGCAUAAAACUUAGCAGGGCUAACCAUACAGAUAUCUUUGGCCAUAUUAUAUAAUUGGCAAGAGAUCCUCUAUUUAAAAAUAUUUAAAUAAUUGAGAAUACAAUAUAAAAUAAGGAUUGUCUUGGAAGCAAUAAAGUUUUGUCUUUUAAAUAUUUUAUUAAAUAUAAAUAUAAGUAUAGACAUAUAAAAUCCAUUACAAUAAAUUAUAGCAGAGUUUAUAAGAUUAAACUAUAUGCUUGCAAUAUCAUUAAUAGAUUAACCCUCCUGAACAUAUUAUCAUAUCAGCCUCUCUGUCAUUAUAAGAUGGAGCAGCAUCUGUCUCCAAAUAUCUCCUCUCUGUGUUCUCUAAUAUUUAAAAAUACACCUAUUUAGACCUUAGGUGUCUAUCUUAGGGUUACCAUAGUUCAUAUAUGACAAAGUCAAACUUCUUUUACUUUUAUUCAUUUUAGACCCUUCCUUAACUUAGCAAAGAUACAAAGCCAUAACUAAAACAUAAGGGUGUACACGUCAUGGGAAAUUCCCCGACUUAGGACAAGAUGGUGUCUUAAAGUCUGAACAUCUGAUCUAUUUAGGAUUACCGUAGUAUAUUAUGUACUGAAAGAGUCGUAGUAUAGCCUUGAAGCUUGUUUAUGCAUUAUUGUUGUUGUAUUUUUUCUGGGACAAAAUGGCGUAAACAUAUUAUGCACUGAAUGUAGGUAAAGGUUAUUGCUUAAAGAAAAAUGUAUGAAAAAAAUAUAUAUAUUUCUAACACCUUAUCAGUUUACAAUAUCUCUUAAAGACAAAGUACACAGUUUGAGACAUAUAAUGUUUGCAUUUUAACCAUAACACUUUGACACAAUGGUGGCCUUGAAAGAGUAUGGCCAUAUGAUGUAAGCAAAUCCCCCUAUUUUAUUAGUUUUUAUUAGCUAAGAUUUUGAUGGAAGAUGUGAAACUAUCUUUGUUUGUGACAAGACCUGAUAGAAAUAAAAACCUUGGAAGGCAAUCUCCCUAAUCUAGUCAGCAAAAUGAAGGAUGUCGAGAAGCACCCGAGGAGAAGGCUUGCGAUGCUGCUGUGCCUCAGACUGAAUGACUGCCUAAACAAGGAAACAGAAAAAUAAUUCAUCCUGCCAUAGUGGUGGACGUGACAGGAUGGUGAGGUUUCACACCAGAAGUUAAUAGCUGGUCCAAUUUGUAAUGCAUGGAUAGGAGCGGUACUGCCCCAAAGAAAGGAUACGAAACCGAUGCCAAGUCUGUUUUAGUCUGAUAUGAAAUUAAAAUACAUGCCAUCCGGAUAGAAGGAAAAGCCAUCCUCGCUAAACGCCCGAACAUCUGUGACACGUCUGAUGAUAAGGCAUAAAAGUAGCGUCAAUUUUACAGAGAACUGGUGAAGAGAUAAAUACCCAUUGUCUGGCCAAUCCCCCAAAAAGUGAAGAAUUAAGCCCACAUCCCAUAUGUGAGAAUAUUUCUAAAAAUAAUAGGUCUGGAUAAUUUGAUACCACUCAGAAGGUGACAGACCAUAGGGUUUUCACCAUUUGGGAUGUCCUGUAGAGGAAUAUGAGCAGCCGAGAUAGCCGAAUGUGUCACGUUGAUGGAGCUAUACAAUUGACCCCAGGAGAAAAGUUGGGAUAAGAAAUGUAUGAAGAUGGAGACAGGUACAGUAAAAGGAUCGUAGUCCCUCUCCACACACCAAUCACUCCAAGAGUUUCAUGUGGAAAUGUAGCUCUUUCUGGUUCCGGGGGCUCAUGAGCCUCAUGAUAAUUCCUUAGUUGAUUGCAAUAAUCCGUCGACUAACCAGGAUCCUCGGAAAGCAUCCAGGCUACUAGAUCCAAGUGGCCGAAGGACUAGCAGAUGUAGUUCUCCUUGGGUGUUCGUCAGAGGAGAGGGAAGGACAUGGGACAGUUCUAGAAGGUCCAGGAAUUAUACUUGACUCGGCCACAGGGGAGUUAUGAGAAGUAGGGAUAUAUUAUGAGCAUGGAUGUGAUAUACUUUCACCAAAAUAGCCUUCCCUGAGCCUUCCAAGUCUGGAGAAAGGCAUUUAACGUCUCGCACUCCAUGUCCGGAAGCCAACUCAAGUACCUUGUAAGUUGUCGGUUGGUUUAAGAAGCAAAGAGGUCUAAGUAAAAGGGUCCUCUGACUGUUCUUAGCGUGUGAAAGAAUGAAUCAUCCAGUGUGGUGGCCACUCGGGUAGGGACACAAGUCUCUGCCAAGGAUAUCCAUUCCCCUUCCCGUAUCUGUCAGCGCCAUCUUCAGCGAUUAUAGCAGGAGAAAGUUAUAUAGCUCAUUCCCCCAGACAUUAGCUGAGACUUUAUGCUGGGAGUCAUCUAGUUUAUUCAAGGCAAGGCACACUAAAUUUUUACAGGCCCCCAGCAUGGAACCUCCAUACAAAGAAAUAUAAACCCCUCUCAGGAGUCCCUUUGUCUGGGAGAUAAUUGAGUCAAACUCAAAAAUUGAGUAACUCCAUUAUCUCUUUGUAACAGGGAACCACAUAGAAAAUACCUCAUGUAGCGGCACCCCCAGGCAUAAAAGGGUUAAAGCGCCGUUUAGAAGAUCUUCCCCUUCCAGAGAGACAGGCACAGCUACUGCAGAACACCAAACUCUCGAACUGCAUACAAGGGAAUGCUCCAAACUCCAGAACGGCAUACAAGGGAAUGCUCCAAACUCCCGAACGGCAUACAAGGGAAUGCUCCAAACUCCCGAACGGCAUACAAGGGAAUGCUCCAAACUCCCUAACGGCAUACAAGGAAUGCCCAAACUCCUAACGGCAUACAAGGGAAUGCUCCAAACUCCUAACGGGCAUACAAGGGAAUGCUCCAAACCUAACGGCAUACAAGGGAAUGCUCCAAACUCCCGAACGGCAUACAAGGGAAUGCUCCAAACUCCCGAACGGCAUACAAGGAAUGCUCCAAACCCGAACGGCAUACAAGGGAAUGCUCCAAACUCCCGAACGGGCCAUACAAGGGAAUGCUCCAAACCCCGAACGGCAUACAAGGGAAUGCUCCAAACCCCGAACGGCAUACAAGGGAAUGCUCCAAACCCCCCGCAUGGGAAUGCUAACCCCCGAACGCAUACAAGGGAAUGCUCCAAACCUCGAACGGCUACAAGGGAAUGCUCCAAACCCAAGCGAAGAACGGCAUACAAGGGAAUGCUCCAAACCCCGAACGGCAUACAAGGGAAUGCUCCAAACACCCGAACGGCAUACAAGGGAAUGCUCCAAACCCCCGAACGGCAUACAAGGGAAUGCUCCAAACCCCCGAACGGCAUACAAGGGAAUGCUCCAAACCCCCGAACGGCAUACAAGGGAAUGCUCCAAACCCCCGAACGGCAUACAAGGGAAUGCUCCAAACCCCCGAACGGCAUACAAGGGAAUGCUCCAAACCCCCGAACGGCAUACAAGGGAAUGCUCCAAACCCCCGAACGGCAUACAAGGGAAUGCUCCAAACCCCCGAACGGCAUACAAGGGAAUGCUCCAAACCCCCGAACGGCAUACAAGGGAAUGCUCCAAACCCCCGAACGGCAUACAAGGGAAUGCUUCAAACUCCCGAACGGCAUACAAAGGAAUGCUUCAAACUCCCGAACUGCAUACAAAGUAGCACUUCAAACUCCCGAACUGGAACCUCACGAAUAGCUGCUAACAGACGAACAGGAAAAGCACCCAAGCGGCUUACACUCCUGGCAAUCAGUCUCUAACAGCAUACAGUAAAUUCCCCCAAAGACAAGACAGAGCUCUGUGUUGAGGGUCAAGCAGUGGUCUGGUUUAAUGUUGGCUACCUGCCCGGUAUUUAUGCAGGUCUCCCAGCUGGUGGACACUCCCCUAGGGGACCAGAUGGAAGACUGGGACACAAAUGGUAAAAUUACCAAUCACAGGCAUACAGGGUUAAAACACUCCCACAGUACAUUACAAUCCCUCCCCUCUAUCCUGGAGAUAAUUGGAAAGUACUCCAUUAUCUCCAAGGACAGAGGCAAAACUCCAUUAAACACAUGGUUACAAUAAAACACUAAAAUACAAUAAAAUUCAUAAUGUUACAUUUGUCACAUAAAAUAUAUACAUGUAACCCAUCCCCAGAUAGCUGGGAUCUGAGCGCACAAAAGUACCAAAUAGCGCUCAGAUCCUAUGCACACAGUCCAAUCACCGUGGAGUUAAAGUGUUCACAAAGUCUGUUCUCCAUACGAAUAGACUCCACGGGAUGGCUAUCUGGGGUAAUACUGUUCAUACGGUUUAAACUACCGAAUGAACAGGCAUCCGGUUAAAUGACCGAAUGCAGAAGCAAGGAGGCUGACAGCUCAGCGGUGUUCGCGCAAAUAAGUGUCCAUUUCCAGUUCCAUAGUUUGGGGGUGUUGAACACCGCUGGCCGCUCGGGACUUUAAAAUGGCCGCCUUUAUACUCGGGAAGGGAAUAUUCUAAAUGGCUUUAACCCCUAAUAUACUCGAGUUGCUGUUACAAUUGGUGGCAAGCGACGGGAUGAUUCCCACAGCCCAGAAGAACAGCUACAUGGUGACACAAGCCAAUGGAAUCACAGUAUGAAUGACUAAAGCGCUCCACCCUCAAGGACUUAAUGGAGAACCAGUUUGAAUGCUGAAUGUUUACCCCUCCCUGACUUAUUAGAGAGGGACCCCCAGACUGACCUUACUAGCCUUGUACAGCUAGAGAACCGGUUAAGCACCUAGGAGACGGAACAGGCUAAGCAGCUUCUGUGGGAUAAACAGGCGACUUUCUCCCAAGAACCGGGCUAUACGACCCUGUCUGUACAUAAAGUAGAGACCCCUGGACAAGCACCCCUCCCACAGCCUCCCUAUCAUAUCCCUGAAGCAGUCCGGGAAGGAAUGUGGAAGGAGAUAAAGGAGAUGACUCAGUUAGGAGUCAUUGAGCCCUCUGACAGCCCUUGGGCCUCGCCUGUAGUCCUGGUGCUUAAGAAAGACUGAACUACUCAGUUUUGUGUGGACUACAGGCGACUCAAUGAGAAGACCACCACUGACGCCUACCCGAUGCCAGGGUAGACGAACUGCUGGAUCGGAUAGCCAGGUGACGUUAUUUAACUACAAUAGACCUGUGUAAAGGCUAUUGGCAGAUUCCCCUGGCCGAGGAUGCUAACACCAAGUCGGCAUUUGUUACCCCGUUUGGCCUGUACCAGUUUAAGGUCAUACCAUUCGGGAAGAAAAAUGCCCCGGCUACCUUCCAGCAUAUGGUGGAUAGGCUCCUCGAUGGCUUCCAGGAUUUUGCAUGUGCAUACCUGGAUGACAUUGUGAUCCACAGUGGGUCUUGGGAAGAACACCUGGUUCAUGUAGGGGUGGUGCUGGACAAGAUUCGGGCCGCAGGCCUGACCUUGAAGCCAGAGAAGUGCCAUGUAGGUAUGGCUGAAGUGCAGUACUUGAGUCACAGAGUAGGGUGUGGUAACCAAAGACUAGAGCCAGCCAAGGUAGAAGCGGUAGCUAACUGGCCCACAAUUCACACUAAGACCCAGGUACUAGCCUUCCUAGGGACUGCAAGGUCCUACCGAAGUUUUGUCCCUGAUUAUAGUACUAUAGCCAAGCCCCUGACUGACCUGACUAAGAAAUAUUUACCUAGACAGGUCCUGUGGUCUCCAGCUUGUGAAGCCGCAUUUCAAGCCCUCAAGCAGGCACUUGUUAAUGGCCCUGUCUUGGCUGCCCCAGUACCUAUUAAAUGUUUCCUUGUCCACACAGACGCUUCCAUGUUUGGACAGGGGGCUGUGCUGAGCCAAGUCGGGGAGGAUGGAGGAGAGCACCCUGUCUCAUACCUAAGGAGAAAACUACUACCUCGGGAAGUGAGCUAUGCGGCAGUGGAGAAAGAGUGAUUGCCCCUUGUUUGGGCACUUAAAAAGUUAAACCCCUAUCUGUACGACAGGAAUUUUCUUGGUCACUGACCACAACCCAUUGGUCUGUCUUAACCGGGUUGCAGGAGACAAUGACAGGUUGCUGCGGUGGAGCUUAGCCCUGCAACCCUACAACUUCACCAUCGGUUACCGACCAGGUAAACAAAAUGGCAAUGCUGAUGGGUUGUCCUGACAAACAGACAUCACUCUGGCCUCCUAGUUCCGGAUCCCGAGAAGGAUUAAGUCGGGUCUGCCGGAGUGUCCCACAAAGAGGGAGCUAUGUGACAGACCUCUCUGUCUGUGAAUUAACAUUAUUUUGUGCCGGUUCGUCUGUUUAUUCAGCUAUUUCCCUGUCCGUACAGUCCCUACGCUUUAUUCCCUUUUUACCAAAAGAACUGCCAAACGGCUGGUCACCCAGCAUGGAAGUGUGCUACUGGUUAACCUCUUGGCCCCAUUAGAAUGUUGUGGUUAACCGCAGACAUUUCCUAAAUGUCGGCUGGGUGGUCGUCGUUCGUAUGAAUGAACACGUGGCGGCGGCCAUCUUGGACAUACGAAUGCCCAGCGGUGUUCAUCGACGAUUUCACGGAACUGAAAAUGGACACUAUUUUCACAUGAACACCACUGAAGCCACCAACCUCCCUUCAUCUGUUUUUCCGUUCAUACGAACGCUGUACCAUUCGGUACUUUGCCAUACGAACAGAGUCACCCCAGAUAGCUACCCCAUGGAGCCCAUUCGUAUAACAAAAGACUACGUGAAAGACUUUGGCUCAAUGGCGAUUGGACUGUGUGUAUGGGAUCUGAGCGCUAUUCAGUAAUAUUGUGCGCUCAGAUCUAAACUAUCUGGGGAUACGUUGAAUGUGGGGAUUCUGUUCGGGAGUUUAAUAAUUGUGUAUUUUUAUGUAGUUUUAUUAUCCUGUAUAAAAUGGAGAUUAUGCUCUACCCUCGGAGAUAAUUGAGUUACUUCCCAAUUAUCUCCAGGAUAGAGAGGAGGGUCCCAUAGUGUUCAAAGGGGAGUGUUUAUCCCUACACUGUUAUGAUUGGUCAAUGUAACUUUUUGUCACAGUUUUCCACCAGGUCCCCUAUGGGAGUGUCCACCUGGUGGAAAACCUGCAUAAAAGGCAGGCAGGUAAAUUAAACAGAUUCCUGCUUCACCCUCAAUACAGAGCCUCGUCUCGUACUUGUGAGAUUAUUCGUGUACUUUCUUGUUCGGCUGUUUGGAGGGUGGAUGAUUUGUAUACUCUGGAUGCCGUUACAUCCAUAAUAUGGGAAUGCUAGUUACUUUGUACUAGGGUGGGUGUAGAUGUGUAUAUGUUACAAUGUUUAGCCAUUUAAGUGGUUUCUGCUUGAUUCUAUAAUUCAAGAUAUUAAUUGAAAUGUCACUUUAUUUUUAUUUUUUUUGGGGGGGGGAGGGGAGUUUUAUUUCCUUCCCUUUUCAGAAUUGAUACAUUUAACCUCUCUGCAGGGUCGGUGCAAGGACUUCUGUCUACACAGGCAGCCCCAAAAAUUUGUCUUCACCUGUCUGUCUAAUAUUCCCCAUUUUGCACCUCUUACCCAUUCUUUUGUCCCUUUUGUGCAUCUUGACACCUUUUUCUUUCUCAUUUUCCAUUUUUGUAGAUUGUAUCCCGUUUGGCAUUUUUUUUUUUUUUUAUCUUUUUGCGUCUUCAUCCUACUUUUCUUUUCUCCCUUGUGUCACACACGCACUCGUUCUUACACACACACACACACACACACACACACACACACACAAACACUGGUUGUUACACACACACACUGGCUCUUACACACACUAGCUCUAGCACACACACACAUUAGCUCUAACAAACACACACACACACACACUCUUACAAACAUGCACUGCUUAUACACACUCACUGGCUCUAACACACAUACUUCUGUACGCUCUCACCGGUUCUAAAGCACACACACAGUCUCUUACACACACACACUGACUCUCUCACACACACACACACACAUACUUACUGUUUCUAAUAAUUGCUAAACAGACGUCCCGCUGCACUGUAGUAGCUUUCCUCCACUCUCCACAGAAGUUGGCCGCAAGGCCUUUAGCUCAGGAAGAGAUUGGCUGUGUUCACUCCUCACUGCUUCACCCACCUCCCUCAGUGGCUGCAAGUUUCUCCCCCCAUCUCACAGCCAGCUGGGUAAAUUCCUGCAGAAAGUGACUCGGACAUUAUUGCGCCCCUCAGGUCAGUGCGCCCUAAGGCGGUCGUUUGUGCCGCCUUGUGGUAGCGCCGACCCUGCCUCUCUGAUCUAUUUACUAACCAUUAGAUUGUCAAUUCCCAUAUUUUACUAGGGACAAAUUCAGGUAAAAAACAACUGGGAACAAAUGUAUUUGGUAGUAUACACAUUUCCCAGAGAAUAUCAAUGUCUGCAGGAACUGGUGUCUCUGUUGGAAGAUAACGACACCACUCCCACAGCACCCUAUACUGACCUUUGCCUAAAAAGCAGAUUUACACCUAAUCUUAGAGAGUUUAAAAACAUUGACACCUUUAUAGAGUCCACCACAAAUAUGAUUAAAAUGAUAAACACAGACAUGCUGGUAAUUAAACCGAGGGAGAAUUUACCAAGGAAAGAAUGGUUGGCACUAUGUGAACUUAGGGACAAUGAAAAAAUCAUCAUUAAGCCGGCCGACAAAGGCGGCAACAUUGUCCUACUUAAUAAACAACACUAUGUACAGAUGGCUGAGGCCAUCUUACAUGAUGUGAACACAUACAAUCUAUUAACCUCCGAUCCAUCCCAGAAAUAUCAAAGGGACUAUAAGAUCUUGUUGGAUCAAGCCUUUGAUAAGGGAAUAUUAUCAAAGGAGGAAUAUGGAAGUAUCUAUAUUAAAAAACCCUACCAUUUCUACAUUUUACUGCCUCCCCAAAAUACAUAAGAAACAAGCAAACCUGACAGCAAGACCGAUUGUAUCAGGCACAAACAACUUUACUAGCAAAGGGAGCAUUUAUGUAGAUAGAAUUCUACGUCCCUAUGUAGAAAGUUUACCAUCAUACUUGAAGGACACCAAAGACACUCUAAAAUGCGUAACAUCACUUAAGGUACCGGAGGGAGCGGCGCUCUGCAGUUUGGAUGUAGAAGCCCUAUACUCCUCCAUACCGCACUCUAGUGGCCUUGAACAUAUUGAAUAUUUUCUUAAGAAAAGGGGUAUUGAACACAGUACACAUACAACCUUUGUGUUGGACCUGUUGAGGUUUAUCCUGACACACAAUUUUUUUCUCUUCCAGAACAACUACUACCACCAGGUGCAGGGGACAGCGAUGGGGACUUCUUGUGCCCCAUUGUAUGCCAACCUGCACCUGGGUUGGUGGGAAAGAGAAAUUGUCUUUUCGGAUUCCAUUUUCUUAUGGAAAAGAUACAUUGAUGACGUCCUUAUCAUCUGGACGGGUACCCAAGCUCAUUUUAAAUCUUUCGUAGAUACACUCAAUACGAAUGAUCUUAAUCUUAGAUUUACUAUGGAGUUUGGUGAUCAGGAACUCAAUUUUCUUGAUUGUACAAUCAGGCUAACUAAGGAUUGGAAGAUUGAGACCACCCUUUAUCGGAUAUCCACGUCCUCAAACAAUCUGUUGAGAUGGGAGAGCUAUCAUCCCACUCCCCUAAAGAGAGGAAUUCCGGUGGGUCAAUACCUUAGACUAAGAAGGAACUGUUCAUCGAUUGAGGAUUUUAAAAAUAAAGCUACUGAAUUGAGACAGAGAUUUAAACAGAGAGGAUAUCCGAUUAGAUGUCUAAAACAAGCUUAUCAGAGAGCUUUGAAUUGCAAUAGGGAAGAUCUGUUGAAAGAGAAAACUAAACUGGAGCCCAAAAAAUUCAUCAGGUGUAUAGCUAAUUAUGAUGCUGGAUGGGCUGAAAUGAGAAGGGUGAUUGGCCGAUUUUGGCCAUUACUAACACAGGACCCUUACCUAAAAGAUAUUAUUCCAGCGAAAGUAUCCAUCACAGCCAGGAGAGGCAGAAAUAUGAAAGAAAUUUUAGUACCCAGCCAUUUUUCGGCUUCUAAAAAAGCUAACACUACCUGGUUGAAUAUACAUGGUACAUACCAAUGUGGGCGAUGUGUUGCUUGCACGUACAUCGCUAAAGGAUCAAAAAUCCUCACUAAUUCCACCAACUCUGAUACAGUUAAUAUAAGCCAGUUCUUCAAUUGCAAUACCUCGGGAAUGGUUUAUCUGCUGACAUGUAAGUGCGGGCUUAAAUAUGUAGGCAAAACUAUACGCCCAUUUAAGAAACGCAUUAUGGAACAUGUCCACUCUGUAACUUCAGAUAGGGACACACCGGUUGCUAGACAUAUCAGAACACACCAUCCUGAUACCCCUAAAUGUAUCAAGUUUGCGGGAGUCGAAAAGGUACAUCUAGGCAAAAGAAGGGGAGAUUUGGAUCAGAUUCUAAAAAGGAGGGAAUGUUACUGGAUAUAUAGGCUAGACACACUGGCCCCUAAAGGAUUGAAUGAGGGUUUUACCUUCACCCCAUUCAUAGAGACAUAAUGAACUGUAUAUAUGUAUAUAGAUAUGUGUCGUUUUGCUGUAAUUUAUAUUUUGUUUGUUCUUUUCCUUUAUAACUUUUCAUUAUCAUUUGAGAUAUUUGUCUUUCCAAUACUGUCUGAUCUGUUUAGAUAUCUUUCCACCUUGGAUCAAUCCUUUCCCCCUUCAUAUACCUUCUGGCUCCUUUUAAAGCCUGGUAACUUACUUACCAUUACAAGCACAAUACUAUUCAACAAUUUAAUUAGGGAUUGGCACUGUCAUUCCACUCUAGGACUUUGCUUUUCCCCUUAUUGUAAAGAUAUUUCCAUUUUGAAUAAGUCUUCUGUCUUAGAGUUUAAUACUAACAAUCCCUAUGACUGCCUAACUGGACAUAUAUUUAAAUAUGUCAAUAAGAGCAUUUGCACAUUGUCAUAAGUGGGACUUAGUCCCUUCUUCGAUUUUUAAGACACUUUAUUCAUUGGAAUCUUUACAUGAGUAUAUUAAUCCAUUGUAAUAUAUUUGCCUAUGAUCCACCUCUCAUUUAUAUUCAGUAGAUGUAAAUAGUUUGUUGCAUUGGGUUCAGUAAGGAAGGGUGGUAAUUGUAUGUUUUUAUACGUGAUUUAUAUUUAAGCGCUCGGCUUAGCAUCACCAUGUGAGAGACCCUGCUCUCAUACUUACAAGCUUCGCUCAUUGCAAAGCGUGAUACUCGGCUGAAACCAUCCGCCUCCGUUCACUCCCACGGGGCGGUACAAAGCAUGAUUGACAUUUUCAAGCCGACGGGAAUUUUGGCGCGAACGGAUGUAACACGCCCAACGAAUUGAUUGGCCAAAGAAACAGAAGGUGGGAUACUUAAAUGUAGCAUCGAUCAGUACUGGUUUCACCUUUGACAAAGGCGCUUUAGGAGCGCCGAAACGUGCGUUAGGUUCUAUUCUUUUUUGUUUUUAUUUUUUCACCAUAUAGAUGUGACCACAGGGUGGGGGUUAUGGACUACUAUUCUAGAUUAUGGCUCCAUUAGCUGGUAGUUGCUCUGGAUGGUAGCGGCAGAUGGAUAGUGUAGAAUCUCUUUUUUAUUCACAGGAUCAGUGGAGAGUGAUAUAGAUGUCUAUUUAAUACAGACAGCAGUUACAAAGCCGGGUUUCUGGAGGCUAUUACUGCACAUACUGUUGCCACAGGUUUGUCUCCAACAGAGGGGAUACCCUGUAUCGGUUUAUGUAUUUGAAGUUACUAUUAUACCGAUACUGUAACAAUAUCUAGACCUCUUGUUGACAAUCUGAUAGACACAGUUAUAUUCUGCUGUAUUCACUCUAUUUUGACCAAGAAUACACUGGUGUACAGUGUUUUUUCCACUCUCUAUUUUUUGAUUCUACUUUCUAGAGAUUACUUAUCUACCCUGAGGAUAUUUUUCCUCCUGAUAGGCUGCUUUAGAGACUUACUUGAACGAUAGGUCUCCCCCUUUCCAGUCCUACCUACUAUAUUUCUAGAUAGAGUCCAUUCCUCCUUAUGUUUAGGUUUAUUUUUCUAGUUUUUAUGGUGUAUUUAGUUUAAUUUAGACUUUCUCUCUUCCUCGUUUUUUCUGGGAUCAUACUUCUCCAGUAGAUACCCUAAUAAAGUUAUUUUAAGGACUUCAUUACUUUACACAGCAUAUCUCUGCAGUACUUUUUUGCACAGUGCUCCUGUUGCUAUGUUAGCUCAGGACCAUUGAUUCUUUUAGUAGUAUACACAUUUGCAAAUUAUUUGAUUUAAAAAUAACUGAUUCUAAAACUUAGACACAGCUUUGCUAUUUUAGCUUCAGUGAUGUCAGGCAUGUUUCAAUUGGCUAAUAUUCAGAGUUUAGUGAAUACAUGCCUUGCUGUUAUAUUACAAAUUUUAUCAAAAUACAGGAGGCUUCAUAUUUUGCAUAAUCUUCCUUUACUACUCCAUAGCAGCAAAGACAUAUAGAGACAGGCAGAGAGUAUAACUGAGUCACUUCCUCUUUCUUUGCUGCUCCAUCACGUCAGGUCAGAAUAUUGUGUCUACACUUUGUUGACUUGUCUUGUUAUAUUUACUUAAUUUUACUUAUUUACUUGAUUUCUUUCUUUUCUAUACUGUAUAUGUAUUUGUUUUAUUUGAUCGUGGGGACGCUGGUUUUUGUUUAGUAUGGUAUAGACUUUGGGAUGUUUUUGUACCUACUUUAUCACUUUUUUUCUUUCCCAACUCCUCACUAGUGAUGUACCGAACGGUUCGCCAGCGUAGCUUGUUCGCGUUUGCCACGGCGGGCGAACAUAUGCGCGGUUCGACCCGCCCCCUAUUCGUCAUCAUUGAGUAAACUUUGACCCUGUACCUCACAGUCAGCAGACACAUUCCAGCCAAUUAGCAGCACACCCUCCCUAGCAGACCCUCCCACCUCCUGGAAGGCAUCCAUUUUAGAUUAAUUCUCAAGCUGCAUGCUUUGUAAGAGGAGGGAAAGUGUAGCUGCUGUUCAUUAGAUAGGGAAAAGCAUAGCUAGGUUAGGGUAUGCUUUUUUUAAAAAAAUUUUUUUCUAUGUAAUGUAAUUGCACUUAGUUGUCUGCCACUGCUGCCAGCUUCUGUGUCAGGCUCACAGUGCAUACUGUGCCCAUUUCCCCAGUCAGUGCCACCACUUACAUCUGGUGUCACAAUAGCUUGGAUUUAAAAACAAAAAACUUUUUUCACUGUUAUAGAUUGAAUAGCAGUCAGUUGUCUGCCCACUGCUGCCAGCUUCUGUGUCAGGCUCACAGUGGAUGCUGUGCCCAUUUCCCCAGUCAGUGCCACCGCGCCUAUCUGGUGUCACAAUAGCUUAGUUUUAAAAACAAAAAACUUUUUUUACUGUUAUAGAUUGAAUAGCAGUCAGUGUCCUUAAAGCGGGUGUGUUACGCUAACAGUGGAUACNNNNNNNNNNNNNNNNNNNNNNNNNNNNNNNNNNNNNNNNNNNNNNNNNNNNNNNNNNNNNNNNNNNNNNNNNNNNNNNNNNNNNNNNNNNNNNNNNNNNUCAAUCCAUAUCUGCCAAGUGACCCUAUGUAGGGGGAACAGUCUCUAUCCUGCUCUGUGUCAGUGUGUAUCAUGGUCUCUGAGGACAGGUGUCAAUCUAUAUCUGCCAAGUGACCUGAUGUAGGAGGAACAGUCCCUAUUCUGAUCUGUGUCAGUGUGUAUCAGGGAUCCCUAGGACAGGUGUCAAUCCAUAUCUGCCAAGUGACCCUAUGUAAGAAAGGCCUGAUGAGAUGAGCUGCCUUGGGCUAAAAAUGGUCCACACGCUGCUGUAUUUUAGCUCUGAAUGCCGGUUGGCUUGCGUGACUUAUCCGCCACCAACUAGGGUUCAAGCCGCCAGUGUGUACUUUAUAAAUGGCUUUAUAAAGCAGUAUGUACUUUAUAAAUGGCUCCACCUGCCACCCAUACAGCAACACAGUCUCCAGUUAGGAGGACCGACCAAGCAUCAUCUUCCAUCUCCCUGUUACAAAAAUUACUGUCGUGUACACAUCCACUGAUAGGAGACGCGAAAGGUAUUAAACUGAUAAAAAUAGUACUAAACACACCACUCCUAUCUGGUGUCACAUUAGCUUGACCGCGCAGUGCCCCAAAUUUGCAGUAAGAGGACCGACCAAGCCUCUUCUUCCAUCUCCCUGUUACAAAAAUCAAUACCGUGUACACGUCCACUGAUAGGAGACGCUGAAGGUAUUAAACUGAUAAAAAUAGUACUAAACACACCACUCCUAUCUGGUGUCACAUUAGCUUGACCGCGCAGUGCCCCAAAUUUGCAGUAAGAGGACCGACCAAGCCUCUUCUUCAAUCUCCCUGUUACAAAAAUCAAUGCCGUGUACACGUCCACUGAUAGGAGACGCGGAAGGUAUUAAACUGAACAGUCUCUAUUCUGCUUUUGCAUUUCUAUUUCUUCAUAGAAAACGAAAAAAUUCUGAGAAGACGUUGGCAGGGCUAUUCACUUGUGUGAUCUGUCAUGAAUUGUCAUUUGAAUGUUAUUUUGAACUGUGGGCACAAGAACUUGAAUCUGACAAAAUGGCUGCCAUAUACACGUCCACUGAUAGGAGACGCGGAAGGUAUUAAACUGAUCAGAACAAUACUAAACACACCACAAAUAAGGUUUCUCUCCUGUAUGGCUCCUCAAAUGAUGCUUAAGAUUAGAAGCGGCUGAAAAGCAUUUCUCACACUCCGAACAAAAAUAUAUUUUUUAACAUUCUCUCCACUUUGAACGAAAUGACGUUUGGGAAGAGAUUAACAUAAUUAAACACAGGCAGUAAAAAUACAGUUUUUAGCCAUACCCUGUAACUUUAAAACUACACAUCCCAUCUUCAUAAUUACAUAUUUGGAAUCAGCACACUUAAAACAUAAACAUAACCAAAAUCAGCCAAAUCCAUCCAGGGGUUAAAAAGUUAGCUGGAGGUCCCUUUAUGACCGACCGCAAGCACAUUUUCCUGCCCAAAACAGUUCCAUAGAUUUGGGCUGUGAGGUCGGUCUAUUUCAGGUGAAAAAACGACUAAGUCCCAUCGCCGAAUGGGACUUAGUCUCUGCAGCUGUAAAACCAGUAGGGGAGAAGGUAGAGCUCAGCGGUGUUCGCGGAAAUGUGUAGCCGAUUUUAGUUCCAUGAAUUUGGCUACACAUACCACUGACCUCGUCGAAUGAUCAAAGAUGGCCGCCGCCACGUGUUCGGCAAACGAACAAAGACCUCCCAGCAUUGUCAAUUAAGCUGCGGUUAACCGCAGCUUCUGGGAGGUAAAUUGCCUGCACACUUCCACUUCUGGGUGGUCUGCCUGUGUGGUACUUGGUUCAGUAAGCCCCAUUUACUGAACCAAGUGGGAAUUAGCCAGGCAGGCACAAAGGGUUUGCACCAGGUCUGGGGACACAGGGGACACCGUCUUAAAGGGGCAGUGUCCCCAACAAGUCUGGGGACACGGCCUUAAAGGGGCAGUGUCCCAAUCUUCCUGAUGUCCCAAAAAAGGUGUUUAAAGGGCCAGCACCAGUCACAUAAAGAGUCCAUAAGCCCCAAUAUGCCCACCGACAGUCUUAAAGGGCCAUACACACCAAAUAAAAGUGCAUACAUUUUCACAAUCUCCCAGGGGCCAUAGUCAUGCGGGAGGAGGCUGGCAAAUAGGCUUCUCCACAACCCAGGGAAGCAGGGCAAUUUGCCAUUUAAAGGGCCCGUUACAAAUAGCAGUUUGUAACAAGGUGUCAAUCCAUAUCUGCCAAGUGACCCGAUGUAGGGGGAACAGUCCCUAUUCUGCUCUGUGUCAGUGUGUAUCAUGGUCUCUGAGGACAGGUGUCAAUCCAUAUCUGCCAAGUGACCCGAUGUAGGGGGAACAGUCCCUAUUUUCCUCUGUGUCAGUGUGUAUCAUGGAACCUUAGGACAGUUGCUGCUUCUGUGGAGAGGACCUCAGCUAAGGCGUUCCAGCCACUCAAGACACAACCAAAGCUCCUGCUUAACACUCCCAACAGAGAGAUGUCUCAGAGCAGUCCGACUCCUCUUCCAAGGAGCAAGGCUGCCCUGCUAAAUGCCACUCGAAAGGAGAAGGGUCAAAAAUAAAAACCUGCUAAGGGUAGGACUCCCCUAAAAAAGGGGAAACGUACAUGGCCUGUAAACCGACCAACUUAUGAUGCUUCCUUUGACGAGGAGCAAGAGGUCCCACCAUCACUAUCGUUUCUCGAUGAAUGGCAAGCAAAAGAUUUCCAUUCUGAUGACGGGACUGGGGGUCUCAACUCCUUUGUGGGUGAGCCCCAGCAUGUGGGUGAUGUGGAGGAAGAGCUGGUUUCGGAUGGCGAGAUCUUUUUUUACACUACGGGCCAACGCUUUUUGACCCGAGAAACAUUGGACACCACAUUAAAUUAGGCACUUCUGGUGGCAUUUGUUCUCAGUCACUGACACACCUCAUGAAGGAAAUCUUUGACUAUUACCUACCACGCAAUAUCACAUUGAUAACGAAAAAGCUUCCGGGGAACCAAUCUCAUUAUAGGUUGGUUCUCUCAACACUGGAGGUACAACAACGAUUGGCACCUAGAUCCACACAUAUUGGCACACUGAACAGUCUGAGAAGUCCGCUCACGAUCGACCUUUUCACGUCUCACACCAACUGCCAACUACCGUUUCUCUAAAACUGAUUACCAGACCCGGAGGGUGCAGAAAUAGACACAUUCCUGCAGGCAUGGCCCACUGAAGGGGCUUACGCAUUCCCACCCUUUGCAAUGGUCACGAGAUUGGUUCAUCACAUCAGAAUGCUGGCAGAGGCAAUCUUCCUGGUGACUUGGAAUUCACAGUCAGUUGGUGUAUGGGACGGAACCUCAAUUCUUUUACAGCCUCUGUAUCAUCCAUAUUGAACUUUCUUGCGUCCCUGUUCUCAGAAGUUAAGUCCUACCAGUCCAUCAAGACCGUGCAUUCUGUGAUUUCAGCAGCUCAAAUUCCAUUGCAAGGGAAACCAAUAGGUUGGAAUCCCUUGGUUUGUAGACCACUUCGGGACAUAUGGUUACCUAGACCCCUGCACCAAAUAUUUCUCCAUUUGGGAUGUGGCCCAAGUUCUUUGUUUCAUGAAGGAGUGGCCUUCUAACAACAAUUUGUCUUUAGACAACGGGCUUUAGACAACGGGCUCCAUUUAUGCCUGGCAUCUUUCAGUCGGAUUUGGGACAUUCGAGCAUUCCACAUGGACGCCUUCUCAUUUUCUCCGGAAGGUGUCACUCUUCGGGUGUCUCGACGUACAAGACGGACUCAACGUUGUUUUUUUGGUUUUUUUACCCAUUUUUUUCCAUCGGAACCCAACUUUGCGUGGUCCAGACACUGCAUGCCUAUGUAUGGCUAUGGCCACAAUACAAUUACCUCAUCCUGACAAUUAUUAGUGUCCUACAUUAAGCCACAUGGGUCAGUCUCGGUUAUUACCACCUUGGCCCGCUGGGUACGAUGGCUUUUAUCUCUCACUGGGAUUGACCCUUCCUUUGGCGCGCACUCAGUUCGGGGUGCCCCUGCCUCUUCCGCCUUCACAGCAGGGGGCCUGUUUACCAGAUAUAAUGCUCUCGGCAGACUGGUCACGAGAACCCACCUCUCAGACUUUUUACUCUUGCCCGUCCUCCAUUGCCGCUUUCUCUCUAUUGCCUCAGCGUUAAAAAUGCAAAAUAUGAAGCCUCUUAUCAUGUGAUAAAGUUGAAGAUUAUGCUAGUUUUAGUGUUCUGAUAAUCUUAAUUUUAAUAAUGACAGGAGGCGAGUAUUUCCCCCCCCUAUUGAAUUUNNNNNNNNNNNNNNNNNNNNNNNNNNNNNNNNNNNNNNNNNNNNNNNNNNNNNNNNNNNNNNNNNNNNNNNNNNNNNNNNNNNNNNNNNNNNNNNNNNNNCCCUCCCAUUCCGGUGGGUUCACAUCACCAGGUAGGUGAUGUAUUUAAUCAAUAUGGUACUGGUCAUUUUCUUAUGACUACAUAAUUUACUUUAUUUACUCAAGAUAUAAAGUUUGGGUUGUUUUUCAUAUAUAGUUGAUAUAUGUAUAGAUAUUUUAUAUUAGGUAACUAUAUUAUGGUAUGUAUAUUAAAUGUUAUAGAUCACAAUAGAUUGUGAUAGUACCGAAUUAUUGCGCACCUUUUAUGUGAUGGUUACUCAUAUUGUUCAGGUUUACAUUUCAUAUCACUAAAACGCUCUGGCUCUUUCAGCUUAAAAAACACAAAGAGAUCUUCUACAUCAAGCGUACAAUGAUAUUCAUUGUUCCCAGUUUUGAAUGAAUCCAGCCGUUUUUCAUCGUUCCUCGAAUUUGAACUGUCUUCGUUAUUCCGUAUGGUUCUUCAGUUGAUCGUGUGACUUGUGAUGUUGCCAUUAUCAAGAGGAAGUGACUCAGUGGAAGGAGUAUCUUAUACUCUCUGCCUGUCUGAGUGGUUCCUUUUUUUUCUCUAUAUGUAUUUGCUGCUAUGGAGUAGUAAAGGAAGAUUAUACAAAAUACUUGCCUCCUGUCAUUAUUAAAAUUAAGAUUGUUAGUACACUAAAGCUAGCAUAAUUUUCAAUUGUCUUGCCAUCAUUAGCAGCAUAUAAAAAUAGAUUGCAUUCACCGCCAACACAUAAGGCAUUUAUGUAUUUUAUUAUUCAUAUUAUAUAUCUGUCUUAUUUAACUCUGCUACCUUUUGAGUACUUUUCUAUAGUGAUGUGUAACUCUCAGCAAGCACCUCCUCUCAUUCUACCACUUGGAACCCAGGCCAUAAGCUGGGAAUAAGACAUGUUUCCACUUGUGUUCCAAUUAAUAAACACCAGCUUUCAAUUGUUGGCUCUUACAGACCAUCAUAAAUGAGACAGUAGAAGUUGUAAUUCAGGGGUCGGCAACCAUCUGCACUUCUAGAUGUUGUAGAGUAAAUCUCCCCUGAUGCAUUGCCAGCAUCAUGGCUGUAAGAGCAUCAUGAGAUACAGUCCAUCACAUCUGCAGUAGUGAUGCUGUAGUUUGAGUUAUAUGUUAUAUCAGGAGGACCUUUUCUUCCAUAGGCCACAAUUUAGCAUCCAUAUUGGAAUACAGGGUGUGUUUCAGGAUACUUGAACUUAUAUCCUUAGAAGGGGCUCUGUUAAUAAUCCCUUAAAGGGACACUCCAGGCACCCAGACCACUUCUGCCCAUUGGAGUGGUCUGGGUGCCAACUCCCACUACCCUUAACCCUGCAAGUGUAAUUAUUGCAGUUUUUUAUAAACUGCAAUAAUUACCUUGCAGGGUUAACUCCACCUCUAGUUUCUGUCUACUAGACAGCCACUAGAGGCCACUUCCGUAUCUCUUGAACAGAACUUAUGUGCUAGAGCAUCGCUGGACGUUCUCACGCUGUGUAAAGACCUCCAGCAUCGCUCAAUUCCCCAUAGGAAAGCAUUGAAAAGCAUUGCCGCGCAUGCGCAUUAGGUCUCCCCGGCUGGCGGGCAGGAUCAGUCUCGCCCACUGGCAGACGUAAGGCAGAUGGGCAGCAGCCACUCAGCAGCCACUCUUGCUGAAGCAGAUGGGCCGCAGCCACUCAUACUGUCCCAGCCCCUGUGGUUGCUCUAACAGCCAGUCAGAUGGGCUGCAGGGAUUGCUGACCUGCCUCCAUUCGCUUCCUAAGUGGAUCCUAACUCCUCCUUUACCCUGUUCAAAUAAAAUGUAACUCUUUAUCUGCCUUUGAUCACUGACUAAAGGGUUAACUUUUUAAAUGUAUUAUUGUAAUUUUUAAUUAUUUAUUUAGCUGGGGUGGGAGGAAGCUAGUGGGAAAUUGGGGCAUUUAGUAUUAGGCUAGUUAGUGUUACAUCCUGUUCCUGGCUGUGGAUCAUUUCUGGCCAUGGCCUCUGGUAUCCAGUGCUCUUUUUACAAUUCUUGUUUAGUUUUUCUUGGUUUUUCUGGUUUUCUAUUCUUUGUCUGGUUUUCUCUAUCCUGGGUUUUCUGGGUUCACUCCUUUAUUCCAUUCCUGGAAUAACCAGUCUCCUGGAUUCCUUUAAAUGUUUGUUUUUUGUUGCCACACCCGUUCCUUUGCCAUUAAUUUUUUUUUGUUUCAGUCUGUUCCUGCAAGCAGUGGACUCAUUUCCGCUGCUCUUUUCCUUGCAGGUAAGUACUUUGUGUGUUUAGUCAUGCAUAUCUAGGCAGUUAGGACCCACCAUAAUUGGAGUACUUUGGCGCAGUGGUGAGCUGCAUACAUAUUGGCCAUUUAUGUAUGUCUAAAUCUCCAAUGUUUAUUACGGUAUAGUACUUGGUUAUUUCUCCUCUUAUUUUGCCUUGUAUUCCCAAUUCAUGUAAAGUUCUGUCCUCUCCUGCCCUGUCCAUGUCUUGUUCAUGUUUCUCUCAUGUAUCAUGUACAUGUUCUGGAUUUUGCUUUUUGUCCUUCUCUAGUUCUGGGUUCUUCUAGUCUUGUCUUGCUAUCUUGUUUGGUGCCUGUUCUAGUCUCGCCUUGUUUCUAGUACUGGAUACAUUUCUGCUGCAGAGCCUCCCAAUCCAGAUCCUGGGAGUUCUGCAUAUUAUCAUCUAGCACCUGGGAUCCGUAGAAGCUGCAUCAGGGACCUGGUAUGUGGUCACACAAACAAACGGUGGUCAACACCAGGGGGUGUGAGGUUACCCAGCACCAGGCCCUGAAAGUCCAUUUCCACGCUGUGACUCCUAUCAUCAUCAUCAGGCAUACAGGGGAUCUGGUCCUCAGAACGCCACCCGUGACAGGGGUUAAUAGUAAAAAAUAUAAGUUUACAAAAGUUAGAUUUAAAAAGUAGUUUGUAUGCUUAGUACAAAUUAGUACACAAAUGAUCUCACGCUGAGGUUCAAAAUUUGCAUUUUGAAAUAUCCUGGAAUGUAUUCUUUAAUGGUAUGUAUUUGUAGGGUAGUCUGCAACCUGCUACAAUGUUCCAAAAUGGGAUAUGCACUUAGUGUCCAAAUUCAAAGUUUGGAAAAAAUCCCUGAAAUGGCUGUGUCUCAAUUGUGCCCCUAUAAAGUCAUUGUGUACCUGGCAAUGGUAUUUAUGGAGAUAUUGCUGUACUCAGGCAACAUAGAUGAGCAACAUAUGAAGUGUUAUACUGCAGUAGCAAACAUAAGCUUUGCAAAAUAUAAAGUACAUUCUCAGUGUGUGUGUGUGUGUGUGUGUGUGUGUCAAAAAGGCAGAAAAUAUGCUUAUUUACCAUAGGUGUGCGCACGGGGUGUGCCUAAUCCCUGUGGCACGCCUAUGUAUUGAGACCGGCAGGGGAGAUCUCAGGAUCUCCCAUGUCAGCUCAUGCACAGCCAGCGCCAUCCGAGCUCCGGCUCUGCUCUAAGCCUCCAUGGGCCGGUGGGGAGAUCACAGAUGUACCUCACUGGCCCACAGACCUGGAGGGAGGCAGGAGAGGACAUGGGGAGCUCUAGCCAGCAGCUCAGCCGGGUUCCUCUCGGUAACGCUCAGAUCUCACGCAAGUUAUUUCUAGCCCCAGAGGAUAGAGGUGACACUCCACGGGACCACCAGGGAUAGCAGCAACACGGUCCCCCCACCCUACAUAAGGUAAGAAGGGAGGGUGGAUAUUAACUAAUCUGCCCCCACCUCCACCCCCACAAUCACCCAAACACACAGCACCCUCACACACAGCACCCGCACACAAACAGCACACAAAUACAGCACCCUCACACACACAGUACACUAACAGCACCCUCACAAACACACAUGCACAGCACCCUUACAAACACACAGCACCCUCACAAACACAUGACGCACACAAAUAGCACCCUCACAGAGCACACUUUCAGCACCCUAACAAACACACACUUCUCCCGCCUAUAUUCCAGCUCCUGGAUACACGAUGACAGGGUAAGUGAGUAGUUUCUUUGUUACUUUAACAGUGAUUCUCCAUUUUGUUACACGUGGCAUAUAGCUGUUAACUGGCACAAAUGAAGUGGGGGAGGAGUUAGUAAAGGAAGCUGUUAACACAGGAAUUUUGGUUACAUGAGGUUUGCUUGAUGGGAAGGGGGAUGCUUAGCAGGAUACAGAGGAAACAGCAACUGAACACAUUGUAGGGGGGAAGGGAAUAUUUACUCUAGCAGCCAGUUUUAACAUAGUGAACACAGAAUAAAUAGACAUUAGUAAAUAGCCAUUUUAUUUUAAUUCAUCCGUCCAUAACAGUCCCCCCUUAAAAUGGCAAUUUUUACUAAAAACUACUAUCUCUCAUUCUAAUACUGUCCCUAUAGAAAAAUAUCAAAAGGCUAUCUUGCACAUCUGUCUGAACAGGCCUCGAACACUUCACUGUGCGGGUAACCCGUAGCAGCUUGUCCACUACUUCUUCCCGCGACAGACUUCUGCCCAUAGAGACAGACGCUAUCCCUGAAUGUCCUUAAGAGGAAGCAGCUUUUGAUUUAGUGCGGUGGGACUGUAAGGGUGUAUGUGGUGUAUCACGGUUGAUGUCGUCAAUCUCUUGGUGAAGGAAGGUCGGGGUGGUCUGGUUGAUUGUCUGAUCAACUGUCUUUUGUAGGCAUUUCUUAAGACAGGGUAACACACAGCAAACAAGAAGAGCGAGGAUGAUUGUCGUUAUUAAAAUGGCAACACCUAUUUGUGCCAGAGCACCUUGACAUCCAGUCAUCCAUCCAAACCAUCUUUCCCAUGGAUCUGCGGCCCCAGAAUUUCGUUUCAGCUCGUUGGACAAACUCUUUAACUUUUCUAUUGCCAACGUUACCUUACCAUUAGGGCCUGUAUUAUCUGGAAUAUAGGUACAGCAUGUUAUGGUGUCUGGGAGUAUUUUACAUACUCUCCCUUUUUCUGCCAAAAUCAUUUCCAAGCUUAUUCUAUUCUGGAAGGUCAUCUGAGAGGUAGUUUGUAACCACCCUAUCCCACCAUAUAUCCCAUAACAAGUAUAUAUAUCCCAUAACAAGUUUAGUAAUGCCUUCGUCUGGGUUAAUAUUUUUAGUAAUGAUUGGGUAUUAAGUUUCCAUGACUCGCAUGCUGACCGCUUAGGUUUAAAUACAGUGUAGAGACUUAAAACGCAUACUUCAUAUCCGGAGGAAGGUUCAGGGAUACAGUACCUGGGUGAGGCCUCGCUAAUAACCUAGGCUAGGGCACAUUUACUUAUUCUUAGAAAUCUUCUCAUGCUACCCUAGUACUGGCAGAUUCAGAUCAUUUAAACAUUCAAUAUUAAUAUCACCACAAACUCAAGAUAAGCAGAUGAUCCUGAAGAAGCUUUGACUGUGCGUAUGGCACCUCAGACGUGAGGGCUGCAUGGUAAGGAGUAUGUUUGUUUCUCUUUAGUUUCACGAGGUCCCCUUUUGGGGUAUUCGGCUUUCCAUCGAUGGCAGGUGGUCAGGCAUUAUUAUAGCCAUCAAAACGCCCACUUGAUAUUUAUUUAUUUAUUUAUUUUCAACAAGUAUCUUUGUUCUCUAAGAAUGGAGUUUCAAAAAGGGUUGUCAAGAUCAACAAAUGUUACUUCACAUGAUGCAGAGGCAGGCUUGAUUCUGGAAUGAUGAAUCCACGGGGUGAUCUCUGUAACUUUCACGGUGCAAUACUCAGCAUGUGGUCUUGGUUAUCACUUUGGUGGCUGGAUAGGACUCUGGCCAUCCUGAAAACUUGUCUGCUAUAAUUAGUGCAUAUUUGAAUCAGCCAUUCUUUGGCAUUCUGGAUGUAGUCGACUUGACUCCUCUGGAAGAGAUAAUGAGGUUUGGCUAGAUGCUUGGGGCUUUCCUCCAUUCUUCUUGAGUUGCCCUUGGCACAAAUGGCACAAGAUUUACAGUAACUGUUGGUCAGAGAGGCAAUUCCUGGUACUUCAGAGUAUUUAUUGAUUAAAAGAGUUCAUGAGGGUUCUGGACAGAUGCUCCGUAGGCCCACUGGACCACUGCUGAGUAUAUGUUCUUUGGCAAGCAGAACUUGAGAUUGUUGAAGUACAGCCUGUCUUUAAGAGUUGCCCCUUUCUGUUUCCAGCUUGUGGUUUGUUUGUUUUUUCUUUCUUUCCAGGGUCAGUAGCUUGCUUGUUAUUCCUUCGGGAGCUUGAUGUCUGUAGGUAAGAUCUUACAUGGUGAAUAUGGGAGUUUCUUCAGCAGACACUUUUCUGUCCACUUCCCUUAGUGCACUUACAACUUCUUGAACAACUUGGUCAGCCAGAGAGUUGCCACAUGCUUCCUCUGAGUUCAGUCUUCCUUCAGAGAUCUUGCAUGCUGUGAUGGGAGCCUAUAGCUCAGCUUCUUGUGCAGACAUUGUUGAGGUGAGAUACUUGGUCCACUGUAGUGACAGCAAAUCCAGAACAGAUCAUAAGAAAAAGGCUAAAAAAAAUAAGUCAGUGUCUUAUUCCCCCCCCUGGGAAGUGGCAGAAGAGUGGCCAGGUAAAUAGAGUAUCAUCCCUGCAGGGUGACACUAUCCUGCACAGAAUUCAUCCAUCACAAGGAGAGGUGGGAUAUUGAAUGGAAAGUCUCAGGGAACCAGGGCACCAUUCGACACCAGAGCCUUAACCUGUUAGGGAAUAGUAAGAGCGUGGACAGGCUUCGGGGCCUGUAUAAUUCAGGUAAAGGUAUUGGGGGAACUAGCUAGGACCCUUUCCUCUUGGUCAGGUUUCACUGUGUGGAACAAAAGAAUUAAUAAGGUGAUAGGGGCCUGCAAGUGGGGGGAAGGACAUCUGCACCUAGCAGAUUAAUUGGACAGGUGAAGGUAACCACAAAACAAGGCUUAGUUAACAGGCUACUCCAAGGAGAGCCAUCUACACUUGUGCAGGAGACAACAAUUUUAGACAGGAAUGAGGAGUCAGGCAGGCCUUGCUUGGUACAAAUAGAUGUCAUGUGGCCUGCUAUACAAGGCUGCAUAUAGUUGUUGGGCAUGGGCCUUACUAUGUACUAAAACUUAAGUUAAAAGAACAUUUGGGACAACCUGAAGUGAUACUUCUCCACAGAUGCUAACUCAUCGUUGAUGACAUUGUUAAUACAGGUAGCCUGAUCAGCCAAUUUAUCUUAGGCUUAAAUAAGUCACACCAUGUAGUGGAAUGGGUCAUUAGGAUUCUGGAAAUUCUACAGUAAAAGGGCAUAGUAAGGAUGUACGCAAUGUUACUUUAGGAGUAGGCGUGGCUGUGGAUAGGGGGAAAUCAGCCUUAUCCAUUCCCAUAUAUUAUUCCUUUUGUCUUCAGUAUAUCCAAAACAUGUGUAUGUCCAGGCGUUGCAAUAUACAGUAAUCCAUUAUCAGUCAUGAUAUUAAAAUCUCAUUCUCAUGAAUUAAAUCAAAGAUUUUAAAUCAACCUCAGAAGCAACAAACAAUAAAUCUAUUGUUUUUUCCUUCUGUAAAAUGAUUGGAGUUACUGUAUAAUAGCAUACAACCAAUAUAACAUACAUAAAAACAAUGAAAAAACAAACAAAAACAAUAAAAAAAACAGUACAGACUAACAAGUUAGUAAACGAACAAACACAUAUCUCUAUUCUUGUGCUGGUUUUAACUCUAGAAUCAAAUAUCUGCAAGAUCUUAAAUAAUGUGCACCAAACACAAAUAACUUUAGUUAUAUUCUGCCGUUGAGGCAAUUGGGAGUGGCUCAGGCAUCUGUAUUGCUCUUUCACACUGAGUUCUAGAAGGAGGAGGAGGAGGAGGACGAUGGGUGUAAAAUCUGCACUUCUUUCUUUGCCUAAUUCCACAAGUCAUUUUAACCCCUUCAUGCUUGGAUACCUCUUUACUUUAUCUAAGAAUAAAGCAACUUCCUUCAAAGUACUUUUUUCUCUAGCAAUUACAAUUACAAUUGCAGUUGAAUCUAGAUCUUGACAUUUUUUCACAAAUUAAUUAAUUAAUCCUAAGGAAAAUUACCAAUAAGUCUAUAUGCAUAUGAGUCGGCAGCCAUGUUUUAAAUAGUCUAUUCCUUUGUUCGUCAUUUAGGCUAUAUUUGUCCAAAUUUGACUCAAAUAUUUCAGCAUUAGUAAAUGCAUCCACUGACAUGUCAUAAACUGGAAUACAUUUCACAAUUUUCAUUAAUUGUUAAUGAAUUUUCAAAUUAAGUUUCACAGCUCUGUUACUUUGUUACACUGGUCAUUUAAAUCUGAUUUGUCUUCUGUUAACAUAUUCAAAUUCAUUUCUUUAUCUGCUGAUUCUAAAUUUUAUUGACCUGCAUCUCGUUUACCAAUCAAUGCAUUGUAAGUACAGACUAGUUUCAUAACAUUUCUAAUCUUUUUAUUUUUAUUUUUUAUUAACAAACAAUUUCUUGGCAAUUUCACAUUGUGUGUAUAAAGAAUGCCACAAUACAGCGUCUGAAUAGCUGCAAUUACAUGCAAACUGCAAUGUACUUUUCUCUGCAUUAUCAUUUAUGAAUUCCACAAGAAGGAGGGUAGGGAGAAGACUUGCAAGCACAAAGUUUUUUUAACCAUGUGAUUGCCUAAGCACAGCUCUCCUUAGGACAAAUGAUAGAAUAGGAUAGUGACGAUACAGAUUGUAUAGAUUACAAUUAACAUAUAUGGUACCCAACAAGACAUACACAGACAAAAGCACAAAAUACAGAUGUAAUUAAAUCACAAAGUUCUUAAAAUAAAUGCCGGCUUAUAAUAACUCAAAUCACACACACAGAAACACCCAAGCACAUAAACAUUAACUUUUCCUUUUCUUUUCUUUGUAACUCUACACCAAGUCACUCACUAGCUUCUUUACCAAAACCUAGCUAAAACAAAUAAAAUAAACUUUUAACCUCUUCACCGAGUCACUCACUAGCUUCUUUACCGAAGCUUAGCUAAAAUAAAUAAAAUAAACUUUUAAACUCUUCACCGAACCACUCACUAGCUUCUUUACCGAAGCUUAGCUAAAACAAAGAAACAGCCAGGGUUUUUCCACCAAACCCGAACUUGGCUAAAUCUGCAAGCGCUUAACCACACUUGGCAGCAUUAUAUAACAGUAUUAUGCAAGUAGUAAAACAGAUUCUCAAGCAGACACUUUCACACAUAAAACUCACACUCAGGACUCAGGCUGUAGAUAGACAAGUGACAGGUUCUAUAUAAAAGGGGACAUUCGGGCAUAUAUAUAUAUAUUACCUAUCUGAAGACGUUAACCACAGGAAGCCGAAUGUGAAGGCACGGAGAAUAAGAGAAAUCCAAAGAGAGGAAAAUAUAGGUAAGUAACUCAUUUACCAUAUGCAGAGGUGAUCAGGCUCCCUUUCCAAUCUCUGGGAAUCCUUUGUUCUCCUGUCUUGGGAUUUUACGGCUUCCUUAUUAACGUAACCCUUUCAAUCCCAUCUGGGGUGCCAAAUGUUUUGGAUCAAAGAAAACUUUGAUAAUUUGUCUAUCUACACCUUCCAAAUUGAUUGAUUAAUGCGUGCUUUCCCUAGAAGUAAUUCACACCGGAGACAAAGUUUCCGAUUGGUGAAAAACCAAGGAAUGCUUUAUUCCCCGGAGUGGGGGCUCCUUCUUAAAGCAAAAAUACGUCACAGUUUAAACAUACAGUAUACAUUCAACAAUUGGUUAACACAGAAUAAAUAGACAUAAGUAAAUAGCCAUUUUAUUUUAAUUCAUCUGUCCAUAACAGAAGUAGUAAUGGAUCAUAAUUUGGCAGAUUUUAUCACAGUAAAACAUAUCAAAUGUACAAAAUACCCAGUAAACAUGCAAUAUGUAUGUAAAAAAAAAGUUUGACUUAACUGGCAGCAAGUUAAGGUACAAUAUACACCAUAUAAGAUACUCUGCAGUGUCAGCUUUCUUAAAUGGAAGAAACUUGAACAAGUGCCAUAAUGCCCCAAAAUAAGACAGAGGCCUAUCAGAUCCAUCUAUGAAACAUUUAACCAAAGAAACUGAAAAUGCCUGGUCUCUUAUAUCAGGACCUAGUUACAAAUGCUGAAAAGAGACAUAUAUCCAUCAAGUUCAACCUUCCUUAAAGAAAGAAGGCUAAGAAAGACUUAAUUGAAAACAAAUCAUGUACCAUUCCUGUUUAAAUGCAUUACUAUUUUAUUAUUGCUAUUAUGAUCCAUUCAGCAUCCAUGCUAGUUUAAAAAUAAUUAAAAAGUUGCAUUCGUGAGAUUUAUUGUCUCUUGUUUCUACUUUCUUUUUGCAGCACACGACUAUACUAGGUUUCCCUUGAAAAUACACGAGUCAGCUUCACCCCACAUACUGUGUAGUAUACCUGUCCUGAGACCGUGAAAAGAUGGUAAGUCAUGUCUUCAAUUCCAGUUUUCUUUGCAGUAAAACAUUGGGCACACUUGUAAUAAAGUUGUCUUAGUCUCAACUGAUUGCAGACUUUAAAUGCUGCACAGUGUCUUUAUUAUAAAGCAUGAGCUAAUCAAUUAUUUAGCAUAUAUCGCUUCCUUCCUGUUGGCCUUAUUAAAAAAACAAAACAGAAAACUUAGAAACAUAGAAUAUGACGGCAGAUAAGAACUAUUCGGCCCAUCUAGUCUGCCCAAUUUUAUAAAUACUUUCAUUAGUCCCUGGCCUUAUCUUAUAGUUAGGAUAGCCUUCUGCCUAUCACACACAUGUUUAACCCCUUAAGGACACAUGACAUGUGUGACAUGUCAUGAUUCCCUUUUAUUCCAGAAGUUUGAUCCUUAAGGGGUUAAACUCCUUCACUAUGUUAACCUCUACCACUUCAGCUGGAAGGCUAUUGCAUGCAUCUACAACCCUCUAAGAAAAGCAAUACUUCCUGAUAUUUUUUUUAAACAUGACCCUUUAAUUUAAGACUAUAUCCUCUUGUUUUGGUAGUUUUUCUUCUAUUAAAUAUAGUCUCCUCCUUUACUGUGUUAAUCCAAACUACUGGACUAGCAGUUAACCACCUUCAAGAUUUGGAAAAGUAUAUAUAUGCAUUCGUCUUUGGAAGGACUGCGAAAGGAUCAAAGAUUUCCAGUUUUGGUCAUGUAGUCAGAAAAAGAUCAGAAAAUUUCCAUAUAACAAAUAGCUCACUGACACUGUCAUUCGGUUUAUUCAGUAAAUGCUAGCGCGCCGUUGUAGCAAUUAUAGCAGAACAAUUACGGAGAACACUCCUAAUAUAUAGCUGGCUGCAAUCUCUAAGGUUACCUUCCAAUUACCUCUAUGUUUAUGUCUUUUGAGUGUUUUCAUAAUAUUACGUUUCACAUUUGGGGUAGUUGAGAACACUUGCACAAUUUUAUUUGUAAACAAGCUAGCAUUAGGCAUAAUCAAGUGUCUGUUGCUUAAUAGGUAGUGGGAAUAGGUGGAAAACGAGUAAACGAGAUAGGUUAAACAUUCCAACCUAUAGAGAGAUACAUAAGUUGAUGAUUUUUGCUUGUGCUGUCUCGAAUGCAGGGUUGUCAGGUAGGUCAGAUCGUGUGUGUUGGCUGUUAUGUCAGUGUUUACGGGGUAGUCCAACGCUUCACGUUUGAGGUGCAAAGUCCAGAAUUAGCCGAUGCCCCGGCUUGGUGGUAAGCUUGGGGAGCAGCAAGAGAUCAGGAGGCAGAGUUCAAGUAACUCCUCCCCAAAGCCCCGGGCCGUCUUGGAGACCUGCAUCUGUGGACCACGAACUUGGGUAUUCUUAGAGGAGGCCGCGUUCUUCCCUGACCGGGGGCUGCCGUGGAUCCUGGUGGAGGGUCGCCAUCUGUGGAAUCGGAUCCUCCGCACCGGUGGCCGAUGCUCUGGGGAUUAUCCCUUAGUGGUCUUCAGCUCAAGUGGGCCCAUCUUGUAGGGUUGUGCGCUUGUGUCAUGGGGAGUGCCCAGGGGAGACCCACUCUUUUCCCGCCCAUAGUCUCUCCGCUUACUUUUCACUGCUGGUGCUUUUGGCAGCUUGGGAUGGUCAGCUAUCCUGUCUCGGAGGCUUUCGAGGUUUGUAGGUUGGCUCUGUCAUUUGGGCAUACUUGUUUUCUGCGUUGUCUCGUUCUUUGCCUGCACACGUGGCUGUGGAAUAACCGCCAUCUUAGGGUGAGCCGUCCGAUCGGUAGUCUGAGGCAUAGUUGGUGCUUGGGCCGUGUGGAUAGGGAUAACCCCCACUGGUCCGGGAGGGGGGGGGCAGCAAGACGCUGGUCGGAGAAUGGGGUGAGAGGCCGUCUCUCCCCAGCUCGAGUUUGGGUGGGCCUCAGGCCUCGAUCGGGUUACUAUGAUGCUGUGCCGGGUCGUUAGUGGUAUCUCCGCGUGUGCCUGCAGCUUGUGAAUAGGUGGUGCACCAAUUUGAGUCGGUGGCUGCUGAUGGCAUGGAGUUAGCUCCAAUAUUCUAGCCCAGGCACUAGAGCUCAGAAGAGGCACGUCUGAUCCGUUCAGCGGUGAGGUUCUGCCCCCCUUGUAUAUAUUUUUAUAAUGUUAACUUCUCAAAUCAGACACUGUUUCUAAAGUGAAAAAAUUAUAUUUAAUUCAUAAUUAAAAUAUUAUAUUUGGAAUUUUAUCCUGAUACAUACUAUCUAGUACCCAGAAUUGCACUGCCAUUUCAAGUAAUGUUUUAGCAUUACUUUAUAAAGAUGCACAAUUAUAUAUAUUUAUUUUUAUUUUUGCUGUGCAUGAAGUACAAAGAUGCCAACAAUGCACAAUAGCAUGGAUAGGCACAGUGAUAUAGAAACAUAGGUAUGGCAUUAGAAAUAAUAGCACAAUUUUGUUAUAAUCUUAUGAAGCUAGUCACUUAUGUAGAGCUUACUGGGCAAGAUUCAGGUGAUGAUCGGCAUGAAGUUUAGAAAUAUUUAAUCUAGGCAGAGCAGGAUGCUUGCUGCAGGGUUAUGGAGAUGCUCCCGAGGUUGACUCGGCAUUGUCUGGCCGAUAGAAGAGAGGCUGCCAUCAUAUAAGCAGAUUCCUGCAGUGUGCUGCAAGGGAGUGCAGGAUAAAGGGUACCAAAGAGCCCAGUGGGGACCAAAAUAACCCCUACUGGUCCAGAGGGUGUAGGUGAGCAACCUCGACAGGUUUCAAGACAGGAGUCCAGGGAGAUUGGCCGCCUCUCCCCAAUUUCGUCUAUAGUAGGCCAUAGCACGGCACUUCUGGUCUCUGGUAAGAUGCUGAUUUGAGUGAGGUGUCUAUGUGCAAAGAGGUGUACCCCCAGCUUGUGAGGUGUAGCUCGGGUACAUGGUCCAAAAUCAGCCCAGGAUUUGAGAGCUCAGGCACCAUACAUCUGCUCUGCUCUUUGGCUAGACUCCGCCCUCACACAAUUAUAUUUUAUAUGAUGUGAGUUAAUAAAAAUUUGUAAGCUUUAUAGUACUUUGCUGACCUUUGCAACUGCUACUGACAUGACAUAGCUUAAUGUUGCCUACCUAGAAUGAUUCCAUCUAAAAAGAAGCCUAGAUAUCUGUUCUCAACAUUUCUGAAUCAGGAAGAAGGAUCACUUAAAUGUAUAAUGGAAGAGCAAUUAUCUUUAAUCAAGCGAUUCUUUAAAGCCAGGAUACUUUAAUAUGAAGCAAAUAUUCCAAUUUAGUUUGUCAGAUUCUGACAAGUUAACCUUUCUAUAUAAUCGGCAGAGUUUAUUCAAAAUGUGCGCUUUUUGCCUUCAACUGUAAACAAAUAGAUUUUCAACAACUAAUUGAUUUGUUCAAAACAAAAAGCUUUCAAUUCAUUUGUAAGGUAUUAAACUUUUUUGUUGUUUUUCAGAUUUUGAGUUAGUUCUCAACAAUUUACUUGCUGAGUGACAGCUUUUCCAAAAUAGAUAAAUUUUUGUUUAAAACAAGAUUUUUAAAAUGUAUUUUUUUCCACUUCAGCUGAAUCUGUUAGUUAGCAAAUAAAGUUAACCCCUUAAGGACAAAGGCAAUUGUCCAAGUUCUGAACCAAAACAAAACAUAGAAUUGCAUUUGUUCCACUGUUAUUAAUGGUUUCUCUUUAACCCCUUAAGGACACAUGACAUGUGUGACAUGUCAUGAUACCCUUUUAUUCCAGAAGUUUGGUCCUCAAGGCGUUAAGUGCCCUCUAUAUAUUGCUUUUUAGAGGACAGAAUGGCUUUAUGGAUACUAUAGUGCUAGGAAUACAAAGUCUCCUUCCCCCUUACCCCCCGCUGCAGUGAAUAAAGGAUUAAAAAACAUUUAUUUACUUACCCGAUCCCAGCGCUGAUGUCCCUCUGUGCUGUCAUGGCUCCACCUCCUCUGACAUCACUCAAAGAGGGGGUGCUGAUGUGCAUGCACGGUGAGUCAUUGCUUUUCUAUGGAAUCAAUGCUUUCCUAUGGGGAUUUAAAGGGACACUCCAGGCAUGCCAACUCCCACUACUCGUAACCCUGCAAGUGUAAUUAUUGCAGUUUUUUUAUAAACUGCAAUAAUUACACUUGAAGGGUUAACUCCACCUCUACUAGACAGCAACUAGAGGGCACUUCCUGCUCUAUAGCACAGAAAACCUGUGCUAGAGCGUUGCUGGACGUCCUCACGCUGUGUGAGGACCUCCAGCAUCUUUCUAUUCCCCAUAGGAAAGCAUUGAAAAGCAAGCGCAGGUCUCCCCGGCUGGUGGCUCCCCGGGAUCAGUCUCGCCCAACGGCCGACGUAAUGACUGGGAGGAGCGGCGGCGAGCAGUAACCACUACCAAGGGACAUCAGCGGGGUCUCAGGUAAGUGACCUAAAGGUUUUCACCCCUUCAACAACCGGGGAUGGGGGGUGGGAGGGAGAGGGGACCUGCAGUGCCAGGAAAACUGAUUUUUUUCCUGGCACUGGAGUUUCCCUUUAACCCCUUAAGGACACAUGACAUGUGUGACGUCAUGAUUCCCUUUUAUUCCAGAAGUUUUGUCCUUAAGGGGUUAAUGGACGUUGAAUGUCUUCCUGCAAAGCGUAAGUCCAGUGUCAGGGGACCAAAAGUCUGCUAAGUCCACUAGAAACUGUCUUAGUGCUGCAAUGUAUACAUUGCAGUUCUUCUACAACUAUAUAGUAGUGCAAUAGGAACACUGUACCCAGAUCACUUCAGUGAGCUGAAGUUGUCUGCGUGCCUAUGGUGGCCCUGUGCGAAAAUCAAAGUAUAUCAUAUUCACUGCAACAUUCUUAUCUGUGUUUUUACUGACUUUUUCAUAAGAAUCAGUUAAGUUAGUCUGAUAUGGUCUGCGUGGAAUAAAAAGAAUGGCACUGUCCAAAGUGAGUUCCUGAAUAUUAAUUAAUGCAUUAAUAAUUCUUAAAAAUAUUUUCUAACAGCAAAUGUUAAGCUCAUAGUUUUGCAAUUUCCGAGGUUAGAAUUUGAACUUCUUGUAAUUAUGGACAAAACAUCUGAUUUUGCAAAUCCAUUGAUUCAAUUCCUGAAAGAAAAGAAUUGUAGAAGAUUAGAAUGUUAUGUUUCUUUUAAAAAUUAUAUACUACAGUUCAUAAGUUUGGGUGUAGACACACUGGCUCAUGAAAUCUGCACUUUUUGCAAAAUGAAAAUAGAAGACACAUACAUAAAGCACUUCAGCUAAUGCUUUAGGUGUCUGGAGUCCCCACAUCUUCACAUAUGAUAAUCAGCUUAUACAUUGAAUGUGAUUGUUGUUGGUCAUGUUUUAUGGCAGUGCACACUAGUGUUUUCCUCUCCAUCCUAGUAUUAGGUAAUAAUCUGCUACAGCACCUGAUGCUUUAAUCAUUGUCCUUUUACAGUCAUAUUUUCUUAAAGGUUUUUAUCAUGAACUACAGCUUUUUUUACUUUGGUCUUUCUGAGUUUUGAAUUUAAGAAUAAUUGUGUAUAUUGUAAGUCUGCUUUCUAAUUAAUGUUUUUGUUUUGUACAUUAUAGAGUGCGUUAUAGCUUGGGUAUAUUUUUUAUAUUUUAUCGGUAAUUGACAAAUGCACCCAUAUUCCUCUCUGAUCAAAGCGUUAUAGCUCGGGUAUAUUUUUUAUAUUUUAUCGGUAAUUGACAAAUGCACCCAUAUUCCUCUCUGAUCAAAGCGUUAUAGCUCGGGUAUAUUUUUUAUAUUUUAUCGGUAAUUGACAAAUGCACCCAUAUUCCUCUCUGAUCAAAGCGUUAUAGCUCGGGUAUAUUUUUUAUAUUUUAUCGGUAAUUGACAAAUGCACCCAUAUUCCUCUCUGAUCAAAGCGUUAUAGCUCGGGUAUAUUUUUUAUAUUUUAUCGCUAAUUGACAAAUGCACCCAUAUUCCUCUCUAACAAAGCUUUUUACUUUGUUGUAUCAUUUUGUGGUAACCAUUUCCUAUCACUGAAUUGGUUGCAGUGUGUAGAGUCUACUGGCACCCAUCCAUUCAUUCAAUGUUAAACUAUAUUCGAAUGGUUUAAAAAUUAGGAUCCCUGGCCAUCCUUAGUACAGCCAUAAUGCUGACAAAGCAUCAGGAAAGAGGUAGUCCUUAACACCUGUAGUGCCAAAGGUUGCUUACCCCUAGCCUAGUGUGUUCUUUUAAGUUUCAACAUUUCUGUCUAUUGAUUGUACCAGCCUAUUAUGUAACUCCAUCUGUGUGUGAGUUCUUGAGUUCUCUUUUUUUGUAUCUUUUUCUUUUUGUGGAUAUACAAAUUUAUGCAUUGUGUAGAUUAUUUUAUUGUAUUUGUCUUUAUAACGUGUUUCUUUCUCUUCCUUUUUCAGGUUAUGCUGAUGCUUACCUGUGUGGCUCAUGUAACCAAGGCAAAGAUAACCCUCCAUUUGUAAUAGAUUCAAGAACACAACUCGCAACUCUGAGAUCACAGUACUGUGUAGUUGUUUUAUAUAAAUAGUAGGCUCCAGGACCACACUAUACAGAGACCAGAUUACCUUAGCUCAAGUUCCAACCCAUAAUGCACCUUGUCUUUGUAGACUGUCCCUGUUUUAUGAAUAAGUACCUAAAAGAUACGAAAUGUGUAAAGUAACUUUUUUUUUUUUUUUUGCAUAGCGGUAAACAUACUAAAAAUUAAUAAAUAAUUCUAAAAGAUUGAACUGAAUUUGUCUUUUUCAUACAUCAAUUUCUAAAUGCCCCUGUCGAAUUAUUGUGGGAAUUUACUAUGCACAGCUCUAAUGGUCAGUGUGACACUGAGAAGUCUUCUAUCAUAAGCAUAUAUAUUCCAGACUUAGGCCUCGAUUUAAUAUUGCUGAAUAAACUUUUCAAAUGUUUUAGUAUCAUGAAAACUAUUUUAAUUUUGUAAUUUUAUAUUUUUGCUAUAUUGAAAUAGUUUUUGAAAUAUUUUUCUUUUUAUAUUUUAAUAUUUUGAAAUCAAAAAAAUAUCCAAAUCUAAGAAUACUAAAUCAUUUGAAAAGCUUAUGCAACAAUAUUAAAUUCCUUGGUUUUCAUCGUAAAUAGAACUAAAUAUGCAGUUUUAUUUAUCCUUCAAACUACGUACAUACAUGUGAUAAAGAAAAAUCUGUCCCAUGACGAUCUUGGCUGUAACUCUAAAUUUCAUAUUGCAGUUUAACAUGAGUGGGAUUUUGCCAGAAACAAUUUCCUACUGGUCUCUGUUUGGAAAAAAAUAUCUGAAAGCAGUGUAUAUAAAAAAAAAUUGUCCCUUUUUUUUUUUUUUGGUAUCACCAUAUAGUUGUGGUGAUGUUAAAGUGGCAUUCCAAACUCCUGUUGACCAUUUUUUCAAUGCAUUUUAAAAUAUUUUGAAAAAGAUAUAAAAAAAUAAAAUAAUUUUUGAAGUUAUACAUUAGCUGUAAAUUUGCAAGAUUUAGAACUUCUGCAGUGAGCUCUUGACAAAUCGUAGAUGACAUUCGGAGUGUCCUUUAACCAGUGGUUUGGGGCAUGAAUGUUUACCUAUGUGUUCCCCAGUGUUCUCCAACAACUGGUUAAGAAGUGGAAGAGAGAGUGUGCAUUAACUAGGGUUGAUGUUAGCUCACUAUAUUCCUCUUUUCCCAUCUGAAAUUUAUUGAGUAAGCAUCAUGAAAACUUUAUUACAUAUUGAUAUAUUAAUCAGGCAUAAACAAUAAGGUAGAGGCAAUACAGAUGCCUACAAACGUUAACUGUAGAAAAUUAAUUUGUACAGCAGUGCUGCGGAAAAUUCACACUGAAGUGUAUAAUAGAUAUAAAUAGAAAAAAUUGAGUCAUGCACAGCCUUUAUUAAAAUGCACACUCUGGUGCUACUACAUUUGAUUUGAAGGACAGUCUACAGAAAGCAAACGUUUCAUCCAGUAGCCCUGUUUCAAAACUUAUGGAAAUUAGCAUUGAUCAAGGGCUACUGCACAAAAUGUUUGCUAUCUCUACACUUUCCAUUAAAUAAAACGAGUUAGCACUUUAAUACAGGUUCCACAUGACACAUGAUUUUUUUUUCUAUUUAUGAUAUAUUAAUUCAUUUGAAUGUAAUUUUCUUUUAUUGAGAGCUAUAUAUAGAUGAUCUUUCUUUUAUAUAGUUACCAACUUUGGACAGAAUGUAAGACAAAUUGAACAGAGGUCUUUGUAUGAAAAUGGUAAUGCUAAUUUCAGUGAAGUUACUAAAACUGUCCCUAAAUGUGUACCAGUAUAAGUUAUGGAUGAAUUUUAUGAAACGAAAAUUCAACUAAAUAGAGGUCCCUUGCAUGUGCUAUAGUUGCUGUGACAGAGAGAAGGAGAACUUGCCAGUAGGAUGAUUCUCCUGCUCUCUCCUAUGACUUCACUGUCAGUGUGGAAAUAUAUGUGUAUAUCUUCCUGUGGACCUGAUUAAUAUUCUCAGCUGGUCUAAUAAUGAUAUCUAAUAGCAGAUCUCACUUUUUUGAAGCCUACAUUAUAGCUAUUUUUCACCUAUCCUGUAUACUAAGAAAGAAACAAGUUACAACUAGACACUGAGCAAUCUGUGCCAUUGCGGCUCCUAAUUCCUAUUCAAGUAUGCCAAAGGCUAUUCCAGUUAUGUCUGUUUAAUAUGGUAAACUACGCACAUUCUAAUAAGUGUAAACCAAAGUUAGUACUGGCAAUAUUAUAUGUUUCAUACUCAUGUGAUUUCUUAUCUUUAUAUUUCAUAACAAUAUGGUUAAUUGCUACAUAUACAUUUGCCAUUAAUAUUUCUACAUAUCCAAAUUAUAUUGUUUUAUUAUUUGACAUUAUUUUAAAUCAGCACAUUAUGUAGCCAAUCCAUAUUAGAGGAACACUAUAGUCACCAGAAAAACUACAGCUUAAUGUAAUUGUUCUGGUGCCUAUAGCCUGUCUUUGCAGGUAUGUCAUGUGAACACUGCCUUUUCAUUAAAAAAAACUGUGUUCACAUUGCUGCCUAGGGACACCUCCGGUGGCAGUCACUUAGAUGGCAACUAGAGAUGUUUCCUGAGUCAGUGCUGCAGAAUAUGCAGCACUGAUUUUCAGCGUCUUCACGCUCUGCAUGUAGACACUGAACUUUCCCAGUGUCAGUGUAUCUCUAUGAGAAGAUACUGAUUGGCUAGUGUAGCAUUUGUUUCCACCCUACUCUGCCUCCAUGGCUAAAUUCAUCGUAAUUGAUAAUCUCAGCCAAUCUAAUGCUUUCCUAUGGGGGGCUGGAUCAGUGUCGGCAGACCCGUGCAGCACUGGAAUAAAGAAAAGUUUUCUACUUUUUAUGGGUGGCUGGAAGGCUAACGUGUUAACACUUUAGGGUCAGGAAUAUACAUUAGUGUUCCUUUAAAGUUUUGUUGCAAAUCCACAUUAAUAUAUUUAUAUACAAAUAUAGAAUCAUUAUAUGUUGCAUAUUUUAGCAUUAUUAUUUGUUACACAUUAGUUUUAUUCAUACAAUGCCAAAACAGGCUUCACUGGUUUAUUGUGGGUACAUAUCUAUAUUUUUUACAUUUUCCCAAAACUCUGUUUUCAACCAUCUCUAAAUAUGUGUUACUAUUGGAUGUGUAUCUUAAGAUUGCUCUGCACCCUCUUGUUUUAAAAUAUUGCUCCAUUUUUCUUUCUAAAAUCUUCAACUAUACAGACCUUAAAUUCUGAGGAAUAGCCACCUAAUUGGCAAAAACAAAUUUUAUUGGUGACAGUUGGCCUGUGAUUGGAUACACAAUCGAAGGGGAAUGUUUGUGCCUCCCAAAGGACAGCACAUAUUGCAGACCUAGAUCGUGUUAAAUAAUUAUUUUUCUAGGGUUGAAGCAAGGGAAGAGUCAAUGGGAAGGUGGGCAGACGGGAAAGGGUAAAGCUGUACUGCUUAGGUGGUGUUGAUUAUUAAUUGGAAAGAAUAUAGUCAGGGCAGAGAUGACAACAAUGUGAACAAAAAUGUGAAAAGGAAUCUUAACUUCAAAAUAUCCCAAAUAUAUUGUUAUACUACCUCAUAGGUCCAAAUAAAUAUACAAAAGAAAAAACUAUAUAUAGUGUAAUAUAGUAAUAACAAAAUAUAUAUGGGAAAAGAGUAGGUAGAGAACUCACAAACUGGAUAUUGUCAUCAGGCUCAUCACCCCCGAGGGGUAGAAUGUAGAACAAAUCUUAGUUUGCAGAGAGAUCUUCGAUAUAGGAAGGAAAAACAGAAGAACAGUCAAACUAGUGUGACAAAGUUUGAAACCAAUAAAUUGUAAUAAAGUAAUAGACUUACAAACACAAGCAUGAGUUAGGCAUAUCUCCACUGAAAGAGAAAUAUAAGGAGACAGCAGAUCACCCACUUGGAGAUGGAAAAGUCAAGAGGAACAGCAACAAAACUCCCAAAAGCAAAGGCAGGUAAAAACCAGAUACACUAUAUAUCAUAAUAUCUAAAAAAUAUAUUUGAAAAAGUUAUAAGUAACAUCCAACGCGUUUCAUCCAGAACUAGACUUCUUCAGGGUUUCCUCCAUAUAUUGAAGAUCUCUCUGCAAGCAAAGAUUUGUUCUACAUUCUACCACUUAGGGGGAUGAGCAUAUUGCCAAUAUUUAGCUUGUGAGUUAUCUACCUACACCCUCCCCAUAUAUAUUUUGCUAUUAGUAUAUUACACUAUGUAUAGUUUUUUUUCCUUUAUAGAUUUAUUUGGACCUAAAUGAGGUUGUAUUUUUUUGUCACAUUCCUUCCAGUGUAUUUCACUAUAUUGUUAAUUUUGUUGGUUUGUGUUUUUUUUUUUUUUUUGUGUGUGUGAGGUAUCACUCGAUGUAAAACACUUAUUUUCUCUUUUCAUUUUAAUGAUUUUUUUAGUUUUUGUAUACAGGACAGGGAUAAUGUUUCGGUGCAGGUAAUAUUGUUUUCAGAUUAGAUAGGGAAAUAUGAUUGUUGUCUAACUAGGUAAGGGUUUAUGUGCAGAUAGACAAUCAGUGCUGGCCAAGUGUUAUUAACUGAUGCUAGAAAAGGGCUAAGCCAGGGAAUAGUUCAUGUUUGUGUGGAGCAGUCAACAAAGGGCUGAUGAUUGGCAGGUGCAGUCAGGAAAGGGUUAAUGUACUACUGGACAAGUAAGGUUGCCUGUGUGAUAUUAAUUGGUCAUUAGAAGGGACGGGAUCAGGAGGGUCUUCGUGUUUGGGCAGAGCCACCAGGAAGUAGGUAAUGAUUGGGUGGAGCUUCCAACAAAGGGUUAAAGGCCAAGAGAGGGUUAAUGAUUGGGUAAGGUGGCCAGGAAACAGUUAAUGAUUGGGUGGGGCAGACAGGAAAGGGUUAAUGAUUGGGUGGGGCAGACAGGAAAGGGUUAAGGAGUUGCUUGCCCAGGUGUUAAUGAUUUCAGAUUGGAAGGGGGUGGAGACCAGAUCUUUAAAUUAAAUGCACCCUGGGGUGGGUGGGUAUGCGGUGUUGAGGAGGAGGACGUUUUCCCUCUUUUCAUCAUUUUUAUCUGUGUGUUUCAGGAGAGAGGUUUCCCCUAGUGUGUUUCAGGUAAGAAAAUUUCCUUUAUAUUUUUAUAGUAGAUACAUGGUCUGACAGUAGUAAUUUAACCAUUUGUGUGCCAAAAGGGGAGAUACUAGGUUAUUAACCAUUUGUGUGCCAGAGACAUGACAUAUUAACCGUUUGUGUGCCAAAAGGGAGAUAAGUUUAACUGUUUUGUGUGCCAGAGACAUGACAUUAACAGUUUGUGUGCCAGAGGGUAAGAAAAAUACUAGAUUAACCGUUUGUGUGCUACAGCCAUUAAUUAUAACCGUUUGUGUGCUGGAAGGGAACAAAAAUACUAGAUUAACCGUUUGUGUGCUACAGCCAUUAAUUAUAACCGUUUGUGUGCUGGAAGGGAACAAAAAUACUAGAUUAACCGUUUGUGUGCUACAGCCAUUAAUUAUAACCGUUUGUGUGCUGGAAGGGAACAAAAAUACUAGAUUAACCGUUUGUGUGCCACAGCCAUUAAAUAUAACCACUUGUGUGCCACUAGGUUAUUAACCGUUUGUAAACUAGAGAGGUUCAAUUUUAACUGUUUUUGCACUGGAUGUGUGUUAGAAUAACUGUGCCACACCAGAACAAUGUUAAAUAUGUGUGCCAGAGAGAUAUUAACUGUGUGCUUGACUGUAUGUGUGCUGGGAAUCUAUAGUAACCAUUUGUGUGCCAAAAAAAAUACAAUGUUACAUUCUGUGUGCUUGAAUAGAAGACACGUGUGUCUGCUAUGUUAAAGGGACACUACAGUCACCAGAACAACUACAGCUUAUUGAAUUUGUUCUGGUGAGUAGAAUCAUGACCUUCAGGCUUUUUGCUGUAAACAUGGUCUUUUCAGAGAAAAUGCAGUGUUUACAUUACAGCCUAGUGAUAACUUCACUGGCCACUCCUCAGCUGUUAGAGAUCCUUCCUGGGUCAUGGCUGCCCAAAAUGCAUCCAAACAUUCAGCGUCUCCUCCCUCUGCAUGCAGACACUGAACUUUCCUCAUAGAGAUUCAUUGAUUCAAUUCAUCUCUGAGGAGAUGCUGAUUGGCCAGGGCUGUGUUUGAAUCAUGCUGGCUCUGCCCCUGAUCUGCCUCUUUGUCAGUCUCCGCCAAUCCUAUGGGCAAGCAUUGUGAUUGGAUCAGGCUACCACUUCUGCUGAUGUCAACAGGUAGGUCUAAAGGAAACAGGCACAAAGCACACAGCUGCAGACUUGAAUACAAGUAUGAUUUACUAUAUUUAGAGAGGCAAGAGGGGAUCAGGGUUGCUAGAUAGGUGUUUUAACCUUUAUAGAGUAAGGAAUACAUGUUUGUAUUCCUGACCCUAUAGUGCCCCUUUAACUAAGCUGGACGGGUGUUACAGUAACUCAUAGUUAUUUACUAAAGUGAGAAUUUAAAGUGUAUUGCAAAUUUAAGGUCAAAAUAACUAAACUUGAAAAACUAUUUAAAUUGGGUAUGCUUUCAAUUUGGCAACUUUGGCCUACAUUUGGAAUUCACUUUGAUUUUUCACUACAUAAACCUGUGUGUGUCCAUGCUGGGAGGGAAUUCUUUCCAAGAACACCAUUUUUUCAUCAAAACCAACUGAUUUCAGUUUUACUAGUAACCUCUUGUGUGGAGCCGGUUAAAAAGACAAAAGCAAAAUUCAAGUAGAUUAUUUCUACUGAAUCACUCUGAUCAAUAUUUCUAACUUUUACAUAGGCAUGUUGAUUACUGCUAAUGGUGUUUUUGUUCAAAAUUAAUUCUUGAAUUUUCUCUCUUAGCCCUUAAAAUAAUUUUCCAACUGCAGAUGUUGAGCUCAAUGGUCUGUAGUCACCGGGUUGGACGUUUUAACACUUUGUUGAUCUAAAUACCACAUCUGGUUUUUGUUUUUUUUACAGUUCUCUGGUACAACUCCUGACAGAAGAGAAUCCUGAACAAUUAAACAUUGGUAUAGAUAUUUCUACAGUAAGCACGUGUGUGUGAAUACCAUGUGGCCCUUAGCCUUCUGUUUAAAUUAACUAUUUAAUUCCUGAUACACAUUAUCCUGUGUUCAAUCACCUGUUUGCUGUAAGGCUUUUGUAAUAGUGACUUGCAAAUCCACAGAUAUAUAUUAUUCCCUAUAAAAAAUUAGUAUUUAGAAUUUCUGCCUUGUCCUGAUUGUCCCAUGUCAUGUUCCAAUGGCAUUAACGCACUUUACCUUUGUAGGGUUGACCUUGCUCUCUUUGGCCCUGUGCUUUUCAUUUUAAAGUUUAGCCCAUUUUUUACAAACCUUCUUGGCAUGUUUAUUCUAGGAUGCAAUCAACCACUCAUUUAAAUGCCCUUCUCUUUUUUAUUAUUUGACUUCUCCUUUUACUAAGCCAAAUUAAGUUUAUUUUGCUUAUUAUUUAUAUAUAAUAUAAUUUUUUUUUUUUUUUUUGGUACAGAGUAUACAUUUGUCCUUAUAUUAGACCUUCCAUUUAUCCUUUGGGCUUUUCCCAGUGAAUAUUUCCUGACAAUUCAUUUAAUCAGUUGUAAAGAUGCCCUUAUCCAAUGUAUUUUAGCCUUUUUUUUUAAUUUUAUUUUUAUAUAUGUCAUCUUUAUUUUGUGGUGUUUAAAUUGUAUAGCUUAUUUUUUUUCUCACACUAGCAUUUAUUACAUCAUCUAACAUGGAUAGUCUCUCACAACAUAUAUUUUUAUACGUUUUUAAAUAAUAAUAAUCCUGAAACUGCCAGAUAUUGUAUGCAUUUAAUAAAAGCAGCAUUGGGCACCCCUAGCAUACAUCAGGAAUGUGUAUAAAAUAGGAAUAUUGCUACUUUUAAAUGUCUGGUGUUUCUUAGCCUCCCUAUGAAUGUACAACGUUCUAGACAGAUUUUAAAAAUAUUUUGUGAAACUGGUCUUGCAUGUCUGUCAUUAAAUGCAUUGUGUUUUUUUAUUGAAGCAUAUCAAAGUUUACAGUGAACAUAGCUUACAAGGCUACUUUUUUAGUUCAACAUGAUUAGAACCUAUGACAGUUAAAGCUUUUGUCUGAAAUAAUUAUGCAGUAUAGUUAACAUCACAGACUGUCAGCAAGGUGUGUUGCAUGUUAUACAGAAAAGUGCAAAUAAAUUGUACUGUUUCAAAUGCUAAGGUGUGGUGGGGCAUUGAGAAAUCCUGGAUUAACAGUGUCAAAGGAGUAGUCAAAUCAUAGCAAAAAAUUUUUAAUUUUUUUCAUUAGCAAACUAACUCAAGUUCCUGGUGCAACUGUAGUAUCGCCGGCCAUAACCAAGAGACACAGUGAACUUUCAAAUUAGGAGGAUCUAGUCUCUGUGACUUGCUCAGGUGAUCUGUAGGGUUGGUUUCGAUAAGCCAGAGGUCCGGUUCUGUUUGGGGUAGAAAGGCUAGAUCCUGACACACACCUCUUGACAUGCGAGGUGUGUGUCAGGGUUCUUACCCGAGACGGGAGUCUGUAGUGCAGAUCUGUUUGCUCACCCUUGCAGCUAGACACAGUCCAAGGUAAUCAGAUAAGCCACAUGGACUGUGAAUCUGUGCACUGGGGCUGUGCAGGAAAGGUGAUUCCAAUGCAGUCCCGACAAGGACACAAACAGCAGGAUAGUCAAGGAAUAGCCAAAGCCAAAGGAUGCCAGAGGUCAGGAUAAUGAAGUGUAGCCGAAGUCAAGGGAUGCCAGAGAUCAGGAUAAACUAAAUCAGAAGUCGGGGUCAAUAUGGAGUUUAAGUUUGAUACUGGAACACAGGAACUGAACACAUACAACAGGAUCCAAGACCAAAAUAUAAAGGCAUAUCUCCCUUUUUUUUAAUCCUUUUAAAAAAAAAAAAAAAGUGUAUAUCAAUUCAAAUGAUUAGCCCAAUCACGUGUUAAUCCCAUCAAUUGUCCAACUGUCAUAAUGUUCCUUGUAUGCCAAUAUCUCAAGCUCUCUCAUUUCCCUACACAAGAUUCUAGCAUUAGCAGACAUUUAUCAUAUAAUUUUAUUUUUUUUCUCACCUUUUAAGAGCAACGAUUGGUUGUGAUAAAUGGUAUAAUAUAGUGUUUUAUUAUUCGUGUUUUUUUUUAUAUAUAUUCUACUAAUAUAUGGUAUACAGUGGAACUUCUUGCUACCAGUACUAAAAGCUUUUGUAGUUAUUUGUGGAUUCUACACUUUUUUUUUUUUUUUUUUAUCAUUUCCAUCCUUAGUUGUGUGCUCAAACUAUUUUAAGUGUAUAUCAUGCUAUGUUUUUAUGUUUCAUGCUAUGUAUUUUAGUAUGUAAUAAUGUCUCAAUAUUUUAAAUAUUUCAGGUCAAGGAGCAAGUAGUCAUAAAAAUUGUCAUUGAUACAAAGAAAUAAUGACUCUGUAACUACGUCUUGUAAAAUGUAUUUUUCCAUUAAUGAAUUAAAUUUCCUCUCAACCACUAUCAGCACUUGCACUGCCGUUGGAUGGCACAGUUCAUUGAUGACCAAAUCUGUGACAAAUCACCCAAGGAAUUAAUCCUGUAUAGUUCAGUGCUAAAACAUUCAGUGCAUGUACUACUUUUUCCCCAUGAAGAUAAAAUGGCAAGUGACUGAAAUUAUUCAUGGGUGGACUCGUUGGCUGAGAUAGAAGUCUGACAAGGAUGUCAUUUUCAAUGUGCACCAUAAAUGAAAGCGUAGAGAUGGCAUGCGAGAUAUCUUCAAAUUCAUGAAAGUGUCACAAAGCACCAAAGAUCAUGCAACUAUAGUUGCACUGGUUUUAUCUCUGCUGUUUAGUAGUAAAGCCACACCUCUCUUGGUUGAGACUCACACAACCUCCCUUGAUUUCUCUGCUCCAUGCAGCCAUCACAUUAAAAAGUUAGAAUUGGCUUGGGCAUCUGUGACACUUCCUGAAAAGAAGUCUACAUUUUUGCAUGGUGUGUUUUAUUUCAAGUUUCCUAUCUCCUCAUCUGCCAGUAGCCAGUUAGAGCCUUGAAUUUCCUCGUGUGUGAUUAGUAGUUUCAAUCAUUUGCUCUGUCAAACUUUAAAGUAAACACACUGUGCUGUAACAUCUGAAAAUUAAACCAUUUUUUUCAUGGAAGUUGUGUGGGUCACAGAAAGGGGAAGUGUGACUAUAACUGCACAAACAGAAACAAAUGUGAUUUUAUCUGAGCAAUGAGGCUGCAAGAAAAUAAUCUACACACAAACAGAUUUAUUAAACUAAAGUUGUCUUGGUUCAUAGACUGUGCUUUUGACAAAGUCACACAUGUAACUAUUACAAUAGUAAUAAGAAAAAACACAUUGGAUUAUGAUAAAGGCCUUUUUUCUUUUUUUUUUUCUUUGGUAAUGGGAAAUAGAAUAGUAAUUAUUGGACCAAUUCACUAUAUAAUGUAAGAUAAGCACUGGUAGAAAAAAGGAAUAUUAAAAAUAAAGAAUAAAUAGCACAGGUAGUUUGAGCAAGAAAUAUAAUAAAUAGAAAAAGGGAAAAAUGGGGGAAAUUAAUGCACUUUGCAAAAUAGACUAGCACAUUGGGGGAAAGAGAAGAUAUAGAUAUAUAUAUAUAUAUAUAUAUAUAUAUAUAUAUUUUAUUUUCAUACACAAUGAUAAAAUGAAUGAACACAAAAAUUUUAAGGCUAAUAUAUGGCAAUAGUGGAUGCUAGAUAAUCCAAAUAUAAGAAGUGUGUUAUUUAGUCACCUGGUAAACUUAUAGUUAAGUAUUUGUUUAAGUUGUAACAUCUAAUGUGAUGCUCCUCUUUAGGCUGUAGGCUGGAUAGAAAGUAGCCCAAAUGCAUAUAAUUAUAGAUAUUGGAAGGAAUCUUAUGUAUAGACACCCCUUGUCUAGAUCAACCAUUUAAAGGGACACUCCAGGCACCCAGACCACUUCUGCCUAUUAGAGUGGUCUGGGUGCCAACUCCCACUACCCUUAACCCUGAAAGUGUAAUUAUUGCAGAUUUUUUAUAAACCAAUAAUUACCUGGCAGGGUUAACUCCACCUCUAGUGGCUGUCUACUACUAGAGGGCACUGUGGGGAUAUUUAUGGGGUAUAAAAUAUUUUCAUAAAAAUUAUCAAAUUUAUUUUUUAUUAUAUCAAAAUUGAUAUCUUGAGAAUUACCCACUAUUUAAUUAUCUUAGAUUCUAGAGAACACCAUCAUUUUAGAAGAUUUUUACUCUAUACAAAUAAAUCACAAUUUGAUUUUAAAAAUAUAAUUUAUUGUGACAUAAUAAAAUAAUAUGUAACAUGAAUGAUGAUAAUCAGUGAAUACUUAGUAUAACAUAGGUAUACUAAAUAUGGCAAUGGUUUAAACAAGUUAAGCAUCUACAAUAUCAACUGUCAAGACUUACAAAAUGUAUGAGGGUCCUUCACACAGAACACAGAAAGCAAAACUUCACACAGAACACAGAAUUCCUCAGAGCGCAGCUAGAAGUCGUAAAAUCCUGGAUAUCAGCUCAUUAAUAAUUUCCUGGAACCAUCCUGUAACGGAUCGACGGGCACCCCCGACUGUGUACCUCCGUUGACUGAUGCUCCUAGCAUUUCCUGAGGGCUCCAAGCACUCCAGCUGACACCAUAACCACCGUAGACUCCUUCAAAGAGCAAAACUAGGAACAAGCUCUUACAAGAGCUUAGUAGUGAUAUAGCAAGGGAGUUUGACUAGCAUAGCAAUCCCUUGUAGCAGAUUGCCCCACUAAGAGACAGAACUCCAAAUUGAGAGUGAAGUAGAACUGAAGCUUUUAAUCAAACACUCUGCUUUUAUGCACAUAUUGCACACAUAGUACUGCCCACAGGGUUUUGCAAAACAACCACUCAAUACAUACAAUAUUUAAAAAGUUAGCUGAGAGUCCUUUAUGACCGACCGCAAGCACAUUUUCAUGCCCAAAACAGUUCCAUGGAUUUGGGCUGUGCGGUCGGUCUAUUUGACACUGAGAAAAUGACUAAGUCCCAUUCGAACAAGCAUGUUAGAAUCAUUGCCUUGUUUGUAUAACGCAUUCUUUAGCUCAUGCUUAAUGACUGGAGUUAGACUGAAAUUGUAUCUCUUUCUUAGCCUCAAAAAAUGGAGUCAGCUUUGUUUUAAGUGUGACUGGCAGUAGACACUUUUAAUUUCUAUUUUAGCACAAAAUGUCUGUUGAUAUAAAUAUUCUGAGAGCACUUCCUGGAUUAUAGCACAGAAAACCUGUGCUAGAGCAUCACUGGACAUCCUCACGCUGUGUGAGGACCUCCAACGUCACUCAAUUCCCCAUAGGAAAGCAUUGAAAUCCAGUAUUAAUGCGCAUUAGGUCUCCCCUGCCGGCGGGCAGGAUCAGUCCCGGUGUUCCGUCAGAUUACUAUACCUUGUCAGAAUGGUAUACCGGAAGUGACGCGGCCGCACCGGAAGUGACGCGGCCGCACCGGACAUGACGUUUCGGAGCUGGAGAAGGAGGAGCACCGCGCCGCGCAGGCGCAGAAGAACAGGUAGGAGAAAAUUUCUACCACGCUAGAGAGAGGAGCCCACCUACUGCGCAUGCGCGAACCCCACAUUGCGCCUGCGCUUGGAGCCACAAAGGGGGGGAGGUAGGGGCGCUAACGGGCCAGUGCGCACGCGCGCCUAAGUACUCCCGUCGGGCACAGACAGCGGGAUACACCGCGCGUGCGCACCAGCGGGCAGGGAGAUCGAUUCAGCCGAACAUUCAUCCGAUCUCCCUGCCCCACACUGCGCACGCGCCUACCUAGCCAGGACGCGCAUGCGCACUGAGGGGGUAUAGAAAUCUGAUGGCCAUAUCUUCUGCUAAGAAAUCUCCUACCCCUCAGUGCGCAUGCGCGGUGUCUGCACUGGAUCCUGACAUCCAUCAGUAAGCUCCCAACACUCUCAGCCAUCAGGGGGGACUGUACAGUAUGGGGGGGGUCUGUACAGUAUGGGGGGGUCUGGAUAGUAUGGGGGGUCUGGGCAGUAUGGGGGGUCUGUACAGUAUGGGGGGUCUGGACAGUAUGGGGGUCUGUACAGUAUGAGGGGGGUCUGUACAGUAUGGGGGGGUCUGUGCAUUAUUGGGGGGGCUGCACAGUAUNNNNNNNNNNNNNNNNNNNNNNNNNNNNNNNNNNNNNNNNNNNNNNNNNNNNNNNNNNNNNNNNNNNNNNNNNNNNNNNNNNNNNNNNNNNNNNNNNNNNUGUCCAGACCCCCCCAUACUGUACAGACCCCCCCCCCAUACUGUACAGUCCCCCCUGAUGGCUGAGAGUGUUGGGAGCUUACUGAUGGAUGUCAGGAUCCAGUGCAGACACCGCGCAUGCGCACUGAGGGGUAGGAGAUUUCUUAGCAGAAGAUAUGGCCAUCAGAUUUCUAUACCCCCUCAGUGCGCAUGCGCGUCCUGGCUGGGUAGGCGCGUGCGCAGUGUGGGGCAGGGAGAUCGGAUGAAUGUUCGGCUGAAUCGAUCUCCCUGCCCGCUGGUGCGCACGCGCGGUGUAUCCCGCUGUCUGUGCCCGACGGGAGUACUUAGGCGCGCGUGCGCACUGGCCCGUUAGCGCCCCUACCUCCCCCCCCUUUGUGGCUCCAAGCGCAGGCGCAAUGUGGGGUUCGCGCAUGCGCAGUAGGUGGGCUCCUCUCUCUAGCGUGGUAGAAAUUUUCUCCUACCUGUUCUUCUGCGCCUGCGCGGCGCGGUGCUCCUCCUUCUCCAGCUCCGAAACGUCAUGUCCGGUGCGGCCGCGUCACUUCCGGUGCGGCCGCGUCACUUCCGGUAUACCAUUCUGACAAGGUAUAGUAAUCUGACGGAACACCGGACGUAAUUAAGGGGAGGAGCGGUGGCGGCGGAGGAAGAGGCAGAGACGUGUGACAUGAUUUGACUCUGAAGUGCAUUUCUUUGAACAUGCAGGGUUUAAAUAACCCAUUUAAAAGAAAACUUUUAUAUGAAUUACUCAGAAUCGGAUAGAUAUAGCAAUGAUUCAAAAAACUCACUGGAAAAGGAGUGGCCAUUAUUCUCUCAAAAAGGCUCCAUAAGGAAAUAAUAUAAUCUGAGGUAGACAAUAAUGAUAGAAACCAGAUUUUAGUAUGCAAAAUAGACGCGGUUAAUUAUACUUUUGUACAUCUGUAUCUCCCUAAUGUAUUACCAACAAAGUACCUAAAGAAGAUAAUGGAAAGAGUGGAAAAAGUCAAAUUGGGAUUAUUAGUUAUUACUGGGGAUUUCAAUUGUGUUCCUGACAUAGUAUUAGAUAAAAAAAAAUUAAAAAAAUUAGUACACAAUUAAAGAAACAAUCUAGUAUCUUAAGAAAUAUUAUGCAAAAAAACUACUUAGUGGACAUAUGGCGUAUAUAUCACGCAGAAGAAAAAGAAUAUACACACCACUCGAGAGUACAUCAUUCAUUGUCUAGAAUUGAUUUGGUUUUGGGAGAGAACACCUUAGUAGAACAAACACAGAAUAUUAUAAUAAAGGAUAAUCCUUGGGCGGACCAUAGUUAUCAUUUGUUUGAUAUAAAGGAAAAGAGAAGAUACAAACCUUUUAAUUCAUUGCAACUGGAUAAUAUCCUGCCUAAUAUACAAGACCAAAAGCAAAUAAGAAAUUUAAUAGAAUUGUACUUUAUUGAAAAUAAAACGGAAGGAUUGUCUUAUGCAACCAUCUGGUGUGCCUUUAAAGCCGUUGUAAGAGGGUAUUUGAUAAAACUCAAAAGUAAAAUCCAAAGAGAAAAAGGUGUCUUGAGGGAAGAAUUAUAUAUAGAGUACUAUAAACUAUCUAAAAAUAACAAAUAUCUAACCGAUGAAACGAUAAAACAAUUAGAGGAGAUUCAAAAUAAAAUAAAAUAGAAAUAGAAUGCAUUAAUAAAAAUUUUGAGAAAAUUAAUUUCUAUCAUGAUAACAAUAAAAUAACUAAUAAACUUAAAAGGAAAUCAGGGAAGAAUAGGAUAGCAAGCAUGAAAAAAGAACAAAUAACAUAUAGAAAUCCAGAGACUAUAGUUUGGUGGCCAGGAACUGGAAGCAGUCGUCUGAAAUUUGCUACAUUUAAUGGGUAAAACAACUGACAAUGUAGGUAAAAAUACACAAUACGGUGGAGUAAAAAAAAUGUAAAUAAGAAUAAAUUGCUGGGAGAAAAAAGUUUAGAUAUGACGAUAACAUUUAUGUAAUGUCUUAGUAAAACAUGUACUUUAGAGCUUCACUCCAGCACCAGUCCAGCACUUACCCCACAUUUGUAGAAUGUUGUAUGUAAUGUUAUUAGUGGAUGUUGUAUAAUCUGAAUGUUUGUCUAAUAACUGCAGUAUAAUUAUAUAUGUUUUAUAAUGAACAAUGUUUUUGUAUGUAUGCCAUUAUAUAUAUAGUGUUCAAGUAGAGAUUGUAGCCGUAUUACUCCAGUGAUGUAGAUGUAAAAUUCAGAUAAAAUUCGUAUCUUGUAAUAGCUUUUUGAUUGGACUAACAGCAUUUUUUAAUGACAAGCUUUUGGGAGAACCUCCCUUUUUCAAGUCUGAAGCAUUUCUGAGCAAAGAAGACACAUAAAAGCUGAGUUGUGAUACAGGGGUUAAAGCGACAUGAGUGUAGAUAAGACACAGGUUUGUUAGAAAAUAGACACCAUUUUUGCAGAAGGUCAUAAAUAUCUUUCAGAAGAGCAGAGUGAGGGGGGAGAGAGGGAGAAGUAAAACAAACAAGCAGACAGUGCAGAGGAUGGUACACUUUAUACAUGCACACACACAUAAAUAUGUAUAAGUGAACGCAUAAACACAUGUACAUAUACAUAAACACAUAUACAUACAUGUACAUAAACUAAUAUACACAAAUAUACAUGCACUGUCAUAUAUAUAAGCAUACGUACGAUAUUGAUAGAAUAAACAUAUUGGAAUGCGUGGUGAAGUGUUGAUACAUUUGACAGAACAGUAAGAUAAUGUUGGGGAAGUGUUCAUGUAAAAUGUUGGUAGUGGGACAGGAAACCCAAAUCAAUAUUUAGUCCUCUAUUCUUGCUGUUAAACCAUUUAAUCAUUCUGGCUUCAAAAGUUUUUCUUUCUUGGGUAUUUUUAAACCCCCCUUUCAGUACUUUGAUUUUUAGGUCCUUCAGUGAGUGGCCAGGCUGGGUAAAGUGGUGUCCCACAGGAGUGCAGUAGGAUUCUUCUUUGUGGUGUUUAAUAGAGUGUCUGUGCAUAUUCAUUCUGCCAUUUAAUUGCUGGGUGGUUAACAUCCUAGGUGGUAUUUGGUGCAUUGAAUCAUGUAUAUCACAUUGCUGGAUGUGCAGGAGUAUGAACCUUUAAUGCUGUAGGUUUUAUUGUUGUGUGUGGCUGUGUUGUCUGUGCAUACGUGCUGACACAGUUUGCAGCGAGAUUUUUUGCAUUGACUGGUCACUCUGCUCUUCAGAAAGAUAUUUAUGACCUUCUGCAAAAAUAAUGUCUAUUUUCUAACAAACCUGUGUCUUAUCUACACUCAUGUCGCUUUAACCCCUGUAUCACAACUCAACUUUGAAUUCUAUGUGUCGUCUUUGCUCAGAAAUGCUUCAGACUUGAGAAAGGGAAAAAGGAAAAAGGGAAAAGGAAAGCUUGUCAUUAAAAAAAAAAAAAAAUCUGUUAGUCCAAUCAAAAAGGUAUUACAAGAUUCGAAUUGUAUCUGUUUUUCACACACAUAUAUCCAGCCUCUUCUGACCCCGGUCAUCGUCAUAGAUCACGUCCCAGGGACUCCUAAACCGUAAGUUAGACCUACCUGUCAUGCCAGGAUCGGUUCCCACGGCGUCCGGUACAGCACGGGUCCAUGCUUUACUUUUUUCCCCCUGUUAUGCAGCAAUUGAACAUAACAUUUUUCGCGGUUUCAUUUAGUGCGGUAUUUGGCUAAUCAGUUUAUUAGUUAAAGGCUGUCAUUUCACAUAAAACUGUUCCGUGUUGCAGUGAAACAAGUUAUCCUUCCGGUUGUUUCGCCAUUCGGCACUUAUUCAUGAUAUGCUUAAACACGCUUGCACGUUCGCAUAAAAUUUCAUGCAUAUAAACUGUUCGUUUCAGUCUCUGUUUCCCUCGCCAUAGGGUUUUGUUUUUUCUUGCUAAAUGUAUUUUGCAUGUAUAUACCAUGCGGUUAACGAUUUUGUUUUGCUUAAUACAUAUAUAUUAAUUCUAUUACUGUUUAGAGGUAUCAGUAUUGUAUUGGUCAAACCAGCUCACAUAUCUGUAUGGAUCAUUUUGACUCUCACGCUUUCAGGGGUUUUCCACAUUUCAGUCAAAUUGGUUCAGCCUUUCAAUUACAGGCCUCAUUUCUGUGUUUUUAAACUAUGACACAACAUAUACAUAAGGAUACAGUUUCCUUUUCCAAAUCAUGAAUUCUCGGGUUGAAUCACACCAUUACACGCCAUUACAGCCAACCAAUCAUAUGUCUUUUACAUUACAGUAAUAUUAUAUACAACUUUACAUCACUUCAAAUAAUUGUUUUCAUCCCUGCCCCUUUGUUGUUGUCAAUUAAAUAUAAGCAUACCACCCCAUCCAUCUUUUUCACUUGACACCCAUUAUACAUCCCCCCCGUUUCUAGCCAGAAUUUGGCAUAAAGACACAGUAUUACUUGGUCUUUGUAACACAUUUAUAUUGUCAUGGUAUAUCUCUACACUUCAUUUACCAUUAAAACUCCAACCAAGCCCUUAAAAAACACCGCUGGUACGGGCUACACAGUCUACAUUAUUCCCACACAGUCCACACUCACUAUAUUACCCGUUUCAGGCUGUCCAGGUUUAUAUAUAUUUCACCACACGAAUUCGCUGUGAGAUAUUCAUACUACCAGGUACGUAUGCCUGCUCAUAUGGUAUUCUGCCAUACAUUUCAUUUCUCCCCCCUAGGUUAGAGUACUGGCAAUAGGAUCAAAGGCUCCCCAAUAGGUAUUUACCCCUUCUUGGCAUUUGCCAUUAGUUAGUGGUCCCGCGAGGCCAACACCCGCCUCAACGUUUCGGAGGCAAACACCCAUCGGGCCACACGUGAGCUAGUCGCCUCGCAUGUCGCAUAGAGAGGGCCUCACCUGUCACUCCCUUUCCCUGUUUUUCUGUGUUACAGUCACCGAGAGGCCUACAAUCUUGCCACCACGACGAGUGGCCUCAAAUCCCCUCGCGCCAACGCAUGGAUAGAGCCUCUCAAGCCACUUGGCAACUAGUAGGGCCUAACCUCUCACCAAACAAGUGUAAUGUUUCGCCAUCCGGCUUAGCUAGCCUUGCCAGUAUGAUCUUGGUGGUUUUCAUACACUAAUUAAUUGUUUUAUUUUAGUAUGUCUCAGGAAGGGGUAGAGGAUUUCUCCCUGCCUAGCACUCUGGCUAGAGCUAUCACUCCUACACAAGGAGGAGAGGUAACUAGUCCAGCAUCAAUCAGAUCCUGGACGAUCCCUCGUAUAACUAUGGAAUUGAGGAGACGGCAAAUCCCCUACCCGCUACAGCAAGGAAAGCAGCACUUUUCAAACUGCUACGUACUUCAACUAACAACAUGGAUGCCGGGGAAGGACCUAGCCAGUCCAACCCAGGAGACAUACAUUCCAUGUUGUCAUCACUCAUGGCAUCCAUGAGCAAGGUCAACUCCAGGCUGGAGAAACUUGAGUCGGUCACCACGGCCCUUACUCUAGCAGGGCCACCCGCUGCUGCUUCACAAGCACCAGCCGACUUACUAUUAGUUGCUCCAGCCAUCACCCAGGUUGACCAGGAAGUUAGCCCUGCUCAUAUGAUCCCUGAGCACAUUAAAAGAGAUAUCCUGGAAGGUAAAGACGUCAACCUGGCUUCUCUACUGAUUGCCUCCCAGGAUAUUGUGGAGAAUAAGACUUAUGCUUAUGAUGAUGUGUCUGUUGUUGUCAGAUCUAGGGACGCCCGCCUAAACAGGAAACUGACUAUUCCCGAGUUUGUACUGGCUUUUGGUAUUUACUGGGAUGUCAUCUGUGUGGUCUUUCCCAAUAGAUGAGAGGAGUUCGAUCUUUAUAUGCAUAAGACCUGUGCAACAAAUAUGGUGGAUCAGCCUUUUAUGACUACCAUAGGUCUUUUUCUGCAAACGUGUCUGGAGCCUUCUCCCAGUAUGGAACAAGAUCCAACGGGGGAAGGAUUGAUACCGUCAUAUUUUGCAGACACUUUGCAGGUCUAAGAACACCGGCUUGUGCAUAUUGCUCCUCUACUGCACAUACGAAAAAUUUCUGUCCCAACACGGUGGACGAAAAUGCCUCCAUGCAAGGAGCUAGUUCCUCUGGUGUUCCAGAGAAAUUGACCAGAGACAAACUGGGACGCCUGAUCAAGUUUCUGGGCAAGUCCCAGAUAUGUAAUAAUUUCAAUGUUGGGUCUUGUAAUUAUAGUGGUUGCAGAUUAUUGCAUAUCUGUUUAAAAUGUUUUAUGGCACAUGCAAAAACCAUGUGUCCAAAUAAAAUGUACUCUAAGCCUUAUCGAACGUCCAUAAAUAUUUCGGUAUUUACAGCAUUUCUGUCACAUCGCCCAUCUAAACACUUGGUAGACUUUCUUAUCUCUGGUUUAACAGAAGGCUUCCACAUGGGUAUUCUACACAUACCGUCCAGGAUCCUGGAAUGCCCUAAUCUACAAUCAGCACAACACAACUGUGUCAAUACUUGGUAUCUAACUAUUGUUCGAUAUAUCAUUGCCCCUAUAUUGUCAAAAGUCUUGGAAAAAUGUGUCCACAUGCAACUAUGUGAAUAUUAUCAACAAUCAAACUAUCUGACCCCUGAUCAAUCAAGCUUUUGUCCAAAUCACUCAACUUCGAUGAUGCAAUGACAUCCAAAUGGCAUGGAACAGGGAGACCUAACUGGAGCUAUUUUCCUUGAUUUUGCCAAGGCCUUUGACACAGUAGACCAUGGCAUUCUAUUGAAAAAACAUAAAAACUCAAGUAUACAAGCAAAACAGGUGGUUACUGUGUUUAGUGUGCUUGCAAAUAUUGUAAAAUAGAAGAAGCAGCUACACAGUGGGUUUCUCUUACACCCACUGUAUACCGUAGUAAACAAAGUGAAUUAGUAAGAUAUGUGUAUUGUACUCAAAUCUAUACUAAUUGGAUGAGUGGAGCGCUGUGCAAAACAUAAAAAUAUAAUCUUAGCCUAAAAUAGGGUGUAAAGCUUGAAUGUACAAUCAAUACAUAUAGGGAGACACAGAAUAAAAUACAGUUUCAAGAAAAAGUAUGUGAACCCUUUGGAAUGAUAUGCAUUUCUGCACAAAUUGGUCAUAAAAUGUGAUCUGCUCAUCAGAUUAAGCUUAAGUCACAACAAUAGACAAUCACAGUCUGCUUAAACUAAUAACACACAAAGAAUGAAAUGUUGCCAUGUUUUUAUUGAACACACCAUGUAAACAUUCACAGUGCAGGUGGAAAAAGUAUGUUAACCCCUAGACUACUAAACACUAAACAAGAAUGGAUUUCAUGGGAGGAUAAAACAGAGGAAGCCACUGCUGUCCAAACAAAACAUUGCUGCAAGUUUACAGUUUGCACAAGAGCACCUGGAUGUUCCACAGCAGUACUGGCAAAAUAUUCUGUGGACAGAUGAAACCAAAGUUGAGUUGUUUGGAAAAAAAGGCACAGCACACCAACAUCAAAAUCUCAUCCCAACUGUGAAGUAUGGUGGUGGGGGCAUCAUGGUUUGGGGCUGCUUUGCUGCGUCAGGGCCUGGACGGAUCGCUAUCAUCGAAGGAAAAAUGAAUUCCCAAGUUUAUCAAAACAUUUUGCAGGAGAACUUAAGGCACAUAGCUGUCUACCAGCUGAAGCUCAACAGAAGAUGGGUGUUGCAACAGGACAAUGACCCAAAGCAUAGAAGUAAAUCAACAAUAGAAUGGCUUAAACAGAAGAAAAUACGCCUUCUGAAGUGGCCCAGUCAGAGUCCUGACCUCAACCAGAUUAAGAUGCUGUGGCAUGACAUCAAGAAAACGAUUCACACCAGACAUCCCAAGAAUAUUGCUGAACUGAAACAGUUCUGUAAAGAGGAAUGGUAAAGAAUUACUCCUGACCGUUGUGCACGUCUGAUCUGCAACUACAGGAAACGUUUGGUUGAAGUUAUUGCUGCCAAAGAAGGUUCAGCCAGUUAUUAAAUCCAAGGGUUCACAUACUUUUUCCACCUGCACUGUGAAUGUUUACAAUGUUUACAUCAGUGUUUUCAUUUCCUUCACUGUUGCUGCUUAAAGGGACACUCCAGGCACCCAGACCACUUCUGCCCAUUGGAGUGGUCUGGGUGCCAUCUCCCACUACCCUUAACCCUGCAACUGUAAAUAUUGCAGUUUUCAUAAACUGCAAUAUUUACAUUGCAGAGCUAACUCCUCCACUAGUGGCUGUUUACUAGACAGCCACUAGAGGGCACUUCCUGGUUUAUAGCACAGGUUUUCUGUGCUAUAGCAUCGCUGGACGUCCUCACGCUAUGUGAGGACCUACAGUGUCGCUAAAAUCCCCAUAGGAAAGCAUUGAAAGCAUUUUUCAAUGCUUUCCUAUGUAAAGGUCUAAUGCGUGUGCGCGGCAUUUCCGCAAUAGGUCUCACCCCGCCGGUGGCCACGCAUGAGCAAUCUGUCUCCCCCGCUGGAUGACGGCGGGGGAGGAGCAUGGGCGGACCCAAAACCAGUUUAAACCCCUUCAGCACCCUGGGAUGGGGGGUGGGAGGGAGAGGAGACCUGCAGUGCCAGGAAAACGGUUUGAUUUCCUGGCACUGGAGUGUCCCUUUAAAUAUGACAGGUGUGGGUCCUAUAGGUCCUUCCCCAGGCCGUUCCUCCAAUCAAGGUCCAGGAUGAUCAGGUCAAGUCACACAUCUCCAGUUGAUUAAGGUGAUCGGGAGCGACGUGACAUCCCCAUUCACAUCACUUCCGAUUCCAUCACCGCCAUUUUCCUUGUGGGCGCAUAUCAACAAAUAUAAACCGGAAGUAACGUGACGAAAUGUAUUCGACCGUCACUUCCUAUUUUGUUCACGGUUUCCAUUUUAGAUAUGGGAAUCAGUAGGAAUAUGAUUGCAGUUUUGCCCUUACAUCAACACUCUAUGGCUGAAAUUUUCACCACAAAAGUAGUAAGGAAAAAAGGGAAACAAAGUAUAUUGAUUUUAGUUGGGUUUUUUUUUAUGCAUAAUAGUGUAUCUUUCAAAUCUAAAAUCAACAAAGUCUCCAAUAAAUCAAGUAGUCAUUUAGGAUAGUCAAUUUGAAGAAAAAUAAAUAAAUGUUUGUAUUUAAAUGUCUGGAAUAAAAAUCCAAUUUAAAAAAUACUAUAUUAUUGGUGACAUUUUCAAUUUCGAUAUUAUUAAAAUGUGUUGUAUGUGCAAAAUAUUGAUGAUCAAUCCUCAUUCCCCUGUUUUUAAAACUAUCUUUGGUAAUUCAUACAGGGGUAUAAUAUGUAAGGGUAUAAAAUAAUUUUUAAAAUAUAGUAUAUUUAGAUAAAAUUGCAUAUUUCAAAAUCGCUAUUAAGAUCGCCAGGAAGUAAAGUGUCUAAAUUAAAAAUCCACUUCAUCUCAAUCUGCCCUAUUUUUUUAAUUCAAUUUUCCACUCAUAUAUGUAUUUACUAACUGAAUGCCAUCAAAUUGUAGCUUUGUAGUCCUUUGGCCUUCACAUUGAAAAACUCUCUUCAAAACUUUAUCCAAUGUACAGUGGCACAUCCUGCCUUAGCCCUACAGAAAGGAAACAGUGCAACAAAUGUGAAUGCCUGACAUUGAAUAUGGAUAUGUAGUAUGUAUGCACCUGCACUGCAAAUCCACCUUCAUAAAAGUGAUACAACUGAUAUAACUCGUUCUGCCACUUUGUACUACUAUGUAAUUACAUGACCUACCGUUGUGACAUGAUAAAAGAUCUAAACUGCAUAUCGCUGGAAUCCCGAUGCACCUUUCAUCUGUUCAAUGUUGAGCUUUUCUGUGAAGCUUCCACCCUACCUAAGUAGAAUGUUCUCCCAAGUUGUUUCCACCUUCUAUAACCUCCGAUCCAAUACCAGCAAUGUAUUUAGCAUACCGCAACACAAAAAUAAAGUGGCUUGGUCCUCAUUUUCCUACUGAGUACCACAAAUCUGGAAUAACCUCUAGGACACAGUCAAAAGUUCAUUCAAUCUAAAAUCUUUUAAGAGAUCUAUGGUGACAUACCUCAAUAUUUCUAGAAAAAUAAAACUUCCACAACCAAAGGAUCUGUCUACUAACAUCUAUGUGUCAUUGUACUAAUGGUAAUAUUCUACCAUGUUGAGUGUAAGAGUACACAAACCUUAGAAGGGAACUGCACCUGAUGCUUUAGUGUUAUAUGUUUUUAAAUGCUUGUUAAUAAACCACAAAGUUCAAACCCAAAGAGAAAAUUAUGAAUCUUGGUAUACAAUAACUGAAUAUGGUUAGAUUUGCCAUAAUAAAUUCCAGGGGAUUGAAUUCACUUCAUAAUAUGUCUAUAAUGCUAGAAUUAUUAAGAAAACAAAAAAUAGAUAUUUGUAAUAUCCAAGAUGCUCACUGGAGAUCCUUCUGAUAGUUUUUACUUUGGUAAAAAAAUGUUUUCCUCUUUGGAUGUAAAGAGGAAAAUCUCUAAAGAUUUGGAUUUUAAACUGUGUUCUAUAGCAUCCUUAAGGCGCCAGUCCUAAAUGCCGGGGGGUAGCAAAGAAUGUCCCUACCAUCCUCAAUACCCAAUUCCCGUUGAUUUCCUGACAGCGGUUGUAAUCCUGGGGUCUGCCUGAAAGCCCAGGCAGUCUCCCUCUGGCAGAUUCUGCCCUCCCGGGCCAUGUUUCCAGCAGGGGGUCUCCAUAUAAUUCAACAAAGACUCCUCCUCGGAGUCUCUGUGUCUGGGACAUAAUUGAGUGUAUUCUGGGUACAAUGCACAAAAUAUUAAACACCCCAAAACAUGCACAAUAUUACAAGGGACCCCCACAAGUCCUAUAUCCCUGGAUAACCUAGAUCUGAGUGCCCAACAUACCUACAAAGCGCUCAAAUCCCACAAACACAGCCGAAUCGCCAAUGGAGUAAAGGUUUGACGGACCGCAUAUGUAGCUUCUGCCCAAAAUUGUUCCAUAAGAAAAGUGGUAGCGCUUGUUCACUUUCGGGAGUCCCAAAAUGACAUAAAUAACAAACCAAUACUCUGGUUUCCAGGUAGCGAUUGUUCACCUAGUUUGUGCGAACAAUCCUACCAAACAACACUCUCCUGAGAUGGUUAGAAAAGAAGGCGUUCGUGCCACUCUGCCAAAUACUUGGAAUAACAAAUUGUUAAAAGAUGAAGGAGGUGUCAGGAGAGGUUAAAAGGGGUUAACAAGCCCAGAGGAGGUCCGCAAUUCGUGGGUUUGUUUGGUAACUGGACUGAAGAAGGAACAACGUAUGAACAGAGUAUUUUAGUCCCUUUCGGGAGUUCCAUGUGACCAAAAUACUGAUCCUAAUCCAAAAGUAUAACAUGGAGUUAGUUCACCUCAUUCAGAUGAACGAUUCCAUCGAACGGCGCUCUUCCAGGAUGUAAAGUACCGAACACAGGCAGGAUGGAAGUUCAGCGGUGUUCGCAAGGUCGAGCGUCCGAUUUUAGUUCCAUACACUCAACCAAACACCGCUGCCUGCGUUCACGAGAACAAGAUAGCCGCCACCACGUGUUCGGACAUACGAAUGGCAGUCACCCAAACAAACACUUAGAACACUGCUGGCAGAUUCGUUGCCAGGUGUCAAUAAUGUUUAACCCCUUAAGACCGGAGGGCGUACUAUUACGUCCUCUAAUAGGCGGCUCUAAACGCCGCCGGGCGUAAUAGUACGCCCUCCGGUCUUUCUGUACUUACCCGGUCGCCGGCGGUCCCACGCCGGCGAUCGCGGUGGGGGGGACUCCCAGGGAGCCCCCCGCGGCACGACCGUCCUCCAGGAAGCCCCCCGGCCGUGUGAGAGUGGGGUCCUAGCGAGGACCCCACAAUCACAUGGCCGGGUAUAGCUGGCUUCUGUAUUGCCAGCAGGGGGGCUGCCUGUAAUUACAGGGGGUCCCCCUGCUGGCUGAAAAUAAAAGUAAAAUAAGUUAAAAGUGUAAAAAAAUAAAAUUAUAUAUACUUAGAUCAUAUAUAUAUAUUAUAUAUAUAUGAUCAAAGUAUAUAUAUACACAUAUACAUACACACAUGUACACCGUCUAGGUGUAUUUUACUAUUAAUAUAUAUAUAAUUAUAUAUAUAUAUUAAUAUCAAAUUACACGUACACUGAUACUGAUUAAAUAUAUAUAUAAUUAUUGUUAUAUAUAUAUUUAUAUAUAUUAUAAAAAAAAUUAAAAUGUAAAUACGCUAAAAAAUAAAAUUACAAAAAUAAUUAAAAAUAAAUAAUUAAAAAAUAUAUAGAUGUGUGUUAUUUCGUUCUAACUGUAUUGUGAAAUUAUAUAUAUAUAUAUAUCAAAAUACACAUAGAACGAAAUAAUAUAUAUAUUUAUACACAUAAAUAUAUACGUAUAUAUCACUAUAUAUAUACCUAUAUAUAAAUAAAAAUAUUUAAAAAAAUUAUAUAGAUAUAUACAUAUAUAUACACAUACGUAUAUAUAUACAUAUAUUGAUUCUACAUAUAUAUUUAUGUAAUAUUUUUACAUAAUUAGGUAUCUUAAUUAAUUACAAUUAGCAGGACCUGCAUGACAACCCAUGCCGAAAGUAAAGGGAAUUUAAUUUGCUAGCACUAUAUUUAACCCUAUAACUUUCCGAGACACCAUAAAACCUGUACAUGGGGGGUACUGUUCUACUCGGGAGACUUCGCUGAACACAAAUAUUAGUGUUUCAAAACAGUAAAAUGUAUUACAACGAUGAUAUCGCCAGUAAAAGUGACGUUUUUUGCAUUUUUCACGCACAAACAGCAUUAAACGGACAAUAUUAUUGCUAUGAUACUUUUUACUGUUUUGAAACACAAAUAUUUGUAUUCAGUGAAGUCUCCCGAGUACAACAGUACCCCUCAUGUACAGGUUUUAUAGUGUUUUCAAAAGUUACAGCGUCAAAUAUAAGGCUUGCGUUUCAUUUUUUUCACAAUAAAAUUCGCCAGAUUGGUUACGUUGCCUUUGAGACCCUAUGGUAGCCCAAGAAUGAAAAUUACCCCUAUGAUGACAUACCAUUUGCAAUAGUAGACAACCCAAGGUAUUGCAAACAGGGUAUGUCCAGUCUUUUUUAGUAGCCACUUAGUCACAAACACUGGCUAAAAUUGGCGUUUUUUGCAUUUUUCACACACAAACAAAUACUAACGCUAACUUUGGCCAGUGUUUGUGACCAAAUGGCUACUAAAAAAGACUGGACAUACCCCAUUUGCAAUACCUUGGGUUGUCUACUAUUGCAAAUGGUAUGCCAUUAUGGGUGUAAAUUUCAUUCCCGGGCUACUAUACAGUCUCAAAGGCAACGUAACCAAUCUGGCGAAUUUCAAUUUCAAAUGUAACGUGCUAUAUUUGACCCUGUAACUUCCCAAAACGCCAUAAAACCUGUACAUAGGGGGUACUGUUUACACGUGAGACUUUGCUGAAUACAAAUAUGUGUAUUUUAUUGCAGUAAAAGCAAACAGUAUUAUGACAUUGACCAUUAAAAUGUCAUGUAGAACUAAAAAAUUUUUAAAAAAUCAUAUUUUCUCCCAUUUUUUUCAUAUUAAAUUAUGUUUCAUAGCUAAAUAUUUGAUAUUAAAUGAAAGCCCUGUUUCCCCUGAAUAAAAUGAUAUAUAAUAAGGGUGGGUGCAUUUACUAUGAAAGAGGUGUAUUACGGUUGGACAGACAUGUAGCGGAAAUGCCAGGUUUUGUUUACAUUUUGUUUUGUUCACAACGUGUACAUUUGGCUCCGUCCUUAAGGGGUUAACAAGCUCCCGGGUGGUCUUUAGUUCGGGAGUUGAUUCAGUUCCCGAACCUAAAUGUAAAUCCCACAAACCUUUUCACAUGGUUUUUACAGGGCCCAUAGUCUUUAGGCAGGAGGCUGGCAAGCAGGCUCCUCCUGGAGCCCGUGGCGAGUUUACAUUCGCCACAAUAGAUAUUCCAUUUAACCUCAGUGUUCUUUUCACUAAAGAGUUUAUGCCAGUCAAUAUAUUGUAAAGUUGCCCUUUUUAAACUUAUAUGUUUUAGUAUACCCUAUUUGCUUUUGUUUUUAUAUAUUUCAAAGGACACUAUAUUGUGAUCACUAUUUCCUAAGUGCUCACCUACUUAAAUGUUGGUCAAAAGAUCAACGUUGUUUGUUAGAACCAGGUCCAGACAAGUGUCCUUUCUAGUAGGUGACAUGAAGAUGUCCUUUAACAAGUACAAAAAACUAAUUUCCUUUGCUGAACUACUAGUCCCUCUGUCCCAAUUUAUUACCAGGUAUUUAAAAUCUCCAAUAAUGAAUGUGUUACCCAGAUUUGCAGCUUUCUUAAUUUGCUCAAACAGCUGUUGUUCCUCACAUUAGGUGUUUUAUAACAUAUCCCAACCAAUAAUUGAUUUGCAUCCUUUUGCCCCAAGCAGAUAUUUACCCAUAAAGCUUCCACAUUUUCCUCAUUACAUUCCACUUGCUUGAGAUUUGGCUUUAACUCAUGGUUGACAUACAAAUAUACCUCACCACCUUUCCUGUUUUUUCUAUUCUUCCUAAAUAGUGUGUACCCAUUUAAGUUAAUUGCCCAGUCAUGUGUCUCAUUCCACCAUGUUUUAGUUAUGCCUAUUAUGUCAUAUUGGUUAGUGUUUGCUAUUGCCUCUAGUUCCACCAUUUUGUUAUUUAGGCUCCUUGCAUUAGUAAGCAUACAUUUAUUACUAUCAUGAGUCACUUACACUUUUUAUGAAUUUUUAUCCAUUGCCCCUCGCCCCAUCUCCACCCCCCUUAUACUGAGCUAAAGCCCAUCUACUUUCUGUCCUAUCUCCAUUUUGUAGAUUACUAUGACCCUCCCCCUUCUACUAGUUUAAAAUCUCCUCCAACCUUUUUGCCAUCUAGGUUGAGACAGAGUGAUUGUGAAAGAGUUGGAGAUGAGUAUGGCAGGUGUGACAGGAUUAAGAGGGGGUUAAUAUAACAGGGUGAGUGUGGCAUUAUUGGGGUGUGACAAUAUAGGAUAGGUUAGUUUGAUAGGAUGAGUGACAGAAUAAUGGAGGAUAAGUGGAACAGGGUUGGGGGGUUAUUGUGAUAGGAUGAGUGUGGCAGAGUGAAGGGAGGUGAGUGUACCAUGGGUGAGUGUGACAGGAUCAGGAGGGUUUAGAGUUGGAUUAUUGUGAGUGUGACAGGGUGAAGGGGAAGUGACAAUGUGUGGGGAUGCUGUGUUCAGUGAACAGCCUCUUUAACUUUAUUAUGCAGCAAUAAAUUCCCUGGUGUACCAGCGGUCUCCAUUCUGGUGGUCCAGAGGCCUUGCAAUCUGCACCACCAUAUCUAAUCUUGCUAUCCAGUAUUCAGCUCUGUCUGGUGCAGAGAUGCAGACCAUGUGAUUGUUGUCUUGGAAGCUCUGGCACUUGAAGUGUCAUAGCAUUACCUGGGUAACCCGCUCAUUGACAAUUACUCCAUUGUCUUCAAUUUUGCACCCGGCUGAGCUAUAUACCUGAGGUUGUGAGUGGAGCAGAGUGAGUGGAGGGGCCCUGCAUCCGGGAGCAAACAGGGCAAGCUGCUGGGCCCUCUCUCUGUCGGGACAAAUCAGUCUGCCCUACGGUGAGUUAGGCGGUUGCGAGGCUUUAGUCACAGUAACCCCCUUGGUCAUGCCACACUCACCCUGUCACAUUAACAGCCCUAAUUCUGUUACACUCCCUCCUCUAAACAUGCCACAAUAACCCUGUCACAUGAACCCUCCUAAUAAUGCUACAUUCACCCCUAGAGUUGAGGGGACACCUGGAUGUUCGGGUUCGGCUGAACUUUGAAAAAAAGUCUGGGUUCGUGAUCAAACUUGACCCCGAACCCGAACCCCAUUGAAGUCAAUGGGGACCCGAACUUUUGGUCACACAAAUGCCCCUAAAAAAGUACUGGAAAGGGCUAGAGGGCUGCAAAAGGAAGUACAAUGGGGGUAAGAGUAGGACAAGUGCCCUGCACACAAAUGUGGAUAGGGAAAUCACUUAAAAUAACAUAAAAAUUAAAAAUACAGCUGAGCCAUAAAAUAGCACUAGAUGGAAUCUUCGAUUUUAGCUUUGGAAGAACAUAGAUCAAAAUCUAAAGCCUGGCUGUCAGCAGGAUCACCAGAAUUAUCCAUUUGAGGGUUGGAGUGCAGGGUAUUCUCUUUCAUUGUUUAACCCCUUAAGGACCAAACUUUUGGAAUAAAAGGGAAUCAUGUGUCCUUAAGGGGUUAAACUGAGCUCAACUCCUGAUGCAUAAUUUAUACUAAGUGACCCAUAGGUUGUGGAGGCGGUGACUGUGGCAGUGUAGGUGGAAGCAGCAGUGGAGAGGAGGAGGUAACCAGCAUUGUUAUAUAUAUAUAUUUUUUAUUUUAAUUGGGGAAGCCCCCAAAAUAUUGGGACAUAUAAAAAAAGAAACAUUUGCGGCCUUCGGUGCAUUUCUUGCAGUCCUGAUGCAUGGAGAAAUGGCCUUCACAAUCCUCUGCUAUUGUGUACAUAGUUUAUACUAAGUGAUCCAUAGGUUGAGGAGGCGGUGACAGUGGCGGUGUAGGCGGAAGCGGCAGUGGGGAAGGAGGAGAUAGCCAACACUGUUUUUUAAAUAUAUAUAUAUAUAUAUAUAUAUAUAUAUAUAAAUAAAAUUUAUUUUAAUUAGGGUAGCCCCCAAAAUAUUGGGACAUAUAAAAAAGAAACAUUUGUGGCCUGCUCCCUCUUAUGCUGUGCUGGUGCCUCUGUGCGACCAGCGCCUCUUCCUCCAAACUGCACACGUCACUCGCAUGACCUUGAUUCCAUGUCGGGUCUAGGACCUCAUCAUCCUCCACGUCAUCUUACACUCACUCCUCAACCCUGCCCUCCUUGCUGGUCUGCACUGCAGAAAGCCACAGCAGCUGGCACCUGUGUUUUUCCAGCAUGUAAAGUCUGCAAAGUACAUAUGGAAAUUGUUUUAGAAUUGUAUCCAGGUAACAGUUUCCCAUAAACUGACCUCUCAGUUUGACUUGUGAGGGUAUUGCCCAGAAUUACAAUAUUGUUGAAGUACCUCUUAGCUAUUGAUAACUGGUUUAAAUAUAGCAGCUUGUUAUCUGGUAGUUUCUAGUGUAUAAAAUAUCAAUCUGUUUUCUAUCACUUAGAUCUGUUUAACAAGUGUUGUAGGUGUGAAACCAUAUCACAAGUGACCGAUGUACGAAAUUCGAAUCAAAGUUCCAUUUGCAAAAAAAAAUUCUCGCCCAUCUUAUGUGGGUUAUUGCAUUUUUAAGAUGUAGACUUAUUGUAUCACACUAGACAUGCACAGGUAGCUUGUCUGGCACGUUGUUUUGGUGUUUGGUUUUUAACUUUGUAGUUGUGUCUUUACACAAUAUAGAAAUGUAUAUUAAUGCUUCUGUAUAUGAAGCGAUCACAAUAACACUUAUUUUUCACUUUGUAAAAAAAAUCAGGAUAAACAAAAUUUGGUAAUUAACAAUAUGACAUCUGAAAAGCACAUGAAAGGAUGCUGUAUGAUUUAAAAAAAAUAAAAAAAAAUAACACACUACAUGAAGGUUCUGUUCACUAGAGUGUGUAGUCAUGAAUGUAACCAGUAAAACUUUGUUUUUACUGCCACUGGUUGGACCAUACUUAUUUUAAAACUUGUUUAAUUUUGUUAUAGCAUGACUUGUCUUGUUUUUAACUUGUCUAUAAUACAUAUUUUUGUAUGGAACAGUGUGUUUUUUCAUUGAUUAUUGAAUUUUAAUGGUCUUAGAUAAUUAACAUGUCAACAGGCAAACGUAGCCCAAAUGAUUUGUCUCAGUCUUGCCUUCUAUACUACCUGCACCAUAGGCAACAUUUAUUUGUCUUUAGACUUUCUUGAGAAGCAGUAACUAGCCAGUGUUGCACACAAUGAAGUGCACACCCCAAAUGUACUAUUUACCACCAAAAAAAUUUGAAUAAAACUACGAUGUAACCACAGUAUAUGACGCUCAGAUAUGAAGAGCAGGCCCCAAAAUGUACUAUUUAGCAGAUUAGCAGCAAAACAAUUAGAAUGUUUACAACUGUGCUAUAAGCACACUAUUAGACGCUUCUAUUUGACUCUCAGAUAUGAAGAGCACGCACAAAAUGUACUAUUUAGCAGAUUUGCACCCAGAAAAUAAGAAUGUUUACAAUAGCGCUGUGAGCGCACUAUUUGAUGCUUCUAUUUAACUCUCAAAAAUGAAGUGCACCCCACUAAUGUACUGUUUAGCACCCAAAAAAUUGACUUUUUAAAACUCUGAUGUAACCGCGGUAUUUGACGCUUCUAUUUGACUCUCAGAUAUGAAGUGCACCCCACUAAUGUACUAGCUUGCAGAAUUCUUUCCUAAGCUGUCCCUCACAGCAGCAGCAUCUUCUCCCUACACUAAUAAGACCUCAUGUGCGUGCGGCGCUACAUGACUCCAUCUUAUAUAUAGAGGCUGGGUCACAUGCUGCACUGGUCAAUCACAGCCAUGCCAUUAGUAGGCAUGGGUGUGAUGGCUUCUAAGGGAAUACAAGUCAAACGCUUGUUAAUUGGCUGCCAUUAAAUCGCCGAACACCGAACUCCAACCCUAACAUACAGUGAUAUGUCGUUUGGGUCCGGGAUCCAAAAAACGUAAUGUUCGGUACGAACCCAAACUUUACAGUCCGUGUCCGCUCAACUCUAUUCACCCCUGUAACGGAACCGCUGGCACCCCGACCAGGUACCUUCCGCUGACGGAUACUCCUAGUGCUUUCCGAGGACUCCAAGCACUCUGCCAGCAGUUCCAUUACAACCCCUAAUCCUGCCACACUCAACUUCCAUCACACUGAAACACUCACCCGCCAACCCGGUCUCUUUAACCCUGUUACACUUACCCUCCCACAGUUACCCCAUUUCUCACCCUGUAACACUCCCUGAAGACGCCUGUGUUGUUUUACAUACAAUACAUUUUCUGCAUUAAAGAAACCAUUAACAUUAGAUAGAGAAGAGAAUUUAGUUGUCUUAUUUCUUGCAAAAUGUUUAGUGAGAAGGGAUUUAAAAUUCGGAGCACCUCUAACUAUCAUAGUUGGUUGUCAGGGAUCAUCUUAUUAAGGACAUUAUCUUGCUGUAAGACAUCUCAAUAUCUUUUAACAUCUCUUCCUUUGUUGUUAAAAUCCAAUAAAAUUGAAAUGGAAGGAGCAGCUUUUUUUAAAUCUAUAUAUGUUAAAAGGCUGCAUCUUUCAUUAGUUUUAACUCUACCAAUAAUAGUGCCUAAUUCAUACUCUGAAUAAUUAUUUUUCUAAAAACCUUUUUUUUUUUUUUUUUUUUUACAAAGUGAGUAACGGGGUAACUAUGGGAAGGUAAGUGUGAAAGGGUGAUGGGGUGAAAGAGAUAGGGUUGGAGAUAUAAAUGUGAUAGAGUGAGGAAGGUUGGCUGUGUCAGGAUUAGAAGUGAUUGUGACAUUAUUACAGAGCUUAAACUUACUGGAUGAUUGUGAUAGGUUGGGUGUGAGUGUGAGAGUUGUGGAUGAGUGUGACAGAGCGAGAUGAGGUAAAUGUGAAAGGAUUGGGGUGGUAAUGUAAAUGAGUGAGUGUGACAGUAUUGGAGGGAUUAAUGUGAUAGUGUGAAUGUGGCAAGAGGAUAGGUGCUGAGUGACAGCGUUAUAGAGGAUGAGUGUGAAAGGGUUGGGGGGGUUAAUGUGAUAGGAUGAGUGUGGCAGGAGUAGGAGGGGUUAAGAGUUGGAGGGUUGUGAGUGUGGCCGGGUGAAAGUGAAGUGACAGUGUGUGGGGAUGCAGUGUUUCAGCUUCCUCACACUGUAAAACCUUUUUUAUGCAGCAAUCGAUUCCUUGGUCUUCCAGUGAUCUCCCUCCUGGUGGUCCAGUCACCAGGCUAUCUGAUCUUGCUUGCCUGGUGCAGAGUUUCAGACCAUGAGAGUGUUGUCUUAUGAGCUCCAGCAUUUAAAGUGUCAGAGCAUUGCUGGGGUAAGGCGCUCAUUGACAAUUACUCUAUGGUCUGCAACUCUGCACCCAGUGGAGCUGUAGACCAGAGGCUGUGUACGCCCUACACCCAGCCACACACAGGGCAAGCCGCUGGGCCCUCUGUGUUGGGCCCUUGGUCACGGACAAAUCAGUGUGCCCUAAGGUGAGUUAGGUGGCUGUGAGGCCCUAGUGAGUGUGAGGCCUUACUAACCCUCAAUCUUGUUAUACUCACACCCCUUCAACCAUGCCACAUUAACACCCCUAAUCCGGUCACACUCCCUCCCCUAACCAUGCCACACUAACCCUGUCACUUUAACCCCCCUAACCAUGUUACAGUCACAAUUAAGCCUGCCACAUUCAACUUUCAUCACUCUGUAACACUCACCCCCCCCAAUCCUGUCUCUCUCACCCCCUUUCAUCCGGUCACACUUACCCUCCCACAGUUACUCCAUUACAUACCCUGUAACACCCCCUGAAAACAGUCAUCAUACACACAGUCAUGAAACACAGCUUAUACAUAAACAUAAUGCACAAAGACCUCCCAUGCACACAACACACCACAAGCAGCUCCCCCACACACACAUGGACUCAGACACAAACAUACACAUGCUCACACACAAUGAUACUUACUGUCAGUGAUACACUCACAGGCACACACAUGGGUAGACAAUGCCAGGCACACUCAGAAAUUCACGCAACCAGAUAUAUCUGUAUGUCUCUGUGCAUCAGUGUGUUAGUUGUGUUAGUAUGCAUAUAUCAGAGUGUGUAUGUGUGUGCACGUUGAUGGCUGCAAUUCGAGUCUUGUAUUGUAUGCACAAUGCAAAGGUAAAGUUGCAACAUAUAAUAUAUAUAUAUAUCAGACAUACAUAUGCAAUACAUGCAGCAACAUAAGAAAAUAAAUAUAAUAAAUUGGAAGGAUUGUAGAAUAUGUGGAGAAAAUGUCUAAGUCUUUUUUCAUAUCUGUACCUUAUUCUUUCGUAAAUUAUUUAUUAAAAGUUUUUUUUGGCACAACUCAAAUUUCAUUUUUAUUUCCAAUUAUUCCUCCACACUGUUAACUAGCAUACAUGACUGCCAGAUAAUUUAACCAUACUCUUUAAUCCUGUAUACAGGAUAAGCAUAAUUGCUAAUUAAUUUGGUUUUCAAAUGAUGCCAUAAUUGCAGUCAGAGAGCUCACAACACAAUGGAACAGGGAGCUGCUAAGCUGCAAGCCUCUGAACGUUGAAUACAGAGACGAACUAUCUGUAUCCAGUGCUGCAAGCCUAUCCUUCAAAAGAAUUACAGCUCCUUAUACACACACUAUUUUUUUCCACUAUGGGUGUUAGUGGGGGCCUCAUAUUUGAGUUUCACCUAAGGCCUCACAAAAUCUAGAGCCAGCACUGUAGGAUAUUUACACGUAUUGAAUGUAAUUGCACAAUGUGAUCUGUGUACACUGCUCAGUGAGUAACAUUACUGGUUAAUGUGAACUACAGACAAUUUCUGUGUCCAUAUAUGCCUCUUACAUAGCACAGUUCAAUUAGUAACUUACUGUGAUCCAUGCUGAACCCAUCCACUUCCUGUCGGCUCAUGUGAUCACAUUGAGAUCACAUGACAAACAAAACCAGCUGACUCUGUGGGAAGGACAUAUUAAUAGAUUAGACCUGUGCUUUCAGGUCAUGUAAUCUCUAAAUGGCCUGCUCUUUAGUAUCACAAUGAUAUAGUUAUUUUGUCGAAGUGCGAAUUGUCUGAAUUUAAAGAGAAUUUUGAAUAGUAAAAUAGUAGGCCAAAAUAGCCGAAUUGAAUAUGAAGCUGAUUUGGAGGCUUUUUUUUUUCCCUAAUCAACUUUGGACUAAAAUUUGAAAUUUCAUUUGAAUUCACACUUUCUUGAAUAAAUCUCACACUAUUGAAUUGAAAGUCAUGGUAGCUGAAGAAAAAUUAAAGGGUUACUAUAGCUAAUAUUUUAAAGGACAACUCCAUACUAUUUUCUUAGUUAAAAAAAACAACAACAGAUCACUGCUUAGUAAAUUACUGCUCAGUAGAUAUACCCACAAUGAAUACAUACAUGCAUUUUUAAUGUAUUUACUGGGUUUUAAUGUAUUUACUGGGUGUGUAUAUACAAAAUAACUUGCAAAUGCCUUCCCCUUUUACAGCUCCCUUGAAGGUUUUAAAUGACUCUUCUCGUGGUUGAUUAGCCACCCAAACCGAGAGAGAGUCUCGAGUACUAGAUGUCUGUGUUGGAGUAACAUCUCGAAGUCUGAGGCCACUACCAGAAUGUCGUCGAGGUAGUGGUAAAUGGCUACAUCCAUCUUCCUCAGGAAAGCAAUUACCGUGACCAGUAUCUUUGAGAAGGUUCUCGGGGCCGUACUUAUCCCAAAGGGAAGAGCCUGAAACUGGAAGUGCUCCCCUUUUACACAGCAUCGAAGAAACUUCUGAUGUCUUUCUGUGACCGGAACAUGGAAGUAGGCAUCUUUUAGGUCUAUUGAGAUUAACCAGUCUCUGUGGUGAAUCACUGGAAUGAUGGAACGGAUGGAUUCCAUACGAAACUUUCUUAUCCUUAAGAAGAUGUUGAGCUGGUGUAGAUCUAGAAUAGGUCUCCACUUUCCUCCUGGUUUCUUUACUAAGAACAGGGGAGAAUAGAACCCUUGGAACCUUUCUUUCACAGGAACCGGAACAAUGACCCUUUCCAGAAAAAGAUUGGCAACAUAAUGGGUCAAGACUUCUCUUUUUUUGUCUGUCGACAGGGAGUCUUGUUCUGAUGAAUCUUGGUGGAGGGGAAAUAUCUUCGAACUCCAGAGAAUAUCCUGCGGUGAUUACGGAAUUCACCCAAGCAUCUGGAAUCACACUCCAGGUCCUCCAGAAGAACGAAAGGCGUGCUCCUACAUGGGGAACCUGGUAUAAGCAACCUUCAGAACUGUCUGGUGGGGCGAAAGGAGGAAUUUUGAGCCUUUGGUCUGGAAGAUUUCCCGGUUUGACCACUCUUCCAAUUGGAGAGCCGAGCAUAUUCUCUGCCUGGACGAUAGGUUUUACUAUCUCUAUAUCCUCCCUGUGGCCUGUAAGGACGAUGGUCCUGUUGUGGUCUUUUUGGACGCCUGUCCUGUGGAAGCAAGAUUUGCUUGACCUCAGCCGCUUUUUUAAUCGCCUCCUCAAGUGGUCUGCCAAAAAGCACCUCUCCCAGAAAUGGCAAGGUACAUAAAUUAUUCUUGGAAGAUAGGUCAGCUCCCCAGGAUCUCAACCAAAGAGCCCUUCUGGCAGUAACCGAAUGAGCCAUAACCUUGGAAAAAAUCCUGAUAAGAUCUGUGGAGGAUUCCAACAGCCAAUCACUGGCCAGUUUGAUCUCCUUCAAGGAGUCCGUCAUGCGACGUCUACUCACUCCUCUCUCAAUAUCCUCUUCCAAAUCAAGAAUCCAUGAACGUAAUGCUCUGGACAAAUCAGAGAUAGAGACUGCUGGAUGACAACCCAAGCCUGCUGUAGUGAAGACCUUAGAAAGAUCUGCGUCAAUUCUCUUAUCCAUGGGUUCUUUGAGAGAAGCAUUACUAUCAAUCGGAAGAGUUGAUCUUUUUGCCACCUUAAUAAUUGGAGCAUCCACUUUAGGGACCGCUGUCCACAUUCUUGAAUCCUCCUCCUUAAUCGGGUACAAUUUUGAUAAUCUACCCUGACUUGUAAUCCUUUUACCAGGAACAUUCCAUUCUGAGCGAAUCAGUUCUUUAAUGGAUCUGUGCACUGGAAAGGAAGGUUUCCUCUUAUGGAGAUCUCCGAAGUGUCUAUCAGAAGUAGAAACUUCCCUGACUUCUUCUGGCAAAUCUAGAGUCUUUCUCACUGCCUUGAUUAGAUGCUCCAUCGCCUUUGUGUCCAAUGAACACGGUUGUUCCGUGGACUCUUCCUCACUAGAAGAGAUAAGCUCCAAAUCCAAGGAACCAGCAGGAUGUCUGAAGUCAUCUUCAGAUAGGUCGGAUUCUUGGCCAAAGCUCUCACGCCUGGGUCUUUUGCCUCUAUUGGAUUCUGAAAUCCCUUCCGCCACUGCUUGCUUAAUCCAAUAAGCUAUAUCCUGAGAUGAGGACGUAGAGGCUUGAGGAGACCUGCGAUGUUCCGACUCUCCUGCAAUCAUGGAUAAACAUUUGCGGCAUAACCUGCAGUUAUCCAAAGGCCUUGCGCCACAUCCAGGGCAGGCCGCCGGUUUAUCCCUCCUCUUAGAUGGAGAUCUAGGGCCAGACCGGUCUUGAGGGCUGUAAAACACAGAAGUCAUAUGACUGUACCCUCCAUGCACUCUUUUUUAAUGUAGUAAAUAGAAUAUACUGUAAUGCUCACCUAUGACCUAUAGUAGAUCUUGUUGAUUUAGCUGAUGGAGAUGCAGGAUCCAUUUUUAAUUUAAUUUUUAUAGAAGGGCUGCAUAAAAAAAAAAAAAGUGUCACCAUGAACUUCAUGCAGCAAAAACCUGAACAUCCUCAUAUAUUAUAGAAGAAUAACUUAAAACAUACCUGCAGAGACAGAAUAUGGCACCAGAGAGCACUGAAUAACAGAGGGAACUGAAAACGCCAGCUUUUUUGAAGAAAUACCGCCAUUUUCAAAUUUCCCGCUCUGUGCCUUUAAGGAGGCGCGCAUGCGCCGAUUGGCGGCAAGUCCGCGGGUCCGCCAUUUUGGAUGAGGGCAAACAUGCCGAAAAUCCGGUCGUGGCCAUUGCGCAUGCGCGGGCGUCUUACCGGAUAGAUGAUCGUCUGAUCGAGGUCUGGAGGCUUUAUCCUGCGAACUCAGGCUCCAGAUGCCAGGGGGACUACCCACCAUGGCUCCCAGGGGUUCCCUGCUCGAGGAGAGAAAGGGCUACAUGUGCCUGGGCUUCCUGUGGAGGGAGGCUGACCUCCACAGGGUGAAGAUCAUAGCAGCAUGAUCAGGUGAGCAUAAAGAAAAACUUUACCCUUUAAAAUUCAGGGAGAAAAAAUAAAAUAACAACUGUCCUAGGGCUAUGAGGACAGGAAAAAAAGACUGAGGUGUGAUGGCUGAUGGGGUUCCUAUUAUACAAGGGGAAGGUAUGCUUAAUUGUUUAAUUGAUUGUGUUUCCUGUCCUGAGGGUUAGAGGGAGGAGCUAAACCCAUAUGUUAAAUGCUGCCAUGAUUAGCCAGGAAAUAGUUAUUUUGUCGAAGUGCGAAUUGUCUGAAUUUAAAGAGAAUUUUGAAUAGUAAAAUAGUAGGCCAAAAUAGCCGAAUUGAAUAUGAAGCUGAUUUGGAGGCUUUUUUUUUUCCCUAAUCAACUUUGGACUAAAAUUUGAAAUUUCAUUUGAAUUCACACUUUCUUGAAUAAAUCUCACACUAUUGAAUUGAAAGUCAUGGUAGCUGAAGAAAAAUUAAAGGGUUACUAUAGCUAAUAUUUUAAAGGACAACUCCAUACUAUUUUCUUAGUUAAAAAAAACAACAACAGAUCACUGCUUAGUAAAUUACUGCUCAGUAGAUAUACCCACAAUGAAUACAUACAUGCAUUUUUAAUGUAUUUACUGGGUUUUAAUGUAUUUACUGGGUGUGUAUAUACAAAAUAACUUGCAAAUGCCUUCCCCUUUUGGUACUCUGUGGUGGAGACCCGCCAACUCCAGGUAAUAGUAGUUAGUAUAAAGUCCACAGGUUCAACAGGAAGGAUGCAUAUUGAAGUUUUAAUGAAGAAACGCAAAGAAUACUUUAUGUGCGUGUUCUAAAUUAAAACUUCAAUAUGUAUCCUUCCUGUUGAACCUGGGGACUUUAUACUGAAUACUAUUACCUGGACUUGGUGGGCGUCCACCACAGAUUACCAAUAGGUACAUCGGUUCCCAUACAUAUCCCCAGGAGUGCCACCCCACUUUGUUUAUUUAAUACUAACAGUCUCUUCAUUUGGAACAAAUCUGUAAUUUUUUUCUUUAAGAAUCCUCUAAAUCUGUGCGUGAGUGUGUCCGUGCACAUGCACCAGCUCAUGUCCGCAGGCAUCUGAUUUGAAGUCUGUUGAUAAACGAAAGUUCCUGAAGACACUGGUCCGUGGUCUGUGUGGAAGAAGACAAGCUUACUCAAGUAGACACUUUCUUAAGCUCAGGGGAGUUAACAAAUAAGUAAGCAAACCUCCCUUGCUGUCUGAUAGACAGCCAAGGUGGUAUUAAAUAAUGCAAUUCUAAGCAUUUAUAAUUUGGGGGUGACAUAAGAUACUCUUCAUGCAUAAAGCAUUUUAGCAAGUUGAAAUGCUAAAGCACGGAGUGUGGAGUGGUCCUUCAAAGGGACACUUUAGUCAGUCAGACCACUUCAUCUAAAUUCCGCCCAGCAACAGCCUCCAGUGACAGGUAGGGUGUGUGUGUAUUGACUCAGCAGUAUGUGUGUGUGUGUGUGUGUGGACUCAGCAGUCAGUCAUGUCUCUAGGGGGUAUGCCCCCCCUUACAUCAUGCUGUGCCCUCCCUUGUUCCCCUCAAAUGCCUGCAACUUGCUGGCCAUGUGCUUAAAUUAUAUUCCCUCAGACUGUAACAGCCUGAGGAAAUGCAGGAAAGAGGAUCUGGAACAGUACUGGGUGUUGUCUGUCUGUCUGUGUAUGUGUAUGUAUGGAAUCAGCAGUCUGUGUGUGUGUAUGGACUCAGCAGUCUGUUUGUGUGUGUGUGUAUGUGUAUGGACUCAGCAGUCUGUGUGUGUAUGGACUCAGCAGUCUGUGUGUGUGGACUCAGCAGUCUGUGUGUAUGGACUCAGCAGUCUCUGUGUGUGUAUGAAUUCAGCAGUCUGUGUGUGUAUGGACUCAGCAGUCUCUGUGUGUGUAUGAAUUCAGCAGUGUGUGUGUGUGUGUGUGUGGACUCAGCAGUGUGUGUGUGUAUAAACGCAGCAGUGUGUGUGUGUAUAGAUUCAGCAGUCUGUGUGUGUGUGUAUGGACUCAGCAGUCUUUGUGUGUGUAUUAAUUCAGAAGUCUGUGUGUGUAUGGACUCAGCAGUCAGUCUGUGUGUGUAUGGACUCAGCAGUCUGUGUGUGUGUGUGUGUGUGUGUGUGUGUACUCAGUCUAUGUGUGUGCCUAUGGACACAGUCUGUGUGUGUGUGUCUGUCUGCUAGUGAGGAAGCUUGUGUGUGUGUGUGUGUGGACUCAGCAGUCUGUGUGUGUAUGGACUCAGCAGUCUGUGUGUGUGUGUGUGUGUGUGUAUGAACUCAGCAGUCUGUGUGUGUAUGGACUCAGCAGUCUGUGUGUGUGUGUGUGUGUGUGUGUGUGUGGAUUCAGUCUGUGUGUGUGUGUCUGUCUGCUAGUGAGGAAGCUUGUAUGUGUGUAUUGACUCAGCAGUCUGUGUGUGUGUGUAUGGACUCAGCAGUGUGUGUGUGUGUGUGUAUGGACUCAGCAGUCUGUGUGUGUGUGUGUGUGUGUCUGUCUGCUAGUGAGGAAGCUUGUGUGUGUGUGGACUCAGCAGUCUGUGUGUGUGUGGACUCGGCAGUCUGUGUGUGUGUGGACUCGGCAGUCUGUGUGUGUGUGGACUCGGCAGUCUGUGUGUGUGUGGACUCAGCAGUCUUGUGUGUGUGUUUGUAUGGACUCAGCAGUCUGUGUGUGUGUGUGUGCGUGUGUAUGGACUCAGAAGUCAGUCUGUGUGUAUAGACUCAGCAGUCUGUGUGUGUGUGUGUGUGUAUGGACUCAGCAGUCAGUGUGUGUAUGGACUCAGUCUGUGUGUGUGCAUAUGAACACAGUCUGUGUGUGUGUGUCUGUCUGCUAGUGAGGAAGCUUGGGUGUGUGUAUGGACUCAGCAGUGUGUGUGUGUGUGUGUAUGGACUCAGCAGUGUGUGUGUGUGUGUAUGGACUCAGCAGUGUGUGUGUGUAUGGACUCAGCAGUCUGUGUGUGUAUGAACGCAGCAGUCUGUGUGUGUAUGGACUCAGCAGUCUGUGUGUGUGUGUCUCUCUGCUAGUGAGGAAGCUUGUGUGUGUAUGGACUCAGCAGUCUGUGUGUGUGUGUUUGUAUGGACUCAGCAGUCUCUGUGUGUGUGUUUGUAUGGACUCAGCAGUCUCUGUGUAUGUGUGUGUAUAUGGACUCAGCAGUCUGUGUGUAUGGACUCAGCAGUCUCUGUGUGUGUAUGAAUUCAGCAGUCUGUGUGUGUAUGUACUCAGCAGUCUCUGUGUGUGUAUGAAUUCAGCAGUGUGUGUGUUUGUAUGGACUCAGCAGUCUCUGUGUAUGUGUGUGUGUAUAUGGACUCAGCAGUCUCUGUGUGUGUGUGUGUGUGUGUGUGUAUGGACUCAGCAGUCUGUGUGUAUGGACUCAGUCUGUGUGUGUGUGUGUGUAAGUAACAACAGGAUUUUGGCGGAGCGAUCACAUGGCCCCCGGAGGCCUGAUUUGCGAUGUGAGGGCUGCCUGGGCUGUCAGGCAGUCCUCCUGAAGAGGAUCGCAGCGGAGGUGAGUACUCCCAAGCCAUUACAGCGUUCUAUGCUGCCGCAACGGCUUUAAAGUCCAUUUAAAUGGGGACAGCAAAAGGAAAACAUAUGCACAGAUUCCAUUAGCCCCUUUUCAUGCCACCAAUUUAACAUGUUAAAUGUCUCAGUUUGAGACUUCAGUCACCACUGCUUCUGAUUCCUCUAGUUCCUGGAAUCUGUGGGUAUUAUACAUGCUCACAAUUGGCUGGUGCCAAAGUGGGUGUUACAAACACUCACUUUGACACUGAUCUCUGCCUCUCUCCCCUCUGUAGCGUUUUGUUAGGCGAGAGAGACAGAGAUCGUGAUAUAUUGUUGCAGCAGGUGUUCCAGAGAAAGUAUCACCAGUGAAUAGAAAUCCCCUUUUAACCCCUUUCCUGCCAGAUCUGUUACAGACAGUGCAUUUGUACUGUCUGUAUUUUUUUUUUUGCCCUUAAGGGUUAACUUUAUUUUAAAAAUCUGUCUUAGACUGUCUUAGUCUGUCUUAGACUGUCGUCUGUCGUAGUCAGUCAGUUUCCUUCCCCCAAAUCUCCAUUAGAUUCUUCUAACAGGAGUUAGUUUAGGGAUUACUGUUUUAGUUUGUUUAAGUCUGUUUUAGUAAUAAAAUAUAUAUAUAUAUAUAUAUAAAAAAAAAAUUGUGUUUAGUAUUUUGUUAGUUUAGUCUGUUAGUGUGAAACAUGCACCGCAUGCACAGCUUGGAGGAGGCAUAUGCCUUCUUGGUGUCAGACUCUGACGCCACUGACACUGCGUCCGAUUUUGACCCAGGUCAGUUUAGCGGCACGUCUAGUGACAUGUCAUCUGUGUGUGAGCCAGCUGCUAAAAGAAGCUGUGCUUCCCCUGCUACGCUGAAUGUGGAGGAGGACUGGGUACCUCCACAGUCAGCUGAGUCCAACAUCCCCCCUUUUAAUGCCAACGCAGGCAUUAAUGUGAAUGUGGUUGACUUCUCUCAUAUAUAAUAUAUGGAGUUAUUUUUAGGGGAUACCAUCUGGGAAGAGAUUGUUUCCCAGACUAAUUUAUACGCUAGUCAAUUUACUGAGACCAAUCCAGGUAGCUAUACAGUCAGGGAGCAUGCUUGGCAUCCCACAGAUGUCUCUGAACUUAAAAAAUUCUGGGCUCUUACAAUGCUCAUAAUAAAGAAGCCAUCAAUACGCUCUUACUGGAGCACCAACCCAAUUUGUUCGACUCCUAUAUACUCCCAAACAAUGCCUAGACCAAGAUAUGAGCUGCUGCUGAGAUACUUACAUUUGAACGACAAUACCCUCUGUCACCCCAGAGAUCACCCCCAAUAUGAUAGGCUACACAAAAUAUGCCCACUGGUAGACCAUCUUCAGAACAGAUUUUCUGAAGUUUAUACUCCCCAACAAAAUUUAUCUAUUGAUGAAUCCCUUAUGAAAUAUAAAGGGAGAUUAGGGUUCAAACAGUAUAUCCCCUCAAAGCGGUCUAGGUAUGGCAUUAAAGUGUACAAACUGUGUGAGAGCGAAAGUGGCUACACAUUUGCCUUUCGUGUAUAUGAGGGGAAAGAUGCUCAACUGAACCCUCCUGGCUGUCUUUACUCUCUGGGGAUAAGUGGGAAACUUGUUUGGGACCUACUGAUCCCCUUGUUCAAUAAGGGUUACCACCUUUAUGUGGACAAUUUUUAUAGCAGUGUCCACUUGUUUAAAAUUCUUUAUAGUUUGCAGACACUGGCCUGCGGCACUGUAAGAAGAAAUGCCAAGGAUUUCCCCAGACCUCUCACAGAGGCCAAAUUAAAACAGGGUGAAUGCAAAGCUCUGCACAAAGCUGAACUGCUUGUGCUAAAAUUUAAAGACAGAAAGGAUGCUCACAUGCUAACAGCCAUCCAUAACGAAGGCAUGUCAGACGUCACUGUCCGAGGCAGGGUACAGACAAAACCUGUUUGCGUCAGGGCUUAUAACAGGCACAUGGGGGGUGUUGAUUUGGCUGAUCAGCUGAUGCAGCCAUAUCUUAUCUUAAGAAAGACAAAAGCCUGGUAUAAAAAGGUGGCUAUCUACCUGUUGCAAGUAGCAACACAUAAUUCAUUUUUACUCUUUAAAAAAUGAAUCCAGGAAGAACCACCUAUCUCCAAUUUCAGCUCAAGCGGAUUUCCACAAUAAUUUAUGGAGAUGGUCUAAAAACGGUGCCAGAGGAGUCCAGACAUUUUAUUUUUAAGAUACCGCCAACUGCAAAAAAAACAAAUCCCCUAAAACAUUGCCAGGUCUGUUAUAAAAAAGGGAAAAGGACAGACACCCCUUUGCACUGUUUUUUUUUCUUUUGAAAGCAGCAAAUUUUAGUUAGUCAGUUUCCUUCCCCCAAAUCUCCAGUUAGAUUCUUUUUGCAGGAGUUAGUUUAGAGAAUGCUGCUAAAGGUGCAUUUGAUACCUGCACAUUUGGUUAAAAAAGUUUUAUGGCAGUAACAUAUAACUGACUGGCCAAAACCAGAUGACGUGUGCAUAAAAAGCAGAAUUCAAAAAUUACCACCAUGCACGUUCUCUGAAAUUUGUUUAGCACAAUGGUUGGGGGAAGGAUGUGAAAACACCCUAUAUACAAUACCCUGGAAUGUCUACUUUAUAAAAAUAUAAAUGUGACGAGACCAAUCGCGCCACUGUGCAUUGGAGGAGCCUGGUUGCCCAUCUGCUGUCUUUAUGGCCCCAUGUUGAAACGCUUGAUUUUCCCCUGCGAAGACAUGAAAGCCGGGUCAUUCGGUGCUUGCCUUGUUUGAGCCCUGUUUAUUGUCUUUUGCUGCCACGUGUUCAAUGGAGUUUUGCCUCUGUCCUUAGAGAUAAUUGGAUUACUUCCCAAUUAUCUCCAGGAUAGAAGACUCUGUGGACCUGGUUUUGGGCAGAAAAGCCAUGCCUCAUUUGGUCACAAGGGACUUCGAUCUAUCUUUUGAACGAAUGGACCAAUUUGGAUGAUUUUGACAUAUGUUUGUAUUUGGAGUAUGCUGAUUCUGAAAAUGUGACUGUGAUGCAUACUUUUCAAGUUAUGAAUAAUGUGGAAAAACUGUGUUUCUCUGGCUGUGAUAAUUACAUUACCCAUUGUGUAAGGUAAUUGUAUAACAGGCAGAGGGGAGGAUUUUGUGUGGGAGUGUCUGAGUGUAUUGUACAUGUUUAUUGGUUGUUUUCCAAAACCCUGUGGGUGGUACUAAUGUGUAAGAAUGUGUACAUAAGAACAAUAAACCCACAGCUCUGUCUGUUACUGCUUGACCCUCAAAACGGAGCCUUGUCUCGUUCUUUGGGGGAUUUAUUGUAUGCUUUUCCAGUUUGACUGCUAGGAGUGUAAACCUAUUUUGGGGCACCCUCAGGGCACUAUAGUGCCAGGAAAACAAGUAUGUUUUCCUGGCACUAUAGUGGUCCUUCAACCCCUUAAGGAUGGGUGACGGACAAGGUCCGCCACAGAGGGGAGACCCUUAGUGACGAGUGACGGACCUUGUCCGUCACGCGGUAAAAUUAACCCCCGGAACGCCGCGAUCGCGGGGUUAAUGGUGCUCCGGUAUGCCUCUACAUUAGAGGCAUACCAGGAGCUCCCGGUCAGGCUGCCCAGCACAUGUGCUCGCUCUGACCGCAAGUCAGAACGAGCACAUGUGCUCUGUAUACUUACCUUCCGGCUCCCUGCACUUCCUGGUUCUGUGUGAAGUGCAGGGAGCUGGAACAGUGCUGAUCCUGCCCCCUGCUGGAAAAAAAUAAAGUUAGUUUAAAGUCCCCCCCCCACCUUAACCCAUUUUAAUAAAAAAUUAACCCCUUCCCUGCCAAUUGAUCACUGACUACAGUGAUCAAUUGUCAGGGAUUACAUUUUACUAUGAUCUGAUUUUUUAGUUUUAACCCCUGAGGGUUAAUUCUUUUUUUUAACCCUCAGGGGUUAAAUUUAUUUAAUUAAUUAAUUAAUUAAUUAAAAUAUUUUAAAAUUAUAUAUUUAGCUAGCUGGGGUGGGUGGAAGUUAGUGGGGAAUUGGGGGAUUUGGCGUUAGGCUAACUAGGGGUUAACGUUAAAAAAAGUUUUAAAAUAAAGUUAAAAAUUAAGCUUAAAAAAAGUUUUAAUAACGUUUAAGUAAAAAAUAAAAAAACAUCCACCUUUACCUAGUCCAAAUAAAAAUUAACCCCUUCCCUGCAAGUCGAUCACUGCCUACAGCGAUCAAAUACAGAUCACAGUAUUAUACUGUGAUCUAAUUUUUUUUAACCCCUGAGGAUUAACUUUUAUUUAUUUUUUAACCCUCAGGGGUUCAAUUUAUUUAAUUAAUUAAUUUAAAUAUUUUAUAACUAUACGUUUUGCUAGCUGGGGUGGGUGGGAGUUAUGGGAAAAUGGGGAAUUUACUGUUAGUGCUGCUUACUGCUAGUUAGGGGUUAACGGUAAAAAAAAGUUUAGAAAAAUGUUAAAUCUGUAAAAAUGUUUUAAGAAAGUUUAAAAAAAUUAAUAAGCAAAACAAAAGUUUAAAAACUAGUUUUUAAAGGUAAAAAAGUUAAGAAAAGUAAAAAAAUACAUUUUAAAAAUGCUCAUUACCACUACACCUGGAGAAAAAAUUAUCCCACGUCAAAGUUCAAAAUAUGCCUUUUGAAUUACUCCAGGGUGUAUUCUUUAAUAAAUAGUAUGUGUUUGUGGGGAAGUUUCAAUAACCAACCGUCUAAACUACUCCAAAUUGGAACAUGGACACAGCGUAAAACUUCAAAGUUAGUAAAACUGAAUGGCUGCGUCUCAAAUGCGCCCCUUCAACAUCCACAUAUACCUGGCAAAGGUACAUACGGGGGUAUUGCUGUACUCAGCCGACAUAGCUGAGCAACAUAUGAAGUAUUAUACAGUCGUAGCACACAUAAGGUUUGCAAAAUAUACUGUGCAAACUCACUUUGUGUGUCAAAAAGGCAGAAAAAAUGCUUAUUACCACUACACUUGGUACAAGCUAGCGUAAAAAUGAUCCCACGCUAAGGUUCAAAAUAUGCCUUUUGAAAAACCCUGGGAUGUCUUCUUUAAGAAAUGGUAUGGCUUUAUGGGGGUAUUUGGAUUAUAUAGCCUGGUAAAAUACUCUAAAAUGGGACAUAGGCACAGCGUAAAAAUUCAAAGUUUGAAAAAAACUGGAAUGGCUGUGUCCCAAAUGUGCCCCUCCGAUGUCCACACAUACCUGGCAAAGGUACAUACGGGGGUAUUGCUGUACUCAGCCAACAUAGCUGAGCAACAUAUGAAGUAUUAUACAGUCGUAGCACACAUAAGGUUUGCAAAAUAUACUGUGCAAACUCACUUUGUAUGUCAAAAAGGCAGAAAAAACGCUUAUUACCACUACAUCUGGUACAAGCUAGUGGAAAAAUGAUCCCACGCUAAGGUUCAAAAUAUACCUUUUGAAACACCCUGGGAUGUCUACUUUAAGAAAUGGUAGGAAUUUGUGGGGUAGUUUGAAUUUAAAACCUGCGAAGAUGCUUGGAAAUUGCACAUAGGCCCAGCGUCAAAAUUCAAAGUUCGGUAAAAACUGAUAUGGCUUGGUCUCCUAUAUGGCACUGUAGCUUCACAAAAUAGUGCCAAAGACAUUCAAUGGGGGUGUAUUUUUACUCAGAAGACUUAGCUGAGCAUAAUUUGGGAGGUUUGAAUUUAGUGGCAUAUAUGAAAUAUACAAAACGCCCAGCAAAAAUGCAUGCGGUAUGUAAAAAAUGCACAAAAUUAUUUUUUACCACAUACUUUGGCAUAUAUUGGUGAAAAAAUGGGGGGUAUGUUAAGGCACAAUAUGCACCUUAUGAGAUACCCUGGAGUGUUUACUUUUACAAAUGGUAGGCCUUUGUGGGUUUUUUUUUGAACAGUCAAACUGUUAUAAUACCCCAAAUGGAAGCUAAGGCUCAUUAUAUCCAUCACUCAAAAUUCUACUGGGAAUACUGAAAAGGACAGGUCUCCUAUAUGGCACUGUAGCUUCACGAAAUAGUGCUAAAGACAUACAAUAGGGGUGUCAUUUUACUCAGCAGAUGUAACUGAACACAAAAUAAAACUUUGUACAGGAAUAGCACACACCAACUUUACAAAAUAUACAUGAGAAUUUCUUUGUUAUAAGUUUGUGUGCCAAAAACCCCAAAAAACACAAUUUUACUCUAAUAUUUAGCAGAGGUUGGCGGUGAAAUGGCUACGUAGAAAGUGUCAAAACAACCUUAGGUAAAUAGCCCGUGAUGUCUACUUUAUAUAAAUAUAUACUUUUGUGUGGCAAUUUUGUUUUCUUUUAUGGCUAUUACCAAAUUCUAAGAUCGCUUCACAUUAAAAGUCUAUUUUACUCCUUGUGGUUUGUGACCUGUAACUACCAAAAAAAUCUUAAAAUCCCAGACACAUUAUAUAUUCUGUAAAUCAGAACAACUAAAUUAAUUUAUUUUUAAUUACUUUUCUUAACCUGCACUAAUUAUGCACACAUUAUUAUUGCAAAAACUGUAAAAAAAAACCACAAAACUUUCAUUUUUUUUACAUUUUUCUGUAUUUUUUUAUAAUAAAUAAUCAUUUAUAUAUAUGUGUGUUACAUCAAAUUAAAGCCCUUUCUGUCCUUUAAAAAACGAUGUAUAAUAUGUGUUGGUGCAACAAAUUAGUAAAAUGCAAAUUGCAGUUGAACGCAAACAGCAAAAAAUGAAAAAAAUGCUGUUGUCAUUUAGUGAAAGACAAGCUUUUGAAGCUCUGUCCUUAAGGGGUUAACUGGGGGAAGGCCAAGUAAGCCAAGCAUACCUAUAUAUCAAGUUGAAAAACUGAUAUGUACAAGUCUCGAUUGUGGCCUUUUAGCUCCCAAACAACCCAGCAAACCUAUGCAUGGAUGAUAUCACUGUACUCAGGAGAUGUUGCUGAACACAUAUUGGGGUGUUGUUUGGCAGUGAUACAUAACAGGAUCUGUUAAUUCAUGCCUAAAGUACAAUGUGUGUGUAAAAAAACACCAAAAAAUAUUACUACCCAAAAGUUUGCCAAAGGCUGGUGGUAGAAUUAUUGCAUGAAAAGUGUUAAACUACCACCAUUUAAAAUACCUUGAGUUGUCUACUUUUCAAAAAUAUAUGGUUUGAUGGGGGUAAAAUACAUUGGCCCAAAUAGGACAGGGGCGCAGGUUUACUACAUGUCAAAAUUCCAAGCUGAAAAAUGGAUAUGCGCACCUGCCAAAUGUGGCCUUUUAGCCCCCAAACAAUCCGACAAGCCUAUGCAAGGGUGGUAUCACUGUACUCAGGAGAUGUUGCUGAACACAUAUUGGGGUGUUUGGCAGUGACACAUAACAUGAUCUGUAAAUCCAUGCCUAAAAUAAAAUGUGUGUGAAAAAAACACACAAAAAAUGACUACCUAAAAGUUUGACAAAGUCUGGUGGUACAAUUAGUGCAUGGAAAGUGUUAAAAAAACACCAUUUGAAAUACUCUAGGGUGUCUACUUUCCAAAAAUGUAUGGUUUGGUGGGGGUAAAAUACAUUGGCCGGCCUUACAAAUGUCCCAAAUAGGACAUGUGCGCAGGUUGACUACAUGUCAAAAUUCCAAGUUGGAAAAUGGAUAUGCGCACCUGCCAAAUGUGGCCUUUUAGCCCCCAAACAACUCAACAAGCUUAUGCAUGGGUGGUAUCACUGUACUGUACCGUACAUAUAUUAGUGUGUUUUUUGGCAGCAACACAUAACAGGAUCUGUAAGUUUAUACCUGAAUUGCAAUGUAUGUGAAAAAAAAAAAAACUACCUAUGCGAAGUUUGGGAAAGACUGGUGGUAAAAUGGCUGCAUAGAAAGUGUCAAAAUAUCCUUAGAUAAAUACCCUGGGAUGUCUACUUUAAAAAAUAUAUAUACAUGUGGGGUGUUUUACAGAGAUUUAUGACAGAUAAUAGUGUUACAAUGUCACUACUGAUAAAUUAAAAAAAUGUAUGUUUUGAAACUGCAAUAUACUACUUGUACUUAUAGUCCUAUAAUUUGCAAAAAAGCAUGUAAACACUGGGUAUUUUUAACCCCUUAAGGACUGGACUGUUUUUGCGAUGUUGUACAUUUGCAACCAGGCAUAUUUUUACACUUUUGUUGUGUUUGUGUUUGGCUGUAAUUUUCCGCUUUCUCAUUUACUGUUCCCAUACAAAUUAUAUAUUGUUUUUUUUCAGGACAAAAGGGGCUUUCUUUACAUACCAUUAUUUAUAUAAUCUCAUGUAUUUUAAUUUAAAAAAUAAAAUAAAAAAAUAUGAUGAAAAUUGAAAAAAUACAUGUUUUUUUUACUUUACUUGAAAAAUCUUUUACUCAUCUACAAAGCGAAUGAAAAACUGCUAAAUAGAUUCAAAAUUUUGUCCUGAGUUUAAAAAUACCCAGUGUUUACGCGCCCCAUGUACAGGUUUUAGGGUGUCGUAGAACGUUACAGGGUAAAAUACAGUGCUAGCAAAUUAAAUUCUCUGGAAUUUCGGCCUGGGUUGGCAGGCAGGUCCCUCAAAUUGCAAUCAAUAAAAUUACUGAAUUAUGUAAAAAUAUUACAUAAAUACGCAAGUAGAAUUUAAAUAUAUAUGCAUAUUUAUAUAUUUGAAGUCUACGUGUAUAUUUAUAUAAUUAUUUAUGUAAUUUUGUAUAUGGACAUAUGUAUAUUUCGUAUUAUUUUUAUUUAUAUAUACAUAGAUAUAUAUACAAAUUCAUUCUAAGUGUAUUUUGAUAUAAAUAUAUAUAUAUUAAUUUUAAAAUACAGUUAGAAUAAAAUUUCAUAUAGAUAUAAUUUUUUUAAAUUUUUUAUUAUUUAAAAAAAAUAUUUAAUUUAAAUUACUUAUUAUUUAUAUUUUAUAAUAAUAUAUAUAUACAAUAUAUAUAUAGUUAUUAUAUAUAUAUAUAUUAUAUAUAUACGUGUGUAAUUUAAUUAUAAGUGUAUUUUUAUAUUAAUAUAAGUACAUAUUAAUAUAAAAAUACAUUUAGUAUGGCAUAAUAUAUAUGAUAUAUAGACAUAGAUUAUAUAUAUAUAAUCUAUGUCUAUAUAUCAUAUAUACACAUAUAUAAUUAUUUUUAUUUUUUUUAUUAACACUAACUUUAUUUUUAUUUUUUUAUUUUACACUAGCAGGGAGACUGCCUGUCAGCACAGGUAGUCCCCCUGCAGGCCGACACAUGGACACCUAUUGUGACCAUGUGAUCGCUGUGUUGAGCGAUCACAUGGCCACAGGGGUCCUAAUUCAUUGUGGGGAGACUGUCUGGGCUGCAGGCAGUCUCCCCACAACCGGAGCAACGCUGAUCGCCGCCGGGGGAACGACGGCGAUCAGGUAAGCAACUCAGACCAUCCUGAACCGUCCUCGGUCGUGAAGGGGUUAAACUCAGGACAAAAUUUCGAAUCUAUUUAGCAGUUUUUUUCAUUAGCUUUUGUAGAUGAGUAAAAGAUGAGUAAAAGUAAAAAAAAAAUGUAUUUUUUCAAUUUUGCAUCAUAUUUUUUUAUUUUUUUUUAAUUAAAUUACAUGAGAUUAUAUAAAUUAGUGGGGGUUUUUUACCUGAAAAAAAAAUAUAUAAUUUGUAUGGGAACAGUAAAUGAGAGAGCGGAAAAUUACAGCUAAACACAAACACCACAAAAGUGUAAAAAGAGGCCUGGUCGCAAAUGCACAACAUCGCAAAAACAGUACAGUCCUUAAGGGGUUAAACAUGUUUAAAAUAAAUUACAAGUAUUUAUAUAUAUAUAUAUAAAAAUAUAUAUACAUCUUAUAUAUAUGUAACAUCAUACAUAGUGUAUUUUAAUGUUAAUAUAAGCACAUAUUAGUAUUAAAAUACACUUAGAAUGACAUUACAUAUAAGAUAUAUAUAUAUAUAAUACAUCUAUAUAUAUAUUUUAUAUUUAUAUAUACACGUAUAAUUACAAUUUUAAAUAAAUAUAAUAUAAAUAAAAUAUUAAAAAAAUAAUAAUAAUUAAAGGUGCUCGGCCUGACCGCUCGAGGAGACGGACGUUUGAGCGAUCAGCUCCCUCAGAGAGCCCAUUUAUCACAGCGAAUAGACGAACAUUAAUUGAACUUUACUUUUCCAAAACCAUCGGGUGACCCUGCAGUAAGGAUGGCACAACGCCAUGCUAAGAAAUCUAAACUGAAACCAGCCACGCUGCAAAUUACAGCCUUGUCAUCUCCACCACACCACACACAAGAUGGCGCAGGUAGGCCCACAUCACCGGCCUCGAGUUCGGGGAGGAGUGAUGAAACUUCCAUAUCAGUCAAAGCUGCACCAGCUACAGACUCCUCGAUCAAAAAGAUGCUCAACGAGCUACACACCUCUUUGCAAUCAGAUUUCGUCAAACUGGCUAAAGAAAUCAGAGCAGAUGUAAACAUUUUGGGCGAACGCACAGACUACCUCGCAUCAAAGACGGAAGAAAUCAUUACCGCUCACAAUAAUGUAGGCCUCUGCUUACGAUGUGAUGAACAGUAAGUUAACCACAAUACUUACCAAAUUAGCAGACCAUGAAGACAGACGAAAUAACAUCGGCAUCCGUGGCAUAUCUGAAGAUAUCAGCCCUGCGGCUCUGGGGACUUAUGCAAAGGCGCUAUUCCAGGAAUUGCUUCCAGAUACACCGACACCUGCACUUUUACUAGACAGGAUCCAUCGACUCCCCAGACCUAAACAACUCCCAGCAACUGUACCGUGAGACACCAUCACGAGACUGCAUUACUAUACCACAAACGAAGCAGUCAUGCAAGCAGCCAAGAAAUUACAGACACUCCCAGGAGAAUACAGCAAAAUUCAACUAUACACUGACCUCUCGGCGGCCACCUUAGCGACACGGAGGGCCUUCACCCCAAUCACUAAAGCGCUCCGCACAGCAGAUAUUCCAUACAAAUUGGGAUUCCCGACAAGGCUUAUAGUAAGGCGAAAUGGCAUGGAAAACCACCUACUCACCCCAACAGAUGGAGACAAGCUCUUGGCGGAAUGGAACGUAUCUAUAGAGGCAAAUGUCGUUGGGUCCUCUUCCCAACGAUACACCUCCAAAUCCCUGAUGAAGCUGACCCACGAUUGGCAAACCUCUGCCACAUCUAAGUGACUGUACUGAGAGACUGCACUUUGAUAGUUUUUUUACAGGCUCCCCUUAACCCUGUUGCAGUCAAGGGCAUGAUCUCCCGAACGGGUACUUCACUUCCCGAUCAGUAAACUCACGAAUCGCUGCUAACAGCCAAAACCAUAUAUCUCCCUAUCUAUAUCUAUCUAUCUAUAUAUAAAAUACAAAUAACCGCAAAUAUAUAUAUACAGAUAAAUAUAUAUAUAUAAUUACAUAAAUAACUACAUAAGUGUACACAUAGACUUUAAAUACAUAUAUGUAUAUAUAUUCAAAUUCUACGUGUAUAUUUAAGUAAUAUUUUAACAUAAUUAUGUGAUUUAAAUAAAAAUUUGAUUGACAUGCCUGACAACCCAGGGAGAAAGUGCAGAGAAGUUGAAUUGCAAGCACUAUAUUUAACUCUGUAACUUUCCAAGGCACCAUAAAACCCGUACAUGGGGGGGUACUGUUUUGCUGAACACAAAUAAUAGUGUUUCAGAAUGGUAACUUUUAUUACAACAAUGAUAUUUUUAGUAAAAGUGACGUUUUUUGCAUUUGUCACACAUGAACAGCAUUUUUACUGACGAUAUUAUUGUUGUAAUAUGUUUUACUGUUUUAAAACACUUAUUUUUAUGUUCAGUGAAGUCUCCCAAGUAUAACAGUACCCCCAUGUACUGUUUUUAUGGUGUUUUUGGAAAGUUAGUGAUUCAAAUAUAAGGCUUGCAAUUCAUUUUUUUCACAUUGAAAUUUGCCAGAUUGGUUAUAUUGCCUUUUGAGACCAUAUGGUAGCCCAGGAAAAAGAAUUACCCCCAUGAUGGCAUACCAUUUGCAAAAGUAGACAACCAAAGGUAUUGCAAGUGGGUUAUGUUCAGUCUUUUAUAGUAGCCACUUAGUCACAAACACUGGCCAAAUAUUAGUUUUUUGCUUUUUCACACAAAAACAAAUAUGAAUGCUAACUUUGGCCAGUGUUUGUGACUAAGUGGCUACUACAAAAGACUGGACAUACCCCACUUGCAAUACCUUGGGUAAUCUACUUUUGCAAAUGGUAUGCCAUCAUGGGGGAAAAUCUCAUUCCUGGGCCACCAUACGGUCUCAAAGGUAACAUUACUAAUCUGGCAAAUUUCAAUUUGAAAAAACUGAAUUACGGUUGAACAGACAUAUAGCGCACAUUCCAGGUUUAGUUUACAUUUUGUUUUGAUCAGAACAUGUAUUAUUGACUCUGUCUUGAAGGGGUUAAUUCCAUUCUGUAAAUAAGUGGCGUCUCUAGGAUUCAUUUUUAGGGGGGCACAUGGUGGGCCAGAGACCAAAGUAGGGGGGCACAGUUAACUCCGGCCUUGCUGCAGUUUGACUCCGCCCCUGUCACAUGUUAAGCCCCACCCCUGACACAAUGUGUUGUUUUUUUUAUAAUAAUCCCUGGUGUUACAUAGUGUUACAUUGUCACAUCAUGCCAUGUUCUGCAGAGAUGUCUGGCUUUGGUUUCUGGUAUCCAGUACUCUUUUUACAAUUCUUGUUUAGUUUUUCUUGUUUUUUUGGUUUUCUAUUCUAUGUCUGCUUUCUGUCCUGCUCUGGUUCUGGGUUCUAUUAGUUCUGUCUUGUUUUCAUGUUUGGUGACUAUCCUAGCCUUGCCUUGUUUCUGUAUUGGAUACAUGUCUGCUGCAGAGCCCCCCUAUCCAGUUCCUGGGAGGUCUGCAUAUCAAGCUCCUAGUUCCUGGGAUCCGCUGUAGCUGCAUCAGGGUUCUGGUAUGUGGCCACGCAAACGCUGGUGCUGAACGUCAGAGGAUGUGUGGUUACCCUGCACCAGGCCCUGAUAGUCCAUUACCACGCUGAAGACUCCCACUUCUCAUCAGGCACUCAGGGGUUUCCUGCCACCCGUGACAUACAUAGUUACAUAGCUGAAAAGAGACUUGCAUCCAUCAAGUUCAGCCUUCCUCACAUAUGUUUUUGCUGUUGAUCCAAAAGAAGGCAAAAAACCUAGUCUAAAGUGCUUCCAAUUUUGCAACAAACUAGGAAAAAAUUCCUUCUUGACCCCAAAAUGGCAGUCAGAUGUCUCCUUGGAUCAAGCAGCUAUUACCCCACUAAUUAGAAAUUAUAUCCCUGUAUGUUAAGUUUUUGCAAGUAUUUAUUCAAUUGCAGUUUAAACAUCUAUAUAGACUCUGACAAAACCCCCUCUUCAGGCAGAGAAUUCCAUAUCCUUAUUGAUCUUACUGUAAAAAACAAAACUUUUCUUUGCCUUAGAUGAAAUCUCCUUUCUUCCAGCCUAAAUGUGUGACCUUGUGUCCUAUGUAUAGCCCUGUUUAUGAACAGAUUUCCAGAUAAAGGUUUGUACUGGCCCCUAAUAUAUUUGUAUAAUGUUAUCAUAUCCCCUCUCAGGUGCCGUUUUUCCAAACUAAACAGAUUUAAAUUUUAUAACCUUUCUUUGUAACUAAAAUGGUCCAUAUCUUUUAUCAAUUUUGUAGCUCGUCUCUGCACUUUUUCUAGUGCUAUGAUAUCUUUCUUUAGAACGGGUGCCCAAAAUUGCACAGCAUAUUCAAGGUGUGGUCUAACCAGCAAUUUAUAAAGAGGCAAAAUUAUAUUUUCAUCCCGAGAAUUUAUGCCCCUAUUUAUACAUGACAAAACCUUACUGGCCUUAGCAACUGCAGAUUGACAUUGCAUAUUGCUGUUUAAUUUGUUGUCUAUAACAAUUCCAAAUCCUUCUCAUGUGUUGUUAUCCCUAGUUCACUAUCAUUUAGGGUGUAAAUUGCUUGUGCAUUCUUAACCCUGAAGUGCAUAACUUUGCACUUCUCUACGUUAAAUUUCAUCUGCCAUUUUAGUGCCCAGUCCCCCAAUCUAUCCAAAUCCCUCUGCAGCAAAACAAUAUCCUGCUCACAUUUUAUUACUUUACAAAGUUUUGUGUCAUCUGCAAACACUGAUACAUGGCUUUCAAUGCCUAUUUCAAGAUCAUUUAUAAAUAUGUUCAAUUGAAGCUGCCCCAAAAUAGAACUCUGACGGACACCACUUACCACUUUUGUCCAGCCUGAAAAUCUACCAUUAAUAACAACUCGCUGUACUCUAUCCUUAAGCCAAUGUUCUACCCAACAACAAGAAUAUUCAUCUAGACCAAUUUCUUUUAGUUUGAAGACUAACCUAUUUUGAGGAACAGUAUCAAAUGCCUUGGCAAAAUCCAAGUAGAUCACAUCCACGGCAACACCCUGAUCUAUACUUCUACUUACUUCUUCGUAGAAUGCAAUUAGGUUAGUUUGACAUGACCUAUGUUUCAUAAAACCAUGCUGAUUAUUGUUAAUAACAAAGUUCUUCCCAAUGAAUUCCUGAAUAUUAUCCCUUAAUAGCCCUUCAAAUAUUUUCCCAGUCACAGAAGUUAAGCUCACAGGUCUAUAAUUUCCAGGCAAGGAUUCAUUAUUUUCAUUAUUUUCCACCAUUGAUUAUUAAAAAAACAAACACAUUUCCUUUGAUAUAGUGCCAUAGUUGUCAACAUUUUAAAAAAAUUUCCAAGGACAUUUUGCAGCGCAGCUAUUAAUUACUACCCUGAAAGUUUACCACACCCACUGCCGCAAAACUCAGCACACUAUGUCCAACCCACAUAAUUCAUCUCCGCCUACUUAUCACAGUACAGAUUACAGUCUACUCAAUAAAGAGAAAUUUACAGGGAAUUGAGAUGGUAAUUUUAAACUUAAGGCCAAAGUAGCCAAGUUAGAAACAUGCUCCCAUUCAGCUGCACUAUUUCAACCUAAUGUUUGAAAUGUAUCUAUGGUGUGGCAAAACGAGCCACUUAAGACUGUAUUUCCAUUAAUGUGAUGUUGUAGAUUUAAGGCUAUCCGAAAUCAGUAUAUUCACUUGUCUGUAUUUUAUGCGAACGAGAGCCACCAGCAUUCAUACAGUAGUUUCACGAACGGGAGACCACACACAGGAGGUCGUGUGGCUCCCAUUAAGUAUCGCAACAUUGUAUCUUUCGGUAGUUAAUGGAUGUUCAGGGUAGCCGUCGUUUGGAUACCGACCACGUGGCGGUCGGCCAUCUUGGAGCCUUUGUUAGCCUGGCGGUAUUUUGUCGUCGAGUGCCUGGAACUAAAAUCGGCUACUCAACGGCACGAAUACCGCUGGACUUCCAGGCCGUUCGGGAACACCGGUCUUUCAGUAUUUUAUCCCUGCUGGUCUAUUUGUGCCUUUGUUGAAAUAUGUAUGUUUAAGUGUAUUUCGCGCGGCGUUCGGCUAAUUGUACUGGGAUCUGAGCGGUUCUUUCACGAAGUAUGUGCUCAGACCCCAGCUAUCUGCCGAACGGUCAUUCGGUAUAAUAGCAUAAAUAAUGUUAAAGUUAUGUAUUUUUGUGUAAAAAGCCAGUUCUGCUGGACGGAGGGAUAAUCCACUUAACUGGAUAUUUUAGUGGGAGUAUCCCUCUUGUGCAGCAGUGCAUGGUGGGAGAAAUACCUUGGUUGUCAAGUCCCCCAUGUAGUCCCCUACUGUACAACCCCUGUAAAGUCAGUAGGGAAACCCCUUGCAUGGGGAACCACAUAAAUACUGUGACUUGUGAUUAAAACAUCAGUUGACUCCCAGCCUAUGUGUCGUCUAGUUCUUGGGAAGGAAGGAUUUAUUUAACGCUACCGGGAUUAUUGUAUGCUGUAAUCGUUAUACCUGGAUUAUUCUAUGCUGUUCCUGUCUACUAGCGGAGAUACUGUGGAUUAUGCUACCUCUCCGCUACACAUGGUAUGCAAUAGGCACAUUCACAGCACAGCAUCUAUAUUAGGCAGGUACAUUUUACCUCUUUUAGGUGAGUUGGGUAUCGUGGUGACACCGAUUUCUAUACAGGAAACACUGACUGUCCCAGGAUAUUAUACACACAGACCUGUAUUUACAGAGAGCAGCACUAUACAGGGAGCACUAACUGUCCCAGGAUAUUAUACAGACACAGACCUGUAUUAUACAGAGAACAGCACUAUAUUAUUAUACAGAUAGCUGAGCAUAUACCCCAUGUCCCAAUCUCUAGACUACUAGUACCUGUCAACAGCAGCUCCCAGACACGUGUAACAGGGCUAAAGCGUGCGGCAGCUCACACAGAUGAUUCAGAGGUAAAGUGCACUCGCUGGCAGAGCCAAACUGGGUAUCCAAAGCAGCCCUGGAAAAAAAAAGUAUGCCAUUCCUACAAGUCAUUAUAUAUAUAUACUCUCUGACUCACACACAAGCUCACUACAGACAAACUCACUUGUAUAAACACAAGGCUCACUACAAAGAAGUUCAGGGACACACACAAUCUCACUGACACACACAUGCUCACUAAAUAGAAGCUCACUGACACACACAAGCAGUACCAUCUUAACAGCGUUAUGGGCCCCCGGGCAAAGCAGUGCACUGGGGCCCUUCCUACACAACAACUCACAGUAAUACAAUUUUUAAUUAUUCAUAGACUGCUGAGUAUAUACACACUGAAUAUGAACACCGAGAGACUGCUGAAUACACACACACACAGAGAUUUCUGUAUGCACACAGGCGUUGCUGAAUGCACACAGGCGUUGCUGAAUGCACACAGGCGUUGCUGAAUGCACACAGGCUGAUUUACAUAUGUGCACACAGGCUGUUUUUUACACGUACACAAACACUGCUGAGUCCAUACACACAUGAAGACUGCUGAAUCCAUACACACACACACACAGCUGAGUACAUACACACAUACAUACUGCUGAGUAGAUACACACACAGACACACACACACACACAGACUGCUGAGUCCAUACACACACGCAGACUGCUGAAUCCAUACACACACACACAGACACACAUACUGCUGAGUACAUACACACAUACAGACUGUUGAGUACAUACACACACAGACUGCUGAGUCCACAUACACACACAAACUGCUGAAUACAUAUACACACACAGACACACAGACUGCUGAGUCCAUACACACACACACAAAGACUGCUGAGUCCACACACACACACACAAAGACUGCUGAGUCCACACACACACACACACAAGCUGCUGAGUCCAUACACCCACACAGACACACAGACUGCUGAGUCCUUACACACACAGACACACAGACUGCUGAGUCCUUACACACACAAAGCUACACAGACUGCUGAGUCCUUACACACACACACACACACACAGACGUGUAUUUUAAUAAUCCCUGGUGAAAAAUAAUGAAUACUCAACCAGGGAUUAAAAAAAAACAAAAAACACAUUGUGUCGGGGGUGGGGUUUUACAUGCGGCGGGGCGGGGUCAAGCUUGAAUACCCUUGUGGCGCUCACAUGCACAUUAGUUCCCCUAUUCUCCUCUGUGAGGAGCAUUAGAUUGGACAAUUCUGAAGAAGGCCAUGCCCCCUCCAAGAUCUUAUAGGGAGACAUAGUGGUCCGCAGUGCUGAUGGAGCCUAGGUGCUGCUUAUGGUGAGUAAAACUUUAGUUUUUAAAAACAUUUAUUGCAAACAGAGAGGUUACUAUAGCGUUAGGAAUUCAGGUUUUGUAUUCAGAGUUAGAUAGUUUUUCUUUUCAUUCUAUAGGUUUAAUCUCUCUAUAUAUUAAGAUCCCCUCCCCUGUUUUCACCUGAGUAACCUGUGAAAAUAAUAUAAUUACCUGUAAUCCUGCAUCAAGCGCUGGAAUCUCUGAUCAUUUCCAUGCCUUCCUAUUUGUCAGUGCCAUGUCAUCUUCUUGAUAGCAUGCCUAUUUGAAUGCUUUUCAUUAAUAACCAUGGAACCACCGACCAUGGGCAUGUGUCAAUCAGAGGAUAGGAAUCAGGUAUGGAGGGUGGGCAUCUCAGAGAGUGUAGAAGGUGGACAAGAGCAGAAAACAAUAUGGUAAACAUGUGAAGAGUAUAACAGGUUGGAAGCUCUUUAACGUUACUGAAUGUGAUUCACCCAACCUCCAUGAAAACAUGUAUUCAUUUUUUCAUAUGAGAUCUUACAGCAUAGUGUGUUUACUUUAGAAAGUCUUAUCCACUUCUCUGUUAAUUGAAUUAAUCACAACAUGAGAUUGAUGCAGGCUCUAGUGGGUAAUUAACAUAGCAGUAAAUAAGUUAUUAUUCAUUAAAUACACUGUGUAACAGGGGAAGAAAAUGGACUUCUGUGUGCUGUGUGUGCCAGGUGAAGAGUGGCUAGGCCUGCAUAAAUAAAUUACCUUAAAAAGAUACUCCAACCACCAUGACCACUUCAGUGAUUUGAAGUGGUCAUGGUGGUAGGAGUUUGGAUGUGCAGUGCUUUUAGUGUUUCUGCAUGAAACACUACACAUUUAGAAUGGUUUUCACUUGUGUGCCAGGGACUAGUUAAAUUUCCGGCACACGUGACUUAACAGAGUUAAGUCACGGAACUCGGUUCUGGGCUUCCUGAUGUUAUUUCUGUGCAUAUUUUACGUUUGUCAUCAGCGUGCACAACUAUGAUUACUUCCUCUGUGUGCUCCCUCACACCUCCCUACAUUACAGACAAUAUAUAUAUUUUUUUUUUUUUUACAAAAAAUCUCUACCUCUCACUGUGCAUUCCCACUUCUUUCUACCCUCUCCUUGACGGCGCAGAGCAUGCACAUGCACAUGAACGCAGAGAAAUGAUCCAAUCAAAGACUUCUAUGAGAAAACCAAACUUCCUCUCUCAACUGUUAUUUCUUUGUUUUUCCUUUCCUCUCAUAUAAUCAUGAUCCUAUAUGAUGGGACAAUGUUUGAAGAGGGCCUUAAACAUGGACUUCAUACCUCUGAGAGAACUAAAUCAAAAUAAUUUAUAUAACUGGCCAUGCAUUCCACUCCUUCAAGAGAGAAGGGGUCGAACAGCGCUACACACGUUAAUCACAAGGAUACAGAAGGCUGCACUCCUGAAGGGAAGGGUGACCCUAAAAACUGGAAGAACAGAACAAGAGAAACAGGGUGCGCCAAAAUAAAAAAAGCUAAAACAACAAUAAAAAUACAACAAAAUGGCACCAGAUAGGAGUAAUAAAAUAGCUCAAUGUAGUUUAGAACAUUAUAUAUAUAUAUAUAUAUAUAUAUAUAUAUAUAUAUAUAUAUACACAUACAGAGCAUAUAAAAAAAGAAUAAAAACAGAGGGGACCAAUAGUGCAAUAAUGUAGGAAAAUUGACUCCAGAUAACACUGAGGUAAAAAAUGCCAACUCACAUUUAAAGUAGCUAUGCCCAGCUCCAGGUAAAACAAUAUGUGGUGGUAUUUAAACUUAUAGGCUAUCCCUCUGAUGGUAGUUGCAGUGAAGGUCAUAUAUAAUAAAAACAAAGGAGAAUGUCCAUAGUGCUCUCUAUAACAGUGAGUAUAUGGAGUGAUAAGAGAUAUACUUACAAUUUUAAGGAGCAGACAAACCGCUCUAUGUGCCAAGCGGGGGUGGAACAAUCCCCACCUGGGAUUCUUUAGAUGAUACGUCUGGUGCUGUAGAUGAUGGAAUAUGCCAGGUGUAAAGGAAAAAUAAUAAUAAAAGUAUAAAGACUGACCCACUAAAUAGGUAGUCAGGAAAAUUACUUUUAUUUAACAAAUGCUUAAAAUACAAUGUGUUUUGCCUUUUCAGGCCUUUUCAAGUAUAAAAACAAAUACCUGGCAUCUAAAUGGCACAAAUUUGAAUUUUGGCGCCAAAAAUGACAUUGUCAUGUGACCGCGAUCACAUGAUUAGGCUUAAUACAGUAGUUUCUAUUAUUAUAGUUUUCAAAAUAAUGCUCAUUUUUACUAUAAAGUGAGUUGGAGACCUUUUGGUAAUGAUUGGUAAUGUGUAUAUUGGUUAUUUUAUUUUAAAAUUUAUGGGUAUUAAAUUUAAGAUCGAUAUGCUGCGAAAUCAUGGCAACCGCAAAUAGCUUAAUAUAAGAUAAUAUGAAUAAAAAGAGGGUAAAAAACAAUAGUAAAUAAAUCAUAUGUGGUGAAAAAAUAAUGUUGGACGCGGUGGGGAAAAUACAACGACAGCCACAAUGCAGGGACGUAUUAGCCGCGAGGCAAACAAGGCAUUUGCCUUGAGCGGCACUUUCCAGGGGGCGGCAAAAAAAGACGCCCCCAAAUGCCCAUGUAAAUGUCUUGUUAGCCUGGCGGCUAACUGACAAUCCAGGCGGGGGGGCAGCGCUGGCGAGGGAGCACUGAUUAGUGACCUCUCUGCUCAUUUCCCUCGCGCGCCGCAAAGUAAUGCCGGAAGCCGGAAUAUGACGUCAUAUUCCGGCUCCCGGCAUCACUCUGCAGUGCGUGAGGGAGCUGUACAGGAGGGCUUUUUUUGCUGCCCCCUGGAAAGUGCCACCCAAGGCACUCGCUGCCUGAAGUCACCGGCCGGCCGCCCAGCAGCCCCACUGGACCCCAGGGAAACGAGAUUCCAGUGUGUUAGUGUGUGUGACUGUGUCUGUUUGUGAGUGAGUGUGUGUGUGUCUGUUAGUGUGUGAGUGUGUGUGUCUGUUAGUGAGUGUGUGCGUCUGUUAGUGUGUGUGUCUGUUAGAGUGUGUGUGUUUGUUAGCUAGUGUCUGUUAGCUAGUGUAUGUGUGUCUGUUCCUGUUAGUGUGUGUGUGUCUGUUAGCUAGUAUAUGUGUGACUGUCAGUGAAUGUGUGUGUGUGUGUGUAUUUAGAAGGGGGGUGGCGGGGGCCCCUGAGUUUUGUCAUGCCUAGGGCAGCACAAAACCACGAUACACCACUGCUGCAAUGUAAAGGGAAUUAUGGGAAAUGUAGUAACAAUGCACGGUAUAGAGUCGGAGUUACAGGGCGUAAUGGAAGAGGGGACAGCCAUAUUGAAUAAGUGCUAGUGUGGGCAGGUGAUGUGCUGGCGUAAGUGGGUUCAUAGUUGUUAAAGAGGAAGCAAUUUGGGGGAUUAAUUCUAUGAUCAAUAUGCCACGAAAUUGCGGCAACCGCAGAUAGCUUAAUACUUUUGUAUUAGGGAGGAUAGGUAGGUUGGAACAGAAUUAUGUAAGGACUUGUAAGCAAGCACCAGAAUCUUAAAUUGGCUAACUGGAAGUCAAUGUAGGGACUGACAGAGGGGGGCGUGGGAGGUCCCUACAGCUGUGCAAGCUGGGAACAUGUUAAACCACUGAGAAGGGGAUUGCAGUAGUCAAGGCGAAAAAGAACAACCGCAUGGACCAGCACCUUAGCCGCGUCCAGAUUUAAGUAGAGGCUGAUGCAAGCUAUGUUUUUGAGAUGGAAGCAGCAGGAUUUGUCAAUGAACUGGACAUGAGGGGUGAAGGAGAGGUCGGAGUCAAAGAAAACACCUAGGCAGCGAGCCUGCAAGGUAGAGGUAAAGGUGGCACCAUAGACUUGGAGGGAGGGAGACAAGGGAGUAGCAACACUUGAAGGAAGAAGGACCAGAAGUUCUGUUUUGGACUGGCUGAGUUUAAUGAAGUGAGCAGCCAUCCAGCUAGAAAUAGCGGAGAGGCAGUUAGAGUCAAGAUGGGUAGAGAGAUCAGGAGAUGACCGGUAGAUUUGCAUGUCAUCUGCAUAUUAAUGAUAAUGGAAGCCAGGAUGAGUUUACCAAGGAAGACAGUAUAAAUAGAGAACAGCAAGGGACCAAUGAGAGACCCUUGAAGAAUGCCAACAGAGAGGGGUUGUGGAGAAGAGGCAGAGUCAGAGAAAGAAACACAAAGAGCACUGAGAGAGGUAGGAGGAGCACGAGGAGAGAGCAGUAUCCCAUAGACCGAGAUUACGGAGAAUGAGAAUAAGCUGCUGAUGAUCAACAGUGUCAAAGGCAGCAGAAGGAUGAGUAAUGGCUGCGAGAUUUAGCAGCAAUUAAAUCACCAGAUACUUUUGUCACAGCCGUUUUGAUAGAGUGAUGAGCGCGGCCAUGGGCGUCCGCAGGAAUUUUUCCAGGGGGGGGCAUAAUUGUAAUGACAUCCAUGCUUGGUACCUUUUUGACAGUAUCACAUAAAGCCAGGGUGAAUAGCGUUUUCACAACUAUGGUGUCAGGAAUAUAUGUUUGUAUUCCUGACACUAUAGUCUUCCUUUAAGCAAAUUAAAGGACCCUGGGUGCUCGCUUUCCUUUAAGGGGUUAAAUCGCUCUCAAAUGGUUUAACCCCAAAGGCUUCCUCCAGCUCCAGGUCGCUCAGUGGUAUUUGGCUUCUGAAACAGAGUGUCAGGAAGUGCAGAUUGACGUCAGGCAUGGGUGCCGCUGAUUGGCUAGAGUGGACAGUUGACGCUCUAAGCCAAUCGCUAGUUCCCGGUUCAUAAAAUAUUUUUACUUUUUUAUGAAUGGGAAGCUACUGAUUGGCUUAGAGUGCCAGCUGACCGCUCUAGCCAAUCAGCAACACCCCUAACCAACGGCACUCUGUGCUUCCUGACACUCAGUAAAUAAAAUUGAACACAUUAACACUGAUAUUUUUAUUACCUUUGGAGAUGAGAAGGGCCAGUGUUUCCCUGCCAGGCCCUGGUACCAAAGCCUUAUGAUGUGGUGUCCAGAAUAAAGUGGAGGGUUCACUUCAUUUGUUCUUCCUGCUCCAAUCUCCUUUUCCUCUCCUUCAUUUGACAGUCUUUUUUUUUCUUCUGACACUGUUUUCUAUCCUUAGCCCCUUCUGCUCUUUUACCUUUCUUCUACUUUCUGCUUAUUUUGCGCCCUUCUGCUCCUUUCUCAUUCUGAUCCCUUUCUGCUCCUUGCAGACCCUUUCUGCUCCCUUUUCUACUUUACCUUUGUGCUCCUUGCUGUCCCUUUCUGCUCCUUCCUGCUCCUUGCAGGCCCUUCCUGCUCAUUCUUCUACUUUACGUUUGUGCUCCUUCUGCCCCUUCCAGCUCAUUUCUGACCCUUUCUGCCCCUUCUACUUUACCUUUGUGCUGCUUUACCUUCCAGCUCCUUGCUGACCCUUCCUGUUCAUUUCUGUUCCUUCUCCUUUUCUUACUUUACCUUCCUGCUCCUUGCUGACUCUUCAUGUAGGCUGUCUCCCCCAUCCCUUACUUCCAUAGGCGUGCGCACGGGGUGUGUCGGGUGUGCCUGGGCACACCCUAAUCCCCGCAGUACGCCAAUGCAUUAAGCCUCCAUGGGCCGGUGGGGAGAUCAAAGUUCUACCUUACCGGUCCACAGCAGCAUGGAGGGAGGCAGCAGAGAACCCAGGCUAGAGUUCACUCUCCACUAAACCACCAGGGAAGGCAGCAGGACUGGGAUAUUAACUAAUCUGCCCCCACCUCCACCCAAACAUACAGCACACACACACAGCACCUACACACAUACAGCACAUACAGCCCACAAACAGCACCCACACACACACACACAGCACCUACAAACAUACAUCACCCUCGCACACACAGCACCCACACCCAGCACACUAACAGCAUCCUCACAAACACACAAAACCCACACACAACACCCGCACAGCACCCACAAACAAACAGCACACACACACAAACAGCACCCUGACAAACACACAACACCCACACACAGCACACAAACAGCACACUAACAGGACCCGAACAAACACGCACACACAAACACUCUCUCACACAUACACACACACACACACAGCACACUACCAGUUCCCUCACACACAGCACACAAACAGCACCCUCACACACAGCACACUAACAGCACUCUCACAAACACACACAAAAACACCGUCACCCACAUAGCACACUACCAGCACCCUCACACACACAGCAGUAUAUAUAUAUAUAUAUAUAUAUAUAUAUAUAUAUAUAUAUAUAUAUAUAUAUAUAUGUGUAUAUACACAUGGCUUUUGCACACCCUUUUGCAAUAGGCUGCGCACGCCUAUGCUCACUCCCCUAAUCUAUAGGCUGCUGCUGCUAUGGCUGCUGCCCAAAAAAAAUCUAUAGGCUGCUGCCCCAAAAAAUAUAGGCUGCUGCCCCAAAAAUCUAUAGGCUGCUAGGCUGCUGCCCCCCAAUCUACUAUAGGCUGCUGCCCCAAAUCUAUAGGCUGCCUUUAAUCUAGGCUGCUGCCCCCCAGGCUAUAGGCUGCUGCUGCAGGCUGCUGCCCCCCCAAUCAUAGGCUGCUGCCCCCAAUCUGCAGGCUGCUGCCCCAGUCUGGAAACACCGCUGCUAUAGGCUGCUGUUAACCCAGGCUGCUGCCCCCAAUCCCCAUGGCUGCCACAUCUAUGGCUGCCUUUUUUCCAUAUGUUAACCUCCCCACUUACCUGAUCUGUAGGCUGUCUCUGGCUGCAUGUGUUGCUCCCCUGCGGUUUCAAUCAGCAGAGAGAAGCAGGGAUAAGAUGCAGCUUCCUAUCCCUGUCUCUCUCCAUACACAGCGCCACCUACUGGCCGGCGCCGGUAUUGCAGUUCAUUUUAAAUCUCACACGAAAAAUAGCAGAACAAGCUGAAAAAUCCAGGGGGGGGGCAAGUGCCCCCCCUUGCCCCCCCCUGCGGACGCCCAUGAGCGCGGCAUCCAGACUGAAGCAGGUCAAGUUGAGAGUUGGAAUCGAGGAAGCCUGUCAAUCUUGCAUACACAACUCUCCCCAAGAUCAUGGAGGCAAAUGGCAGUAGCGACAUAGGGCUGUAGUUGGAUGGGGAGUUGGAGUCAAGGUUGGGCUUUUUCAGAAUCAGGNNNNNNNNNNNNNNNNNNNNNNNNNNNNNNNNNNNNNNNNNNNNNNNNNNNNNNNNNNNNNNNNNNNNNNNNNNNNNNNNNNNNNNNNNNNNNNNNNNNNAUUAUGGUUGCAUGUUUGAAGGGUGAAGGAAAUGUGCCAGAGGAAAGGGAGAAAUUGAAAUUUUUUAUUGAGAGGAAGAGCAAGAGAUAGAAACAGAGUGCAGAUGAGAUGUGAGUAAUAGGAUUGANNNNNNNNNNNNNNNNNNNNNNNNNNNNNNNNNNNNNNNNNNNNNNNNNNNNNNNNNNNNNNNNNNNNNNNNNNNNNNNNNNNNNNNNNNNNNNNNNNNNGGGGACACCGUCUUAAAGGGGCCGUGUCCCCAACAAGUCUGGGGACACGGCCUUAAAGGGGCAGUGUCCCAAUCUUCCUGAUGUCCCAAAAAAAGGUGUUUAAAGGGCCAGCACCAGUCACAUAAAGAGUCCAUAAGCCCCAAUAUGCCCACCGACAGUCUUAAAGGGCCAUACACAACAAAUAAAAGUGCAUACAUUUUCACAAUCUCCCAGGGGCCAUAGUCAUGCGGGAGGAGGCUGGCAAAGAGGCUUCUCCACAACCCAGGGAAACAGGGCAAUUUGCCAUUUAAAGGGCCCGUUACAAAUAGCAGUUUGUAACAAGGUGUCAAUCCAUAUCUGCCAAGUGACCCGAUGUAGGGGACCAGUCCCUAUUCUGCUCUGUGUCAGUGUGUAUCAGGGAACCUUAGGACAGGUGUCAAUCCAUAUCUGCCAAGUGACCCGAUGUAGGGGGAACAGUCCCUAUUCUGCUCUGUGUCAGUGUGUAUCAUGGUCUCUGAGGACAGGUGUCAAUCCAUAUUUGCCAAGUGACCCUAUGUAGGGGACCAGUCUCUAUUCUGCUCUGUGUCCGUGUGCAUCAGGGGCUCUGAGGACAGGUGUCAAUCCAUAUGUCAAGGUGUCAAUAUGUCAUAUGUCAGGUGUCAAUCCAUAUUGAUUGUGAUUUAGGAAUGUUAGGUGAUUUCUGCCCUUUAUGGAUUAAAACCAGACUCUGUAUCAACUGUGUAAUUUUCCAUGGGAGUUUUGCCAUGGAUCCCCCUCCGGCAUGCCACAGUCCAGGUGUUAGUCCCCUUGAAACAACUUUUCCAUCCCUAUUGUGGCCAGAAAGAGUCCCUGUGUGUUUUAAAAUUCGCCUCCCCAUUGAAGUCAAUGGCGUUUCGGGCGGUUCGCCGGUUCGCGAACAUUUGCGGAAGUUCGCGUUCGCCGUUCGCGAACCGAAAAUUUCGGGUUCGCGACAUCACUAUUAGCUUUAGCAUGCAGUGCAAGACAAAGUAAAAUAUAUAUGUAUAUAUGAAUAAACAUAUACACAUAAACACACACACAUAAAUUUUGUCAAAUAUGUAUUGCACCCAUGACCAAUUUGUUGUGCAAAUAUGCCAAAAUGUUACAUUAACACUUUAUAAAAACACUAUAGUGUACCGCUGACUGCACUCCAUGCCCCUGGCCAUGAAAGGGUUGAAAACAGUUUAUAUCACUUACCUGAUACCAGUGGUCCCUUAGUGCCUGAUUCGUCUCUUUAUCAAUGGUAAAUUAAGUCCCUAAUGCACAUGUGUGGUGAGUGCUGCACGUGAACUAGGGUUUCCCCAAAAUGAAAGCAUUGAAUUGGUGCUUUCCUAUGGAGAUUUUCAAGAUGCUGGACAUCCUCGCCGUUUCACGGAGUUGAACUUCAUGUGAAAACAGCCACUAGAGAAAGUCCUAAUCCUGCAAUAUAAAAAUUGCACUUACUCUAAAUCUGCAAUAUUUUACCCUGCAACCAGAUCACUUCAAUGAAAUUAAGUUGUAUGGGUGCCUAUUGCAUCUCUUUAAACCCUUAUUGACCACGGAUGCACCAGGUACGUCCGACAAGAAACGGCCCUUAAGGACCUCUGAUGUACCUGGUAUGUCCGUGGCUCUUUUGAGUGCUGGAAGUGAUUGCUUCCAGCCGCUCUGAUGGUAUUACACAAUGCCUCGAUAUUGAGGCAUCAUGUAAUACCCCCCUACACUGCCGGGGACCUAAGUGAUCGCCCCCCCCCCUCCCCGGGUUUGCUGCACGUGGCGCCCAGCAGUGUAGGGAAGAGCAUCUGAAGCCAUCCGCAGGCUUCAGAUUCUCUUACCUUUACUGAGUGCUUCGAGGGGUGAUAGUUAAAAAAGUAAAGAAAUGUAAAAAAAAAAUGUAAUAAAGAAAGAUUAAACCAUACCCUCCCUCCCCUAUUCCCCCGCUGGCGAUCGGACUUCUUCUUUGGGGGGACUCUCUGGACUGAGCCCAGAGAAUCCCCCCUCUCCAAUUUAGGACCCCCAGGUCACAUGGCCCCCAUAGGUGUCCAUUGUGCUGCCAGCAGGGGUACUGCCUGAACCGACAGGCAGUCCCCCUGCUGGUGGAAAAGUUAAAAUAAAGUUAAAAAAAAUUAAUAAAUUUGUGUGUAUAUAUAUAUAUGUAUAUAUGAUAUAUGUAUAUAUAUAUAUAUAUAUAUAUAUAUAUAUAUAUAUAUAUAUAUAUAUAUAUAUAUAUACAUACACAUACAUACAUAUACAUAUAUUAUAUCUAUAUUUAAUACGUGUGUAUAUAUAUAUAUAUUUAUAUAUAUAUAUAUAUAUAUAUAUACACAUUUGUGUUCGGGGCAUUCUCAUAUGAUAUAGAAUAAGAUGGGUUGUAGAGAUGUAGCUUUAGGAAUAAUCGGUUGAGGUGUGCCGAAACCGACGUAUGCUGUAAGCCGGUAAAAAGUGGGCUUACAUAGAGGAAAUAUGAACAAUGGGAGUGGAGGGUGGGGCUAUUCGUCUGACCAACAAAGGUAAGUAGGGAAAGGGGGAGUCCCUUUUAUAGGUCUAUAGCCCCUCCCACAACUUCAGGCCAUGCCUUCCAAUUUGUGUUCGGGGCAUUCUCAUAUGAUAUAGAAUAAGAUGGGUUGUAGAGAUGUAGCUUUAGGAAUAAUCGGUUGAGGUGUGCCGAAACCGACGUAUGCUGUAAGCCGGUAAAAAGUGGGCAAAAAGAGACAUAUUAAUGCAAAACAUUAUACAGGAUCAUAGUGCAUUUGUUAACCAUCAGUUAGACAUUUUAAUGAAAGCGUCCUAAUUCCUGAAUCGGCUGUGGUAUGUACAUCGCAUAAGCCUAUGAUUCCCAGCGGCCCCGUGUCUUAACGUGUGCUGGGAUGUCUUGGCUAUGGGCUGUGUAAGCUGCUCCUAUCCAAAAGGAGUGCCCUGAGUAGUCGCUAGGGUUUAGUUCGAGCACGAUGAAUGAGUAGGUGGACAUAGUGCAUGAACUUACCUGUGGUAAGGACAGUAUCGUACAGCGACAGUAAUGGUUCAGUGGUGCGUAUGGUGGCGUGCCCAAGAACGUAAUCAGUACCUUAACCGGGCACCCAGCAUUGCUUGUAAGGUAGUAGGUUAUAUGCACUGGCUCGCCCCUCUGACUCAUCUUAGUUUUAGGAAGGGACCGGACAUAGUGGUCUGUGUGUUUUAGAGGAUAAGAGGUCACCAGGCACUCUUGUUUAUGAUGUUGGCCGCUGAUAGUGAGUGAUUGUUUUGGCCUGAGAAAACCGUUAAAGGCUAGAUAGGUAGCAGUUUUGAUAACUGCAUUGGUGCGUGGCUCGGAAGUGCAUGGUCGAGUGGUUCUGUCAUGGUUUGAAAAUUGUAUGUCUAUGGCCAGUAUUUAGUUUUAGCGGGAACGUCCGCUUGGCCAUGUCUCUAAGUAAGGCAUGUAUGGGGUAGGAGGAUAGGAAGCCUUGUUGUUUGGGAUGGAGAAAUACGUAUAGGGUUGAAUGCCCGUGAGAUAAAGUUUAACCGUGUUGUGCGAGAAUUAUUAACUUAAGGUGGCAAAAAAGAGGCGAAGGACAUACGUGGUGAAACCUCAAACCAGCUAUCUAAGUGAUGGUCCGACAUGAAACGUAUUGUAUAAGUGGAAAACCCUGUAGCAAGCGUGUUGAGUGCUGGUGGACAAGGCCAGUUUAGUCAGAGCCCGGCUAUGUUGGCGAGGUUCAUGUAAUCCAUGACCUUGACCAUAAAUGACCCCCCUGCCAUGGCGGCUGUCACGGCAGCUGCCACAAUAGUUUGCCAUUACGUGUGGUUAAGAAAGUCCACCAUAUGUGUAGGUCUGCCAUGGCUUGGUUGUCUAGGGACAGCCCCUGAUCAUCAUUCGGGAGGGAGGAAAAAGCAAAGUGGUCUGAGAUGAAAGCAGGCCUGCGGUACGAUGUGCAUGGCAAAAUUUAAGGAACCUGGUAGGGAUUGUAGUUCCAUGUGGUUGCAAGUACCAAGCAGGAGGUGGUAAUUGGUGUUGUUGCGACUGUUCCUAUUUCUCGCGUGGUAAUUUGUUGGUAUGGAUGCCGAGUCAAGUUGUAUGCCCAGGAAUGUAACGACAGUGUCUGGGUCUUCUGUGACCUUAGGGAAUACUGGGACACCCAAGUGUUCAGACAUACUAAUGGCUUUCUUGAAGCUUCUAGAGGGAAAGGCAUUCCCUUUGACCAACAAGAAAUCAUCUCGGGAGUGUAUGACUGUGGGGCAUCUGGAUAUGUUUAACCACAACCAGUAAAGAGUUCAACGAAUAUAUUGAAGAUUGUGGGCUGCUCUUGACCCGAAAGUUAAGCGGGAGAAGAAAUAUAUAACUGCUGCCCAUAAAUGCCCUGUAAGUGCCAGUGCAGGGUGGAUGGUGGCAGUCUGAAAUGCGUUUGUGAUAUCAGUUUUACUUAACCAGACUUCCCCUCCCUGCUUGAGUGAGUUGUCAUGGUAUGAACAAUGGUGGCAUACUGUAAUGAAAACUCCUCGGAGAGUAUGAGGGAGUUGAGAUUAUGGGGUAGCCGAGGCGUGAGGUGCAGAUAAGUCUAUGAUCAGUUACAAUGGGAUUGCGCCACACUGUAAAUAGUGUAGAUCGGAGAGGCCCAGGUAGAAAUAUUUCUGCCAUUUCUUGGGCCAUGAGUGUAAUGCCAGCUGUUGGAUGCUGCUGUGAUGACUGCAAGUUAGGGCAUUCUAGAUUUCCCCAAAAGUAUAUGGCAAUACCUGAACAGAAGGCCUUUAAAAUCGGAGAUUAGGAAAUAAACUAAAUGUCUGGAAGGGUGAUAAGUUAGAAAGUACUGGAAAUGCAUAAUGUUUACAGAUGAGAAGUAAGGUUCAGGGUACAUUUAUUGGGACACAUGGUUUUUGCAUGUGCCCUGACAUAUUGGGAACAUAUCUGCAACAGUCUGCAUGCACUGAAACUACAUGCCAACAUGGAAAUUGUUGCAAAUCUGGGAUUUGCCAAAGAGAAUGAGACGACCCAAUUUAUCUCGGGUAGUUCGCUACGUCCUACCAGAGGUGCUAGAGCCUGGAGCCUGAAACGUGAUCGUCCGCUGUGUUGGGACAAAAUUGUCCUGUGGGACUAGCAACAUCUCCAAGUGAAAGUGUGUUGACUCUAGCUGGAGUGUUAGGUAGAGAGAAAUCCUUACCACCUGCUUGAUACAUACUAAAAAAUAUGAAGAUAGCCAUUAUUAUAUGAACCCACAGUGUGCUAGUACUGGCUUGCUAGCUAAAGCCGCAAGGCGAAACAAUUAAUCCUUUGUUUGGUGACAGGUGAGGCCCUGCUAGUUGCCAAGUGGCUUGAGAGGCUCUAUCUAUGCAAUGGCGCGAGGGGAUUUUUGUGGCCACCAAACGUAGUGGCAGGAUGUUGGCCUCUCGGUGACUGUAACCAUAAAAAAGGGGAAGGGAGUGACAGGUGAGGCCCUCUCUAUAUACCAUGCGAGGCGGCUAGCUCACGAGUGGCCCGAUGGGUGUUUGCCUCCGAGCGUUGAGGCGGGGUGUUGGCCUCGCGGGACCACUAUACGACAGGCGUAGAUGCCAAGAAAGGAAAAUAUCUAUUGGAAACCUAUAGUCCCUAAUUGCCAGUACGCUAAGGAUAUACCCAGGGGGAAACAGAAAAUGUAUGUAUAUACCACAUGAGCAGGUGUAUGUACCUGGUAGUAUGAUUAGAUACCCUUACUGGUCGUAAAGGUUAUUAAUACCUGUAUCCCAGACGGGUAAAACAAUGUAUGAAAAUCGGAUAUAGACAUUUAAAAGCGUAUAUCCAUAUGUGUGUUAUGCAAGUUUAAUAGAGCAAAGUGCUCUGUCCCAAUAUUUAUUGUAUGCUUGUAAUGCCCCUGUUUGAAGGAAAUUAACUUGUCGGGAGUGUUAUAUCAUGUGUGAUAUGGAACACAACUGUACCCCGAAACAUGAGUGUAGUGAACCAUGACUGGCAGCUGAAUAACCUAAUAAGUGAAAAUACAUAAUUGGAAGGACUUAUAUUUUAAGCGUGCAAAUAUUCCGUAUUAGACUCUGGAAAACUGCAUAGUGCUUUAAAUAGUAUGUGUAUUCUUGGGUAAAUGUAUGCGUAUUUUCAGUAAAUGUAACUAAAUGCCUAUGAAGGCAGGUAUGCAGGAAUGAUAUCAUAGUAAGCAUGAUUUAUAAGGAAGUGUUAUUGUGUAAUUAUAAUUAUAGUGGGAAUGUUAUGAGGGGAAUAACCAUAUGUCUGAAAAGCCUGUAGUAUACCGUUUGACAGAUAGGAGUCAGUAUAAAAGUGAAAAUGCUGUAGUUAGUUUGUUUGCUUAUGAAGUGAAAUAAAGUCUGAGAAGCCUGUAGUACACUGAAUGACCAGUAAGGGUCAGCAUGUAGGCGAAAAUGCCGUGGUUCGUUGGUUUGUACAUGAAAUGCAAUAAUGUCUGAGAAGCCUGUAGUACACCGAAUGACCGGUAGGGGUCAGUGUGUAGGCGCAAAUGCAGUGGUUCGUUGGUUUGUACAUGAAAUGCAAUAAUGUCUGAGAUGCCUGUAGUUACACCAAAUGACUGGUAGGGGUCAGUGUCUUGGUGAAAAUGCAGUGAAAAUGCAGUGAAAAUGCAGUGGUUUGUACAUGAAAUGCAAAAACUUCUAAGAAGCCUAUAGUACACCGAAUGACCGAUAGGGGUCAGUGUCUAGGUGAAAAUGCAGUGGUUUGUUGGUUUGUACAUGAAAUGCAAUAAUAUCUGAGAAGCCUGUAGUACACUGAAUGACUGGUAGGGGUCAGUGUGUAGGUUAAAAUGCAGUGGUUAAUUGGUUUGAACAUGAAAUGCAAAAACGUCUAAGAAGCCUGUAGUACACCGAAUGACCGAUAGGGGUCAGUGUCUAGGUGAAAAUGCAGUGGUUCGUUGGUUUGUACAUGAAAUGCAAUAAUAUCUGAGAAGCCUGUAGUACACCGAAUGACCGGUAGGGGUCAGUGUGUAGGCGCAAAUGCAGUGGUUCGUUGGUUUGUAGAUGAAAUGCAAUAAUGUCUGAGAUGCCUGUAGUACACCGAAUGACCGGUAGGGGUCAGUGUCUAGAUGAAAAUGCAGUGGUUCGUUGGUUUGUACAUGAAAUGCAAUAAUGUCUAAGAAGCCUGUAGUACACCGAAUGACCGGUAGGGGUCAGUGUGUAGGCGCAAAUGCAGUGGUUCGUUGGUUUGUACAUGAAAUGCAAUAGUGUCUGAGAUGCCUGUAGUUACACCAAAUGACUGGUAGGGGUCAGUGUCUUGGUGAAAAUGCAGUGGUUUGUACAUGAAAUGCAAAAACGUCUAAGAACCUGUAGUACACCGAUGACCGAUAGGGGUCAGUGUGUAGGCACAAAUGCAGUGGUUCGUACAUGAAAUGCAAUAAUGUCUGAGAUGCCUGUAGUACACAGAAUGACCGGUAGGGGUCAGUGUCUUGGUGAAAAUGCAGUGAAAAUGCAGUGGUUUGUACAUGAAAUGCAAAAAGUCUAAGAAACCUGUAGUACACCGAUGACCGAUAGGGGUCAGUAUGUAGGCACAAAUGCAGUGGUUCGUACAUGAAAUGCAAUAAUGUCUGAGAUGCCUGUAGUACACAGAAUGACCGGUAGGGGUCAGUGUCUUGGUGAAAAUGCAGUGAAAAUGCAGUGGUUUGUACCUGAAAUACAAAAAGUCUAAGAAACCUGUAGUACACCGAUGACCGAUAGGGGUCAGUAUGUAGGCACAAAUGCAGUGGUUCGUACAUGAAAUGCAAUAAUGUCUGAGAUGCCUGUAGUACACAGAAUGACCGGUAGGGGUCAGUGUCUUGGUGAAAAUGCAGUGGUUUGUACAUGAAAUGCAAAACGUCUAAGAAACCUGUAGUACACCGAUGACCGAUAGGGGUCAGUGUGUAGGCCCAAAUGCAGUGGUUUGUACAUGAAAUGCAAUAAUAUCUGAGAAGCCUGUACUACAUUGAAUGAGGACCGAUAGGGGUCAGUGUGUAGGCGAAAAAAUUGUAUGUCGUUUGUAGUUUUAACCCAACAGAUUUUUAACCAAAACAGAUUUUAACCAACAGAUUUUACAUAAACAGCUAGGUGAGUAUAAGGUAACGAAAUAACCGUGCAAAACGAAAGGAAACCGUAAAGUGAGGACCCGUGCUGUGUUGAACGCCGUGGGAACUAAUCCUGGCGCGACAGGUGGGUCAACUUACGGUUUGAGAGUCCCUGAGACACCAAAUGCAAUGCUGACCGGAGAGAAAGCCACUGGAUUAACGGAAAUCCCUGCUGCAGGAUUCAUGGACACAGCUUGGAGUAAGAGACCUCAUGGAGCAAAGGUGAAACCAAAAUGGCGUCUUGUAUGACCUGGAAGUGGAUCUCAUGCAAAUGCUGACCUUGAACAGUCUAUUCGUCUGACCAACAAAGGUAAGUAGGGAGAGGGGGAGUCCCUUUUAUAGGUCUAUAGCCCCUCCCACAACUUCAGGCCAUGCCUUCCAAUAUAUCAUAUAUACAUAUAUAUAUACACAUUUUUUAAAAUUUAUUAAAUUUUGUAACUUUAUUUUAACUUUUCCAACAUUUAUAUCAAAAUGCACUUAGAAUUAAAUUAUGUAUAAUUUCCCCUUAACGACCGAGGACAAACUAGGUACGUCCAACAAAAAACAGUGGUUAAGGACGUCCGCGACAAAUAGGAGCCCUGGACCGACGAUCUGCGGCGAUCACGGUCGGGGAGGACUGCCAGAGACCCCAGCAGUCCCCCUAUAGCAGCUCCGGCCACCCUGGCCCUACAUGGCCCAGUGGCGGAUCCAGAGCCUGAUCUCGGGAGGGGCACUUGUAGAUUAUUUAAAGAAAUAAUCCAGACACAAUAACCACUAUAGCUCAGUGUAGUGGUUAUGGUGUCAAUAGUGCCGGAACCCCCUCCCAGAGUAAGUAGUCAAACCGUUUAAGAACAGUUUGACAACUUACCUGAGAUCUGCUGGGAAAUGGGGCUGUAGUAGGGCAUAGGAGCACUGGUGUGUGUGAGUGGUGCAAUGUGUAAGGGGUGCAGUGUGUGUGUGAAGGUUGUAGUGUGUGAGUGAGGGCGGCAGUGUUUGUCAGGGAUGCAGUGUAUAUGUGGGACAGUAUGUGUGUGUAUGGGGGGCAGUUUGUGUGAAUGGGGGGGGCAGUGUGUGUGUAUGGGGGGGGCAGUAUGUGUGAAUGGGGGGCAGUGAAUGUGUGUGUAUGGGGGGCAGUGUGUGUGUAUGGGGGGGGCAGUAUGUGAAUGUGGGGGCAGUUUGUGUGAAUGGGGGGGCAGUGUGUGUGUAUGGGGGGGGGCAGUAUGUGUGAAUGGGGGGGCAGUUUGUGUGAAUGGGGGGGCAGUAUUGGGGGCAAUGUAUGUGUGGCUUUUUUUUAUUUUAUUUUUUUAUUAUUUAAUUAAAAUAAAUAAAUAUCCAAUGUCCCCCCUCCCUUCUUACCUUUACUGGGGAGGAGGGGGGACAUUUCCCUGGUGGUCCGGUGGGGGAUUCAUUGGUGGUCCCAGUGGGGAGAGUGAACUCUAGCCCACGCUCCCGGGCUAGAGUUCACUCUCGCGAGAUUUGGAGCGUUGCCGUGGUAACCGCGGCAACGCUCCAAAUCUCACGAGAGGAGGACCCGGAGGACCUGCAGGCUGAGCCCCCGGGUCCUCCCUCUCACUCCCUCCCUCCCCUGCCGGCUGUCAGCACAGUGCCUGCGGACCGGGGAGGGAGAUCUCUGAUCUCCCUCCCCGGUCCGCAGGCACAUUGCAGGGCUAGCACCUUCAUGUGCUGACAGCCGGCAGGGGAGGGAGACCGGCGGAUUUCUCGGGGGGGGGCAAUUGCCCCGUUGCCCCCCCCCCCUGGAUCCGCCACUGACAUGGCCAUGUGAUCACCAUGAUCACAUCACCGCAAUAGGACUCUAGGAGCUGCCAGCAGGGGAACUGUCUGAGCUGUCAGGCAUUCCCCCAGGCUGCUAAAAAAAUAAUAAAAUAAAUAUAUUAUACAUAUACAGGUGGUCCUCAUUUAGCGACCUACCUAGCCGUCAUGAGGAUUCCCUGCUCUGGUGCGUAUGUCUAUAUUCGGGAAAACGUCCCCGAAAAUAGACAAACGCACGAGAGCAGGGAGUCCCUCAAAUCUAUGUUCGGGGAAAUUUCCUCGAAUAUACAAGUAACACACGAGAGCAGGGAAUCCCUCAAAUCUAUGUUCGGGGAAAUUUCCCUGAACAUAGAUUAGAGAGAUUCCCUGCUCUGGUGCGCAUGUCUACGUUCAGGGAAGUUUCCCCGAACAUAGUCAAAUGCACCAGAGUAGGGAAUCCCUUAACUCCACACUUACCGACCAAUUUAUUCUACGACAAGGUCAUAGGAAGGGAACCCGGUCGAUAAGUGAGGAGUGUCUAUAUUAUAUAUGUGGAAUAUAUUAUAAAUAAUUAAAUCAUUUUAUAAUAUAUUAUACAUAUAUAAUGCAUCUAUAUGAUUUCAUUAUAAGUGUACUUUGAUAUAUGUUUGAAGGCAGGGCCUGAAUUUGUGGGAGGGGCAAUAGAUCUACUUAAAAGGGGACUCCCCCCUUCCCUCACUUACCUGCGUUGGUCCAGACGAACAGCCUUGUCUCGCAGACCUCCGUCGCUCCCGACUUCCUGGUCGAAAUCGUCAUUUCCGGUGAGACGCGGCGCCCUCUUCUGACGUCACGCGCCAACUUCCGGCGGCUCCACCGGCUCCCGAACGGAGGUCUCGGCUACCCUCCUCGCCUACCAACUGGUCCGGGCGGUAAGAGGAGCUCCCACACACAGAACAGAGACUCCAUUACUACCUAGGAGUCUCUGUUUUCGGCCACCAGGGAGGAAUCUUUUCGCAGGGAAGGGGAGGGGAGGGGGGUGGAAGGGGGAUGUGGUAGGGCACUCACAAGCCACAACCAGACCCCUAUAACGUUAGGGGACUCUGUUUCCCACCAACUACACACUUGGGAAGGGGGUGGGGGGGGGUGUACCUUGCUUAAAGGGGGUCAUUCUUUGCUGCUGGUUGACCCUUAGUUCAGCCAGCCUCCACCAUUCAUUAUGCAUAUACCUUUGGUCAUUAUGGUUACAAUGGUUAUCUAUGUCUAAUUAACAGCAAUUAUUAUUUUUUUUUUUUAAGUACUGUUAUACAUAUACAGCUGUGUUUUACACUUAUACUGCUAAAUAAGAUGCUGGUUUGUAUUAACCUCACACAAUUUAUUUUUUCUUUGUUAUUAUAUAUAUAAGGUAUGACUUGCUGGUUAAAAUGUGAUACAGGCAUACAUGUUUACUUAUUGCUGGUUAAUAUAUGGUAAGAAUGUUCUGCAAGUAUUGGUAACGUUAAAUCUUAACUAACAUCAUAUACAUUGGGGGGGUGGAUGGUAAUACGCGGCAACCCCCCCCAGGACUCUUACUACGCCAUAUUUAUAUAUGUUCCACUUAAGGGUUCAUUAUCUUAAUUCUCAUACCCCCAGGAAUCCGCAUACCUCGGACGGGUCACCUAAACUAACCACCCCCCUACUCAAGAGACACCUGAAUUCUCUUACAGAACCAGUGCUCAAUUUUCUGCAGGUAUGUCGGUUACACGCUUCUUUUUCUACAACGCCACGUUAGUUAAUUCCCUGCCCCUUAAUCAUAGAGGUCCGCGAGGCCAACUCCCAUCCUCCACUUCGAGGUACUUUACGCCCCUCGGGCCAAAUCAUAGUUAGCCGCCUCGCAGUUAUACAGAGAGGGCGACACCUGUCACUACCAAACCCCCCCCCCUUUUUUUCUUCCUCCUUACUUACCCUUGGAGAGGCAAACAUCCCGGUUCACUGGGCAGGCUACCAUACCCCUCGCGCCAACUCAUAGAUAGAGCCUCUCUAGCCACUUGGCACUAGUAGGGCCUCACCUGCCACAAAACCUAGAGUUAAGUUUUUCGCCAUCUGGCACUAACUAGUUACCGGCUAUUCCAACGAGCCUCCAACUAUGCCUGUUAUUACUUUCAGUAUGUCCCUGCUCCCAGACGAUGGCGACGACAUGUCAGUCCCUAGCACCCCGGCUAGGUCACUUACCCCGACACGUAAGGACGACAUAGGAAGUCCCUCGUCCAUCAGAUCGUGGACUAUCCCUCGCAUCACGGCGGAAUUGCGCAAACGCAGUAUCCCUUUCCCGGCCACGGCCAGGAAAGCAGAACUGUUUAAACUGCUUAAAACAAACACCCUUAUGACAGACGCCGGGGAAGGCACUAGUAACUCCCAAGACCCGACUCUCCAUGCUAUGGUUGCCUCCCUAAUCUCUUCUAUGGGGAAGGUCAACGACAGACUGGAAAGGCUGGAGGCACGCAGCUCCGCCAUAGAGCCACCUGUGCCUCUCGCUGGUACAGCCCCGGUCAUAUCCACAGCAACAGCGGGUAAUCCUAUACCUAACAAGACAGCGGCACACGUUAUUAACCCUGCCCACAUGGUUCCGGCCAAUCUUAAAAAAGACAUCCUGGAGGGCAAGGACGUAAACUUGGUCUCCUUGCUCAUUGCCUCCCAGGAUGUAGUGGAAAACCGCUCUUACGACUACGGGGAUAUCUCUGUUGUUUUAAAAGCCAGAGACCCCAGACUCAGUAAGAAAUUGACCAUUCCCGAUUUUGUCCUGUCUUUUGGUAUCUAUAGGGACAUCCUGUGCUCAGUUCAUCCACACAGGAGAGAGGAACUGGACUUAUAUAUGCAUAAACUGGUGGACCUGGGUAACAAAUAUGGUGGUUACACUUUUUAUGACUAUCACAAGUCUUUUUCAUCUAAAGUGUCAGCCACAUUGUCCCAGUAUGGCAUCCAGAUGGAUUGGAGCCAACUGGACAAUGAAUUGUUCCUCAGACACUUUGCGGGGCUCAGGACACCAGCUUGUGCCAUAUGUACGUCACCUGCUCACACAGCUUAUUUGUGCCCCCUCUGCCUGGACAACGCUCCCAGCACGUCCCUACAGCACCCCCUUAAAACUGAGAAACAGACCAGAGACAAAUUGGGUCGUCCGGUUGUGUACCUAGGCAAAUCACAAAUUUGCAAUAACUUCAAUGAAGGCUCCUGUGGUUACAGCGCUUGCCGCUUAUUACAUGUAUGCUCACACUGUUUUCGGGCACAUGCGAGAUCCAUGUGCACAAAUAAAAUGUUCCAGAAACCUUAUUUGUCUCCAGUGAACGUUCCUGUACUUGAACACAUGCUGUCCACUCACCCCUCUAAACACCUGGUGGAAUUUUUAUGCACUGGUCUCACCCACGGGUUUCACACGGGGCUCAUUUACAUGCCAACAGGAGUGUUAGAAUGUCACAAUUUGCAGUCAGCCUCUAAUAACCCUACCGCAGUUACUAACUUGCUACAACUGGAAGUGGACCAGGGAUUUGUCAUCAGUCCUUUUGGUAAUCCCCCCUUUUCCAGCUGGAGAACUAACCCUAUCGGACUGGUCGCAAGUAAAAAUUCAGACAAACAAAGGCUCAUCAUUGACCUAUCCGCUCCCCACUCUUCAGCCAUCCCCAGCCUAAACUCAUUGAUUCCUUCGGAAGAAUUUUCCUUACAGUACUCCACUAUUGACCACGCUAUUGCAGCUAUCAGGUCAGCGGGGGUGGGGGCCUGGCUCAGCAAGACGGAUAUAGUCAAUGCUUUUAAACUGUUACCUAUACACCCCUCGUUAUGGCACCUACACGGAGUUAAGUGGCAAGAAGCCUACUACUUUUUUACAAAACUCACUUUUGGAGCCAAGAGUAGUCCAAGGAUCUUUGACACGUUCGCUGAGGCUUUGUGUUGGCUCCUCCUUAAUACCAGUAGGUGCCAAAAUGUGAUACACUAUCUGGAUGAUUUUCUGUUCAUCGAAGCCAACACCAACCCCCCAUGUAGCCUACACAAAGCUGUCGAACUAUUCACCGCACUCGGCGUCCCCGUAUCACCCACCAAGACAGAAGGUCCAGACACAGUCAUCAACUUUCUAGGUAUUUUGCUCGAUUCAGCAGCUAUGAUGGCCAGCCUCCCUAGAACUAAGAUUGAUAACAUCCUACACGACAUUAACCACUACAUGCACAGGGGCUCAUGCAACCGUAAAGAACUACAAUCUCUGUUGGGUUCACUAAAUUUCGCCAUGCGCAUAAUCCCCCAGGGCAGGGCUUUCAUUUCCAGGCUCCUCGCCCUGUUCCCCACCUUCACCAACGACUAUGCCCGCAUAUCUUUGAACGGCCCUGCGACUGCCGACCUUCAGAUGUGGUACAGAUUCCUCUCUGACUGGAAUGGUAGAAGCAUGUUCCUUCCACAGCUGGAUUCUCAGUCACCUGUCAUUUGGACAGAUGCAGCAUCAUCCGCGGGAUAUGCGGCCAUUUUUGGCACAAAUUGGCUCUGGGGGACGUGGCCAACAGAAACACAGGGCAUCGAGGGGUUUCACACUAACUCUGCCCUUUUUGAGGUAUACCCAAUAGUUGCCGCAGCUGUCACUUGGUGUAGGUUGUGGGAAGGUCAGUCAGUACGCUGUUUCUCUGACAACAUGGCAAUAUGCCACAUUAUCAACAAAGGCCGCUCUUCCUCCUUGAUAAUUAUGAAUUUCAUUAGGAAACUGACUUGGCUGGCAGCCACCCAUCACUUCCACAUUGUAUGCUCCCAUGUUCCCGGCAUAUACAAUACGGCAGCUGACCAGCUAUCUCGCUUUCAAUUUCAGGCUUUCAGACGGUCCCUACCCUCGGCAGCUCGUAUGGCAACCCCAGCGCCAACCUUCCAAGACCUUGUCAUGGAAUAGAUGAACUACUUCAUCACAGCCUCACUCUCACAAAAUUAGCUUUGUCCACUAGCACUCAACACUCAUAUAACAGAGCAUUUCACCUAUAUAAACGAUUCAUGACUGACCAUCACCUAACCAACUGGUUCGAAGUAUCAUCACUAACGGCUUUUGCAUCCUUUUGCCACCUUAAGUUAAAAUUCACACAUAACACCAUUAAGCUUUACCUCACGGGGAUACAACACCACAUGUACUACUCACUCCCUAACCACAAAGGGUUCUUAACCUCAUACCCCAUCCGCACACUACUGAAGGGUAUAGCAAAGGCAUACGGUCCAGCUACGCCCAAAAGAUUGGCUAUUGACAUAGGAAUGUUCAAAUCCCUGUCCAAUCUACUCGACCAAGCACCUUUUGAACCCAAUACAAACACGGUUAUUAAAGCCGCCAUGUAUCUGGCCUUUUACGGAUUUCUUAGACCACGAGAAUUCACCAUUAGUGGCCAACUGCAUAACCAAGGGUGCCUCCUCACGUCACAUCUCACGAAACACACAGACUACUACGUCCUGUCUCUACCUAAGACUAAGACAAGUCAGAGGGGGGAACCAGUUCACAUUAACUACUACCCCACGGGUAACAAUUGGUGCCCAGUAAAAGCACUAGACGUUUUUUUAACCACGAAACAAACACAGCCCACAAGGCCUCUACUAAUGCUGCACGAUACCAUUCUCACCACGUCAAAAUUCAUGCUUUACGUUCGAAUGCUUAUCACCAGGCUUGGUCUGAACCCUAGUAGCUACUCGGGGCACUCCUUCAGAAUUGGUGCGGCCUCCACAGCCUCUAGCCAAAAUGUUCCCGUGCAUGUCAUUAAGACAUUGGGUCGAUGGAAGUCCUCAGCUUACGCUACCUACAUCCCGCACCCAGUCCAAGAGCUUAGGAGGGCUUUCAUUAAUAUGUCUACUUAAUAAUGUAUUUGUAUUUUCUUUGUAUUUAUGUUACCGAAUAAAUGUUUAUCUUGCUUUAUCCUUUUGCCCACUUUAUUUACCGGCCUACAGCAUACGUUGGUUUUCGGCACACCUCAACCGACUUUUUCCUUUUAUUGUAUUACUCUCCACCAGAGUAUUCCAUUUCAUAUGAGAAUGCCCCGAACACAAGUUUGAAGGCAGGGCCUGAAUUUGUGGGAGGGGCAAUAGAUCUACUUAAAAGGGGACUCCCCCCUUCCCUCACUUACCUGCGUUGGUCCAGACGAACAGCCCCACCCUCCACUCCCAUUAGCUAUACUUUCCUCCAUGUGGGCCCACUUUAUUUACCGGCCUACAGCAUACGUCGGUUUUCGGCUCACCUCAACCGACUUUUUCCUUUUAUUGUAUUACUCUCCACCAGAGUAUUCCAUAUCAUAUGAGAAUGCCCCGAACACAAAUAUAUAUAUAUAUAUAUAUAUAUAUAUAUAUAUAUAUAUAUAUACAUACAUAUAUCUCAAAAUACAGUUAUGAUGGAGUCAUAGAUGCAUUAUAUAUGUAUAAUAUAUUAAAAUGAUUUAAUUAUAAAUGAUUUAAUUAUAAUAUAUUAUACAUAUAUAGGAAAUAAAAGUGUGUGUGUGUGUGUAUACACACACACAAACAGACACGUAUUAUGUGUGUGUGUGUGUGUGUGUAUACACACACACAAACAGACACGUAUUAUGUGUGUGUGUGUGUGUGUGUGUAUAUAAAAAUUUUAAAAAAACAAAACAUUUAUAAAAAAACAAAUAAAACCGCUAACUUUGGCCAGUGUUUGUGACUAAGUGGCUACAACAAAAGACCUGAAAUACCCCAUUUGGAAUACCCUGGGUUGUCUACAUUUGAAAAUGGUAUGCCAUGAUGGGGUUAUUUCACAUUCCUGGGCUACCAUUUGGUCUCAAAAGGCAACAAAGGUCCAGCAAACCAAUCUGGCAAACUAAAUUGGGCAAGCUCUAUGUUGACCCUGUAACUUUCCAAAACACCAUAAAAUCUGUACAUGGAGGGUACUGUUAUACUCGGGAGACUUUGCUGAACACAAAUAUUAGUGUUUCAAAAUGGUAACUUGUAUUACAACAAUGAUAUUUUUAGUAAAAGUGAAGUUGUUUGCAUUUCACACACACAAACAGCACUUUUACUGACGAUAUUAUUGUCUUAAUAUGUUUCACUGUUUUAAAACACUUGUUUUUGUGUUCAAUGAAGUCUCCCAAGUAUAAAACAGUACCCUCCAUGUACAGGUUUUAUGGUGUUUUGGAAAGUAAGAGAGUCAAAUAUAAGACUUGCAUUUCAUUUUUUUCACAUUGAAAUUUGCCAGAUUGGUUAUGUUGCCUUUUGAGACCGUAUGGUAGCCCAGGAAUAAGAAUUACCCCCAUGAUGGCAUACCAUUUGCAAAAGUAGACAACCCAAGGUAUUGCAAUUUGGGUUUGUCCAGUCAUUUUUAGUAGCCACUUAGUCACAAACACUGGGUUGUCUACUUUUAAAAAUGGUAUGCCAUGAUGAGGUUAAUUUUCAUUCCUGGGCUGCUAUAUGGUCUCAAAGGCAACAUAGGCCCAGCAAACCAAUCUGGCAAAUUUCAAUGUGCAAACAUGGAAAAGGGGAAAGCCCUACAGUUGACUCUGUAAGUUUGCAAAAGCCAAUAAAACCUGUACCGUGGGGGCACUAUUGUACUCGGGAGAUGUUGCUGAACACAUAUUAGGGGUUUCUUUGUCAGUAACACAUAACAGGAACUAAAAAUCCAUGCCUAAAUUACAAUGUGAGAGAAAAAUAACACACAAAAAAACUACUUUUCAGAAAUAUAUAGUUUGAUGGGGGUAAAUUACAUUGGCCGGCUUCAAAAAUGUCCCAAAUAGGACAUGGGGGCAUGAUGACCAGCUGAGAAAAUGUCAAGUUGGAAAACUGGAAUGCGCACCCUCCAAAUAAGGUAUUUUAGCCCCCAAAGAACCCAACACACCUAUACAUGGGUGGUAUCACUGUACUCAGGAGAUGUUGCUGAACACAUAUUGAGGUGUUCUUUGGCAGUAACCCUUAAAGUUCUCCGUACAUGUAUUCUUAAAUUGCUAUAUGUGUCAAAAAAAUCACCAAUUUUUUUUUGUUUUGUUUACAUUUGGCAUAGAUUGGUGGUAAAAUGAUUGCAAGCAAAGAGUCAAAAUACCCCAAGUUUAAUACCUUAGGUUGUCUUCUUUUCAAAAAUAUGUACAUGUGUAGGGUUAUUCUGGAAUUCCUGAUAGAUAUCAGUGUUACAAUGUAACUUGCGUUAAUUUUGAAAAACAAAAUGGUUUGGAAAUAGCAAAGUGCUACUUGUACUUAUAGCCCUACAACCUUUAAAAGAAAAAAAGCUAAGAACAUGUUAACAUUGGGCAUUUUUAAACUCAGGACAAAAUUUAGAAACUAUGUAGCACGGGUGUUUUUUGGCGGUUGUAGAUGCGUAACAGAUUUUGGGGGUCAAAGUUCAAAGAAGUGUGGUUUUUUUUUAAUUUUUUCAUCAUAUUUGAUAAUUUUUUUAUAGCAAAUUAUCUGAUAUGAUGAAAUAAUGGUAUCUUUAGAAAGACCAUUUAAUGUUGUGAAAAACGGUAUAUAAUAUGUGUGGAUACAGUAAAUGAGUAAGAGGAAAAUUACAGCUAAACACAAACACCGCAGAAAUGUAAAAACAGCCCUGGUCCCAAACGGUAAGAAAAUUUUAAAGUGGUCUGGUCACUAAGGGGUUAAGGUUGAAGAUGCAUGGCAGUUUAUUUAAUUCUGUACUAGCCAAUUCAGAGAUUAGUUGGAGGAGUUUGCUUUUUACAGUUGUGUUUAAAAAUAACCAGAAGCACCACAGCUGAAAGUGAAGCACUUUAUUAGAGAUUAAAGAAACAUACAUUUUUCAUUUUAUUUAGUCAUGAUCCAUCAUAUUCUACAGUUUUCUUAGAAUUUUAGAUGUGUAUUUCAUAUUCUCUGAAUAUCAACUUUGUCUUUUUAUAUAGGAUUACAUAUAGGAUAUAAUAUAUCAGGCAAACACAUUAUAAUUGAAACAUACAAAUAUGUUUUAAAAGAUACAAAUAAAUUAUUUAGAUACAAAGUAAAAGACCAGGGGAAGUUUAGUUUUCUAUGUAAUAUACAGUUGCAAGAAAAAGUAUGUGAACCCUUUGGAAUGAUAUGGAUUUCUGCACAAAUUGGUCAUAAAAUGUGAUCUGAUCAUCAUCUAAGUCACAACAACAGACAAUCACAGUCUGCUUAAACUAAUAACACACAAAGAAUGAAAUGUUGCCAUGUUUUUAUUGAACACACCAUGUAAACAUUCACAGUGCAGGUGAAAAAAGUAUGUGAACCCUUGGAUUUAAUAACUGGUUGAACCUCCUUUGGCAGCAAUAACUUCAACCAAACUUUUCCUGUAGUUGCAGAUCAGACGUGCACAACGGUCAGGAGUAAUUCUUGACCAUUCCUCUUUACAGAACUGUUUCAGUUCAGCAAUAUUCUUGGGAUGUCUGGUGUGAAUCGCUUUCUUGAGGUCAUGCCACAGCAUCUCAAUCGGGUUGAGGUCAGGACUCUGACAGGGCCACUUCAGAAGGUGUAUUUUCUUCUGUUUAAGCCAUUCUGUUGUUGAUUUACUUCUAUGCUUUGGGUCAUUGUCCUGUUGCUAUACCCAUCUUCUCUUGAGCUUCAGCUGGUAGACAGAUGGCCUUAAGUUCUCCUGCAAAAUGUCUUGAUAAACUUGGGAAUUCAUUUUUCCUUCAAUGAUAGCAAUCCAUCCAAGCCCUGACGUAGCAAAGCAGCCCCAAACCAUGAUGCCCUCACCACCAUACUUCACAGUUGGGAUGAGGUUUUGAUGUUGGUGUGCUGUGUCUUUUUUUUCGCCACACAUAGUGUUGUGUGUUUCUUCCAAACAACUCAACUUUGGUUUCAUCUGUCCACAGAUAUUUUGCCAGUACUAAUGUAGAACAUCCAGGUACUCUUGUGCAAACUGUAAACGUGCAGCAAUGUUUUGUUUGGAAAGCAUUGGCUUCCUCUGUGGUAUCCUCCCAUGAAAUCCAUUCUUGUUUAGUGUUUUACAUAUUGUAGAUUCGCUAACAGUGAUGUUAGCAUUUGCCAGUGACUUUUGUAAGUCUUUAGCUGACACUCUAGGAUUCUUCUUCACCUCAUUGAGCAGUCUGCGCUGUGCUCUUGCAGUCAUCUUUACAGGACGGCCACUCCUAGGGAGAGUAGCAGCAGUGCAGAUCUUUCUCCAUUUAUAGACAAUUUGUCUUACCAUGGACUGAUGAACAGCAAGGCUUUUGGAGAUACUUUUAUAACCCUUUCCAGCUUUAUGCAAGUCAACAAUUCUUAAUCGUAGGUCUUCUGAGAGCUCUUUUGUGCAAGGCAUCAUUCACAUCAGGCAAAACGUCUUGUGAAAAGAAAACCCAGAACUGGUGUGUGUUUUUAUAGGGCAGGGCAGCUGUAACCAACACCUCCAAUCUCAUCUCAUUGAUUAGACUCCAGUUGGCUGACAUCUCACUCCAAUUAGCUCUUGGAGAUGUCAUUAGUCUAGGGGUUCACAUACUUUUUCCACCUGCACCGUGAAUGUUUACAUGGUGUGUUCAAUAAAAACAUGGCAACAUUUCAUUCUUUGUGUGUUAUUAUUUUAAGCAGACUGUGAUUGUCUAUUGUUGUGACUUAGAUGAUGAUCAGAUCACAUUUGAUGACCAAUUUGUGCAGAAAUCCAUAUCAUUCCAAAGGUUCACAUACUUUUUCUUGCAACUGUAUGUAUCUGGAGCCUUGUGGGCAGUUAACUCCACUGAAAAAGUACUGUGUAAUAAGAGUAGAUGAUAAAUAUAAACUUAAAAAGUACAGAACAAGAAACUGAUGAUAUAUAGGAUGUUAUACAUGAUACAAUAUUACAGAAAUAUAUAUAUAUAUAUCAUGUAUACAAUAUUACAGAUAUAUAUAUAUAUAUAUAUUUAUAUAUAUACACACAAUAUGAUUGGAGUUUUGCACUCUAGCUCUCCUCCAGAUCUUGGCCCGGUGCUCAGUUGCACACAAAUACAGCCUCCAAAAAGAAAGCCAGCACUCAAGGACUUCAACAUGAAAAAAUAGGCAUUUAAUCCAAAUGGUCAAUGUUUCAGUUCACAACUGUGAACUUUCCUCAGGACACAAAUUGCAUAUCAUAUAACAUUGAUAUGAACAUAAUGUUAUAUGAUAUGCAAUUUGUGUCUUGAGAAAAGUCUAUUGUGACUGAAACGUCAACAUUUUUGUAUUCUGCACAAUAAAGCAGUAUUUAUUUUGAUAUAAAACGAAGACUCCAGAGUGCUCUCUACUUGGAUGCUAUAUAUUGGUCAGAGAUUACUUGCACCGGAGCAUGGAAAAGACCGGGAACAUUGAGUGCUGGGACCUGGGAAAAUAAAUAUAUAUAUAUAUAUAUACACACACACAAGCAAUGCUGCACUCACUGUGUCUUCCAAUGACUGCCUGGUGCUAGUCGGCUAAAUAUAGAAAGAUAAAGUAGAUAGCACUCCACUGUCUUUUUCAUCAAUAAAAAAUAACUUUUAUUGCUCCAAGUUAAAAAUCAACGUUUCAGUCUGCAAAUUCAGUCCUUCAUCGGGUUUGAAUUUGCAGACUGAAAUGUUGAUUUUUAACUUGGAGCAAUAAAAGUUAUUUUUUAUUGAUGAAAAAGACUGUGGAGUGCUAUCUACUUUAUCCUUCUAUCUAUCUAUCUAUCUAUAUAUAUAUAAUUGGAACAAACAAUGAGGAUAUGUUUUGCUGUAAUGUUAUGAGAGGGUAAACUACACGCUAUAGUUUUCUAUGCAGAAUAUGUACCUACAGCCCCAUGGGCAGCCGACUCCAUUAAAAUAAUAUAUCCACUAGUGGAUGUAUUAUUUUCAGCUUAUUUGUUAUGUGUUUCAUGUGUCUACACAGUAGAAAAGUCACAAAAAACUCCCCAAAAUUACCUACUACCUUCAGAAAAAUUAGAUUUAAGCAACAAAGGUUUAUAUAAAUGUAUCUGUUUUACCUCACAUUCUAUAAAGACACAUACAAAUCAUACACAUUUGAAAAGAAUAAUAAUAAACACAGGUAAAUUGUGUAGAAGGUCAAAUAUCCAUGGAUCAAUUUGAAAAUGAGAUUAAGAUUAUAAAGCGGCAAUAUGCCAAUAACUGGAGAACAAUGCUCAGGUUAUUUACUGAAGUGAGAAUUGACAGAAUUUCAAAGUGAAUUUAAAAUUUAAGGUAAAAAUAGCUAUUAUUUCAGACUCUUUAUUAAGGAUAUACAUAUGUUAAAUUGUUGGGUUGAUUUGUGGUUCAGUAAAACGGCAGAGCAAGAGCAUGUCGUCCAUUUUCUUAUCAAGUUUAUUAUUUUCUUUUAUGAGAGUCAGAGAGCUUGAGAUGCAAAAAAUGGAUGUUGUAAUAGCUCCAAAGUGAUGCAAAUGAAAAUUUUCUACCACUAUAAGAAACCAUUAUAGUGGCAGUGAAAUAAACAACAUUAUGAACAAGGAGGGAGGUCACAAAUUUGGCUCCUCGGAGGUGAGGUCCUAGAUUGGGUCUAAGACCUUCAUCUUUUCCUUUUAUGUUCUUCAUGUGUCUAAAGAGAGAUGCAAUGAUUAUCGAAGCUGAACUACAAAAUAGUAAAAAGGCAACAGUACAAUAUGCGUUAGUAAUUUCACGAAAUGUAUUUACUAUCUCCAAAGGAACAUCAUUUGAUACGAAAUCAGUGUUGUUUGAUAGUGAAGUUUCUGUUUCUUCCCAUGCAAAAGGAAGAGAAAUAAAUAAAGCUGCAAGUACUGUUUGAAAAAAAAUUAUCCGGUGAAUCUUGCAGAAGUUAUUUUGGAAAUAUAUAUAGAUAUAAUUAUUGAUGUUAACAAUUUUCAGACAGAAGUGUACACUGAGCCAGGUAUAGAACCAAUAGUGCAGUAUAUUAUAAUCCAAGUUUGGAAAAAAGAUAAAUAGAGAAUGUGGUACUCACAUUUGCUAGAGCGAAAACUUGCUCUAGUGUAUUAGGCUUACAGUGGUAUGAUCCCCACAAUUUGUCUUACCGUGGACUGAUGAACAGCAAAGCUUUUGGAGAUACUUUUAUAACCCUUUCCAGCUUUAUGCAAGUCAACAAUUCUUAAUCGUAGGUCUUCUGAGAGCUCUUUUGUGCGAGGCAUCAUUCACAGCAGGCAAUGUUUCUUGUGAAAAGCAAACCCAGAACUGGUGUGUGUUUUUUAUAGGGCAGGGCAGCUGUAACCAACACCUCCAAUCUCAUCUCAUUGAUUGGACUCCAGUUGGCUGACAUCUCACUCCAAUUAGCUCUUGGAGAUGUCAUUAGUCUAUGGGGUUCAUAUACUUCUUCCACCUGCACUGUGAAUGUUUACAUGGUGUGUUCAAUAAAAACAUGGCAACAUUUCAUUAUUUGUGUGUUAUUAUUUUAAGCAGACUGUGAUUGUCUAUUGUUGUCAGAUCACAUUUUGUGACCAAUUUGUGCAGAAAUCCAAUGGUCAACGUUUCAGUUCACAACUGCGAACUUUCCUCAGGACACAAAUUGCAUAUCAUAUAACAUUCAUAUGAACCUAAUGUUAUAUGAUAUGCAAUUUGUGUCCUGAGGAAAGUUCACAGUUGUGAACUGAAACGUUGACCAUUUGGAUUAAAUGCCUAUUUUUUCAUGUUGAAGUCCUUGAGUGCUGGCUUUCUUUUUGGAGACUAUAUAUAUAUAUGUAUAAAAAAAUAAAAGCAAUGCUGCACUCACUGUGUCUUCCAAUGACUGCCUGGUGCUAGUCGGCUAAAUAUAGAAGGAUAAAGUAGAUAGCACUCCACAGUCUUUUUCAUCAAUAAAAAAUAACUUUUAUUGCUCCAAGUUAAAAAUCAGCAUUUCAGUCUCCAAAUUCAGUCCUUCAUCAGGUCUGAAUUUGCAAACUGAAAUGUUGAUUUUUAACUUGGAGCAAUAAAAGUUAUUUUUUAUUGAUGAAAAAGACGGUGGAGUGCCAUCUACUUUAUCCUUCUAUCUAUCUAUCUAUAUAUAUAUAUAUAUAUAUAAUUGGAACAAACAAUGAGGAUAUGUUUUGCUGUAAUGUUAUGAGAGGGUAAACUACACGCUAUAGUUUUCUAUGCAGAAUAUGUACCUACAGCCCCAUGGGCAGCCGACUCCAUUAAAAUAAUAUAUCCACUAGAGGGAUGUAUUAUUUUCAGUUUAUUUGUUAUGUGUUUCAUGUGUCUACACAGUAGAAAAGUCACAAAAAACUCCCCAAAAUUACCUACUACCUUCAGAAAAAUUAGAUUUAAGCAACAAAGGUUUAUAUAAAUGUAUCUGUUUUACCUCACAUUCUAUAAAGACACAUACAAAUCAUACACAUGUGAAAAGAAUAAUAAUAAACACAGGUAAAUUGUGUAGAAGGUCAAAUAUCCAUGGAUCAAUUUGAAAAUGAGAUUAAGAUUAUAAAGCGGCAAUAUGCCAAUAACUGGAGAACAAUGCCCAGGUUAUUUACUGAAGUGAGAAUUGACAGAAUUUCAAAGUGAAUUUAAAAUUUAAGGUAAAAAUAGGUAUUAUUUCAGACUCUUUAUUAAGGAUAUACAUAUGUUAAAUUGUUGGGUUGAUUUGUGGUUGAGUAAAACGGCAGAGCAAGAGAAUGUCGUCCAUUUUCUUAUCAAGUUUAUUAUUUCCUUUUAUGAGAGUCAGAGAGCUUGAGAUGCAAAAAAUGGAUGUUGUAAUAGCUCCAAAGUGAUGCAACUGAAAUUUUUUACCACUAUAAGAAACCAUUAUAGUGGCAGUGAAAUAAACAACAUUAUGAACAAGGAGGGAGGUCACAAAUUUGGCUCCUCGGAGGUGAGGUCCUAGAUUGGGUCUAAGACCUUCAUCUUUUCCUUUUAUGUUCUUCAUGUGUCUAAAGAGAGAUGCAAUGAUUAUCGAAGCUGAACUACAAAAUAGUAAAAAGGCAACAGUACAAUAUGCGGUAGUAAUUUCACGAAAUGUAUUUACUAUCUCCAAAGGAACAUCAUUUGAUACGAAAUCAGUGUUGUUUGAUAGUGAAGUUUCUGUUUCUUCCCAUGCAAAAGGAAGAGAAAUAAAUAAAGCUGCAAGUACUGUUUGAAAAAAAAUUAUCCGGUGAAUCUUGCAGAAGUUAUUUUGGAAAUAUAUAUAGAUAUAAUUAUUGAUGUUAACAAUUUUCAGACAGAAGUGUACACUGAGCCAGGUAUAGAACCAAAUAGUGCAGGAUACUGAAGCCACAUACAAAACUGAGCUAAUUACUGUAAUACCAUUAGAAACAUGUGUGUCUAGAUCUAGAGUAGCAGAAUUAAACAUGAUGUGAAAUAUUACACUUGAAAGGGUGGAUAUGCUGAUACCAAAUAUAAGCUGGUCAGUUAAAUUAAGUUUUUUAUUUUUUAUCCAUUCCAAGAGGUUCACAAUAAGAAUGAACAUAAUCCAUGGAGCUGAAGUUACAAACAAAACUAGUUCAAGGUGUAGCAAUAUGAUAUCUGUGAUUUGGAGCAUCUUCCUAUAUUCAGAUUUUUUUGGUAACUUAUAAAUGAAUAAAUGCUUCCUACGAUCUGCCACCAAUUAAAUCCAGAUUAAGUAUGUUUUCUUCCAGCACUCUCAAAUACAGUAAUGUGAGUUUUCCCCCAAUAUGCAAAAACACAAUAUAAUUUUUUGGCUGCAAUUUGAUUUGAUUUGGGUACCAUGCAAAUUGUAUAUCUCUACAGUAAGAUAUAUGGGUGCAAUCUGAUGUUUUGCAAAUAUGUUGUUUAUUUAGUAUACAAAUAAGAUGAAAUGGACAAAAUAAGUGAUACAUACACUUUAUUCUGCUUUAAAAGGACCCUUUAAGCACCAAAACAACUUUAAAAACUGCCAAGAAUAGAGUGUUUUGCCAUUUUCAUUUCCCAGUAAUAGCUUGUUUCCAAAAGACAUAUUUUCAUUUAAAUCAUGGGUUACGCUCUUUAAACAUAUAAAGUUUGACUUUUAUUUUUUUUUAAAUUUGAAAGUUUUAUUAAGUUCCAAAAUAACGCUGGUACACAGAAAUUAAGAGGGGGAAGUGGGAGUGUAGCGAACCAAGGAUAUCCUGACCGGUUACCUCCGCUAAUAUCUUCCUUCAGCCACUCAGGAACCACUUUAGAAUAUACAGACCCAUUUCCCCCCAGUAACUGGACGAUACACAGCUCUGGGAGUACAACACUGACUGGACUCUGUUUAUUUUGUCACACAUGGUUUUAUAUGCACAGACCCCUACAUGGGGUCUCCAACACAAAACAACAGGGUUUAAAUCCCAAGAAGCUGAUGGGGGAUGGAAGAGGGACAAAGAAGCCAGUUCAAACUGGGUUAACAGUGUCCCUGUGGCAACGCCCUGCUGUUGCAGGAAAAGGAAGGGGGAGUGGGAGAGGCACAGAUAAGCUAUACAUUUCACUCAACUAUACUUUACAGAGAAGUGCCUUCUCACCCACCCCCCUUUGUUGACCCACAGCUGCACAUACAGGCACAUGUAAAACAGUCUCAAAAAUGGCCCAUUGACAGUAGGCACAUUGGUAUAUGGCAUUGAGUGAUGGCGUUCCAUCACAGGGAGUAAAUAGCAUAUUCAAAUAGAUCUCAUAACAUCUCUUGACAAAAGGAUCCACACAAUCAAUUGGUGGCAAUCGAUCAGAGUAGUCUAAGAUAGGCACUAAUGUUGCCUAUGUUCAAAUGUAAUCACUAGGACGACUCUGGAUUGGGCAUGGUGGUUGCAUCACCUAUAAUAUGUACUUCAGUUAGGAAAUAGGUAGUGAUCAGGGGAGUUCUCCUUAAGGGUAGCGUAAAUCAGCAAUCAUGUAAAACUGGAUGUGCCUUUUCCAAAGCGUACAUCAAAAAUAAUGAGAUAUUGAUUGUGUCAAUGGCUCAGGGUAGGUUGUGUAAUUGAUACAAGUUAGGGAAACCAUUAGCUGAAUAAGCCUAGGGUUCCUAAAUAAAGGGAUACUAUAACAGUACUUUUGUGGCUGCAAAUGAAGCUUCACUAUUGCUAGACUAAAAUGUAUCUACAACAGAAUUUAAAAAUAAACAUAUUUUUAUAUGGGCUCGAUCACCAUGUGUCCCCCUUCAAGUCUCUGAGAUAAUUUUCAAAGGGAGUAAAUAGAGAUGUAAUGUGUCUCUUAUAAGAGCUGUGUUUAUACAUUUCUAUAAGUAAGCUGUAAGUGCAAUAUGUUGGAUCAGUUUAAUUUCGUGUCUUGAUAGUUCCUUGAAAAGGUAUAGAAGGAGGUAAGUUUGGGGUGAAAAUGAUAAAGAAUAACUCAGUUUAUCUGAGAGAUAUUGCUGAAUGGUAAACCAGAAGGCAUGUAGGUUUAUGCAAUGUCACCACACAUGAAGAGUGAAACCGUAUGCUGAGCGACAAUGCCAGCAGGUGGACAAGGUGGAGGGAACAUCAGAUGUAAUUUACUCGGUGCCACAUACCAACGAUACAGUGUUUUAUAAUGUUUCACAAGUGUGGUUGUUAGGGGAAAUUUAAAAUAAGUUCUGAUUGUUUUUGGCACAUAGAGUUCAAAUCAGAAUUCCAUUGUUUCGCCGGUUUGAGUCUGAGAAGGGGGUGUGGUCUGAUAUAAAUUUAUAACACAUGGAGAUCGGUUUACAUGAAGGAGGUAAGGUUUUAUUAAUGCAAACUUAUUCCCAAAUAGCUAUUGUAGCUGUUGGAUAGUAUGAGUUGUGUCCAAUUUACAGUGAUGCCUAAUAAACCAUUAUCCAACCAGGGUUUAGCAUUUAAGGUGGGGAUACAAUAUGUCAUUGCCAGUAAUAGAGUAGCUAAAGAUAAUGAAGUAGUACUACUCAAUUUAGUUCUGCACCUGUCCCAGAUAUGGACUAGUAAUGCAACCAAAGGCAGAGGAGAUAAACGGGCGGAAUUGUAUUGGUAUCCAUAGAAUAUUGUGAAGCUCAUGGGGUUCAAGGAGAGUUUUCUAGGUGGAUCCAUUGGGGAGGGGAAGAGUCAAGUAUAUGUGGAUGGGCUGUAGCUAAUAUUGUGGCAUGAUAGUAGGAUUGGAUGUAUGGAAAGGCGAGCCGUCCAGCUGUCCUAGGAGCUUGUAGGAGUUUUUUUUGCCACUCUAGGCCUCCUCCUUACCCAAACAAAUGUAUUUAAUUCUGUAUGGACUGAUUUAAAGUAAGAGAGUGAGAGUGUAAUGGCAGUGGCGUAGCAUGGGUUGUCAGCACCCGAGGCAAGGCAAGUAAUUUGCGCCCUCUAACCCGUGGAUUUUAGCACUCGAGUCUCUUCCACUAGAUUAGUUAAAGAAACCCUUACCCCCCAAGCACAUGUAUUGUUUGUUAUGAAAAUACUUAUGUAAUUAAAGUAAAAUGCAUCUAAAUACAAGUUUAUUGGCACCAGGGCCGGUGCAAAGAUUCUUGCUGCCCUAGGCAAGAAUACAUUUUGACGCCCCCUUAUGAAUGCAACUACAUUUCCUCAGAAGUUUAUUCACGAAACUCUGAAUUACACUAAAGAAACAUUUAGGGAAAGAGGCGCACUUAGUAGAUAUUAAAGGGAAACUAUAGUGCCAGGAAAACAAACUUGUUAUCCUGGCACUAUAGCUUCCCCCUCCGUCAAGCGCAUCCCCCCUCGUGGUGCAGCAGGGGUUAAAACACCUUCUGUCACUUACCUGGGUCCAGCACCAAUGUCUUUUGUGCUGGUUUGGGUCCGCCUUAGCUCCUCAAUGGCCGCGCUCGCAGUGGUAUUUCCGUGACUGGACGUCCCCAUGCAUAGCCACUAGAGGAGUUAACCCUGAAUGGUAAUUAUUGAAGUUUCUUAAAAAUUGCAAUAAUUACCUUUGCAGUGUCACUUACACAGUCUCACUAAUACACACACUCUCUCACUGGCAUACACACUUACACAUUCUAACUAACUUACACACUAACACAUACACAUUCUCACUGACCUACACAUUGUCACUUGCACACUCUCACUAACAUACACAGUGUCACUUACACACUCUCACUAACACACACAGUGUCACCUACAUACUCUCACUUAUACACACACACUCUAACUUACACACUCUCACUGGCAUAGACAUUGUCAGUUACACACUCUAACACCACACAGUGUCACACAUGCUCACUAACAGUGUCACUAAGUUGCACACUCUCACUAACUGUUGCUUGCACUCUCUCCCUAACACAUACUCACUAACAGUGUCACUUGUACACUUUCCCUAACACACACACACAGAGUCACUUGCACAUUCUCACUAACACACACACACACACACACACACACACACACACACACAGAGAGUCACUUGCACACUCUCCCUAACACACACACUGUCACACUUUAUUUACACACACAAACACACCAAUUUAACACACUCCCCCAUUUACAAACAUGCACACAAUAAGCAAUCCCCCUUAACCAUGCCAUACCUGGGUGCUGUGCUGAGCAGAGGUCCAGGCUGCAGGAUCCAAGAUCUUGCUCUUUCUCCUGGGGGAGCAGGAGAGCCAUGCACUUUGAGCACAGCCUGCUUCCUGCUCCCUUCACAGUGCUUCCGGUGUUCACAGGCUCCCCCUGCCUGCAGGAAGCACAGUGCUCUGCUCGGGUUACAGCAAACCCCACUGCCCGAGCAGGUAAUCUGCUGCAGAGGGAGCCCAGCAGGUGAGUGGCUGCGCUGGGGGGUGGCUAAAGAGCCGCUCGUCCAGCACAGCAUCCCCGGACAGCUACAGCAGGGCAGCCCACCGGGAAACCUCUCGGUGGGCGCCCCCUAGAGGCCGGCGCCCUAGGCGAAUGCCUUAUUCGCCUUAAUGGUAGCGCCGGCCCUGCCUGGCACCCCCCCCUCCACAGUGGGCGGCGACCCGGCAGCUCGGAUCGGAUUCGCACAGCCAGCACUGCAGAGAGAGUGAGUGAGCCAGGCAGGGGCAGAGAGCUGCGAGUGCGAGCGCACCCCCCCAGAUGUUGCGGCCGGCCCCCCCUGCACCUCCCACGCUACGCCUCUGUGUAAUGGGGAGUGUGCAAAACAAGAAUUGUAAUUUGGGUAAUCUUAAAAAUGGCUAUUCUUUCUAACCACAACAUAAACAGAGGUGUGCAUUGGUGCAGCACUCGUCUACACUUAUUCGAAACUUUUAUAUAUUUUGCUGAAUAUAGUCCCACAGUGUUCUUGGUGAACAUGAUCCCUAGAUAAGUAAUAUGUGUUGUGCUUCAUUCAAACUGGUAAGAUUUGCAGAGGGAAGCACAUAGAGGGUAAGGGAAUGCCUUCACUCAUACCCUGUGUUUUACUAGUGUUAAGUGAGUAGUAAGAGACAUUCCCAUAGAUGUGUAUUAGUUGCAUAAUAAAAGGCAAUGAGUCUUGUGGUUGGGUGACAUACAAUAAGAUAUUGUCUGCAAAGGUGCUUACUUUUGAUUCCCUGUCUCCCAUCUGUACUCCAGUGAUGUUAGGGUGAGCUCUAAUGGAUGCCAAUAAUGGUUUCAAGGUGAGCACAUACAUUAAUAGGGAGAGAGGGCACCUCUGCAUUGUUCCAUCUGAAAUGUGAAAGGGGUCAGAGAAAAAGCCUACUUGCAAUACCUGAGCUGUAAGAUGGGGUAUAAGAUGAAAAUGGAUUGGAUGAUUUAGGGAGAAAAGCCAUAGGAGCUUAACACUCAACUCAGGAAGGGCCAGCCAAGGCAGUCAAAUGCUUAUCCGCAUCUAAAGCUAACAGGAGGCCACCUUGACUGGCCCCCCGGAGCGGUCUCAUCACCAUAGCCAAUUUGCAGGUCUUUUCCAAUUUGUGUCUUCCAAACACAAAACUGGAUUAAGCAUCUCUAAUUAAGGAUGGUGUGGCGAAACCAACCUUGCCACUGGGCAUUGGAGAAGACUGAUUGCCAGCCUCCUGCCAUGUGACUAUGGUCCCUGGGAUCUAAGGAACUGAUUUGGGGCUUAUGGACUUGUAUUGGACUGUGUAUGGCCCGUUAAGAACUGUAUUUGGGCAUAAUGGAUUUUUAUUGUGCGGUUUCUGGCCCUUUAAGUACUUUGGGAAAGGACCUGCAGUUUUGGCAUGGCACUUCGGAUGCAGCCGAAGUGCCGAAGUAGUCGAAGUGGCCGCUAUUAGAAAACCGAACACUGGGCGGCGGCCAUUUUAAUUCAUUCAAAUGCAGUCAGCGGUGUGUGCCGUCAAACUCAUGGAACUAAAAUCGGCUACAGAACGGCACCUACACCGCUGAAGUUUUACCUUCCCUGGAACUAAUGCAUUCGACAGUUCAUUUGACAGUUCAUUCGACAGUUCGACAAUUCAAAUGGUUGUCAUUCGUCUGUUUGAACUGACUUUAACAUAGGAAAUAGACUGGCCACACAGCCUGAUUCUCUGGAACUGUUUUGGGCAUGAAAAUGUGCUUGCGGUCGAUCAAAAGUGACAUAUCUAUCUCCCGAACGGCUGAAUGGAUUUGAAUGAUUUUUGGGUAUGUUUGUAUUUGAAAUAUGUUGAUUAAUAAUAUGUGACUUUUAUUAAUAUUGGAUGUAGAGUUAUGAAAGUUGGGUAAAAAGUAUGUUUUAAACUGUACAUCUAAUUGUGUUACCACUAAGGGGAGGAGAUGUGAGGGAUGUAACAGUGUUUGACUGGGUAAUUCAUAAUUGUCUGUGGGUGUCUCCCUUGCCCAGAAGAAUUGCAUAAAGGCAGAGUGUGUGUCAUUAAAAACCUGAGUUCUACUUCACCCUCACUUUGGAGUGCCUUCUCUUAUUGGGGGAAUCUGCUACAAGGGAUUGCUAUGCUCUGCAUAUUACCUUGUGUAACGGAUCACCUGGCACCCCAACUGGGUAUCUCCGUUGAUGGAUGCUCCUAGCAUUUCCUGAGGACUCCAAGCACUCUGGCAGACACCACAAUCACCGAACCAGAGAAGCAUAUAUCUUCUCUCAAGCAUAUGAAUGCUAUAAACAGCUGAAUAGGCAAAAACCAUACGGAUGGGUUUAGACUCCUAGCAGUCAAACUGGAACAGCAUACAAUAAAUCCUUCCUCAAUAAUGAGACGACACUUCACUUUGAGGGUUAAGCAGGAACUCUCUGUAAUGGCCACACACUGGCUUUUAUGCAAGUCUCCAUGCAAGGGGACAUCCCACAGGGUGGGACACAGUACAACCAAACGUUUACAGGAGAACCAUAAAACACACCCAGCACAAACAUACAUCCCUCCCCUCUGCCUGUGAUAUAAUUACUGAACACAAUGGGUUAAUGUAAUUUAUCACUGGCAGGAAAAAUACACUUUUUAUACAUACACUGUAACUUUAAAAAUAUGCAACAUAUUCACAUAAAACAUACAUAUUCAGAAUCAGCAUACUUUAAAUAUAAACAUAACCAAAAUUCAGCCAAUUCCAUCCCGGGGUUAAAAAGUUAAGGAAAAGUCCUAUUUGACCAAAUGCAGCAUGGCUUUUCUGCCCAAAACCAGUUCCACAGAGUCUUCUAUCCUGGAGAUAAUUGGGAAGUAAUCCAAUUAUCUCCAGGACAGAGGCAAAACUCCAUUGAACACAUGGCAGACAAAGGACAAUAAAAGACAUAAAAAUACAUAUGGUUACAUUUAUCACAUAGAACAUACACAUUCUACCUAUCCGCAGAUAGCUUAGAUCUGAGCGCACAUUAUUACCGGAUGGUGCUCAGAUAACACACAUACAGUUCAAUCGCCAUGGAGCCAAAGUCUUUCAUACAGUCUUUCAGUAUACGGCUGGGCUCCAUGGCAUUGCUAUCUGGGGUAGCAUUACUUUAACAGUCUGCAGAAAGGCACGAAUAAACCUUUCUGCAGGUAAAAUACAAGUUUAAAAUGCAGGACCAUAGUCUAAAAGGAGCAGGCGAGCAACCAGGCCUCUCCAGUGGACAGUGGUGAAGUUGGUUCCGCCACACCUUGCUAUAACCACUCCUAAGCUCUUGUAAGAUCUUGUUCCUGUCUUGCUCUCUGAAGGAGUCUACGGUGGUUAUGGUGUCGGCUGGAGCCCUGUGUACUGGAUAUCGUUGAAGAGCCCCAGUAAUUUUAUAAACCUACCGUGUGGGUCAAUAAAUUGAUGUUGUAGCGGAAAUGCCAGAUCUUAGAGACACCCUUAGUUUUGUUGACUGAUAGGGCAUGGUACUGGGUAGCAAAGUACUUGGCAUACAACACUGCAAUUUGUGAUUUAUUAUUAUUUUAUUAUUUAUAUAGCGCCAUCAGAUUCUAUAGAGCUGUACAAUGGGUGGAUUAACAGACAUGUAAUUGUAACCAGACAACUGAACGUACAGGAACAGAGAGGUGGAGGGCCCUGCUCAAUAAGCUUACAUUCUAGAGAUAGUGGGGUAUAGUGGCUCAAAGGGUAAAAGUAUGGGGUACGAAAUAGGUUGUUAGAAAAGUGUUCACUGAGGGUUUAGUGGGUAAUUUUUUACAGUUGCAGGUGAGGAGUCAUGGCGGGUGGGGAGUGAAAACCUGCUAACAAAGUGCAGCCCUGGAGAAAUCUUGGAGGGGGAGAUGCGCACUAUGUUUUUGAGAUGGAAGCAACAGGAUUUGGCGAUUGAUUGGACAUGGGGGGUGAAGGAAAGGUAGGAGUCAAAAAGAACACCCAGGCAGCGAGCCUGCAAGGUAGAGGUAACGGUAGCACCGUUGACUUAGAGGGAGACAGACACAGGAGUAGCAACACUUGAGGGACGAAAGACCAGAAGUUCUGUUUUGGAAAGGUUGAGUUUAAGGAAGAGAUCAGCCAUCCAGUUUGAAAUCUAGGAGAGGCAGUCAGAGACACGAGUCAAGAUGGGCAGAGAGAGAUCAGGAGAGGACAGAUAGAUUUGAGUGUCAUCUGCAUAGAAAUGAUAACGGAAGCCAAAGGAGCUAAUGAGUUUACCAAGGGAGGCAGUAUAGAUAGAGAACAGUAGGGGACCAAGGACAGAACCUUGAGGGACAUCGACAGAGAGUGGUUGGGGGGAAGAGGCAGAGUCAGAGAAAGACACUGAAAGAGCACUGGUAGGAGGAGCACCAGGAGAGAGCAGUAUCCCGUAGACCAAAAUUACGGAGAAUGCGAAGAAGCUGUUGAUGAUCAACAGUGUCAAAGGCAGCGGAAAGAUCAAGGAGAAUUAGGAUAGCGUAAUGGCCGUGAAUUAGGAUAGCGUAAUAGUUAGAUACUUUGGUCACAGCCAUUUCGACAGAAUGACCAGCGCGAAAUCCAGACUGAAGAGGGUCAAGCAGAGAGUUGGAAAGUCAGUCAGUCUGGUGUACACAACUCUCUCAUGGAUCUUGGAGGCAAAUGGCAGUAGAGAUAUAAGGCGGUAGCUGGAUGGGAAGUUGGGGUCAAGGAUAGGCUUUUUCAGAAUCAGGGUUAUGGUUGCAUGUUUGAAGGGUGUUAAAGUAAUUGAAUUUUGCAGUGGAAAGAGCCAGGCUGUAGGAGCGCAGCAUAAAUUUAUAGUGGAGGAAGGCAAAGUGAGACUUUCUCCAGUAGCGUUCAGCAGUUCUAGAACAUUUUUGGAGGUAACUGGUCAGCUUGGUGUGCCAGGGUUUUAAUUGGGGGCGCUUGCUGUGUUUAAUUGUAGGAGGUGCCAUGAUGUUGAGUUGAGUUGUAGAGUGAGGUUGCAGAGUUAGGGCAAGUUAGAUUUGAGAGGGGUAAAAGGAGAAUUUGGAGUUUGGUGGAGAAAUGCUGGAGAUCAAGGCAGUUGAGGUUUCUGCGAGAUUGGAGAGUUGAGGGUGGUGAAAUUUGGAUAUAGGGUAUGCUGAUGUCAAAUGUUAGGAGAUGGUGGUCAGACAAAGGAAAUGGAACAGUGGAGAGAUUAGAGGUGGUACAGAGAUUGGUGAAGAUGAGGUCAAGAGUGUUUUCCUGCUGUAUGAGUUGCUGAAGUAGACAACUGCCUGAGGGCAAAGGAGGAUGUUACAGAGAGCAGACGGGAGGCAUCAGGGCAGUUGAGGUUGUUGAUUGGGAUGUUAAAGUAUGUGGGAGGGACUGCUAGAGUGUUCAUUGAAAAGCCAAGGAUGACCGGCGGGGUUUGGCAAUAGAUGAUGGCGAUUCUUAAAGGAAUGGGCUUAAAAAGGCGGACUUCAAAGGAAGUAAAGGAAAGGGCAUGGGCAGGGAGGAUAGGUUUUAUGAAGAUGAGUCUUCUGAAUAAAUACUAUAUCAUUUUUGAGAUCCUGCAAAAAGAGUCUCAGUUUUCCCAGGGAAUUAAGACCCUUGACAUUAUAGGACACUAUUUUCAUAGUCUAGGUGUGAAGAAAAUAGACUUUUGUUUAACAUUUUCUUCUUUGUUCGGUCUUUUUCCUACAAGUAUUGUAUGUGUAUUGAAUAUAUUGGUUCGGUAGUUUGAAACUACCGAACACCGAUCACCCUCCUGGCUCAUUAACUACAAAGGAUCCAUCUAUUAAGUGCUCCCUGGGCGGCCGCUGUUUGUAUAGCCGAACGCCACGUGGAAUAGAAAACGGCGACCAUCUUGUUCGCACGAGGGGAGUUAGCGGGACUUGGUCGUCUAGUGUCUGGAACUAAAAUCGGACACUCGACCUCCCGAACCACCGCUGAAACUAUGCCUGCUUCCUUUAGUUACCAAACAGACAGGAGAGCACCAGUCGGUAGUUCUGUGCGAACAGACAAGGGGAGCAAUCGCUCCUAUGAGCCAGGAGGAUCCAUUCGGGACUUUGUUCAUUUUUUUACCUUUUUCUGAAUUGACCAACUGCACAUGCUGAAUUCGUGGAAAUGUUUUGGGCAGGAGCCGCGUGUGUGGUCGGUAAAAGGUGUUCUCCAUACUUUUUAAGAACUGAUCUGGGUGAAAUUUGGAUAUGUUUUUCCCCCAGAUCGGGGCUAUCAGGGGAUAUGUAAUUUGUGGAGAUACCUUGUGGGGAAAGGGGUGUUCUAAGUUUUAGGGAAAUUGUGUGCUCUCUGCCUGGAGAUAAUUGGUUUAUUCCUUAAUUUAUCUCAAUAUCUCCCAGGCAGAGAGAGGGCGUGCAUUACUGUAAAUCUGUAUGUUGAUUGGCUGUUGUCUUUGUUUGCUGUGGGAGGUCCUCUUGCAGGAGGAUUUCUCAUAAAAGCCUGUGUGUUUUCAAUAAACUUCAUUCCUGUUACACCCUUCAUGAAGUCUAGGCUCAUGUUUGGGGGAUAUUCUAUUCGCUGGGAAGAAUCAUCUUGGAACUGCAUUCAUCUACCCUAUCCCUCUACUCCCUGCUGCAGCUAUAAUCACUUAUGCUCAGCUGUUGGGAAAAGGAACAGAAGACCGCAGCACCAUAAUCACUGGAGGUCUUAACAACUGGUGGCAAGCGACGGGAUUGAAUGGAACGCAUAAAGACAACUGGUGAAUGGCCCAGCAGUACGAGAAACUAAAAAGGACUACACUAAAGGAUCUGCUGGAAGCCCGAGGUCAGGUGGCCAGCAACAAAAAGAAAGCUACCCUCAUAGCAGAACUGAUGGAGGGCGACCAAACCAGCAGCAUGGCGAAUGUCAGCCAGGAGGAAGCAGAAUUCCAACAGAAGGUGAUGUGGAGGCUAAACCUAUAUGGGCCAAAUCCCACACCUGAGAUGGUGACACAAGUCCUGGCACAAGUGAGCGCAGAACGCAGAGCACAACAGGCAAGCUUGAACCAAGGAGACCACGCUUCCCUAGCUGGUUCUGUAAAUGGAGGGCAGCAGAGAAAGAUCAAUUAUGCUGCUUUUAAAAGUUUCUCGUAUGGAGAUAUGGAAAUUGUCGCAUAUUUACAAGAUUUUGAGCGUCAAUGCGCUUUGGAGGGUCUGGAAUCAGAGCAAUGGGCCGCGAUUUUAAGCAGCAAGCUCACAGGCUGAGCAGCAGAGGCGUACUGAGCAGUCCCUGACACAGCCAUACACGACUAUGCCAGGGUAAAGGACAUUCUGCUAGCCAGGUAUGCCAUGACCCCAGAGACUUACAGGAAAAAGUUUCGGGCAUUACGGAAAGGGGGCCGAGACUCCUAUACCGAAUGGGCCUUUAGGAUUUAUCGGGCAGCCCAAAACUGGAUACAAGGCUGCCAGGCCACAACACUAGAGGAGGUGCUGCAACUCCUCUUGCUAGAACAAUUUUUUGACCACACACCUGCAGACACCAGGGACUGGGUCAGAGACAGGAAGCCGACCACAGUCGAAGAAGUGGCCAAGCUAGCAGACAAGCAUCACGAGGGAAGAAAAGGAGAGGCUAGUGGAAACCGUCCUCUGGUAAGGUACAGCGCUCCAACGCCAGGUCCUGUGGCCAACCCCAGACCAAACACGGUACCACCCACGACACAGCCUAAUUUUAACAGGAGAACACAAUUGGUAUGUAACCAGUGCAAUCAGCCAUGGCACUACAAAAUACAUUGCCCUCAGCGGAGCAGAGGCAACUGGGAGCGGCCACCACCGAGGGCCGCCGCUCACCACUAUCAACAUGAACCCCUGGAAGAGCACAGCCUGGAUUCGGAGCAAUGGGCCGUACUACAUGAGGUGAACCUAGCCCAAACUGAGGGGGACAACCGGGUGCACCACAGACAAUGGGUCACCAUAGAUGGAAAAGAGGCGGAGGCGCUAUGAGACUCUGGGGCCACCCUUACUUUGGUGCAGCCUCACACCGUAUCUGCAAAGGCGCGCACCAAUAGGACUGUGGCCGUAAGAGUGUCAGGAGGCGCCAUCCACAAGUUACCCACAGCCCGGGUACAGUUAAAUUGGGGCACCAGAGCCAAGCAGAUGGAGGUGGGCAUUAUGUCUGGACUACCUGCGGAUGUUUUGUUGGGGAACGACUUGGGGUGCUAACUUCGCAGCUAAUUCACCCCUGGAACCUGCCCCGUGACUACCAGGGCACAAGCCCGCCGAGCUGGACCGACACACUCCGAGGAACCAUAGGUAGGAACCGAAAUCCCCGUAGCAUGCCCUAACCCUAUCCCCUUUCUGGGGCACUCCCCAAGACUUUGGCCAAGCCCAGCAGUCAGAUACCACCUUAGCAGGUUACUGGAAGGCAUUAGGUACUGCUAAGGAAGGUAAUGCCCACGAGAACUUCCACUGGGACAAGGGACUGCUAUAUAGGGCCACAUGGGGAGUGGGAAAGGGGGCAGCCCAAGUUAUAAAAAGACCCCAUGUAAAUACAGGGCCAAACUUCUAAAGCUCAGCCAUGAUAUCCCGCUAGCAGGACAUCUGGGUAUCAAGAAAACUAAGGACCGCCUUACCCAGACGUUCUUCUGGCCAGGGAUAUCCAAAGAUUUGCAGACCUACUGCAGGACAUGUGACACAUGUCAAAGGAUAGAGAAAAAGGGGGCGGGGGAAUCACCCUAAGGCCAAGUUAUGGUCCCUACCUAUAAUAGAAGAACCAUUCUACAGAGUGGCAGUAGAUCUGAUAAGGCCUCUCAGCAAACCCAGCUCCUCCGGUAAGCGCUACAUCCUCACGGUGGUGGACUACGCCACCAGGUACCUUGAGGCUGUGGCGCUCUCCAACAUUGAGGUGGAGACAGUAGCAGAGGCUCUAGUCAGGAUCUUUUCCUGAGUAGCGUUCCCCCCGGAAAUACUUUCAGACCAUGGAACCCAGUUCACGGCAACUGUAACUCAACAGUUGUGGUAGAGCUGCUGGGUAAGACCGUUAUUUAGCUCCCCCUACCACCUCCAGACUAACGGUCUCUGUGAACGAUUCAUUAGCAUGCUUAAGCAAAUGCUCACAGCAUUCACAGAGUCCUACGGUCAAUGGGAGAAAUUUCUACCUCAUCUCCUAUUUGCCUACCGGGAAGUGCCUCAGGCGUCCACCGGGUUCUCCCCCUUCGAACUCCUAUAUGGGAGAAAAGUCUGCGGACCCCUGGACCUCAUACGGGAACACUGGGAGGGCAACACAGGAGAGGAAGGGAUCUCAGUUUUGCCAUACAUGCUGGCGUUCCGGGACCGCUUGCAGGCCCUGACCGAAUCAGUUCGGGAGAACCUGCAGGCUUUUGUUAUAUUCGGGAGACUCCGCUGAACACAAAUAUGAGUGUUAUAAAUCAGUAAAAUGUAUCAUAAUGAUGAAAUCACCAGUAAAAGUGCAGUUUUUGUGUAGUGGCUACUACAAAAGACUGGACAUACCCUAUGUUGAAUACCGUGGGUUGUCUACUUUUACAAAUGGUAUGCCAUGAUGGGGUUAAUUUUCAUUCCUGGGCUGCUAUCCGGUCUCAAAGGCAACAUAGGCCCAGCAAACCAAUCUGGCAAAUUUCAAUGUUUAAACAUGGAAAAGGGGAAAGCCCAACAUUGUAGGUUUGAAAAACCCCAUAAAACCUGUACAUUGGUAGCACUGUUGUACUCGGGAGAUGUUGCUGAACACAUAUUGGGGUGUUCUUUGUCAGUAACACAUAACAGGAACUGAGAAUCCAUGCCUAAAUUACAAUGUGAGAGAAAAAUAAUACAAUAAAAAUGACUACACAAAAGGUUGACAAAGACUGGUGGUAGAAUUAGUGCAUGGAAAGUGUUAAAAUACCACCAUUUGAAAUACCCUAGGGUGUCUACUUUUCAAAAAUAUAUGGUUUGAGAGGGGUAAAUUACAUUGUCCGGCUUCAGAAAUUUCCCAAAUAGGACAUGGGUGGCAUGAUGACCAGCUGAGAAAACUCCAAGUUGGAAAACUGGAAUGCCCACCCUCCAAAUAAGGUAUUGUAUGCCCCACAGAACCCGACACACCUACAGUUGCAAGAAAAAGUAUGUGAACCCUUUGGAAUGAUAUGGAUUUCUGCACAAAUUGGUCAUAAAAUGUGAUCUGAUCAUCAUCUAAGUCACAACAAUAGACAAUCACCGUCUGCUUAAACUGGUUUGUGUGUUAUUAGUUUAAGCAGACUGUGAUUGUCUAUUGUUGUGACUUAGAUGAUGAUCAGAUCACAUUUUAUGACCAAUUUGUGCAGAAAUCCAUAUCAUUCCAAAGGGUUCACAUACUUUCUCUUGCAACUGUAUACAUGCGUGGUAUCACUGCACUCAGGAAAUGUUGAUGAACACAUACUAAGGUGUUCUUUGGCAGUAACCCUUAAAGUUCUCCAUACAUGUAUGCUUAAAAUGCCAUGUGUGUCAAAAAAAUCACCAAUUAUUUAUUUUUUGUUUAAAUUUAGCAUAUAUUGGUGGUAAAAUGGUUGCAUGAAAAAAGUCAAAAUACCCCAAGUUUAAUACCUUAGGUUGUCUUCUUUUAAAAAAUAUAUACACAUGAAGGGUUAUUCAGGGAUUCCUGAGAGAUAUCAGUGUUACAAUGUAACGCGUUAAUUUUGAAAAAAAGAAAAAUGGUUUGAAAAUAGUAAAGUGCUACUUGUACUUAUAGCCCUAUAACUUUCCAAAAAAAGCUAAGAACAUGUUAACAUUGAGUAUUUUUAAACUCAGGACCAAAUAUAGAAACUAUUUAGCAUAUGUGUUUUUUGGCGGUUGUAGAUGCGUAAAAGAUUUUGGGGUGAAGGUUUGAAAAGGUGUGUUUUUUUUCAAUUUUUUCAUCAUAUUUUAUAUUGUUUUUAUAGUAAAUUAUAUGAUAUGAUGAAAACAAUUGUAUCUUUAGAAAGAUAAUUUAAUGGCAAGAAGAAUGGUAUAUAAUAUGUGUGUGUACAGUAAAUAAGUAAGAGGAAAAUUACAGCUAAACACAAACACCGCAGAAAUGUAAAAAGAGCCCUGUGUAAGAAUAUUAAAUAGUUAACUUGUUUAUAUGUAUUUUAUGCUUUUAUAAGGUUUAUAACAUGAUUAUUGCUGACUGAAGGGAUAUUGAAUACUUACAUAAUAUGCUGACUGUGACAGACUAAGGUAUUUCUUCUAUAGGAUGUAAGACAAUGCUAAAUUUCAGGAUGUCUUGCCCAUUCCGAUUUUAAGGAUAUUCUUUUCCAGACGUAUGCAAAAGCUUAUCUUUCCAUUGUCAGAAUAACGUAAUAUAAGGAAGUAAUAAAUCUUAUAGUCUGUACUGUAUUUGCAUAUACCAUGGCUAAUGUAAGCAAACUAUGUAUAAAAGCCAGCUCUGGAAUACACUCAUUUGAGAGUCUUGUAAAGCUGUUGUCCGUGUGUUAUGCUUACAAUGAUUCUCCAUCAACGUUGAUUAUGGUGACCGAGGGAUCGAGAACCGAGGGGAUUAGAGUCCAUUACAACAUUAACCCUUUCAGCUUGGUGUCUAGAAGUGGGAUAGAAGUUGGAUCAGCAAAACCAUUUGCGGUGAGUAGCCUUUUUGUGUCUUAUUUGACGCUGAUUGUCUAUGACCCCCUUUGGUUCAGUAAGUCUGUAUCCAGUAGAUAGGAAAGGUGUAAGGACUCUAGUUAUAUUGAGACUAUAAGAGGUCUCCGGUUUAUUAGACAUUUGGUCUAAAUAUAUAUAGGGGUUCUUGGUAACCCAGGUUAGUAUCUAAGAUAGAUACAGGUUUUUGAGACCAUAAGAGGUCUCCGGUUUAUUAUAGGGUUUUGGUAACCCAGGUUAGUAUCUAAGAUAGAUACAGGGUAUCUCAGGUAGAUACAGGUUUUGAGACCAUAAGAGGUCUCCGGUUUAUUAAGUCUAUAGGUGUUCUGAGCAGCACGGUUUGUAGAUCUAUAAGUAUAACCCAAACUUCUCUUUCUCCCGGUCACCUUUGUUUGUCUUAAGUGUUUUUUGUGGGUGAUUGUUUGUCUAUAUUGGGGACACACUUUGGUAAGUUAGUAGUGUCCCCACUCUGAGUCAGCAGUAUGGGAAAUGUGAGUUCAUGUCCUGAGUGACCAAUAUAUGUACAUGUAUAUGUGUGUGUAUGUAUAUAUGUGUAUAUGUAUGUAUAUAUGUGUGUGUAUAUGUAUAUGUGUAUAUAUAAGAUAGCAGUACUUUUAAACAAAUGGAGGUUUUAAAAAUACAUAGGGAUUAAGGAGAGAACGCAGGUAACUUGUUUUUCUUUGGUUUUUACCAUAUAUUGGGGCUGAUGUGUACUGUAGUCCUUGCUGCUGCCCAGUAGUGAUGGGAGUGAGCGCAGGACUUAUCUUUCUGCAAGAUAGCAGUACUGUAUAUUAGAAAAGAAAUGACUCAUAGGUUGUACCUGAUAGACCUACUUAAAUCUUUUUGCUUUAUUCUUUCUGUCGCAUAGAAGUAUAAGUUUAUUACUCUGUUUUAUUGUAAGUUAUUUCACAUGGGAUCUAUGUGCCUGGUAUGAUUGUUGCUUUAAAAAUACUAUAAGCCCACUACACUUAUUAUGAGAGUGGGAUAGUGUAAAUGUGUUGCAUUGUUUGCAUGAUGAGCUCAGUAUAUUUUAUAACUGAGACAAAAAGUCACUUCAUUAGUAUUUGAAAGUUAAUUCCCCAUAUGGGAUUAAUUGUAUAGAAACACCAAUCAGCACAUCUUCCCUGCCCUGUGUGUUUGUUGCAAAGGAUCCAUACUGUAAAUAUAAUUUUUGUUUGAAAAUAACAGAGCAACAUUUACAUUUUCAGCGGUCCAACACAUGCUUUAUUUUGCACUGUAAACUAACCUUUUUAUUGCAACAGGUUCCUUUUAAAUGAUCCAGUGUAAUAACUACUGCUUGUGUCUUCUAUGUCUCACAUUAUGUGUUCUUUUAAAUUGUGGUAUAUAGCCUGGAUCAGAAAUCAUGGACAAAGGUUUUUUACCUGUGUUACUAAGGGCUCUUGGAGACUGACCGGUCUAAAGGUUUGCCAUGCCUUUAAAACAUGGUAUAGUAUAAAUUUUUAAGUCUCUGAGAGUUCUGAAAGAUUCAGGUGAAACCAUGUCUGUUUAAUCUGGUCCAGAUGUUUGUUCAAUUUCUGUAAGAUUUAAGUUGAUGCAGCAUCAUCUCAGAUUAGUUAAUGGUAGUUUUAUACAAAUAGUUGAGUUAUGAGCGCGCUAUAUAAAUGGAUCCUUUCUUUAUAUACAAUACUAUAGUAGAUUAAAGUAAUGAAGUUAAUUAAGAAAAUGUACACAUAAGAAUCCCUAAAAUAAAUCUAAACUAAAAUUGGUAUACUUUCCAAUAAUAUGUUCUGAAUACAGCUGUUAACUGUUUAUUCUGUGUAAAUGGUGAUUGUGAUAAUGUGUGAAGUGUGCAGUUUAACUUGAAAGUGGUUUAAUUUAUGUUGCUGUAUUGUUUUAAAUUAUAUGUGAAUCAGUUUGUCACAGUCUAGUGAUACUGAUAAGAAUGACAGCCAAAUAACCUAGCAAAUAACUGUUUUAUUAGUUGUUGAAUACUAGCGUUUUGGCCAAGAAUAGUUGGAGAUUUGGAGGUGUUAGUUUAAGAUUGCUUUUAUAUUGUGUCUAUCCGUGUUUCCUAGGAGGGAGACAGAGUGUGUAGUUGUGUGCCCAUAAAUGUGAUUUCUGUAUUGGCAUAUCUGCUGGGUACCCAUUAUGUGUUUUUACAAAGAUAUUGUUUUGUGAGAUGACGUGUAAUAUUACAUUGGAUGCUGAGUAUGAGUUAUAUGGUUUGAAAUGAAUUGGUGAUUAUGAGCUUAGUACUUCAGUAUGAUGUGCUAAAAUUUGGAACAAGGUGGAAGCUGAAAUGUUGGGAUUAUGGAAGAAUAAGCAGUCUAUAUUCACUGCUUUGGCAUAUAAGCAGGAUGCAAAGGAAGAGAUUGGUAAUAUGAUUUUUCUAAAGAAAUUUUACAAGUGUUGGAAGGAUGAGGCAGGUUUGAUGUCUGGAGAUGAUAUGGAUCUCCUUAAAAUACAGUCAUGCCUUGGUAAUAUGUUGCCACAGUAUUCUUUGCUUGUGAAACAAUUGAUUUCAGACUGGGCCAAUUUGGAUAGCUCAGAUUUUCUUACCAAGGUUAUAGAAAAGGAAAAUGCAGGUUGUUUUGACUUAAGAAAAGAUUUAGGAAAGUAAGGUUGCUUAUUAUGCUCAGGGAUUGCAACAUAUUAUGUCCAGCUACACAGGCUGAGAGCGAGGAUGGGAUGGAGCACAUAAAGCCCGCGGAAGGGGUGGUCAAAGAGGAGCAAGGGGAUGGAGACAGGGAAAUCAGGGUUAUAGGGGCAGGGGUAACCAAGGAGGAAUAGACAGGAACACUUGUUUCAACUGUGGACAAUAUGGCCACUGGAGGAAUGAGUGUCCACAUCCCAGGAAACCCCAGGAAACCCCACACACCCCAACAACCCCACAAUUCUCAAAAUAUGCCCUGUAGGCAAGAACAACACCAGACCCACUCCCAACACCACUGGCCAGCAUAUCCCUUAGUACAGGACUUUAGAGCCCUGAAUAGUUUAAUUGUGCCCAUUUCACCCAUUGUCCCUGAUGUGACAUCCCUCAUUACAGCCAUUCCACAUGAUGCCACUUGCUUCACUGUCAUUGAUUUAAGUAAUGCAUUUUUUCUAUACCUAUUGAUCAAGAGACACAGCUACUUAUGGUUUUUACUUUUUGAAGGCUGUCAGUUUACCUGGACACGCUUACCCAAGGCUAUGUGGAUUCCCCAGCUGUUUAUUCGUUGGUACUCCAACAUACUCUAAAAAACAUGGACCACCGGUCAUGGUUCCGUCCUUUUUGCAAAAUGUUGAUGAUUUGUUGUUAUGUAGCCCUAGCUAUGAGGCAAGCACUGUGGAUACUGUCAGCAACUGUAGGUCACAAGGUUGUUAAACACAAAAUGCAAUUGUGUAAAUCAAAGGUUGAAUACUUAGGUUUUGUUCUGGCUUUAGGCACCAGACAAUUGAGUCCAAAACGUAUUGAGGUCAUUCAGAGGAUUCCUACACCCACUAUUCGGAAGGAGUUGCUCACCUUCCUCGGCAUGAUUAAUUACUGCCACCAUGGAUCCCUGAAUGCUCCCAUUAUGACUCAAUCCUAAGGGAGGCUGUACGUUCUGACAGCCCUGAAAAUGUCUGCUGGUCACCAGACAUGCUAGCUGCAUAUAUUGCCCUUACAGUUGUUAUUGUGCAAGCCCAGGCUUUAGGACUACCUGUGUAUUGUAAACCAUUUCAUUUGUAUGCUUGGGACAAUUGUAAAACCAUGGCCGCGGUCUGUGCACAAGAGCAAGGAGGCGGUAUGCGUCCCAUAGCAUUCUUUUCCAAAGUAGUUCAAGCUCCGGUACAGGGUAUGCCGGCGUGUCUCAGAGCAUUGAUAGCAUGUGCAAUGGCUGUUGAAACUGCUACUACUAUCACACUAGGGCAUCCUACAAUACUUCAUGCCAGUCACCAGGUCACUCAGCUGAUAAUAAAUAUCACCAUACAACACAUGACAGCCCAGCGCUUCAGUGGUUAUGAGAUUCUUUUUUUAAUACCCAGAAUCUGUCUUUUGGAUUAAACAAGGUUUAGAGAAAGAUCAAAAUGAUCUGUUCUCUAAAGAGGGGAGAAUAGGCAUACUUGAAGAAUAGGCAUACUUGAAGCAAGCUGAUUUAUUUUCAUCAGUCAGGCACAUAGCAAGCACCAUUCAAUUCCUCAUGAAUUCAUUUUAUAUUAGGAAUCUCAGGCAGCAUGUACAGUCUUUUGUAAGAUCGUGUGAACGCUGCUCUUUUUACACACUUACAGAUUGAUUUUAUUCAUGUAUCCAAAAUUGGUAAGAAACAGCAAUACUUACUGGUCAUAGUUAAUCAGUUUAGUAGAUGGCAUGAGGCCUUUGUGAUAUCUAGGGAAGAUUCUAGUGAAGAUUAUUGUUACUGAAAUUAUUCCCAGGUAUGGCUGCCCUCUCCAGAUUGGCUCUGAUAAUGGCCCGGUUUUUGCCAGUAAGGUUGCCCAGGAACUUGCUAAAUUCUUGCAAGUUACCUGGCAGUUUCAUAUACCCUAUCAUCCACAGAAUACAGGGGUAGUUGAAAGGAUGAAUAGGACUAUUAAGGAAAAGCCCAGAAUUUACCCAGGAACAUGGGUAAAUUGGACUAGAUAUCUACCAGCUAUUUUAGCUGAGAUAAGAAUAUAUCCCCACAAGGUGAAUUGUUGAUAAAACCGAAUGGUAUGUAUGACAAUGUUUCUUCGCAGUUUUCCCUUACCUUCACAGGAACCUACUCAUUCAUACCAGCCCGGUGACAAGGUGUAUAUCCGUCAGUUGAACAGGACCAAGAAAGGAGGAUACCCUUUUGGACCACCUGCUACUGUGAUUGCUGUACCCAGAACCGCUGUCCUCACAGAUUCCCACGACAUCUGGAUUCACGCAUCCCGAGUGAAGCUGUGUCCAAAGAGGGGAACCAAGGAAGACAACACCACUCCUCGCUCGGAAACAGAAGAAUUUCUCCUCAGCGAAGCAUCAUGGCUUUUACACCAUAUCGUAGAUUGAGAGGAUCAUACGUACCUGAGACCAAGAUUAUGUUGUGUGCUAUGCUUUCUGGAGUUGUUAUACUCCCUCUGAUAUUGUUCCUUGAAUGCCAUUAUGAGUACAAGUCAAUGGCAAGUUCUGGAAAAAGACUCUGACAUGAUGAACAAUUCUUCAAUACCCCCAGCCCAAUUAGGCCUUAGCCCCUCAUCUAGCAUUCGUCACACACGCCCCCUCAAGAACCUUUCUCCAUCACCUUUCUAUCAGCAUGUAAUUUGCAAUCAUUCAUUCACUGAACGCAUUUGGAUGAAUUGGACAAAUAGUAACCCUUAUAAGUACCAGUUACCCAUAUGAAAUGUGUCUACAGCUAAUGAAACCGAUGCAUUAUGUUUGUUUAAAGGUUCACAGAAAAUUGUUAGAUCUUAUAACGCAGAAAUGUGCACAGUUAAGGUUGCAUAUCAAUGUAAACAGACAUGCCUUAUUACUUUUAAUAAUGAUUAUAUAACUGGUAUCAUUAAUUGGAAAAGGGGACAAAUGUUAGUCAUUAUGAACGACACUGCAAUUGAGAACUAUACACUACCUUAUAUUUUUACACCUUAUUACUGUCCUUCAUCCACUAUCAUAGAACCAAAAGUCAAACACGACACACACACACACCUAUUCCGUCCACAUGUGUUAAUACAACUGCCUUCUUACAAGCUGUACAUGUGUCAUUAAAAGUCACUACUCUUGUUGUAACAUUAUGUAACACAGCAAACAAAAGGCAGAAAAGGGAAUGGUAUGACACACUGUUAGAUGGUGCUGGAACCACUAUGGGUAUACUAAAUAGUUAUAGAUAUGGAGACCCUCAAGAAUAAGUUAAACACAGCCAGCAUGCAUAUAGGGACUGGUUUCCAUGCUACUGCAAAUUGGGCUCCAAUUGUUGUUAAAUCACAGGUUAUAGGAUUGGAUUUAGAUAAAUCAAUGUAUAAUUAUUUAGAUAAUUUAACUGUUGCAACUAUGAAAUUCACUACAGGUCUAAGUAACUGGAGUACUUGUGCCAUCAGGUAUUUAUGGAUACAACAACAAGGAUUGGCAUUAGAAAACACACUAAUGAUUCCUAAACUAGAGAAGAUUAGAGGGAUGCUUAACCUCACAGAUAAUGAAUGGUUACUUCUAAAACCCCAAUCCAGUAAAUGCAAUGGAUGGUUAACUGGUAAUGUUUCACAUUUUUCAUGCUCAUGUUAUUUUACAUUAUAUCAUACAUCAAAGGAUGUUAAAUUAGCUUGUCAAUUUAACACAUUACCAGUACCAGUUUAUUAUCUUUUUGCCAAGAAUUUAACCUGGUGGGCACCCACAUACACAGGGGACUAUAUUUUUCCCAAAGAUAACAUACACAGGUAGCCACACAUAUCCUAAAAGGAGAACUCCUUAAGGUGAGUUCACAAAUUCAGAAUGAUUUAGCCCAUCAUUGGUACAAUGCUUUACUGGUUGGUCCCCUACUGGAUCUCAGAUAAUGAAAUCAUUCUUCUAUCAUUUUGUUAUUAUAGUCCUGAUUUUAUUGUGUAUGAUUUUAUAUAACUGUCACCUUAGUUGUACAUUGAGGAAGAGAGUACAGAAAUUAAUCCAUAAUGCAGAACAGAAACAAUUAAAAAUUCUCCUCUCUGCCACUGUAGGGUAUUAACCCAUCUUUAAACUGGGCCUUAGGAAUUACCACAUGGGAAUCGAGGUGAAUAAAUUAAUGAAAGUCCCGCAGGGAGUGACUAGCACCCCUGAAAAUACCAUGUGGAUGUUUCUCUGUCCUGGUAAGAUUUUAUCGAUAAGAUGAGCAAUUGUUUUAUUGCUCAAAGAGGGGAAUGUAAGAAUAUUAAAUAGUUAACUUGUUUAUAUGUAUUUUAUGCUUUUAUAAGGUUUAUAACAUGAUUAUUGCUGACUGAAGGGAUAUUGAAUACUUACAUAAUAUGCUGACUGUGACAGACUAAGGUAUUUCUUCUAUAGGAUGUAAGACAAUGCUAAAUUUCAGGAUGUCUUGCCCAUUCCGAUUUUAAGGAUAUUCUUUUCCAGACGUAUGCAAAAGCUUAUCUUUCCAUUGUCAGAAUAACGUAAUAUAAGGAAGUAAUAAAUCUUAUAGUCUGUACUGUAUUUGCAUAUACCAUGGCUAAUGUAAGCAAACUAUGUAUAAAAGCCAGCUCUGGAAUACACUCAUUUGAGAGUCUUGUAAAGCUGUUGUCCGUGUGUUAAUGCUUACAAUGAUUCUCCAUCAACGUUGAUUAUGGUGACCGAGGGAUCGAGAACCGAGGGGAUUAGAGUCCAUUACAACAUUAACCCUUUCACCCUGGUCCUUAACGGUUGAAAAAAAAUUGAAAAAUGGUCACUAAGGGUUUAAAAGGUUAAAGAAACAAAAUAAUUUUUUCUGUAAUUUGUCUUUAGUCAUGUUUUAGAAUUUUCAAUGUUUGGCCCAUGUGAACUUCUGUUAACCCCAGCCUUUUCUCUUUGAUAGAUUUUAUAAAACUUCAGAACAAUAAGCAGAUCAUAUAAUACUGUAUAUUGUACUACCUUCUGUUUGCUUCCACCCCCUUUCCUUUCUCUCUUCCUUAUUUCCAUAAUUACUGUCCUGAUCCAUGCAUGACUUUCAAACAAAUAACUCAACACCUAGUUAAUUGGUUGUGCAAAAUGCUAAAUAUUACAUUUCCACUUUAAAAGAAUACUAUAGCGUUAGGAAUACAAAACAUGCAAGGUAAGCUCUUAACGCACAUUAGGAAAGUAUUAAAUCAGUGAUUUCCUGGGCAUUUUCAAGAUGCUGGACAUACUCAUAUAAAGUGUGAGGAUGUCCAGCAUUGUUUCACUGAGUUUACAUUGCAGGGUUAACAGGUCAAGGACAUUGUAACCAUACCACAUCAAGGAGGAUGUUAAUGUCCCUUUAAGGUUGAUGGUGCAUGGCAGCUUAUUCAAUUCUAAGAUUAGUUGGUUUGCCACAUGUGUGUUUUAAGAUAACCAAAGAAACACAGUUGAAUGUGAAACACUUUAUCAGAAUUAAAGAAACAUAAAACAUAUUUUUAUGCAUUUUUUUCUCUAGUCAUAACCCAGAUGCUAAAAAAGUUUCAACAUUUUAGAUGUGUGGUUCAGCUAGGGUUUCUCUGGCCAUCAGCUUUUUGUUUUUAUCUGAUAGUUUUUACAAAAAUACAAUAAACAGAUGAUAUAGGAUUGUAUAUAGGAUAAAAUAUGUAAUUAAAACGUACAAAUAUUUUUCAAACAUACAAAUAAAUACAAUAUAUAUAAGGUAAAGGACCAGGGGAAAUUUUAGUUUUGUGCUUAGGCAGCUGACACUAUAGAGAACAUAUUAUGCAAUAAUGGUAGAUGAAAGGUUAGACCUUUUCAUGUGUCUACAGUAGAAAAACAUCACAAUAUUUGGCUUAUUAAUUUGCUCAAAUUUACAUAUUUCCUGUAUAAAAGUUGGUUUGAUGCAACAAGUGUUAACUUAGCUAGAGAUGUCUGUUUUAUCCCACAUUUCAUGAAAACAAAUCAAAUUAUAAGAACAAAUUAUAGAAUUAUCCACAGAUGAAUCUUGUGGAAUUUCUUUUCAGCGAAUUGAUUGGAUUGUGUUUGAAUGGCUUUUACUGCCAUUGCAGUGAUGCCAACUCGUCAAUAAGAAACAAGUUAUAUAUAGGACACACUGUUACAGACAAUAUAUAUAUAAAAAAAAAUAUAUAUAUAUAUAUAAUUGAAACAUACAAUGAGGAUAUGCUUUGCUGGAAAGUUAUGGGAGGGUAAACAACUUGCUAUAAUUUUCUAUGCAGAAUACACUGGCGUACAUACCCGGUGCGACCCGGUAUGUACGCCCAGGGCCAGCCUCUUCCCCUGGGGGGCCCAGGAGCCGACCACCCCAGGGCCCCCCUGAGGCUGGCCCUGCUGACCCCGGGUGGCCGGUCGGGCAGGCGGGCGCGCGAGGGAGCACUCUGUGCUUCCUCUUCAGCUCCCUCGCGCACCGCAAUGAUACCGGAGCCGGAAGAUGACGGCAUCCCUACGCUGCCGCGAGGGGAGCUGAAGAGUAAGCACAGAGUGCUCCCUCGCGCGCCCGCCUGCCCGACCGGCCACCCCCCCGCCCAGCACCACUGGACCCCAGGGAAUCCCCCCAGCACUCCAAAAGGUAAGAAGGCUGGGGGGAUUAAAUUAAAAAACAAAACAAAAAAAUCAUGUGUGAGUGUUAGAGUGAGUGUUAGUGUGUGUGAGUGUUAGUGUGUGUGAGUGUUAGAGUGAGUGUUAGAGUGAGUGUUAGUGUGUGUGUGUGUGUGUGAGUGUUAGAGUGAGUGUUAGUGUGUGUGUGUGUGUGUGUGUGUGUGUGAGUGUUAGAGUGAGUGUUAGUGUGUGUGUGUGUGAGUGUCUGCUAGUGAGUGUUAGUGUGUUAGUGUGUGUGUCUGCUAGUGAGUGUUAGUGUGUUAGUGUGUGUGUCUGCUAGUGAGUGUCAGUGAGUGUGUUACUGUGUGUGUCUUACUGAGUGUGUGUGUGUUAGUGAGUCUGUUUGAUGUCUGUUAGUGAGUGUGUGUCAAUGAGAGUGUAUGUUUUGUAAGUGAGUGUGUAUGUAUGUCUGUCGCUGACUGUGUCUUUGUCAGUAAAUGUGUGUGUCUGUUAGCUAGUGUGUAUGUGUGUGUGUGUGUCUUCAGCACUUACCUUUCUCCAGCGCCGGACUCCCUUGGCGCUGAGGAUCCCUCAGCCUCUCAGCUCCGAAUGCGACCGCGCACGCAUUCAAACCGCCCAUAGGAAAGCAUUACUCAAUGCUUUCCUAUGGACGUUCAGUGUGCUCCUCUAGCGGCUGUCAGUGAGACAGCCACUAGAGGCUGGAUUAACCCUCAGUGAAACAUAGCAGUUUCUCUGAAACUGCUAUGUUUUCAGCUGCAGGGUUAAAACUAGAGGGACCUGACACCCAGACAACUUAAUUGAGCUGAUGUGAUCUGGGUGUCUGUAGUGGUCCUUUAAAGGACCACUAUAGUGCCAGGAAAACAUACUAGUUUUCCUGGCACUAUAGUGCCCUGAGGGUGCCCCCACCCUCAGGGACCCCCUCCCGCCCGGCUCUGGAAAGGGGUAAAACUUACCUUUUUCCAGCGCUGGGCGGAGAGCUCUCCUCCUCCGAUCCUCCUCUUCUCCUCCCCGUCUGCUGUAUGCGCACGCGCGGCAAGAGCUGUGCGCGCAUUCAGCCGGUCACAUAGGAAAGCAUUCAUAAUGCUUUCCUAUGGACGCUGGCGUGCUCUCACUGUGAAAAUCACAGUGAGAAGCACGCAAGCGCCUCUAGCGGCUGUCAAUGGGACAGCCACUAGAGGAAAUAGGGGAAGGCUUAACCCAUUCAUAAACACAGCAGUUUCUCUGAAACUAUGUUUAUGAAAAAAUGGGUUAACCCUAGCUAGACCUGGCACCCAGACCACUUCAUUAAGCUGAAGUGGUCUGGGUGCCUAGAGUGGUCCUUUAAGUGUGUGUGUGCAUCUGCAUGCACUGGCGUACAUACCGCGGUCGCAGGGGUCGCAGCCCCCUGGGGGGGGAGGGGGCCCACGGAUCAAUUUUCGCACUGGGGCCCCAUGGGUCAUGUGUACGCCACUGGCAGAAUAUGUACCUACAGCCCCAUGGGCAGUUGACUAGAUUGAAAUAAUAUUAUCCACUAGUGAUAGAUGAGAAGACAGACCUUUAGUUUUGUUUUCUGCAUUUCGUGUGUCUACAGUAGAAAAGCUUCUUAAUGACUUGUCUUCUUAAUUUCCUCAAAUUUACCUAUUACCUGCAGAAAAAAUAGUUUGAUGUAACAAAGGUUUACAUAAAUACAUCUGUUUUACCACACCAAGACAAAUAAAAACCUACAAGUAAACACAGGUAAAUCUUAUAAAAGGGUAAAUAUCCAUGGAUCAAUUUGAAAAUGAGAUUUAGAGAAUUAGACAGCAACAUGCCAUGAACUGGAGAACAAUGCCAAGGUUAUGCACAAAAGUGAAAAUUAGCAGACGUUCAAAGUGAAUUUAAAGUGAGUUUCAAAUUUAAGCAGACGUUCAAAGUGAAUUUAAAGUGAGUUUCAAAUUUAAGGUAAAAAUAGCUGAACAAACUGGAAAAAGGCAGCUAUGCUUCCAGUUUUGGGUACUUUGAAAUUCACUUUGAAUUCACUUUGACUUCUCAAUUUAAACUUAACCAUAAGUAACAUUUUUACAAAAUUCCCUACAAUGAAGAUAUGGCAGAAUUUUACUAAAUUAAUUCUAAACUCAUUAACUUGGACUCUUCAUUAAGAUUAUAAAUAUGUUAUAUUGUUGGGGUGCUUUGUGUUUUAGUAAACCGGCAGAACACGAGCAUGUCAACCAGUUUCUUACCAAGUUUAUAAUUUCCUUUUAUGAGAGUCAGAGAGCUCGAGAUGUAAAAAAUGCACAUUGUAAUAACACCAAAUUGUUGCAAAAGAAAACGUUUGCCUUCAUGAAUAACCAUUAUGGUGGCAGUGAAAUAAACAACAUUCUGAACAAGGAGGGAGGUCACAAAUUUGGCUCCUCGGAGGUGAGGUCCUAAAUUAGGUCUAAGACCUACAUCUUUUCCUUUCAUGUUCUUUAUGUGUCUAAAGAGAGAUGCAAUGAUUAUCGAAGCUGAACUACAAAAUAGUAAAAAUGCCACAGAACAAUAUACAUUAUUUAUUUUCGAUAGUGUACUUUCUAUCUCUGAUGUAAAAACAGUUCUGUUUGAUUGUGUAGUUUCUAUUUCUUUCCAUGCCAAAGGAAGAGCAAAAAAGAAAGUUACAAGUACAGUUUGAAAAAUAAUCAUCCGAUGAAUCUUGAAGAAUAGAUUUUGGAAAUAAAUAUAGAUAUUAAUAUUGAUGUUAACGAUUUUCAGACAGAAGUGUACACUGAGCCAGGUGUAGAACCAAAUGUUGCAGGUUAUUGAAGCCACAUACAAAACUGAACUAAGGACUCUAAUACCUACGGACAUCAUAUAUGUGUCUUGAUAUAGCAUAGCAGAAUAAUACAUGAUGUUAAUUAGUAUAUUUGUAAGGGUGGCUAUGCUGAUGCCAAAUAUAAGCUGGUCUGUUAACGGAAGUCUUCUAUAUUUUAUCCAAUCCAAGAGGUUCACAAUAAGAAUGAACAUGCUCCAAGGAGCUGAAGUUACAAAAAAAAAACAGAUCAAGGUGUAGUAGGAUAAUCUCGGUGAUAUGGAACAUCUUUAUAUGUACAGAUAUCUUUGGUAACUUGUAAAUUACAAGAUCUGCCACAAUCAAAUGCAGAUUAAGUAUGUCUUCUUCCAGCACUCUCAAAUAUACUAAUAUGACUUCUUCUCCAACACACAAUCACAUAAUCUAUUUUGUCUGCAAUUUGAUUUGAUUUGGGUACCAUGCAAAUCUAAUGUUUUGCAAAUGUGUUGUAUAUUUACUAUACAAAUAGGAUGAAAUGGAAAAAAAGAAGCACAUACUCUUUGUUCAGCUGUAAAGGGACCCUCUGAGUACCAAAACAAAUUUAGAAACUGUCAUGGAUAUCGUGUUUUGCCAUAUCCUUGAAAAUAUUUCUCAGUAGUUACUUAUUUCCUGAAGAGAUCUUUUCAUUUAGAUAAUGGGUGACUCCUUUACUUUUGUGAUGGGUAAAUGCAGGUAUAAAAAUGGCAUAUUGUAUUCCUUUAAAUGGUUGAAUGUGUCUUUAAUAAAUUACCUCUUACCCAGAUUCAGUGCACAAGAUGUUUAGACUGUAAGAUGCCAUCUUAUCCUAGAUUAAUGUGACUUCAAGUCUUUUUAAAGUCAUGUUCAGCCUUACAUUUAAGUGCAAAAAAAAUAUUAAGAUGUCUAGGUUGUGACAAUAGAUGUAUUCCUCUAAUUUUUACAUGGAAACUGCUUUUAACCCCCUAAGCAGGGGCAGACUAAGCACUCAGGAUAAUCGAUCCCCUGCUGUAGUGCAGUAAUGGCUGAGCUGGGAAGUUCAGCAUGCUCCCCAGCCAGCCUGCACUCAGUUAGGGGCACACAGAGCCUUCAAUGGGCCUCUGCUGCUAAAAAUAUAAUUCCCCUUGCAGGGCACACUGAGGGACAACUAAAGGGCCUUCCCAAAGACUCCACAAGGCUGCCCUUCCAUGUGCCUGUCUCAGUGCACACAGCCACACUGAGCUGCCUGUAACACUGAUCAGGGCAGCUCCAUAUAGGGCCGGCGCUUCCUAUAAGGUGAACUAGGCAGCCGCCUAGGGCGCCAUAUAGGAGGGGGUGCCCUGCACCCCCAUCGCCGGCCCUUUAAAUGCCACAGCCGCCUGAGCGCUCUAUAGAGAGCGCUCAGAUGGCUGCUACACUGCCUCACCUCCCCUUCCCUGUAGCGUGGCCGAGCUCCUUUCCGGUCCGCGACCCGGCCGGACUGAGUGUGCACUUCCUGUCAGUCCGGCCGGGUCACGGACCGGAUAGGAGCUCGGCCAUGCUACAGGGGAGGUGAGGAGAGGAUUACAGGUGAGGGGGGAGAAGAUUAUAGGGGGGGAGAUUAUGGGGAGGGGGAGAAGAUUAUAGGGGAGGGGGGAGAAGAUAUGGGGAGAAGAUUAUAGGGAGGGGGAGAAGAUUAUGGGGGAGGAGGGGAGAAGAUUAUAGGGGAGGGGGGAGAAGAGAGAAGAUUAUGGGGAGGGGGGAGAAGAUUACACUAUGUUGGUUGUUGUUAAAUAUAGGGGGUUGUCCAGUUGUUAUCCACUAUCUAGAUGACUUUCUAACAGUAGAAAAACCCGAGUCUGUCCCACUGAGCAUUACUAAAACUGUGGCACUAUUUGCUACUCUCGGAGUGCCAGUUGCCUUGGACAAAACAGUGGGGCCCGUCACUAAAUUGUCUUUCCUUGGGAUAUGCCUAGACUCGGUUACCAUGCAGGCUAGCCUCCCCGCAGACAAGGCUCAGAGAAUCAGGACAGAGAUAGACCUGUUUCUCAACAGAGGUACUACCAACCGGAAAAACCUACAGUCUCUACUUGGUUCUUUGCAAUGAGAAUUAUUCCUCAAGGACGCUCGUUCAUAUCUAGGCUACUCAGCCUACUACCCAAAUUACCUAAUGACCUCAGCACAGUCACUCUCAACCAACAUGCCAGGUAAGACUUGGCUAUGUGGAGACAAUUCUUGUCUCAGUGGAAUGGCAUAAAUAUGUUCAUUCCACCAUGGACAGAGGUUUCCCCAGUAUUAUGGACUGACACAACAGCCCACUCAGGGUACGUAGCCAUUUUUGGCGACAGGUGGUUUAGAGGCACAUGGCCAGUCGAGACUACUUCAUUACCCUUGUUUAAUACCACUUCCACACUGUUUGAAUAAACCCUUAGUUGCUGCUGCUAAAGUCUGGGGAUACCUUUGGAAGGGACAAACCAUCAAAUGAUACACCGACAAUGCAGCCACAUGCGAGAUUAUCAACAAAGGCAGGUCUUCCACUUUUACCAUAAUGAGGUUAAUCAGGAGACUAGUGUGGUUGGCAGCCACUCUACACUUUCACCUCACGUGCGAGCACAUACCGGGCCACCACAACACCGCAGCUGAUGCCCUGUCUCGCUCUAAUUUUCAGGUGUUCCGUCAAGAACAUCCCACAGCCGAGAUAGACCCAUACAAUCCUCCGCUAUUCCAGCACCUCAUUCUGGACUGAAUGCACUCAUGGCACACGGCAGAAUGCUAACGCAGUCAGCACUCGCUGCAAACACCAGACGUUCAUAUAACCGACCUCUUACUAUUUUCAACAGGUUCAUCACAGAGUACAAAAUCAGUAACCCAUGGUCCUUAGACUCCAUGGUGGCAUUUACUUCUUUUUGACAACUACAUCUGAAACUAGCACCUAAUACCAUAAAACUAUACCUCACAGAUAUACUAUAUCACCUCACAAACACGUAUCCCAGUCACAGCACCUUCAUGUCCACUAAUCCUAUUCGAAGCAUUUUAAAAGGCAUCUUACGACUCGAAGCACAAAAACCCACUAAACGCCUACUAAUAGACGCGAACAAGUUUCGGGCAUUAUCCGAUACACUGCCAUUUUAACAUGAAACAAACAAUACGUUAAAAAUGGCUAUUUAUCUAGCCUUCUACGGGUUCUUAAGACCAAACGAGUUCACCACUAUCGAAACCUCGCAUACCACUAACGUGCUUACUAUGGCAGACCUCAACAAAACUGGAGACCACUACGUGUUAACACUUCGACACACCAAAACCAAUCAAACUGGACCUCCUGACGAAAUACCAAUAUACCCCACAGGUAACAGAUGGUGCCCCGUACAAUUAUUUGACUAUCUAUAUCCAUGCAUAAAGGUACAAGAUAAGAAUGCCUCGCUACUAAACCCACAUGGCAAUCCACUAAACAAAUCCAAAUUCAAAAUUCAUGGUAUACAACUCUGUUUUCAAAAAUGGGAUAUGACCCAUCAGCAUUCACCGGUCAUUCAUUUGGUAUAGGUGCAGCUACUGCCGCUGUAAUGAUAUUGAUGUUACAAAGUUUUGGAGUCCAGUAGCCAGAUCAGCAAUGUUUUCUGCCAGAGGUAGCCACUCGUUACCCAGGUGGUUGAGCCCCUGAGCCUUGAGUGGCCUUCUGGUCUUAAGCAGAGAUGGGAGACUGGAACAGAAAGAUGAUAAUCGUAGUGAGGCAAGCCGAGGUCAGUGGGAAGGAGAAGCAGCAAAGUCAAAACAGUCCAAAUUCAGCAACAGGAAGGAGAAACAGGAACACGCUUGAUUAGAGAGUACAGGAACCACAAUAAUCUGGCAAAGGUACAGAGACAGGAAGUGGCUUUUAUAGGCCAAGAACCAGACACCUGACCAGACACAGCUGAAGAGAGUUGUCACUGAUAACCUUGACUCUACAAGCAAUGGUAUCAGAUCUUAGGUAAAUUUGCAAAAGGCAGGCUGGUGUACUGGUAAGGAAGAGGUUUAGCACCAUGUAAAACAGGGUUCGAAACCCAGCAGAGUCAGUUCCUCACAGCCGCAUCUAGCCAGAAUGUCCCAGCAUUACAUUAUUAAAAAAUUGGGACAUUGGAAAUCAUUCGCUUUCAACUGAUACAUUCCUCAACCAGAACAAGAAAUGAGGAAAGCAUUCAUCGAUUUAACUAAGUGAUAAGUACGCUCAGACGUGUACACAGAAUUUUCUGUUACGUAUUAAAGUGGUUUGCUUAUACUUUUUGCCCUCUUUAUUUACAGGCCUACUCGUAAAUUUGGUUUCGGCACACCACAACCGAAUUUAGCUAAUAAUACAACCCUUGCUUACUCGGCUAAUUUCCCUGACCACAAAUGGGAAGGCGGAGCAUGGAGUUGUGGGAGGGGUUGAUCCGGCCUAUAUAAACUCAGACUUACCUCCGUACCAGGCCGACGACUAUUUGGUCACCCCACCCACCACUCCACUCAAUUACAUGUAUACAAAACUACCUUGGUGGGCCCUCUUUAUUUACAGGCCUACCCGUACAUUCGGUUUCGGCACACCACAACCGAAUUUAGCUAAUAAUACAAUCCACGCUUACUCGGCUAAUUUCCCUGACAAAUAUAAAUAUACACUGAACAAAAUUAUAAACACAACACUUUUGUUUUUGCCACCAUUUUUCAUGAACUGAACUCAAAGAUCCUAGACUUUUUCUAUGUACACAAAAGGCCUAUUUCUCUCAAAUAUUGUUCACAAAUCUGUCUAAAUCUGUGUUAGUGAGCACUUCUUCUUUGCCAAGAUAAUCCAUCCACCUCACAGGUGUGGCAUAUCAAGAUGCUGAUUAGACAGCAUGAUUAUUGCACAGGUGUUCCUUAGGCUGGCCUCAAUAAAAGGUCACUCUAAAAUGUGCAGUUUUAUCACACAGCACAAUGCCACAAAUGUCACAAGUUUUGAGAGAGUGUGCAAUUGGCAUGCUGACUGCAGGAAUAUCCACCAGAGCUGUUGCCCGUGAAUUGAAUGUUCAUUUCUCUAUCAUAAGUCAUCUCCAAAGGCGACUUAUGGUGUACAUAGAAAAGGUCUUAGAUAUUUGAGUUCAGCUCAUGAAAAAUAGGGGCAAAAACAAAAAUGUGUUUAUGCGUUUAUAAUUUUGUUCAGUGUAUAUAGUCAUACGAACAAUAUCAGCACUCCAGGAAUUCCACAAUCUUCUUAUUUAUUGUAAAGUCUCCAUCAAGGUUGACAUUUCAGUUCCCUAUAGGAACUUUCAUCAUGACAACAGCCAUGUCUAUAAAUUAAUAAAUGAAAAAGAUCUUUUGUGGCCACAAUUUUACUUAGUAAUAGAGAGGGGCACUUGACAUUCAUUGGAAAUGGGCUAGAGGUCUUUUACUAUGUUUAUUAUUACUGGCAUUUUUAUCAAGUUGCUGUUUAAACAUCUGCACGGACUGUAAUAAAACCACUUCUUCAGUCAUAUCCUUAUUGUUCUUACAGUAAAAAAAAAAAAAACCUUUCCUUUGUCUUAGACUAAAUCUUCUUUCUCCUAAUGUCCUAUGUAAAGUCCUGUUUGUGAAUAGAUUUCCACACACUGGUUUGUAUCGGACCAGGGUAUAUUGGUAUAAUUUUAUCAUAUCCCCUCUGAGGCGACAUUUUUCUAAACGAAAGAGGUUUACCUUUAUUAACCUUCCUUUAUAGCUAAAAUGUUCCGUUCCUUUUAUUAAUUUUGUAGCCUGCCUUUGCACUCUUUCUAGUGUCAUAAUAUCCUUCUUUAGAACAGGUGACCACAAUUGCACAUCAUAUUCAAGAUGUGGUCUUACCUGUGAUUUAUAAAGAGGCCAAAUUAUAUUCUCAUCCCUAGAAUGAAUGUCCUUUUUCAUGCAUGACAAAACCUUACUGGUCUUAGCCACUGCUGAUUGAUAAUGUACAUUGUUGCAUAGUUUGUUGUUUAUAACAAUUCCCAAGUCUUUCUCGUGUGUUAUCCUUAAUUCGCUUCCAUUAAUGGCAUAAGUUGCUUGUGCAUUCUUUACGCCAAAGUGCAUAUCUAAAUCCUUCUGCAGCAAAGUAAUAUCUUGCUCACAUUGUACUACUUCACAGAGUUUUGUGUCAUCUGCAAAGACUGAAACAUGACUGUCAAUGCUUUUUUCAAGAUCAUUUAUAAACAUGUUAAAUAGAAGGGGUCCCAGAACAGAACCCUGAGGGACACCACUUGCAACCUCUGUCCAGCUUGAAAAUUUGCCAUUAAUGACAACUCUCUGUACUCUUUUUUUUUUUAAGCCAAGGUUCUACUCAAGAACAAGAAUUUUCAUCUAGACCGAAUUCUUUGAGUUUGAACUCUAUGUGGAACUGUAUGAAAUGAAAUGGCAAAAUCCAAAUAGAUCACAUCCACUGCAACACCCGGAUCUAUACUUUUACUUACUUCUUCGUAGAAUGCAAUCACGUUAGUUUGACAUGACCUAUGUAUCAUAAAAUCACGCUGAUUUAUGCUGAUAACCACGUUCUUCUCAAAGAAAUUCUUGAAUAUUAUCCCUUAAUAACCUUUCAAAUACUUUCCCAAUACUUUAGGUUACCAUGUCAUAAAACAAGGCAAAAAUGUUACUAUUGUGCAUCUCUUUUGACACGGAUGGUUGAUUGCUCUAGAAACUUACAUGAACAUCUCUGGAUCACCCCUACUACAGGGGUCAUUACUAUGACUGAGCUCCAUGCAGGUGCAUAUGCAUAUCCAUUUAUGCAUAUCCAUUUAUUUAUGCAUGUCUUUAUUCAUAAUUCUUAAGGUCAUUUUCCAACUUUAGCACUCUUCUAAGCUGUCCCCAAUAUAUUUAAUUUCAAACAAUCCAAUGUUUUCCCCAGGGAUCUCAACAGCCAUGUACAAAUGACAAUAUGUACAUAUUAAACAAGUUCAUCACCUCCUGACUCCAGGUUCUCUCCCAAGUUUGAAGGUAAUGACUAUGAAUCCAUCCUGUAACUAAGCCGUGGUAGCAUCAUGGUUUAAAACAUUUCAUCCCCAGCGUUACUUUCUCCUACCUACUCUGGAGAGCUAGCAUCUAAUUUGAACAUUUUUGCAUGGCACCAACUAGUCCCACACAUUAAAUCUCACCCAUAUGCUCCCUACUGAUCUUUCAAUCUGAGCCCAUUUUACUGCAAAAUAGCAUAGUACAAGUUAGUGGGGAACAGAAAUUGGUAUCACCUACAACAUGAACAAUGUCAAAAGGUUUUUAUCUUGGUAAAUAAAUGUUCUUUCUCUUCUGCCAUUGCAGUGGUGUCAACAUAUUUUAUCUGAUAGUUUUAUAAAAAUACAAGAGGAUGAUACAGGAUUUUAUAUAGAAUACUGUAUUACAGACAAAAAUAUAUAAUUGAAACAUACAAAUUUGUUUUCCAAAUAUAAAUAAAAUAUUGAAUUCAUAAAAAGAUAAGCGUCAUGGAAAAGCAAUAAACAAAAACUUUAGAUAUGCUUUGCUGGAAAGUGUGAUGGCAAAGAAUCAGACGAAGUUAUAGUUUUCUAUGUAGAAUAUGGACCUAGAGCCCAGUGGACUACUAAAUGCAUUGAAUUAAGAUUACAGUGCAAAGGUCACAUAAUUUCCCUUAUUGCUCAUAUUUACUAUUAUCUAUAAAAACUUAGUUUGAUGCCAUAAGUGUUUAGUUUGAUAGACAUGUCCCUUUUUUUUACCCCACAUAUUAUGGAAACCAAUAUGAAAGGUAAAAGUACAAGUUGAAGAAUAAUCUACAGAUGAAUCUUGUAGAGUUUUUUUUUCAGUGAAAUAAUUGUGGAAUGUUUGAAUGUCUUUGCAGUUGUGUCAACAUAGUUCUUUUUUUAAAUAGGCCAAAUUUCUGUUUAUCGAUUUAGAUAUGAUAUUAUACGGCAGCUUAAUCGGUAUUUCAGUCUAUUCUCUUCAUUUUAUAAAUACGUUUCAUUAUCAGGUUGUUUUAUGUUUUGAUAAAAGGACAGUGCAUGAGCAUGUUGUCCAGUUGUUUACUAAGUUUGUUAUUUCCUUUUAUGAGAGUCAGAGAGCUUGAGAUGUAAAAAAGGGACAUUGUUAUAGCACCAAAUUGUAGUAAAGAAUAUUGUGUGUCACUAUAAUAAACAAUUACUAUUGCAAUGGAAUAGACAAUAUUCUGGACAAGGAGAGAAGUCACAAAUCUAGCUCCUCGGAGAUGAGGUCCUAAGCUGGGUCUAAGACCUUCAACUUUUUCUUUCAUGUUCUUUACAUGUCUGUAGAGAGACAGAAUUAUUAUCAACGCUGAGCUACUGAAUAGUAGAAAAGCCACAAAGCAGUACACACUUCUACUUAUAAUAAAUGCUUGUAUCAUAUUUAAAAAAGAGUCAUGUGUCUUGUUUGAUAAUGGUGUGUCUGGUAUUUUCCACACUUGAUGAAGACUUAGAAAGAACGCUACAAGUACAGAUUGAAGAAUAAGCAUUGGAUGAUUCUUGUAGAAAUUCUUUUGAACAUAAAUAUAGAAAUGAGUAUUGAUGUUAACAAUUUUCAGACAGAAGUUUACGCUGAGCCAGGUGUACAACCAAAUGUUGCAGCAUACGGACAUUGGAUAAAAAACUGAACUAAUGGUUCUAGAACUCCCAGAUAGAGAAUAUGUGUCUUGAUUUAGUACAGCAGAAAAAUACAGGAUGUUAAGUAGUAUACUUGAAAGGGUGGCUAUGCUGAUACCAAAUAUAAACUGGUCAGUUACAUCAAGUCUUUUAUUCUUUAUCCAGUCCAUGAGGUUUGCAAUAAGAAUGAACAUGUUCCCAGGAAUUGAAAUUCCGAACAAAAACAGAUCAAGGUAUAGUAGGAUGAUAUCUGUGAUUUGGAGCAUCUUUCUCUGUUAGAUAUCUUUGAUAACCUAUAUAGAUGCUUAACACAAUCUGAAACUGAUGAAAUCCAGAAUAUUUAGUUCUUCUUCCUUCACUCACAGAUAUAAUAAAAAGACUUCUCAAUUAAUACUCAAACAAAUAAUUACAUUUGUUUGGCUGACAUUUGAUUUGGGUAUCAUGCAAAUAAAAUCUCUAUGCAAUAAGAUACAUGUGUGCAAUCUGAUAAUUGCAAAUAUGUUGUUUAUUCACAAUAUAAAUCAGAUGAAGCGAAAACAUAACACGUAUAGAAUCUCUAUUCAGCUUUAAGCCAUAGCAUACAAAACACACAAUUUUAAAAAGCUAUUCUGUCACUUUUGUCUCCUAAAAUUACAAUAAGUAUUGCAUUUAUUUUGUUUCUAAAAUAUGUGGCAUGGCAAGUCAAAAAACAAAAUAAUUAGAUACAGAUAGCUAAUAAGACAUUUAGAAUUGUAUAUACACUGAUCAGCCACAGCAGUAAAACUGCCUGCCUAAUAUUGUGUAGGUCCCUCUUGUGCUGACAAAACAGCACUGAUGCAUUGAGGCAUGGACUCCACAAGACUUCGGAACACGUCCUGUGGCAUCUGGCAUCCAUACAUUAGCAGCGGAUUCCUUAAGUCCUGUAAGUUGCGAGGUAGGGUCUCUAUGGAUUGGAUAUGUUGAUCCAGCACAUCCCACAGAUGCUCAAUUAGAGUAAGAUCUGGAGAAUUUUGAGACCAAGGCAACACUUUGAACUCUUUGUUAUGUUUUUCAAACCGUUCCUGAACAUUUUUUGCAGUGUGGCAGGGUGCAUUGUUCUGAUAAAGGAGCAACACUGCCAUCAAGUAACACCAAUGCCAUGAAGGGGUGUACUUGGUCUGCAACAAUCUCUAGGUAAAAUGUAGACAUGUGCAAUUUGUUUCGUUCCGAAUGCAAAUUCCGACGAAUUUUGGAAAUUUGGACGCUUUCCAAAUGCCCAUAGCGCUGAAUUUCCGAAUUUCUAAAGUGCCGAAUUUCGGAAUGCUGAACCGAAUUGCCUAUGUGCUGAAUUUCAGAAAGCCAAACUGAAUUGCCGAAGUGCCGAAUUGCCAAGUGGUUGGGGUAGAGUAGGGUUAGGGGUAGGGUAAUGGGUUGGGGUAGGGUAACCCUAACCCUAUUCCUAACCCUACCCCUAACCCUGCUCCUAACCCAACCCUACCCCUAACCCUACCAUAACCCUAAACUAACUCUACCCGUACUCUAACCCUACCCAUACCCUAAGUAAGUGUGGAAGUGCCGAAGUUCCGAAACCGAAGUCCCGAAUUUCGGAAUACCGAAUCGAACCGAAUAUUUUUCCCAUGCACAUUCCUAGUAAAAUGUAAAAUUCACAUGAAUGCCAGGACACAGGGUUAACCAGAAGAACAUUACACAGAUUAUAACACUGGCUCCGCUGUCCUGCCUUCUUCCCACAGUGCAUCAUGCUGCCAUCUGUUCCCCAAGUAAAUGUUGCACUCAGCCAUCCACCUGAUCUAAAAGAAAAUGUGAUUCAUCAGAUCAGGCAAUCUUCAUCUAUUGCUCCAUAGUCCAGUUCUGAUGCUCAUGGCCCCAUUGAAAUAACUUUUGGCAGUGGAAAGGGGUCAUCAUGGGCACUCUGACCAGUCAGUUGUUAUGCAGCCCCAUAAGCAGCAAACUGGGAUGCACUGUGUAUACUGACACCUUUUUAUCAUGGUCAGGAUUGUGGUAUUAAACAAGUUUAGCUGCAGUAGCUCUUCUUUGUGAUUCCCCUUCCCCAGGCAGGUUAGCCUUUGCAAUCCACAUGCAUCAAUGAGCUUUGGGCAUCCAUGACCUUGAUCCUUGUUCACCAGUUGUCCUUCUUUGCACCACUUUUGUAUGUACUAACCACUGCGUAAUGUGAAUACCCCACAAGACUUAUCUCUCAUAAUAAAAUAUGGAGUAAGAAAACCCCAAGAACAGACAGAAAAGUUUAAAUUAAGUUAAGUUAGCAUUCCGUAGGAUCAAUUCACCUGGCAAAAAGUCGAUAAUUUUGGAAUAUUUAACAAAAAAUAGGGUACAAAUUUGUGCCUUACAAAAAACACAUUGGACAAAAUGCAAUAAAAAGACAAUACGUUCCCAAAAUUAUAAGCGCCUCUAUGGAUAAUAAAAAAAAAUAAAAAUAGAGGGUUCUCCUUUUUGUUUGAAAUUUUUUUUAGCUUUAGAUAUAAAAACAUGAAAUAUUAGAUCCUGAAGGCCGAUAUAUCAUCUGCCUUCACAAUUGCCAACAUAUAUGCAUCAAAUAAAUCGACAAUAAAUUACAUCGCAAAAGUACUUAAGUAGAUAGAACAGAUUAAGCAAGGAGUGCUACUAUUAAUGGGGGACUUCAACUGUAUAAUAGAUCCUGAAAAAGAUAGGAAGAAUCAGAAGGAUCGAAGAAAUAAGACCACCAGUGAAAAUAGAAUGCAAAACUUUCUAAACUCUUACAACCUGAGAGUAGUGAUGUCCCGAACGGUUCGCCACGGACGGCGAACAUAUGCGCUGUUCGGUCCGCCCCCUAUUCGUCAUCAUUGAGUAAACUUUGACCCUGUACCUCACAGUCAGCAGACACAUUCCAGCCAAUCACCAGCAGACCCUCCCUCCGAGACCCUCCCACCUCCUGGACAGCAUCCAUUUUACAUUCAUUGUGAAGCUGCAUUUUUAGUGAGAGGAGGGACAGUGUAGCUGCUGCUGAUUUGAUAGGGAAAUUGAUAGCUAGGCUAGUGUAUUCAGUGUCCACUACAGUCCUGAAGGACUCAUCUGAUCUCUGCUGUAAGGACAGCACCCCAAAAAGCCCUUUUUUAGGGCUAGAACAUCAGUCUGCUUUUUUUUUGUGUGUAAUAUAAUUGCAGUUGCCUGCCUGCCUGCCAGCCUGUGUGUCAGGCUCACAGCAUAUACUGUGCCCACUUGCCCAGUGCCACCACUCACUCACUGGUGUCACAAUAGCUUGCAUUUAAAAAAAAAAAACUUUUUGGACUGUAAUAUAAUAGCAGUCAGUUUCCUUCACGAGUGUGCAUUUCAGUGCCUGCCCAGUGCCACCACUCACUCACUGGUGUCCCAAUAGCUUGCAUUUAAAAAAAAACUAACUUUUUGGACUGUAAUAUAAUAGCAGUCAGUUUCCUUCACGAGUGUGCAUUUCAGUGCCUGCCCAGUGCCACCACUCACUCACUGGUGUCCCAAUAGCUUGCAUUUAAAAAAAAACUAACUUUUUGGACUGUAAUAUAAUAGCAGUCAGUUUCCUUCACGAGUGUGCGUUUCAGGGCCUGCCCAGUGCCACCACUCACUCACUGGUGUCAUAGCUUGCAUUUAAAAACAAAAAACUUUUUUCACUGUUAUAGAUUGAAUAGCAGUUAGUUGUCUGCCACUGCUGCCAGCUUCUGUGUCAGGCUCACAGUCGAUACUGUGCCCAUUUGCCCAGUCAGUGCCACCACUCAUAUCUGGUGUCACAAUAGCUUGCAUUUAAAAACAAAAAACUUUUUUCACUGUUAUAUUUAUAUUUUAGCACCCAAAAAAAUGUGAAUUAGUCAACCUGCAAAUGCCUAAAUGUUGCCCACUGAGCUACCAGAACAGGAUUAAAGUAAUGUGCCUGGCACACAUGCAGUUGCAAGUGCACUGCACUUGCAAAAAUGCCCACCAACGCCCACCUAACAAACAGACUGAUUGCUUAUUUUUCUGUGGCACUGGGCUCAGGGUAGGGUACAAAAAUGUAGUAUAGCACCCACAAAAAUAAUCACUGUUUGCAGAUUCAACACCAGAAUUCUUUUCUAAUCUGUCCCUCACAGCUGCAGCAUCCUCUCCCUACACUAAUAAGAGCUCAUGUGAUGUGAGGCUGGGUCACAUGCUGCAUUGGCCAAUCACAGCCAUGCCAUUAGUAGGCAUGGCUGUGAUGGCUUCUAAGGGCACAGGAGUCAAACACUUGUUGAUUGGCUGCCCAGCAGCUUUUCAAAACACGCCAUUAAAUCGCCGAAUACCGAACUCGAACCCGAACUGUAAAUUAAAUGUCCGGGUUUGGGGUCAAAAAAUCUUAAUGUUCGAUACGAACCCGAACUUUACAUUUCGGGUUCGCUCAACUCUAGUUAGGGCUGAUCGGUGUUAUAGAUAGGAAUUAGUGGUAAGCUAAUUGAAUAAUAAGCUCUGACUCACCUUGAUGUAGGAAUACAAUAAUAACUAGCACACUAUAGUAUAUCAUAUAAAAUGCAAUCACAGAACACAAUUAUCUUUUCAAAGAUAGAGGAGACAUGUAACGUGUACAGAACUGCUAGAAAAUGUAUAUAUUUUUCAGUUAUAAACACACCAUAAUGGCUAACUGUUCCCUGUCCUAGUUUUUAAGAUAUGAACAAUCGUUGUAAAUCAUUUGCAGCAUAGAAAUCUAUGCCAACCCACCAUCACCCCAAUCAUUUAGGUGAACCAGUCUGUGCCUGUCAAUGUUAGACACCUUAACCCGCAAAUAGUGAGCAAGUUCAACCUUAUAUAACACCAGGCCUUAGAUUGCCAGACUUAACAUAAUAAUGUAAGGUAUGAGAAAUGUCAGUAGCAAGUUAAGAUCAGAAUAAGAGAUAGAUGGAUAAACAAGAAUAACAGAGCCAAGGAUCAAGGAUAUCACAAAUCAGAAAAAGCGUUACCAAAACAUUUUUAGAAACAUGCUUUUAAAAAGUUCCCUCUCACCCCAAAAAAAAAAAAGUAAAAUACAAUUAAAAAAUUUGAAAAUUUUUGGGGGGGAAUAAAUUUUAGGAUUUUGGGGGGGGGGGGAAAUAGUCUGUUUUGGUAUUUUGUUGUAGAUUUAUAUUUAUUUGUGCAUACUGGUUUCUCUAUAUAUACAGUUUGUAAGUGUAAUUUAAGUGACAUGAUACAUACACAACAUUUUAAUAAUAUUUUUUUAUUCAAUUUUCAGCACCUUUCAGGUUAUCAUUGUUACUUUUAUUUAAAUUUACAAGGAAAUUAACCCAAGGACUAGGAAAUAUUACCUUCACUUUUUGUGACAUCAAACUAUAUUAAAUAAUGAUCUAAUGCGAAUAAAUCAUGCAUCAGAGAUACUUUGUUGUACAAGAGAAUUGAUAUUGCUGGAAUUGUACCAGUUUAACCUAACUGACUAGGAGAUACACAAUACUCCUUGAAAGAGCACUGAAAAAUGUAAGAUUUUACUUCGAGGAUUUAUUCAGAUAGUGCUUCAACAUCAUAAGAUAGAGGGGUUGCAUCUGAGAUUUGAGAUCUAUACAAACAUAAGGAAACUAUGUUCCUGUUUGUUUAGUUCGGAUGCAAUAUUGUUCUCUGACCACCAGGAUACUAAACAAUCAGAAGAGAGGGUCCAAGGUGUACGUCUAGAAAAUGAAGACAUCAGGGCAGCCUGAAUGCUGGAUGUGGCUCAGCUGAGCUUCAAGACUCCAAUGAGGUACGAUUGGCUAAUAAGGAAAAUGAAGGUGGACUCUAAAGUCUUUUAAAAGCCAGAGACUGCUAUUCUCAAAUUUCUUCCCCUGACGAAGGUGCCACUAUAGCACCAAAAUGCGUGUUGGGAAUUUUUCUGCACAAAGCACUAUGGACUGAUUGACCAUGUUUUGUUUCACUUUGAUUUUUAUUUAAUCUGUAACGAGGAAGACCUAUAUGGGAGUGUGGGGACUUGUUAAAACAGGGGCAGAAGCCUGGAGCUUUUUCCAUUCAUAGCUAAAGGGAAAACUAGUCUCUCUAAUAAUCUGCUGAGGGGCUCAGAGAAUCUCUAGCCGAAGUAGCUGCAAAUAGUAUUUAGAUAUGACUCUUAGAACCAUGUAUAGCUAGAGGGAAUUUAGCCUAACUGACAUCCAUGAAGAUGUCUUAGGGAAUAGAGUUGAGUGGACACCUGGAUGUUCGGGUCCGGCGGGUUCGGCUGAACUUUGAAAAAAAGUCCGGGUUCGUGAUCGAACUUGACCCUGAAACCGAACCCCAUUGAAGUCAAUGGGGACCCAAACUUUUGGCCACAAAAAUGCUUCUAAAAAAGUCCUGGAAAGAGCUAGAGGGCUGCAAAAGGAAGUAAAAUGGGAAUAAGAGUAGGACAAGUGCCCUGCAAACAAAUGUGGAUAGGUAAAUCACUUAAAAUAACACAAAAAUUAAAAAUACAGCUGAGCCAUAAAAUAGCACUAGAUGGAAUCUUUGAUUUUAGCUUUGGAAGAACAUAAAUCAAAAUCUAUAGCAUGGCUGUCAGAAGGAUCAACAGAAUAAUCCAUUUGAGAGUGGGUUGGAGUGCAGGGUAUUCUCUUUCAUUGUUCAAACUGAGCUCAACUCCUGAUGCAUGGAGAAAAGGGCUUCACAAGCCUCUACUAUUGUGUACAUAGUUUAUUCUAAGUGACCCAUCCAUAGCUUGAGGAGGCGGUGACCGUGGCGGAGUAGGUGGAAGCGGCGGUGGAGGAGGAGGAUGAGGUAGCUGUGACGAAGUGCCCUUCGCCACUUGUGCCUGGAGAGGACUGCUUGCCCGCCUCUUGCCCUGUGACUAUGGCCCCUGGGAUGUAUUGCCCUUUAAAGACAUGAUUUGGGCAUAAUGGAUUUGUGUUGUGCUGCUGCUGGCCCUUUAAGAACCAUCUGGGGACAUACUGUGGAGUUACUGGGUGGCCACCAUUUCCUGUAUCAGAAGCACAUGGUGAGAACAAUGGAUGGCAGCCAUUUUAACUCACAGACACUGUUUGGACUUUUCAACACGGUGCCAUCUUGCCAGUAUUUGGUGCACAGAGACAUCGUGCAGUGGUUUUGGACUAUACAGCAGGGGACACAUUAUACAGUUAUUAUUUUUCAUAUAGCCUGUAUAUGUUCUGCAGAAUCUGCAUUAAACUGUAUCUUCCAAACUACUGAACGGAUCUGGGUGAAUUUUGGAUAUGUGGUUCACCCAGAUCCCCCGGCUCCAAUGAUAUACUUAUGGGGUUAUGGCAUGUUUUGGGGUCCCUAUGAUGUGUUUUAUGAUACUGUAUUUUUCCUGCUGGUGAUAAUUAUGUUAACCCAUUGUGUGACAUAAUUAGAUCACAAGCAGAGGGGAGGAUUUUGUGUAUAAUUGCUGGGAGUGUUUUCUGUAAUGUACGUGUGUUAUUGGUUGUUCUGUAAAACCCUGUGGGCAGUACUAAGUUUGUGGAUUGGGAAUAAAAGAGGCUGUAUGUGCCAGUCCAGUCAGUUCCUGCUUAACCCUCAAAGUGAAGUGUCGUCUCAUUAUUGGGGGAGGAUUUAUUGUAUGCUGUUCCAGUUUGACUGCUAGGAGUGUAAACCUAUUCGCAUGGUUUUUCCUAUUCGGCUGUAUACAACAUUCAUAUGCUUGAGAGCAUUCAUAUGCUCCUACGGUUCGGUGGUUGUGGUGUCUGCUGCAGUGUUUGGAGUCCUCAGGAAGCGCUAGGAGCAUCCUUCAACGGAGGUACCCAGUCGGGGUGCCAGGUGAACCGUUACAGUAGCCAACACUGUUUUUUAUUUGUUUGGGUUUUUUUAAUUUUUUUUAUUGGGUUAGCCCCCAAAAUAUUGGGACAUAGAAAAAAAUAAACAUUUGCGGCCUGCGGUGCAUUUCUUGCAGUCCUGAUGCAUGGAGAAAUGCUCAACUCCUGAUGCAUUGAGAAAAGGCCUUCACAAGCCUCUACUAAUUUGUACAUUGUAUAUACUAAGUGACCCAUAGGUUGAGGAGAGGGUGACCGUGGCGGUGUAGGGGGAAGCAGCAGUGGAGGAGGAGGUAGCCAACACUGUUUUUUUUAACCCCUUCAGGACGGGUGACGGACGAGGUCCGUCACACAGGGGAGACCCUUAACAACGGGUGACGGACCUUGUCCGUCACGCGGUAAAAUUAACCCCGGAUCGCCGCUAUCGCGGCGAUCGCGGGGUUAAUGGUGCUCCCGGUAUGCCUCUGCAUUGGAGGCAUACCGGGAGCACCCGGUCAAGCUGCCCAGCACAUGUGCUCGCUCUGACCACAAGUCGGAGCGAGCACAUGUGCUCUGAAUACUUACCUACCGGCUCCCUGCACUUCCGGGUUCUGUGUGAAGUGCAGGGAGCCGGAUCAGUGCUGAUCCUGCCCCCUGCUGUAAAAAAAAAUAAAGUUAAUUUAAAGUCCCCCCCCUUACCCAUUUUAAUAAAAAAUUAACCCCUUCCCUGCCAAUUGAUCACUGACUACAGUGAUCAAUUGGCAGGGAUUACAUUUUACUAUGAUCUGAUUUUUUUUUUUAACCCCUGAGGGUUAAUUCUUUUUUUUUUAACCCUCAGGGGUUAAAUUAAUUAAAUUAAUUAAUUAAAUUAUUUUUAAAUUAUAUAUUUAGAUAGCUGGGGUAGGUGGAAGUUAGUGGGGAAUUGGGGGAUUUGACGUUAGGCUAACUAGGGGUUAACGUUAAAAAAAAGUUUUAAAAGAAACUUUAAAAAGUUAAAAAUUAAGCUUAAAAAAAUGUUUUAAUAACAUUUAAGUAAUAAAAACAAAAAAACACACUUUACCUAGUCCAAAUAAAAAUUAACCCCUUCCCUGCCAGUCGAUCACUGCCUACAGCGAUCAAAUAGAGAUCACAGUAUUAUACUGUGAUCUAAUUUUUUUUAACCCCUGAGGAUUAACUUUUAUUUAUUUUUUUAACCCUCAGGGGUUCAAUUUAUUUAAUUAAUUAAUUUAAAUAUUUUAUAACUAUAUAUUUUGCUAGCUGGGGUGGGUGGGAGUUAUGGGAAAAUGGGGAAUUUACUGUUAGUGCUGCGUACUGCUAGUUAGGGGUUAACAGUAAAAAAAAUAGCUUAGAAAAAUGUUAAAUCUGUAAAAAAGUUUUAAGAAAGUUUAGGAAAGUUUAAAAAAAAUUUAUAAGCAAAACAAAAGUUUAAAAACUAGUUUUUAAAAGUAAAAAAGUUAUAAAAAGUAAAAAAAUACAUUUUAAAAACGCUCAUUACCACUACACCUGGAACAAACUAGAGAAAAAAUUAUCCCACGCCAAGGUUCAAAAUAUGCCUUUUGAAUUACCCCAGGGUGUAUUCUUUAAUAAAUAGUAUGUGUUUGUGGGGAAGUUUCAAUAACCAACCGUCUAAACUAUUCCAAAUUGGAACAUGGACACAGCGUAAAACUUCAAAGUUAGAAAAAAACUGAAUGGCUGCGUCUCAAAUGCGCCCCUUCAACAUCCACAUAUACCUGGCAAAGGUACAUACGGGGGUAUUGCUGUACUCAGCCGACAUAGCUGAGCAACAUAUGAAGUAUUAUACAGUCAUAGUACACAUAAGGUUUGCAAAAUAUGCUGCGCAAACUCACUUUGUAUGUCAAAAAGGCAGAAAAAAUGCUUAUUACCACUACACUUGGUACAAGCUAGCGGAAAAAUGAUCCCACGCUAAGGUUCAAAAUAUGCCUUUUGAAAUACCCUGGGAUGUCUUCUUUAAGAAAUGGUAUGGCUUUAUGGGGAAUUUGGAUUAUAUAGCCUGGUAAAAUACUCUAAAAUGGGACAUAGGCACAGCAUAAAAAUUCAAAGUUUGAAAAAAACUGGAAUGGCUGUGUCCCAAAUGUGCCCCUCCGAUGUCCACACAUACCUGGCAAAGGUACAUACGGGGGUAUUGCUGUACUCAGCCGACAUAGCUGAGCAACAUAUGAAGUAUUAUACAGUCGUAGCACACAUAAGGUUUGCAAAAUAUACUGUGCAAACUCACUUUGUAUGUCAAAAAGGCAGAAAAAAUGCUUAUUACCACUACAUCUGGUACAAGCUAGCGGAAAAAUGAUCCCACGCUAAGGUUCAAACUAUACCUUUUGAAACACCCUGGGGUGUCUACUUUAAGAAAUGGUAGGCCUUUGUGGGGUAGAUUGAAUUUAAAACCUGCGAAGAUGCUUGGAAAUUGCAUAUAGGCCCAGCGUCAAAAUUCAAAGUUUGGUAAAAACGGAUAUGGCUUGGUCUCCUAUAUGGCACUGUAGCUUCACAAAAUAGUGACAAAGACAUUCAUUGGGGGUGUAUUUUUACUCAAAAGACUUAGCUGAGCAUAAUUUGGGAGGUUUGAACUUAGUGGCACAUAUGAAAUAUACAAAACGCCCAGCAAAAAUGCAAUCCGUAUGUAAAAAAUGCACAAAAUAAUUUUUUUACCACAUACUUUGGCAUAUAUUGGUGAAAAAAUGGGGGUAUGUUAAGGCACAAUAUGCACCUUAUGAGAUACCCUGGAGUGUCUACUUUUACAAAUGGUAGGCCUUUGUGGGGGUUUUUUGAACAGUCAAACUGUUAUAAUACCCCAAAUGGAAGCUAAGGCUCAUUAAAUCCAUCUCUCAAAAUUCUACUGUGAAUACUGUAAAGGACAGGUCUCCUAUAUGGCACUGUAGCUUCACGAAAUAGUGCCAAAGACAUUCAUAUGGGGUGUCAUUUUACUCAGAAGACUUAGCUGAGCAUAAUUUGGGGGGUUUGAACUUAGUGGCACAUAUGAAAUAUACAAAACGCCCAGCAAAAAUGCAAUCCGUAUGUAAAAAAUGCACAAAAUUUUUUUUUACCACAUACUUUGGCAUAUAUUGGUGAAAAAAUGGGGGCAUGUUAAGGCACAAUAUGCACCUUAUAAGAUACCCUGGAGUGUCUACUUUUACAAAUGGUAGGCCUUUGUGGGGGUUUUUUGAACAGUCAAACUGUUAUAAUACCCCAAAUGGAAGCUAAGGCUCAUUAAAUUCAUCUCUCAAAAUUCUACUGUGAAUACUGAAAAGGACAGGUAUCCUGUAUGGCACUGUAACUUCACGAAAUAGUGCAAAAGACAUACAAUGGGGGUGUCAUUUUACUCAGCAGAUGUAACUGAACACAAAAUAAAACUUUGUACAGGAAUAGCACGCACCAACUUUACAAAAUAUACACGAGAAUUUCUCUGUUAUAAGUUUGUGUGCCAAAAACCAAAAAGAACACAAUUUUACUCCAAUAUUUAGCAGAGGUUGGCGGUAAUAUGGCUACGUAGAAAGUGUCAAAACAACCUUAGGUAAAUAGCCCGUGAUGUCUACUUUAUAUAAAUAUAUACUUUUGUGUGGCAAUUUUGUUUUCUUUUAUGGCUAUUAAGCUUACAAGACAAACAUACCAAAUUCUAAAAUCGCUCCACAUUAAAAUUUUAUUUUACUCCUUGUGCUUUGUGACCUGUAACUACCAAAAAAAACUUAAAAUCCCAGACACAUUAUAUAUUCUGUAAAUCAGAACAAAUAAAUAAAUUUAUUUUUAAUUACUUUCCUUAACCUGCACUAAUUAUGCACACAUUAUUAUUGCAAAAACUGUAAAAAAAAACAAUAUUUUUCAUUUUUUUUGCAUUUUUCUGUAUUUUUUUUAUAAUAAGUAAGCAUUUAUAUAUAUAUAUGUUAUAUCAAAUUAAAGCCCUUUCUGUCCUUUAAAAAACAGUAUAUAAUAUGUGUCGGUGCAAUAAAUGAGAGAGAUGCAAAUUGCAGUUGAACGCAAACAGCAAGAAAAUGCAAAAAUUGCUUGUGUCAUUAAGCGUAAGUCAAGCUUCUGAAGCUGUGUCCUUAAGGGGUUAAUAUAUAUAUAUAUAUAUAUAUUUUUAUUUUAAUUGGGGUAACCCCCAAAAUAUUGGGAUAUAGAAAAAAAUAAACAUUUGCGGCCCGCGGUGCAUUUCUUUCAGUCCUGAUGCAUGGAGAAAAGGCCUUCACAAGCCUCUGCUGUUGUGUACAUAGUUUAUAUUAAGUGACCCAUAGGUUGAGGAGGCGGUGACUGUGGCGGUGUAGGUGGAAACAGCGGAGGAGGAGGUAGCCAACCCUGUUUUUUUUUAAAUUUGUUUUUGUUUUGUUUUAAUUGCGGUAGCCCCCAAAAUAUUGGAACAUAUAAAAAAAGAAAACUCUGUUCCGCAGAGCGUCUGACCCAUGCGUGCUGCAGCUGAAACUCCACUAUCCUCUGCUGCUGCUCACACAGUCUCAUGACGCGGUAAGCGGGAAGGCCGAAGUUAUGCUGCAGCACUUUCUACAGCAGCUCUGAUAUAUCUGGGUAUACACUGUGGCGGUGUAGGUGGAAGUGGCGGUGGAGGAGGAGGAGGUAGCCAACACUGUUUUUAAAUUUUUUUAUUGGUGUAGCCCCCAAAAUAUUGGGACAUAUAAAAAAAGAAAACAAAGAAUAAGUGCACUUGAAUAUAACAAUGGCUGGGUGAGGCCGGUAUAAAUGUCUAUUCUGCACAGACAAGUCUGGUGGGAUCCAUGCCUGGUUCAUUUUAAUAAACGUGAGCUUGUCCACGUUGGCUGUGGACAGGCUGCUGCGCUUGUCUGUGAUAACGCCCCCUGCCAUGCUAAACACACGUUCAGACAAUACACUGGCUGCAGGGCAGGCCAGCAACUCCAAGGCAUAAAGGGCAAGCUCAGGACAUGUGCCCAAUUUGGAGACCCAGAAGUAGAAUGGGGCAGACCCAUCAGUCAGUACGUGUAGGCGUUUGCACACCAUGUUGCUGAAAUGCUGCCUCCUGCUAAGACGUUCCAUAUCAGCUGGUGGUGCUGGUUGUUGUGGCGUGCUGACAAAGAUUUUCCACAUUUCGUGCAUGCUAACCCUGCCUUCUGAGGUGCUACCUUCUGAGGUGCUGGCAGUGACCCAGCUGCGUUGGCGACCUCUUCCUCCUCCUCUGCUUUUGCCUUGUGCUUCCACUGAGCCCUGGUGUCAGUUGGGAAUGCCGUCAGCAGCGCGUCUACCAGCGUGCGUUUGUAGUCGCGCAUCUUCCAAUCACGCUCCAGUGAGGGAAUUAAGGACGGCACGUUGUCCUUGUAACGGGGAUCCAGUAGGGUGUCCACCCAGUAAUCAGCACAAGUUAGAAUGUGGGCAACUCGGCAGUCAUUGCGCAGGCACUGCAGCAUGUAGUCGCUCACGUGUGCCAGGCUGCCCAGAGGCAAGGACAAGCUUUCCUCUGUGGGAGGUGUAUCGUCUGUGUCCUCUAUAUCCCCCCAGCCACGCUCCAGUCAUAUGCAUGAGCUGCGUUGGGUGCCACCCUGCUGUGAACACGGUUCAUCCUCAUCCUCGUCCUCCUCCUCCUCCAGAAUUGUGCCCUGGCUGGACAAUUGUGUACCUAGUCUAUGCUGGUGCAGGAACCCACCCUCCAAGCCACUUGUGAAUGACUGGCCUGAUAACUGUGGAAAUGACCCCUCUUCCUCCUGUGCCACAUCCUCUUCCAUCAUCGUUUUUUCAAGGAGACAUAGAAGCGGCAUAGUAAGGCUGAGAAUGGCGUCAUCGGCACUGGCCAUGUUGGUGGAGUACUCGAAACAGUGCAAAAUGGCACACAGGUCUCACAUGGAGGCCCACUCAUUGGUGGUGAAGUGGUGCUGUUCCGCAGAGCGACUGACCCAUGCCUACUGCAUCUGAAACUCCACUAUCGCCUGCUGAUACUUGCACAGUCUCUCCAGCAUGUGCAAGGUGGAGUUCACGUCGCAUAUGAGGCGGUGAACGGGAAGGCCGAAAUUAUGCUGCAGCACAGACAGGUGAGCUGCAGCAGGGUGAGAACGCUGAAAGCGCGCACAGACGGCCUGCACUUUCUGCAGUAGCGCUGAUAUAUCUGGGUAGUUUUUCAGGUAUUUCUGCACCACCAAAUUCAGCACAACGGCCAUGCAAGGCAUGUGCGGCAAACCUGCUAGGCCCAGAGCUGCUAUGAGAUUUUGCCCAUUAUCGCACACCACCAGGCCGGGUUUGAGGCUCAGUGGCAACAACCACUCAUCGGUCUGUUGUUCCAUGCCCAUCCACAGCUCCUGCGCGGUGUGGGGUUUUACCCCCAAACAUAUGAGUUUUAAAACAGCCUGCUAUCAUUUCCCCUUGGCUGUGCUGAAGUUGGUGGUGAAGGUGUUACGCUGCGCGGAUGAGGUGUUGGUAGAGUUGGAGGAAGCAGAGUAGGAGAAGGAGGCAACAGGAGGCAAAGAGAAAUGCCCUGCAAUCCUGGGUGGCGGAAGGACAUGCGCCAAACUGCUAUCCGCCUCAGGCCCAGCCGCUACUACAUUUGCCCAGUGUGCAGUUAGGGAGAUAUAGCGUCCGGUGCUUACUGGUCCACGUAUCUGUGGUUAUGUGGACCUUUCCACUGAUGGAAUUGGGCAGUGCACACCUGAUUUUGUCCGCCAAUUGGUUGUGCAGGGAAGGGAUGGCUCGCCUGGAAAAGUAGUGGCGGCUGUGAACCACGUACUGUGGGACAGCUACCGCCAUCAGGUUUUUAAAACUCUUCGUCUCCACCAGACCAAAUGACAGAAUUUCAAAAGCCAUGAAUUUUGAAAUGCUGGCAUUCAGGGCCAGGCAUCGUGGGUGGCUAGGGGGGUACUUCCUCUUUCUCUCCAGUGUUUGGGAGAAGGACAGCUGAAUGCUUCCAUGGGACAGUGUGGAGAUGCUUGGGGAUGGUGGUGGACAUGGUGGCGUUGCUGCCACAUCCUCUGUUUGCACGGUGGCAGGCGCCAUUGUGACUCCAGAGGUGGAGGAUGAGGCCAAGACAGCAGCAGAAGAGGAAGCAGGAGGAGCCUGAAACCUUUAUUGGUUUAUGAGGUGCUUACUCCACUGCAGCUCAUGCUUUGCAUGUAGAUGCCUGGUCAUGCAGGUUGUGCUCAGGUGUAGCACGUUUAUGCCUUGCUUCAGGCUCUGAUUGCACAGCGUGCAAACCACUUGUGUCUUGUCAUCAGCACAUUGUCUGAAGAACUGCCACGCCAGGGAACUCCUUGGAGCUGACUUUGGUGUGCUCGGUCCCUGGAUACGGUGGGCAGCAGCAGGCAUACCGUCGAGGGGACGGCCGCUCUGCUUUUGCACCCUGCUCCCUCUUAUGCUGUGCUGGUGCCUCUGUGCGACCACCGCCUCUUCCUCGCAUGGCCUUCAUUCCAUGUUGGGUCUAGGACCUCAUCAUUCUACACAUCAUCUUCCACCGACUCCACAUCCCUGCCCUCCUUGCCGGUGUGCACACUGCCGAAAGCCACAGCAGUUGGCACCUGUGUUUCGUCAUCAUCAGUGAUGUGCUGCGGUGGUCCUUGCAUGUCCACAUGCUCACACAUAAGUGGUUGUGCAUCAGUGUACUCAAUCUCUUCCACUUCUGGGGCAGGGCUAGGUGGAUGGCCCAUGGAAACCCCGCCAGCAGAGUCAUCAAAAAGCAUAAGAGCCUGCUGCAUGACUUGUGGCUCAGACUGCUUGGGUGAUUUGCAAGGGGGUGAGGUGAUAGACAGAUGGCCUUGGGCUGCAGGUGCCAACUCUGAGCUUUCAGCAGGGCACUGAGUGGGAGACAAUGUGCAGGAACUGGAGGCACUGUCAGCCAUCCAAUCUACUAUCGCCUGUACUCAGGGCCGCCACCAGAAAUUUUGGGGCCCCUAACUCAGCUCAGGGUCUGGGCCACAGGUCCAAAUACCACCCACAGGCUCCGCCUCCAAAUACCGCCCACAGGAAUACACACACAGACACAAACAAACACACACACUGAUACAAAAGGACACAGAUACAUACUAACAGACACACACGCAUACAUACUGACACACACAUACUAACAUACAUACAUACACACAUUCAUACAUACAUACAUACAUACACACAUUCAUACAUACAUACACAUAUACAUUCAUAAUGGCAUACAGACAUACACAGACAUACAUUCAUAAUGGCAUAUAGACAUACAUACAUACAUUCAGACUGACAUACAUGCAUAUAUACAGACAUAGUGACAUACAUGCAUAGAGACAUCCAUACAUAAUGAGAUGCAAUCAUACAUUCAUAUAUACAUAUAUAAUGACAUACAGAUACAUAUAUACAUACAUAGACAUACAUACAGACAGACAUACAUGCAUACAGACAUACAUAAACAUACAUACAUGCAUGCAUACAGACAGACAUGCAUACAGACAUACAGAGAUACAUAUAUAGACAUACAUACAGACAGACAUACAUACAGACAGACAUAUACAUAGACAUACAUGCAUGCAUACAGACAUACAUACAUGCAUGCAUGCAGACAUACAGACAUACAUACACACAGCUCAUUUUCCAGCCACCCUGGCUGGAAAAUGAUCUGUGUGUGUGUAUUUCUGUGUAUGUAUGUAUGUCUGUCUAUGUAUGUAUGCAGGGCCGGCCUUAGGCAAUUAGGCGCCCUGUGCAAAAAGUCUUCACGGCGCCCCCCCCACCUCCCACCAAGUUGCCUGAAUACAGUAACACACACAGGCACCGGGGACGUGUGUAUCACGAGGCAAACAAGGCAUCUGCCUUGGGCGCCACUUUGCAGGGGGCGGCAAAAAAAAGCAUCCCUCCAAACCCCCAGGCAGAUCCCUUGCUUGCCUCGCAUCCUGGGGGGCUCAAGAGCUGACCGGCUGGCCACUUUUGAGCCCCCCCAAGGCUGGCAGCGGGCAGCGAAGGAGCAUACUCACCUGAGCUCUUCCUGCUCAGCUUCCUCUGCGCCGCUUAAUGAAGCCGGGAGCCAGAAUAUGACGUCAGUCCGGCUCCCGGCAUCACUAAGCGCUGCUUACUCAGCCUGUGCGCCCCCUGCCUGCCUGCCCAGCAGCCACACUGGACUGCUGGUAAGAAAUCCACUCCAGCUUUCCCAGGGAGGCUGGGUGGAUUUAAAAUAAAUGUAAAAAAUAUUAGUUUGUGAGUGUUAGUGGAAAUGUCUGUGUGUGUGUCUGUGAGUGUUUAUUUUGAAGUGAAUGUGUGUGUGUGUGUGUGUGUCUGUAAGUGUGUAAUUGUGUGUGUCUGUAAGUGAAUGUGUGUGUGUCUGUGAGUGAAUGUGUGUGUUGGUCAGUGAGUGUAUAUGUGUCAGUCAGUGAGUGUGUAUGUGUCAGUCAGUGAGUGUGUAUGUGUCGUCAGUGAGUGUGUAUGUGUCGGUCAGUGAGUGUGUGGGUCAGUGAGUGUGUAUGUGUCGGUCAGUGAGUGUGUGUCGGUCAGUGAGUGUGUGUCAGUCAGUGUGUAUGUGUCGGUCAGUGGAGUCGUGCAUCUUUCAGUGAGUGCUUGCGUCUGUCAGUGAGAGUGUGCAUCUGUCAGUGUGUGUCCAAGUAAUAGUGUAUGUGUGUAUGUCAUUGUUUGUCAGUGUAUAUGAGAGUGUGUGUCUGUCAGUGAGUGUGCGUCUGUCAGUGAGUGAGCGUCUGUCAGUCAAAGUGCGGCCUUGACAGGAAGGGGUGGGGGAAAUUUAAACUCGGUUACAGGCAUGUACACACACACUCAGUUAAAGGCAGUCACACAUACAGGCACAGGCACAAACAAUGGCACAGCUACAGCGACACACACAGACAGACAGUCACAUAGGCAGUCACACACACAGACAGACACACAGUAACACACACAUAGACAGUUAUACACACACAGGCAGGCAGUCACACAGAUAGAAAGUCACACACACAGGCAGGCAGUCACACACAGACAGAUAGUUACAGACAGACACACACAGGCAGGCAGCAGGCAGUCACACACACAGGCAGUCACACACACAGACAGACAGUCACACACACAGACAGUCACACAGACAGACAGUCUCACACACACGGGCAGUCACACAGACAGACAGUCACACAGACAGACAGUCACACAGACAGACAGUCACACACACAGGCAGUCACAUACAUGGGCAGUCACACAGACAGACAGUCACACACACAGACAGUCACACACAGGCAGGCAGUCACACACAGAGACAGUCACACACACACACAGAGACAGACAGUCACACACACACACACACAAGGACAGGCAGUCACACAGUCACACACACACACACACAGACAGUCACACGCACACAGGCAGGCAGUCACACAGACAGACAGUCACACACACACACAGACAGACAGUCACACAAACAGGCAAACAGUCACACACACACACUUACCUCUUUCCAGUGGAUGCAGUUGGCUGAUGGGGAAGCAUCUUUCCCUCUUCCUGUACAGCAGGGGCUUCGGGAGGUAUUAGCCCCGUCUCCGCCUCUCGAUAAGCCCCGCCUCCGCCGCUCGGUAAACCCCGCCCCCUCUGCCGCGAUUUUUUUUUUUUUUUUAAAUAGACCCGGGUGGAGAAUAAUUAAUCCUCCAGCCAGGUACCUCUUUUAGCUCCCCUGCACUCCGGCCAUGAGUGAGCUGUGUCGGCCACAGGGCGCCCCCUGUUCCAUGGCGCCCUGUGCGGUCGCACAGCUCGCACACCCCUAAGGCCGGCCCUGUAUGUAUGUAUGUAUGUCUGUAUGUAUGUCUGUCUGCAUGCAUGUAUGUAUGUAUUUAUGUCUGUCUGUAUGCAUGUAUGUAUGUUUCUUACCUUUUCUUUGCAAGAGGGUGGCUGGGGCUGAGGGGACUGGGAGUCAGCACGGCUCUUCCUCAAUGCCGCACGCGCGCACCUCCUGCGUGGAGUGAACUGGGUGGAAGUGACCACUUCCUCCCAGCAGCACUUGCUGCAGCUACUUUUUUUUUUUUUUUUAAAGGGGCCCGGUCGCAGUAAAUCAAGGCCACAGUGCUGACCCAGCCCCUGAAGAAAUAGGGCCCAUCGGGUGGCCCUAAGUGCAUGAGCCACCCGAUAGGCCCCAUCACCGUGCGGGCCCCGGUGCAAGUGCACCGGCGGCAAUUCCUCCGCUACACGUGGGGCCCGGGCGACCGUUAAGGUUGUCACCCCCUGAUGGCGGCCCUGCCUGUACUUGUUCUGGCCUCACCAUUCGUAGGGUGGUAUUCGGGCCUACCCAAUAACGUUGAAGGUGUUUCACUUGUGCGUGUAGCUGGCACAGAUCGACCAUGUCCUCUCCCUGCAACAGGAGCUCCACCAACACCAGCAGCACAACGACCAGGGCCACGUCCCUCUCCUCAUUCUUUGCAUUCACCCACCAAACUAACAGAUGUUUUAUGUCAGCGACAAUGUAACCACCAACAGUAAACAAUUGUUAUUUUUUUUUUUUAGUUUAUUGGACUGCAAGAAAUGCACAGCAGGCCGCAAAUGUACUAUUUAGCACCCAAAAAAUUAUCAUUUUUGAAAGUGCAAUGUAACUACACUAUUAGACACUUCGAUUUGACUCUCAGAUAUAAAGAGCAGGCCCCGAAAUGUACUAUUUAGCAGAUUAGCAGCAAAACAAUUAGAAUGUUUACAACUGCGCAGUAAGCGAACAAUUUGACGCUUCUAUUUGACUCUCAGAUAUGAAGUGCACCACAGGCCGCAAAUGUACUAUAUAGCAGAUUAGCAGCAAAACAAUUAGAAUGUUUACCAGUGCCCUGUAAGCACACUAUUAGACACUUCUAUUUGACUCUCUGAAUAUGAAGUGCAUGCCCCAAAAUGUACUAUUUAGCAGUUUAGCACCAAAACAAUAAGAAUGUUUACAACUGCGCUCUAAGCGCACUAUUAGAUGCUUCUAUUUGAUUAUCAGAUAUGAAGUGCAUGCCCCAAAAUGUACUAUUUAGCAGUUUAGCAGAAAAGCAAUUAGAAUGUUAACAAUUGCUCUGUAACCGCAGUAGUUGACGCUUCUAUUUGACUCUCAGAUAUGAAGAGCACGCCCAAAAUGUACUAUGUAGCAGAUUAGCACCCAGAAAAUAAGAAUGUUUACCACUGCGCUGUAAGCACACUAUUAGACCCUUCUAUUUUACUCUCAGAUAUGAAGUACAACCCACUAAAAUACUAUUUAGCAGUUUACCACCGAAAAAUGUAUUUUAAGUUUUAAAACGGCAAUGUGACAGCAGUAUUUUACGCUUCUAUUUUACGCUUCUAAAAACAGUGUUGGCUACCUCCUCCUCCUCCACCGCUGCUUCCACCUACACUGCCACGGUCACUGCCUCCUCAACCUAUGGGUCACUUAAUAUAAACUAUGUAUACAAUAGCAGAGGCUUGUGAAGGCCUUUUCUCCAUGCAUCGGGAGUUGAGCAUUUCUCCAUGCAUCAGGACUGCAAGAAAUGCACAGCAGGCCGCAAAUGUUUCUUUUUUUAUAUGUCCCAAUAUUUUGGGGCUACUCCAAUUAAAAAAAAAAAAAAACAAAAAACAAACGUAGCAAAUAAAAACCAGUGUUGGCUACCUCCUCCACCGCCGCUUCCACCUACACCGCCACGGUCACCGCCUCCUCAACCUAUGGGUCACUUAGUAUAAACUAUGUAUACAAUAGCAGAGGCUUGUGAAGGCCUUUUCUCCAUGCAUUGGGAGUUGAGCAUUUCUCCAUGCAUCAGGACUGCAAGAAAUGCACAGCAGGCCGCAAAUGUUUCUUUUUUUAUAUGUCCCAAUAUUUUGGGGCUACUCCAAUUAAAAAAAACAAAAAAACAAACAAACAAACGUAGCAAAUAAAAACCAGUGUUGGCUACCUCCUCCACCGCCGCUUCCACCUACACCGCCACGGUCACCGCCUCCUCAACCUAUGGGUCACUUAGUAUAAACUAUGUACACAAUAGCAGAUGCUUGUGAAGGCCUUUUCUCCAUGCAUCAGGAGUUGAGCUCAGUUUGAACAAUGAAAGAGAAUACCCUGCACUCCAACCCACUCUCAAAUGGAUAAUUCUGUUGAUCCUCCUGACAGCCAUGCUUUAGAUUUUCAUUUAUGUUCUUCCAAAGUUAAAAUCAAAGAUUCCAUCUAGUGCUAUUUUAUGGCUCAGCUGUAUUUUAAAUUUGUAUGUAUUUUAUGUUAUUUUAAGUGAUUUCCCUAUCCACAUUUGUUUGCAGGGCACCUGUCCUACUCUUACCCCCAUUUUACUUCCUUUUUUUCAGCCCUCUAGCCCUUUCCAGGACUUGUUUAGAGCCAUUUUUGUGCCCAAAAGGUCGGGUCCCCAUUGACUUCAAUGGGGUUCGGGGUCAAGUUCGAUCCCGAACCCUGACUUUUUUUCUAAGUUCGGCCAAAACCGAACAUUCAGGUGUCCGCUCAACUCUAGUGAGUACCAAUUCAUUAUUUUAUACUCCUGGUACCUUUUAAUCUGUGAGCACUAUUGCUGUCUUUUUUAUAUUUUUUAUGAUCUUCAUACCGAUGAUGCAUCUGCCUACCUACACCAUCCUACAUAUCCUAUUAGUGGGGAUUGCACCACUGUACGCCAUUCAGACUGAGCUAGGUUAAGCUCUAUCAAUUGUAAAUAGGACCACAGACGUUUUAUUUACUUUUAUGUUAUUCUGGGAUUUUCUGCACCUUUAGUUCUCUCUUUCUGUUGCAUAUAUGGCUGCCAAGAAUACUCUGAUCUGACCCCAUUGCAGAGAUACGACCCUGACUCUUUGAGGUUUUAUCUUCCAGCAAGUUUUUACAUUUGGAUUCACACUUGGACUUAUAUUUGAACUUUCUUUUGUUUUUAUUUGUUUGUCUAUAUAUUAUAACAAACCUCUGUUUUUAUCAUUUCUGGCACCUUUAUCCCCCCUGUGAAUAAUCCCUGUUGUUUAUAAGGCUUAGAGGGAGCCUUAUGUUUUAAGGUAUGUCUUCUACUCGAAUAUAUAUAUAUAUAUAUAUAUAUAUAUAUAUAUAUAUAUUUGUGUACGGCACAUUACGAGGACGUAGGGCAAUGAUAGUAAAAGAAGCAGUAUUAAUAAUAGCAAGUCAGUUAAGGUGUGCCGAAAGUGAUGUGAGGUUAGGCCUGUAAAAGAGGGCAAAAUUAUUAGAAGCGAUUUCUCAAAAUACAUAUAAGUUUAUUUAAAUACAAACAUUAUUUAGACAUGUCAUGGAAAGCCAUUCAUAUUUAUUUUUCAGGGUUAGGAAUGUACCUAUUGUAUGCAGAUGAUUUCCAUCUUCCUAUAUUUUUUAGGAUGUGUGUAGGUACUUGGUUACCUGAGGCAGCUGAAGCUGCACCAAUGCGAAAGGAAUGACCCGUGAAUGCGUGUGGGCUAUGUCCUAGCCGGAUCAAUAAUGUACGAAUGUAAUACAUAAAUUGUUUAGUGGUUAGGGGUUUCCCAUGAAUAGCUAACUGUGGACAACCCGGGUUGGAAGUGAUUUGGGACACCAAUAGUUUAUCUAAAACUAGGAUAGGACACCAUUUGGUAGAGGUAGGAUAGUAUUUAAUUUCUACCAGAGGGCCUGCUUGGCUUGUUUUGGUAUGGGUAAUUGAUUAGACGUAGUGGUUGUAGCGGAGAGCUGGUAUUCCACAGCUUAUCUCCACUUUAGAUCCCAGGGAGACUCAGGAACAAGCAAUUAUAAAUCCAUAGGGUAAAGUAUCCAGCAGGCAAAAUAACAGCAAUAUCCCAACAGCAAUUCCCAAUAACUGAACGAAACACAGUUUCAGGAGCAUUACUAACCCUUUAUUCAGACAGUGGCCUUUUAAAGCCUGCUCCCAUGCAAGGGAGGGAUUUUCAUUCAUUAGUACAGUAGCUCUGGUAACCUCCCACACCUCUCCUCCCCUCAGCCUGCAUCAUAAUCCCCUUAUCCAGGACACCAAUUCCCCCCGUUUCUGGAUGUACCCCUAAACUUAGGGGUACCACUUUAAAUCAUACAUCCCCUGGUAGCCCUGAUCUGGGUGAACAACAUAUCCAAAAAUCACCCAGAUCAGACCAGGGGUUCGGGAAAUUUAUGGAGGGAAUAAAUGGCACGAAAACCUCUAGCUACAGAGGCUAGGGAGGGUUCGCCUGAAUCCCCUCGUUUGGUUCUUUCUAUCUACCGAAAGAGGGGCCGUUCGGUAGUUAGGAACCGAACGGACCGGGCUUGUGGAGGUUUCAGCGGUGUUCGCCUAGUCGAGUGUCCGAUUUGAGUUCCAGACACUCGACGGCAAAACACCGAUGUUCGGGAGUUUUAAAAUGGCCGCCGCCACGUGUUUGUUUUUUGAAUGGCGGCCACCCCCGAGAACAAAGGACGGCUACUUAACUUGUCAAUUACCCAUUCGCAACAAUGUUGCAACGGGUAAUUGAGAACACACUUCAUACAGGGGAGGUCUGACUGUUCGGUAGUUUCAUUCGAACAAACUAAGGGAAUGAAACUACCUAACAAUCAGAUCAAUACAAUACAUUACAUACAUAGAACUUGCUGUUUUUAUGCGAACACAUUAAAAUACAUGAAAUUCUCAGGACAGCCCAGUGCCAUCCACUACAGUGGUCUUGUUUUUUGAUUAGGUGUUUCUUUUGGAGGCAAAGCUUAGAACCGGUUGUUUUUUCCACUGAAAAUUCUUUGGGUCUCAAAAACCCAUAGAAAGCUAAGUAAGCUGUGGAUUUUAUAAUUAGGUUUGUGAUGUGUUCAAAAGGGGACGUGUCGAGGAUAUCGGAGAUACUUUUAAAGAGUAUACUGUCUAUGGGAAGUCUCUUGAUGGGAAUAUGUGCUGAUAAUCUGUGCACGCCUCUUAAGACACUUUUUACUGGGUAGGAUGUUAGGAAUGGAGUUUUGUUGGGAUGGCUGGUUAACAUGUAGUAUUGUAUGCCUACUAAGUAGAGUUUUGAUAGUGUUGUAGGCUAAUUUAAGAGAAAUAUGGCAAAAAGUUGUGAAUGCAACAACAGUUUCAACAGAAAAAGCAUUUAUUAUGUGAUAAUCACGAACAAAAUCUUUAAACAACUUGUAUGCUCUAGAGUAGGCUUUCCUUGUGUUAGUGGACAAGCCUGCUUGUGUGAGAGAUCUACUCUGCUGUAAUAGAGAACUUAAAGCAUAAUUAGUUCUGUGAAGCGUGGAGAUCCCCUGGGUUGCAGGUUUGCUGAUGGGUGAAACUUGAAAAAAUCCUGCAAAUUCAAGCGUGAGAGAGCAUCAGCAGCGUUAUUUUGAACACCCGGAACGUGAAAACAUUUAAUGCAGAAUUGCAGGUUAGCCGCUAGCCAGGUCAGUCUCCUUAUUAAUUUCAUAAUCGUUAGGGACUGAGAGCGACCUUUGUUAACUAUAUCACAGGUAACUAUGUUAUCCGAAAAGCAUCUGACUGAUUGUCCAUUCCAUUCUUUACCCCAGAUGUGUGCAGCUGCUAUUAUGGGAUAAAUUUCAAAUAGAGCUGAGUUGGUAUUGAAAUUUUCGAGUGAGAUGGUCUCAACUGGCCAAGAGUCAUAUAGCCAUUCAUCCCCGAAAAUUGCUGCAUACCCUAAUGCACCUGAAGCAUCGGUCCAGAUUACAGGGAAAUCGUCAGAUAUGGGUGGAACAAAUAGCGCCCUGCCAUUCCAAGAUGAUAGGAACAGCUGCCACAUUUGUAGAUCAGCUCUAGCUGACUCGUUCAGGGAAGUAGUGGAGUCAUCGUCGGGGAGGCCGUGUAAUAGUGAGAGGAUUCUGGAUAUGAACGACCUUCCCUGAGGAAUUAUCCUCAUAGCAAAAUUUAGCAAACCAAGUAGUGACUGUAGUUGUUUCCUUGUGCAAGUGCCUUGUGACGUGCAAGUGUUUAUGUAUGAAAGUAUCCGGUCUACUUUCUCUUGAGACAGGCUGGCUUGCAUAGAAACUGAAGUAAGUGUUAUACCCAGGAAUGUAAUCACCGUGUUGGGACCUUCAGUUUUGUCUUGUGCCACGGGGACUCCUAAGUCUUUGAAAAGAGUGAGCAUGUGCUUAAGGCUGUGGGGUGUGUGCUGGUGAGGUUCGAUAGUGAGGAAGUCGUCUAGGUAAUGGAUGACUACUGAACAUCUGCAAGAGUUGAGUAGGAGCCAGGUUAAAGUUUCAGCAAAUAUAUUGAAUAAUUUAGGGCUACUUUUGGAUCCGAAGGUCAGUCUUAUAGCAAAAUAGUAUCUUCCUUCCCACUUAACUCCAUGCAGAUGCCAGAGUGACUGGUGGAUGGGAAGCAGUUUAAAUGCGUUUGUGAUAUCGGAUUUACUUAACCAAGCAGCCUUUCCGGCAUGAAUGAUUGCUUGGAUGGCAUCGUCAGUUCUGGCGUACUGCAGGGAAAAGUCACAUGACGGGAUCAGAGCAUUAAGGCUAGGUGUAGGGGAUGAGUGUGGUGCAGAGAAGUCGAUAAUCAGUCUCUUUUUAUUGUUAUAUUUUCCUGUGGCGAUUCCUAGUGGGUUUGUCCUCCAGGAAGUGUAAGGAGGAGUAGAGAAAGGGCCUAUCAUAAAACCAUUUGUGACUUCUUUCUGUAAUAGUUUGUGUAUGCUGUCUGGGUCUGUGAGUGCCGACUGUAAGUUGGGGCAUUCUAAAACCCCUGUGGGGAGUGACACGAACCCUGUGUGGAACCCAUUAGUGAAACCAGUCGUGAGAAAUUCAACCAAAUGAACAGAAGGAUGAUUAGACAGGUAGCGUUGCAACUUAGGUACGUUUAUUGGUGUGGAAAAUUUGUUAGGGUACAGUCUGUUGGGGCACAUUGUUUUGGCAUGUGCUCUAAAACACAUUGAGCAUACGUGCAACAGCCUACAAGCACUAUAGCUGCAAGCGCCUGUAUUAAAAUUGUUGCAGACUUGUGCUUUACCUAGAAAAACAAUAGGUCUACCAAGUUUGUCUCUCACUUCCAUCUGUGAUGUGUUGGAUUGGUAUCCAGUAUUGGCGCUACUGGUAGAAGGGGAUGCUAUGUUUUCAGGACAGAAAUUUACCGAAUGAGCUGAAGAAGAGCAUAUAGGAAGGGGUUUUACGGUCUGCAAAAUGCAUCAGAAAUAAUUCUGUGUCUAGCUGUGCCCAAUCAGUAACCGUAUUGUACUGGGAGAGAGAUGCAGCGGAUCUGGAAGAAAAAGACUUAAGAUAAUCAUAAAAUGCAUAGUACUUGUAUGCUAACUCUACCACUUUAUGAAGAUAUAAGUCAAGUUCCUCUCUACGGAGUGGGAAAGCUGUACAAAUCACAUCUCUGUACAAGCCGAAUUCAAGGACAAAUUCGGGGAUAUUGAGCUUCCAAUUUAGUCUAGGAUCUCUAGACUUCAUCACUACUGACAGAUCCUCGAAGGUAUAGGCCCUGUUUUCUACCACGUCUUGAGAUGCAAUCAGUAGUGAUGCUAAGUUUAUGUCCUUCCCCUCUAUAAUGUCCCGUCUUAGCGCCUGAGGAAUGAGAUGAAUGGGGUUAAUGAUAUUAGUAGCUCUACUAGCUGGUGGAGGGUUGUCUUUACCUCCUGAGUUAGUGGUAGGCUGAGUAACUGGCACUGGAGUCUCUGGAACGGUUGUGAUAUUGUUUGACUCCAGAUUAUCCAAUCUAUUGUUAAUAGUUGCUACUGAGGAAACGAGGGAGGCCAUCAUGUUGUGUCAUUCUGCAAGGCUAUUUGAACCUAAAACAUUUUACAAAAUUUAAAUUACCACCUAACCCUGGGAGCAGCCGUAAUAUUUGAUUAUCCUUUAACCCAAAGGUUGUAUACUAACCUUAUGCAUUGAAACGAUUUUAGAAGAUUUGGCGGGUGAUAGCCUGAAACUCUAACAAUGUAGAAGUUGCUUUUAACCAAAAGGUCCGAUUGUACAUACUGUCGUAUAUAGUGUUUCUUAAUAGAGAGGAGAAACAAUAUAUAAAUCAAUGUCAUUUAAACCAUAUUGUAAGGUGAAGUUAGUAAGACGAAAUGCACGAGACCGUAAAUACCUGUCCGUAGUUAACUACUGACACUUUGAGUACCCCUAUUGAUAGUACAGAGUAACAAACCUAUAUAUAUGCAUCCACAUAAUAAGCCUAUUAACCGAAUUUAGCCGCUCAAACCUUGUGUAACCACCAGGUGGUGACAAAGCCCCACCAAUCAGGCUACUCAACAUAUAAUUGAUAACAUAAGAUUUACUAAAUGGAACCGUGGUAGUAAAAAGAACUGUGUUAUAAUAAAAAUUUUCCGGCGUAUAUAAUAUUACUGCAAUAUGACCGUUUAUACCCCACGACUUGUUAGUUUGCACUAAUGGAGGUUUGUAGUGUGUUCGCGUAAAACAACCAAAACUGUUAUGAAGUGUAUAAAAGUAGCGCAGUGGUUAAUAACCGAUUUUAAGUGCGUGGACACCUAAAAAUCCCCUGAGUAGGUGAAUGUGUAAUACGAAAUUGUUGAUUGCACAAAUUAUGACGGCAUGUCCAAGGUAAUGGAAGAUUUAGUAAGAAUGGAUAGUACCGUUUGUAGAAUUGUAGUGAAUAAAGUUUUGGGGCUUUUUUGGGGGGGUAUUAUUUAAUAACCAGAGUAUAUUGUAUGAGAGGUUGGAAAACUGACUGUCGGCUGGCGGGCAAGUAAUGUCAGGACAAGAUAGUUCAGCAUAAUAUAACCUCUAUAAUAACAAUGAAUCAACAAGAAUUCAUAACGAAGUGUUUAACUGAUGUAGCCUAACAGAACAACUACUAAAGCGAGUGAAAGAGUAGCAGGUUUAACAUAACUGACAGUUUAAAACACCUCUUUAGUUUACUUAAUAGAGCUUUGAGAGUACAAUAGCAAAAAACAAAACAAAAAAAAAAAACCCCACAAAGUUAGCCAUAUAUUUAAAGGACCACUAUAGUGCCAGGAAAACAUACUCGUUUUCCUGGCACUAUAGUGCCCUGAGGGUGCCCCCACCCUCAGGGUCCCCUUCCCGCCCCGCUUACUUACCUUUUUCCAGCGCUGGGCGGAGAGCUCUCCUCCUCCGCCUCCGAUCCGCCCCGUCGGCUGAAUGCGCGCGCAUUCAGCCGGUCACAUAGGAAAGCAUUCAUAAUGCUUUCCUAUGGACGCUGGCGUGCUCUCACUGUGAAAAUCACAGUGAGAAGCACGCAAGCGCCUCUAGUGGCUGUCAAUGAGACAGCCACUAGAGGCUUUGGGGGAAGGCUUAACCCAUUAAUAAACAUAGCAGUUUCUCUGAAACUUUUAUGUUUAUAAAAGAAUGGGUUAACCCUAGCUGGACCAGGCACCCAGACUACUUCAUUAAGCUGAAGUGGUCUGGGUGCCUAGAGUGGUCCUUUAAUGAAUGAUACCAAGCCAUAUUGAAUAUAGCCACAAGGUGGCGAUAUUUAGCCAUACAUACUUAUUGAAUGGCAUACCAACAGUUAACCAACCUGCCUGCUGGGAAAAGCAGUGUUUGAAAUGAAACAGCCGACUGCAGCCCUGAAUAGAGAGAUGUCAUGUAAACAGAGCGCACGUAAGUAUGGGUGUACGUGUAUUGAAUCGGUACCGUGAAGCCGGUAUGCUGCAAGUAUGAGAGGGGACCCUUUAUGCUCUGUGCCCUCUGUGAGUACGUGGGGGUUCUUUGUGUACCGCUCGUUUGCCGGGGAGCAUGAGUGGCGAAGGGGUCCCCUAUCUAAUGUUACACUUGGCGUUGGAUGCUCCCGUGUGAUCACUCACUGUUUUGACCAGGGGGACAGCCUCGUGGAGCGGUAGACUGGUCGAAAGUCGGUUUGAUGUGCCUUUCUCGCCCGCUGUCGCGUCUGGAUCACGUGAACCGGAAGUAGAACAAUGCACUUCCGGGAACGUCGAUGACAGGUAAGCUGAGCUUGUUGUGGUUUAUAUAGGGAAAUGUGUACCUCCCACAAUUCCAGGCCAAGCCUUCUAUAUAUAUAUAUAUAUAUAUAUAUCUUUUAGUUUGGUGUAUUAGCGCAGAUCCUUUUUUAUCCCUUUGUCUAGAAGUGUGCACUGAGCCAGGUGUAAAACCAAAUGUUGCAGAAUGCUGAUGCUGAAUCAAAAACAGACAAAAAUUGUGUUAGAAUACCCAGACAGAGCAUAUGUGUCUUGAUUUAGUACAGCAGAAAAAUACAGGAUGUUAAGUAGUACACUUGAUAGAGUGGCUAUGCUGAUGACAAAUAUAAACUGAUCAGUUACAUUAAGUUGUUCAUUCUUUAUCCUGUCUAUGAGUUUUGCAUUACGAAUGAACAAGUUUUCAGGCAGUGAAAUUGCAAACAAAACCAGGUGAAAUAGAAUAAUAUCUGGGAUUUGGAGCAUCUUGCUCUCUUGGAUGAAUUUGAUAACAUGUAUAAAUGCUUUAUGUGAUCUGACACUGAUGAAACCCAGAAUAAUUAUGUAUUUUUCUUCCAGCACUCUUAUGUAUAUAGAAAAAUAGAUUUCACAUUUAAAACUCAAGCAUAGAAUAAAUUUGUUUUGGCUGCAAUUUGAUUUGAUUUGAUUUGGGUACCAUGCAAACAAAAUAUCUGUGCAAUAAGAUACAUGUAUGUAAUUUGAUAAUUGCAAAUAUGUUGUUUAUUCACAAUACAAAUCAGACGAAGAGGAAAAAUAAUAAGUAUAGAAUCUUUAUUCGGCAUUAAGUCACAGCAUACAAAACACUCAAUGUGUAAAAGCUGUACUGUGACUAAAAUUUUGUCUUCUAAAAUGUAUCUUGUUGACAGUGGCAGAACUAAUGUACAGAUGGCACUGGUGCAAGAAAUUAUUUUGUGACCCCCUAUUGCGCAAGAGUGUCUAAAAGGUAGAUCACCAUCUGUUGACAAAUCCCAUGAUGCUAUGCCAGCUGGAGAUCUACCAUGUGCUCAUCCUUGUAGGGUCGUAUUUGUGAGCAGUGUUGGAAUGUAAGCAAUUUUUUGUGCAGAGUAUGUGUGUGCAUGUAGUGAUAUAUUUGUAAGUACUGUUGCCGUUGGAAUGCAGUUGUUUACUAGUGUGUCAUGUUUGCAUUUGAAUGCAGGGAUGUGCUUGUAUGUAGUGUUGAAUUUUAAAUGCAGGUGUGCUUUUGUAUGUAGUAUUUAAAUGAAGGGUGUUUGUAAAUAAUUUUAGCCUUUUAAUACAGGGGUGUAUUUGUAUGUAAUGUUUCUGUUUGAUGGCAGAGUGUGUUUGUAUAUAGUAUUGGCUUUUAAAUGCUGGUGUACAUUUGUGUGUAGUCUUGGUGUUUGAAUCAAGGGGUGUGUUUUUAUGUAAUUUUGGGGUUUGUAUACAGGGGCGUGUUUGUAUGUAAUAUUUGUGUUUGACUGCAGGUGUCUGUUUGCAUGCUGUGUAAUGGCCGUCUUUAAUAUUGAUUGGACCCUGGACAAGCAUGUGCUUUGGCUGCCUGGACCCUGACCCCGCCACACCCUCGCUCCCUGGCAUGCAAUCAAGACUAAAGUAGAAAUAUUGGGAUUUGGAGCAUCUUCCUCCCUUAGAUAAAUUUGAUAACAUGUAUAAAUGCUUUAUGUGAUUGGACACUGAUGAAACCUAGAAUAAUUAUGCAUUUUUCUUCCAGCACUCUCAUGUAUAAAAAAAAAGACUUCACAUUCAAAACUCAAGCAUAGAAUACAUUUUUGGCUGCAACUUGAUUUGAUUUGGGUACCAUGGAAAUAAAAUCUUUGUGCAAUAAGAUACAUGUAUGUAAUUUGAUAAUUGCAAAUAUGUUGUUUAUUCACAAUACAAAUCAGACAAAGAGGAAAAAUAAUAAGUUUAGAAUUUUUAUUUAGUGUUAAAUCAUAGCAUACAAAACACUCAAGGUCUAAAAGCUAUACUGUGACUCAAAGAUUUUGUCACCUAAAAUGUAUCUUGUUAACUAGUCUUGGUGUUUGAAUGAAGGGGUGUGUUUGUAUGUAAUUUUGGGGUUUGUAUGUAAUGUUUGUGUUUGUCUGCAGGCAUCUGUUUGCAUGCUGUGUCAUAUUUAAUUACUGGGAUCAGGGCCAUCUUUAAUAUUUAUUGGACCCUGGGCAAGAAUUUGCUUGGGCCCCAUGGACCCUACCACCGCCAUCCCCCCUCACUCCCAGGCAUGCCAUUAAGCCCUCCACCCAAACGCAGUAACAUACUAAAGUAGAAAUAACCCUGGUGCAAGAAUUUUUGAGCCCCUCCCCCCCAAUCACAAUGGUGGCCAGAAGGUAGAUCCCUAUCUGUCAUACAACUCCAACAAUGCUUUGACAGCUAGGGUUCUAUUUUCCCAUGCUUACAAGGUUGUAUUUAGCACUGAGCUGUAUGUGUGUGUUUGAAUGUAAGCAUGUUUUUGUAUGUUAGUGUGAAUGUAGGUGUGUAUUCGUAUGUGGCAUUUGAUUGCAAGCAUGCAUUUAUGUGUAGUGUUGGUUUUUGAAUGUAGUGGGGUGUUUGUAUAUUAUUGGUGUUUAAUAUCAAAAUGUGUGUGUUUGUAUGCAGUGUUGAUGUUUCAAUGCAGGAGUGUGUUUGUAUGUAGUGUCUUACAUGCCCCCAACUGGCCCCUUUACAAUCUAUAAUGAAUGCUACAGCGAGGCUCAUCUUCAUAUCUGUCCGUACCUCCCACCCAUCCCCUUUGUCAGUCCCUGCACUGGCUUCCCGUAAGAUAUAGGGCUAAAAAAUUGCUUGCAAAUUUCUAUAUAAUGCUGCUCCAACUGAUCUAUCCUCCCUAAUACACAAGCAUGUUCCAUCUAGGCCCCUACGCUCUACUGAAGACCUACAUCUAUCCUUUGUUUGUACUCCCACCUCUGAUGCUCACCUUCAAGUCUUCUCUAGGACACCUUACUGUGGAACUCCCAUCCCUUCUCUGUUAGACGUUCACCUAGUCUCCACUCCUUCAAAAAAUCAUUGAAAACUCACUUCUUCAGGAAAGCAUAUCAACUAAACUGUUGAUAGCUCACCCCAACACCACGAUACCUCUUCUGAAACUGAAGGGAAAAAAACAAAAACAAACAAGUCAGUGAAUACUAUUCAACCAACCUACUUUUCUACCUUUUGUGUCAUUUUACCUCACCUAUUGUACCGUACUGCAGAAUUUGUUGGCACAAUAUAAAUAAUAAAAAUAAUAAUAAUAAUAAUAAUAAUAUAUACCACUCACAUACUGAAACACACACUGAGAUACGCACAGUGACACCUACACAAACUCUUAAAAUAGAAAGUGUAGAAAGUGUCCAGGCACUCUAAAAUUCAACAAAAAGGCAAUUUAUUUAAACCCACAGCCAAAUGGCAACGUUUCGACCUACAUGGUCUUUUUCAAGCUAUCAGUUACAUAAACAGUGUGCAAUUUAUAAGUGUCCAUGCUGUAACGGCAUGGAUUGGUUUCCGCCGCCAAAGAUGUCCUUUCUCCCUAGUAUGAAGAGUGCUGAAGCAUUCCCAAGUAUAAAUCCAAGUGGUACAGAAGCUGGUAUAGCUUGUAUAGCUGGUCCCUACAAACAUGAGACGAGUCUCUAUGUUGAGGGUAAAACUGGAACUGAUGUUAAUGAAGCCACAGCUGACUUUUAAUGCAAGUCCCCAUGUAAGGGGUUUCUGGUGACAUAUUCCAGGGGCAUUCCCCCACUGGACGUGAGAGGGGCCAACAACAUAAGCACACAUAUAAUUACAUUAUCUAUCAGGUCCAGGACAUGCAUAACAACAAUUACCCAAAAUAUACAGUUAAAAAUGAUGUACCCCUUCAAGUCAUAUAUAUAUAUCGGGAUAGCCUGGAUCUGAGAGCUCCACAUAUGUCGAAAUCACUCAGAUCCCACAAACGUAGCCGAAACGCCACCGGGGUAUGGUUUAGACCGACCGCACAAGAGGAGCCUGCACAAAAGAGUUCCAUGAAAUAGGCUGUGCAGCCGGUCUCUUUCGGGAGUACCAAAAUCCAAUUAAAUAGAUUAAUAAACUGUUCGUGGGUAGGUUCACCCAGUGCCUCUUGUUCGGGAGCUUGUUUUCACUGAAUGCUGCUUUUCUCAGAUGAAUGGAGUCGAACGUAGGGGUGAGUGGAAGUCUCAGCAGUGUUCGUGUCGUCGAGUGUCCGAUAAUAGUUCCAUGCACUCGAUGACCAAACCCCGCUGGAUUCAUUUGAUAAAACAAGAUGGCUACCGCCUGGUGUUACAUAGUUACAUGUUACAUAGUUGAAAAGAGACUUGCGUCUAUCAAGUUCAGCCUUCCUCACAUAUGUUUUUGCUGUUGAUCCAAAAGAAGGCAAAAAACCUAGUCUGAAGCGCUUCCAAUUUUGCAACAAACUAGGACAAAAAAUUCCUUCUAGACCCCAAAAUAGCAGUUAGAUGUCUCCUUGGAUCAGGCAGCUAUUACCCCACUAAUUAGAAAUUAUAUCCCUGUAUGUUAUGUUUUUGCAAGUAUUUAUCCAAUUGCAGUUUAAACAUCUGUAUAGACUCUGACAAAACCACCUCUUCAGGCAGAGAAUUCCAUAUCCUUAUUGCUCUUACUGUAAAAAAAAACUUUUCUUUGCAUUAGAUAAAAUCUCCUUUCCUCCAGCCUAAAUGUGUGACCUUGUGUCCUAUGUAUAGCCCUGUUUAAGAAUAGAUUUCCAGAUAAAGGUUUGUACUAGCCCUGAAUAUAUUUGUAUAAUUUUAUCAUAUCCCCUCUCAGGUGCCUUUUUUCCCCAAACUAAACAGAUUUAAAUUUUUUAACCUUUCUUCGUAAUUAAAAUGCUCCAUUCUUUUUUUUUUUUUUAAUCAAUUUUGUAGCUUGUCUCUGCACUUUUUCUAGUGCCAUGAUAUUUUUCUUUAGAACAGGUGCCCAAAAUUGCACAGCAUAUUCAAGGUGUGGUCUUACCAGCGAUUUAUAAAAAGGAAAAUUUAUAUUUUCAUCCCGAGAAUUUAGGCCCCUAUUUAUACAUGACAAAACCAUACUGGCCUUAGUAACUGCAGAUUGACAUUGCAUAUUGCUGGCUAAUUUGUUGUCUAUAACAAUUCCCAAAUCCUCCUCGUGUGUGGUUAUCCCUAGUUCACUACCAUUUAGGGUGUAAAUUGCUUGUGCAUUCUUGACCCCGAAGUGCAUAACUUUGCAUUUCUCUAAAUUAAAUUUCAUCUGCCAUUUUAGUGCCCAGUCCCCCAAUCUAUCCAAAUCCCUCUGCAGCAAAGCAAUAUCCUGCUCACAUUUUAUUACUUUACAAAGUUUUGUGUCAUCUGCAAACACUGAUACAUGACUUUCAAUGCCUAUUUCAAGAUCAUCUAUAAAUAUGUUAAAUAGAAGGAGGAACAGUAUCAAAUGCCUUGGCAAAAUCCAAGUAGAUCACAUCCACUGCAACACCCUGAUCUAUACUUCUACUUACUUCUUCGUAGAAUGUAAUUAGGUUAGUUUGACAUGACCUAUGUUUCAUAAAACCAUGCUGAUUAUUGCCAAUAACAAGGUUCUUCCCAAUGAAUUCCUGAAUAUAAUCAUUUAAUAGCCCUUCAAAUAUUUUCCCAGUCACAAAAAUUAAGCUCACAGGGCUAUAAUUUCCAGGCAAGGAUUUUGAACCCUUUUUAAAUAUAGGAACAACAUCAGCUUUCCUCCAAUCCACUGGUACAAUACCUGAAACAAAUGAAUCUUGAAAAAUGAAAUACAGAGGUUCACUUAUUUCCCCACUUAGCUCCUUAAGUACUAGUGGGUGAAUACCGUCAGGCCCCGAAGCUUUAUUUACAUACAUUUUCUUUAAUAGCUGUAGCACCUUGUCUCGAGUUAUCCAAUCACAAGUUAUCUGGUGUCCGGCAAUACAAAUGGCUGCCACGCAGCCAACCACUUAGAACGUUCAAGUGUUUGAGGUCAAGUGGGUGAACAAGCGGCACACAACAGUUUUGGGAGGUCUAUGUGUUCGGUACUUAGUUCGGUAUAUGAACCAAAUUAAGUCUCGAUGGAAAUGCAGUAUGCGCAAAAAAAUUAAUUCAAGCGCAUGUACAAUUGGCAGAGCACUAAUAUCUGCUUCGCAAAAUAGAUAACAUAGGGAUAGAGUUAAGCGGACAACUGGAUGUACGGGUCCGGCGGGUUCGUCCGAACUUGACCCCGAACCCAAACCCCAUUGAAGUCAAUGGGAUCUGACAUUUUUGGCACAAAAAUGGCUCUAAAAAAGUCCUGGAAAGGGCUGGAGGGCAAAAGUAAGUAAAAUGUGGAUAAGAGUAGGACAAGUGCCCUGCAAACAAAUGUGGAUAGGGAAAUCACUUAAAAUAACAUAAAAAUAUACAGAUGAGCCAUAAAAUAGCACUAAAGCAUGGCUGUCUGGAGGAUCACCAGAAUUAUCCAUUUGAGAGAGGGUUGGAGUGCAGGGUAUUCUCUUUCAUUGUUCAAACUGAGCUCAACUCCUGAUGCAUGGAGAAAAUGCCCUCACAAGCCUCUGCUAUUGUGUACAUAGUUUAUACUAAGUGACCCAUAGGUUGAGGAAGCUGUGACCAUGGCGGUGUAGGUGGAAGCGGCGAAAAUAUUGGGACAUAUAUAAAAAAAAAAAAACCCAAACAAUAGGUGCACUUGAGUUUAACAAUGGCUGGGUGAGGCCGGUAUAAAUAUCUAUUCUGCACAAGGUACAGACAAGUCUGGUGGGAUCCAUGCCUGGUUCAUUUUAAUAAAUGUGAGCUUGUCUACGUUGGCUGUGGACAGGCGGCUGCUCUUGUCUGUGAUAACGCCCCCUGCCGUGCUAAACACACGUUCAGACAAUACACUGGCUCCAGGGCAGGCCAGCACCUCCAAGGCAUAAAGUGCAAGCUCGGGCCAUGUGCCCAAUUUGGAGACCCAGAAGUUAAAUGGGGCAGACGCAUCAGUCAGAACGCGUAGGCGUGUGCACACGCUGAAAUUUUGCCUACUGCUAAGACGUUCCAUAUCAGAUGGUGGUGCUGGUUGUUGUGGCGUGCUGACAAAACUUUUACACAUUUUGGCCAUGCUAACCCUGCCUUCUGAGGUGCUGGCGGUGCCCCAGCUGCGUUGGCGACCUCUUCCUCCUCCUCUGCCUUCGCCUUUUGCUUCCACUGAGCCCCUGGUGUCAGUUGUGAAUGCCCUCAGCAGCGCAUCUACCAGUGUGCGCUUGUAGUCGCGCAUCUUCCUAUCACGCUUCAGUGAGGGAAUUAAGGACGGCAUGUUGUCCUUGUAACGGGGAUCCAGCAGGGUGGCCACAAGUUAGAAUGUGGGCAACUCGGCAGUCGUUGCGCAGGCACUGCAGCAUGUAGUCUCUCAUGUGUGCCAGGCUGCACAGAGGCAAGGACAAGCUGUCCUCUGUGGGAGGUGUAUCGUCUGUAUCCUCCGUAUCCCCCCAGCCACACUCCAGUGAUGCUCACGAGCUGCUGUGAACACGGUUCCACCUCCUCAUCCACCAGAACUGUGCCCUGGCUGGACAAUUGUGUACCUUGCCUAUGCUUGUGAAUGACUGACCUGUUAACCAUGGAAAUGACCCCUCUUCCUCCUCCUCUUCCUUCUGUGCCAUAUCCUCUUCCAUCAUCGCCCAAAGCGUUUUUUCAAGGAGACAGACGCGGGAUAGUAAGGCUGAGAAUGGCAUCAAAGGCACUGGCCAUGUUGGUAGAGUAUUCAAAACAGUGCAAAAUGGCACACAGGUCUCGCAUGGAGGCCCACUCAUUAGUGGUGAAGUGGUGCUGUUCAGCAGAGCGACUGAAACUCCACUAUUGCCUGCUGCAGCUCGCAUAGUCUCUCUGGCAUGUGCAAGGUGGCAAGUCGCAUAUGAGGUGGUGAGCGGGAAGGCACAGACAGGUGAGCAGCAGUAGGGUGAGAACACCGAAAGUGCGCACAGACAGCACGCACUUUCUGCAGCAGCUCUGAUAUAUCUGGGUAGUUUUUCAGGAAUUUCUGCACCACCACAUUCAGCACAUGCGCCAUGCAAGGGAUGUGCGGCAAACCAGCUAGACCCAGAGCUGCUAUGAGAUUUCGCCCAUUAUCGCACACCACCAGGCCAGGCUUGGAAAUGCUGGCAUUCAGGGCCAGGGAUCGCGGGUGGCUAGGGGGGUACUUCCUCCUUCUCUCCAGUGUUUGGAAGAUGGACAGCUGAACGCUUCCAUGGGACAGUGUGGAGAUGCUUGGGGACUGUGGUGGAUGUGGUGGCGUUGCGGACACAUCCUCUGUUUGCUGGGUGGCAAGUGCCACUGUGACUCCAGAGGUGGAGGAAGAGGCCGAGACAGCUGCAGAAGAGGAAGCAGGAGGAGCCUGAGACCUUUAUUGGUUUUUGAGGUGCUUACUCCACUGCAGCUCAUGCUUUGCAUGUAGAUGCCUGGUUAUGCAGGUUGUGCUCAGGUUUAGAACGUUUAGGCCUCGCUUCAGGCUCUAAUUGCACAGCGUGCAAAACACUCGUGUCUUGUCGUCAGCACAUUGUCUGAAGAACUACCACGCCAGGGAACUCCUUGGAGCUGGAUUUGGUGUGCUUGGUCCCUGGGUGCGGUGGGCAGUAGCAGGCGUACCAUUUAGUGGACGGCCCCUCCGCUUUUGCACCCUGCUCCCUCUUAUGCUGUGCUGGUGCCUUUGUGCGACCACCGCCUCUUCCUCCAAACUGCACACGUCACUCGCAUGACCUUCAUUCCAUGUGGGGUCUAGGACCUCAUCAUCCUUUACUUCAACUUCCACCCACUCCUCAUUCCUGCCCUCCUUGCCAGUCUGCACACUGCAGAAAGCCACAGUAGUUGGCACCUAUGUUUGGUCAUCAUCAGAGACGUGCUGCGGUGGUCCUUGCAUGUCCACAUCCUGACACAUAAGUGAUUGUGCAUCAGUGCACUCAACCUCUUCCACUUCUGGGGCAGGGCUAGGUGGAUGGCCCACGGAAACCCUGCCAGCAGAGUCAUCAAAAAGCAUCAGAGACUGCUGCAUGACUUGUGGCUCUGACUGUUUGGCUGAUUUGCAAGGGGGUGAGGUUAAAGACAGAUGGCCAUGGGCUGCAGGUGCCAACUCUGAGCUUUCAGCAGGGGACCAGGUGGGUGACAAUGUGCAGGAACUGGAGGCACUGUCAGCCAUCCAAUCUACUAUUGCCUGUACUUGUUCUGGCCUCACCGUUCGUAGAGCAGCAUUCGGGUCUACCAAAUAACGCCGAAGGUUCUGUCACAUACUCGCACCUGAGGAAGGUGUUUCACUUGUGCAUGCAGCUGGCACAAAUCGACCAUGUCCUCUCCUUGCAACAGGAGCUCCACCAACACCAGCAGCACCACGACCAGGGCCACGUCCCUUAUUUGAUGCUCUCCUCAUUCUUUGCACUCACCCAACAAACUAACAGAUGUUUUAGGUCAGGCAACAAUAUAACUGCCAAUAGUAAACAAUUUUUUAAUUUUUUUUUUGGUUUGUUUAUUGAACUGCAAGAAAUGCACCUCAGGACGCAAAUGUACUAUUUAGCACCCAAAACUAUUAGAAUUUUUCAAAGUGCGCUGUAAGCACAGUAUUUGACGGUUCUAUUUGACUGUCAGAUAUGAAGUGCACACACCAAAUGUACUUUUUAUCACCCCAAAAAUUUGAAUGGGUCAAAGUGCGCUGUAAGCACAGUGUUUGAUGGUUCUAUUUGACUCUCAGAUAUGAAGUGCACCGCAGGACGCAAAUGUACUAUUUAGCACAAAAAAGUGUAGUUUUUUUAAACCAACAAUGUAACAGUAGUAUUUUGUGUACUAUUUAGCACCCAAAAACGGUUCGCUCAACUCUACAUAUGGAACAACCAAAGAUAAAUCCACUUUUCCCCGUUCAGCAGCUGACAAACCUCAUUCGAGGCAAUACAGUAUCAGAUACAAUAUUGAGAGAAAUAAUAUGAACAAAAAUAUAUAAAAUACUUGUGAAUAAAUUCUUCCCACAACAUUUACACAUCUUAUCCAGAGAUACACUAUAUACAUAGCUAUAACUGUAUUAAGUACAAUAUCCAUAAACUAAUAAAUAUAUCCAUUAUUAAAAAUAUACAUAAUAAAACUAUAAUAUGCUAUGUUAGUUAUAAAGUGCAGAAAGAAAUAAUGAACAAAUAUACUGUAUCGAAUAUAUUGUAUCUAAUAAGAAAUUAAUAUAUUAUGGGAAUAAAGUGCAGAAAGAAGCAAAGGACCAAUACCUCCUAUCAAAAUGGAGGUGUACUAGAAAAUUAUUAAGUAAAAAAUGAUUAAUAAUACUAUACAAUUAUGAGCUAAAUCUCACACUAAAGAUUUUUGGAAAAAGUGAAAAAAUAGUGAAAAAAAUUAUAAUUACAAAAAAGUGCUAAAGUGCAUAAAAAAUAUCAGUGGAAUCCAUGUGAAUCAAUAAAGGAUCUCUCUAUUUGAAAUGGAUAUAUUGCACUAUACAAUUGAAUAUGUAUUAUUUACAUACAGAAAGAAAACACUAAUGAUUUACGUCAUCUUAUUUUAAAAGUGGAGAUUGUAAUGAGUGGGAAUCAUAGAGUGUGAUGUGCAUCUAAAAAAAAUCUAUCACCAACUCCAGCACCAUAUAUUGAAGAUAAUCUGUAAACAAAAAGAAAUAAAUAUUAAGAAUUCAAUAUUGAAAAGUUAAACAUUUGGAGAGCAAAAAAUGGGUCGCAAGAAUAUUCUGAGAACGGACAGCAGCUAAAAUGGCCUGCCCUUCGGUGGGUCCCCGCUCAGAACUCAAGCUGGUUUUAGCUCAUCUUGUGCCAUUACAGAGAGAACAUAUCUGAAGCAUAUCAGACUGGUCCCACCCAUACGGGCAGUCCAGAUCCGAAAUGCCAGCAAGUUCCCUCUGCACGAGAGACACAGCAACCCCAGACAAUCGUUUCAGCCUUGUUAGGCAUCGUCAGUGAGGCAUAGCUGAUUGUUAAAAAACAUUUAAAUUAACGUAAUGGGGUCAUGAUCCUGAUUAAGUUCCUUUGGAGCCAGUGUAUCUAGUUCCUUAAUCCAAAAGGCCUCUCUAAACAAUAACUUAUAACAAUAAUUUAUUUUGCCUAUCUCCACUCUUAAGAUUUUCUUGAAUGUUUUCAAUCAUCUGAAUGAUCUAUUUUAGUUGAGAUAGUUGUGAUGUGCUUCUGAAAAGUGUGAUGGGAUCGGUAUUUCUAACAUCCCUGUUGUUGACUUGUGUUUCACAAAUCUUUCUUUCAUCUUCUGGGUUGUUUGUCCCACAUAUAUUAAUCCAUAAGGACAUUUUAAAAUGUAAACAACAUACGUGGUUGUGCAUGUGUAACCGCGGCUGGUUCCCUUAUUUACCACUAUAACGUCUUAAAGCAUAGAACUUAGUAGGGCUAACCAUACAGAUAUCAGCCAUAAUUUUAUAUGGUUAGUGUAAGAGAUCCUCUAUUUAACAUAUAUAAAUAACUGAGAAUACAAUAUAAAAUAAGGAUUGUCUUAGAAGCAAUAAAGUUUUGUCUUUUAGAUAUUUAUUAUAUAAAAAUAUAAAUAUAUACAUAUGAAAUCCAUUAUAGCAGAGUUUAUAAGAUUAAACUAAAUAGAAACAUAGAAACAUAGAAUGUGACGGCAGAUAAGAACCAUUCGGCCCAUCUAGUCUGCCCAAUUUUCUAAAUACUUUCAUUAGUCCCUGGCCUUAUCUUAUAGUUAGGAUAGCCUUAUGCCUAUCCCACGCAUGCUUAAACUCCUUUACUGUGUUAACCUCUACCACUUCAGCUGGAAGGCUAUUCCAUGCAUCCACUACCCUCUCAGUAAAGUAAUACUUCCUGAUAUUAUUUUUAAACCUUUGUCCCUCUAAUUUAAGACUAUGUCCUCUUGUUGUGGUAGUUUUUCUUCUUUUAAAUAUAGUCUCCUCCUUUACUGUGUUGAUUCCCUUUAUGUAUUUAAAUGUUUCUGUCAUAUCCCCCCUGUCUCGUCUUUCCUCCAAGCUAUACAUGUUAAGAUCCUUUAACCUUUCCUGGUAAGUUUUAUCCCGCAAUCCAUGAACCAGUUUAGUAGCCCUUCUCUGAACCCUCUCUAAGGUAUCAAUAUCCUUCUGAAGAUACGGUCUCCAGUACUGUGUACAAUACUCCAAGUGAGGUCUCACCAGUGUUCUGUACAAUGGCAUGAGCACUUCCCUCUUUCUACUGCUAAUACCUCUCCCUAUACAACCAAGCAUUCUGCUAGCAUUUCCUGCUGCUCUAAUGCUUGCAAAUGUCAUUAAUAGGUUAACAUACCCUUCUGGACAUAUCAUGUCAGCCUCUCUGUCAUUUUAAGAGCGAGCAGCAUCUGUCUCCAAGUCUCUCCUUUGUCCCUUAACAUUUAAAAGUACACUUAUUUAUACCUUAGGUGUCUCCAUUUUAGGGUUACUGUAGUUCAUAUAUGAAAAAGUAACACUUCUUUUACUUUAUUCAUUUUAGGAUCUCCCUUAACUUGGCAAAAAUACAAGGCCAUAACUAAAGGUUGUUUACGUCAUGGAAUUUUUCUAACUUAGAUCAAGAUGGCAUCUUACAGUCUAAACUUCUUUAUCUACUUCAGAUUACCACAGUAUAUUGUGUACUGAAAGAGUCGUAGUAUAGCCUUGAAGCUUGUUUAUGCAUUAUUGUUAUUGUAAUUCGUCUGGGACAAAAUGGCGUAAACAUAUUAUGCACUGAAGGUAGGUAAGAGAUUAUUGCUUAAAGAAACAGUUAUGAAAAACAAUAUGUUCCAUUUCUAACACCUUGUCAGUUUGCAAUAUCUCUUAAAGACAAAGUACACAGUUUAAGAAAUACAACAUUUCAUUCUAAAACUUGUAAUAUUUGGAUUUGCCCUUAACACC
rnacentral:lncRNA from 1 species